rnacentral:lncRNA from 1 species
UUUUUUUUUUUUUCAUUUUUGACAUAUUAAGAUUGUUUUCAUAUUUUACCUUUAAUAUUAAUUAUUUUUUUCUUCAAAUUAAUUUCAAAUACAAUAGUAAACAUCAUUUAAUAAAAUAUAUUAUAAUAAAUAGNNNNNNNNNNNNNNNNNNNNNNNNNNNNNNNNNNNNNNNNNNNNNNNNNNNNNNNNNNNNNNNNNNNNNNNNNNNNNNNNNNNNNNNNNNNNNNNNNNNNNNNNNNNNNNNNNNNNNNNNNNNNNNNNNNNNNNNNNNNNNNNNNNNNNNNNNNNNNNNNNNNNNNNNNNNNNNNNNNNNNNNNNNNNNNNNNNNNNNNNNNNNNNNNNNNNNNNNNNNNNNNNNNNNNNNNNNNNNNNNNNNNNNNNNNNNNNNNNNNNNNNNNNNNNNNNNNNNNNNNNNNNNNNNNNNNNNNNNNNNNNNNNNNNNNNNNNNNNNNNNNNNNNNNNNNNNNNNNNNNNNNNNNNNNNNNNNNNNNNNNNNNNNNNNNNNNNNNNNNNNNNNNNNNNNNNNNNNNNNNNNNNNNNCAGCUGACAAAAUAUUUCAUGUAUGCUAAGACAUACUAUAUGCUUAAUUGGAAUAGCGUUUGGUUAUAAAUUUUAGUAGUAGAUUUAAAAAAAAAAAUUCUUUAAAUAUUUGUUUGAUCAUGAAAAAUUAAUCAAAUUUUAAGAGCAUGUAUCAAAUUAAUUUUUAAUGGAUCAAAAAAUUGGGUGAAUUCUUUUUAAUGAAUCAAAAAAUAAAUUUAAAAAGAAAAUUAAUUAUUUUUUUUAAAUAAAAAAUAAAAUAAAAAAUGACAUGACCCUCUAAUAAGCUGCUAUGUGGCAAGACUGUUUUUAAAAAUCGGCUGUUAAAAAGUAAUGACAUGGAUGAGCCUGUUUUGUAAUGGUGAUGGCAUAAAUGAGCUCAACUUUUAACGGAUGACAUAAAUGAGCCAUUUCUGAUAGUUCAGUGGCAUAUUUGAGCCUUUUUCCUUUCAAUUAUUGGGUGAUUUAUUUGUUAUUAAUGCAAGGUAAUGGUGUAGUCGGUGUAGGAAACAAAGUAAUAAUAUUUUUUAAAAAAAGACUAAAAGCAGAAUUGAAACAUAAUUAAAAUUAAAUCUAAAAAAAAGACUAAAAUUAAAGACGAAAAAAGAGGAAAAAGACCAAAAAAAUAUAUCUUUCAUAAUUAAAGACGAAAAAAGAGAAACAUAUUAAAACAUCUACAUUAAAUCUAAAAAAAGAGAAAAAUUAGAUAUCUUUCGUUAAAUAAAGAAUACAAUGAAUAAAAGAGAAUCUGUUACUUCCUUAAAUAAAUAUCUUGUUAGUUUCAAAUGUUUCACUUUUUUUAUAUGUAUCACCAUUUUAAAAAAUCGGGAUAAAAUAUAAUUAAUAAAAUAAUCGAAAUUUAAUGUAAUAUAUUGAGUGAUUUAUGUAAGUUACCCUUCUAAUUAUGUACAUCAGAAAGUAUCUUCACCAUGAGAUGAAGAUACAUGUUGUAAUUAUGUGCAGUGAUGGCCUUCUUCUUUUAUUUCCAUCUAAUGCAUAAACAUGAACUAAUUUGCAAUCUAUUACUUCAAUAGAACUUUCAAAUCAUAUUGAAUUUUCGUUAUAUAGAUGCAAUAAGUUGGAACUGAAAAUAAUGAAUUUAAGACAUGAGGUACAGUUUGGGGGAGGGGGGGGAGGGCAAGAGUUCAAAACUUUGAUAGAAUCUUUGUGACUAUCGUAAAUCUAAAUUUAGUAUAAUUAGUUGAAAAUGUAUAGGAUGAAGUGAUUAUACAAUACGACUUAGCGAACAUAUGCUUUGAUUAGUGCCUUGUAAGAUGGGAAUGCUAUAAUUAAGCAUAUUGUGGUGUGGUUUGUUAAAAUUAGAUAGAGUUCAUGUAUAUGCUAAUAUUGAUAUUAGAUUGUGUAAUCACAUUCUUAAUGACUAUUUCAACCGUUGAUUUUGUUGAUCUUGAUCAAUCCUGGUAGAUGUGAUGAUUGAUCCCACUGCUCUGUAGGAAUGUAGUACUUUCGGUUCACUGUGAUUUUAGCCUUUGUUUUUGAUAACUAUCGGAGUUUAAAUUCAUAUUCAGUGUUAAGUAGGCUUUGUCGCCUUAUUUAUCCCACUUUUUUCUAUAGCAAUUCAUUUUUUUCCACAUUGGUAUGUUUAUAGCUGUUAUUUAUGAAUCUAUCUGUAUCUUUUAGGUCUUUGCUGGUGUUCAUUUCUUGUAUUUUGUUUCUCAGUAGUGUCUGGUCAUGUAUUGUGGUUGUGCUUUAUAUAAAGAGAAAAGUUGGUCAUGGAAAAUGAAUGUGCGUAAGUUUAAUAUCAUUAUAAAUUCGAAUUGAAAAUAACAUGAAUGCUAGUGGAAAAAAUAUGUGAUUUUCAUAUGUAAAGAGUGAAUUAUUAUUUGAAAACAAACUUAUUACUUGUUCUUGAAAUUUCUGGUCAGAAUUAUUUGUAGUUCUGUGAGCUUCUCGUAGGCCACCUUUCUUUCUCUCACCCCUUCAAAUAAUCAAAACUGCGCAAUUUUCAUUACAUUUAGACAUCCGCUCCUUUCAUCAAUGUUAUAUUUUCACUCCAGACCUUGAUGGUAUUUCCACUUUCCUGUCCCCGUCGCGCUCCCCUUUUUUUGGUUCCUUUUUUCGCUCUAUUAAUAGACACGAAAAAAUUUGCACUCUCUACAUUCUUGCUAUAACAAUUGACUGAUGAAUUGUCAUGACCCGAGCCGAGACCCUGGCCACGACGAGCAUCCCGAAUUAUGAAGGCUCGAGCGCCCUUUUCUAUCUGCCAAUCAUGCACACCAUUCAUACACUAUAAAGAAAUGCAGAAAGUUAACAAAACUGAAACAUGUUCAAUCUCUUAAUUCAACUGAAUAAUACUAAAUGAAGUUCAUAACAUUCAAAAUACAUGACACCAGUCUGCGAAAUCUCUUACAACACGAAAAUAAUAUCUUUCUAAAGGCUGGGACAAGGCCCCCAGCCGGACCAUGAACUAAACCACAUAAUAAUAUUCCAUAAACAAGACCUUCCGAAAUAAGGGAGGCUCACCAACUGCACACUUCUGACAGACAAAUCUACGGCUUAGCGGGAUCCCGGGACUGAGCCUCAGAUCCUGAAAUAUAGGGGGUCAAUACAAAUGUACUGGUGCGUAGAACAAUCCAAAAACAAAAUGCAUUUAUAUGCAACAUAGGUGAGAGCAUUUUAAAAGAUACAUGUUAUCUUAAAACAGUUGAAAACACAUGGGCAUAAUCUGAAUUUUUCAAAACACAUUCUGCAAAUCAUGACUCUACUCUUUAUCUUACUUCUGAACUAGAUGAUACACCCUAGAAAUCUAUGAUUCCACGAGCGAUAUGGAAUUCGCCCUUGACUCGGCAACUAAGCCCCCAACCCAAGUUUACCUCAAGGGUUAGAGUAUCUGUUUAUCAACUACGCCACAGAGCCGUCUCUAGCGUACAAUCUCCCUUUCGGAUAACAUGAACCCGUGUCGGCAAAUCACGAUUUUGGGCAAUGAGUCGUCUGACUCGUGCCUUCUUGGGGUAUCCAUCUAACUCUCUUAAGCCCCAUUUUAGAUUCUUCAAAACAUAACUUCUUUGAAAAGUUGUUUCUUUCUUAUUUUGCUUCGGGCACAUCAUAAUAGGGUAUCAUCAUACUCAGACUUGAAAGUCAUGUCAUAAUAUCUCUACUGCUCUUAUCUUAUUUCAAAAGAUUUUUAUUUACCACCUAAAAGAUUUACCAUUUGAACAAAAGUUCAUAAUUCAAAAUAAUUGAAAACCAAACCAUUCUCUACUCAGUACUUAUUCUAUGGUGGUCAUCCUUUUCAAUCACUUUAAAGUCAUUCUAAAUAGGAAUCGUGAUCAUUAAAAUAAAUAAAAACAUUCUUUCAUUAUCUCAUGAAAAAUAGUACAAUUUGUUCAUAACAGACUCAAACAUUUAACAAUCCGUAUAACUAAUUCUCAACAUGUAAAAUCAAGGAAUUUUCAUAGCUAAAGAGGGAAUUACAUAUCCCGUGCUCUCAUUUAAUUUCAAAAUCUAAACAUCACAUGUUCACACGAAAAACAUUUCGAGUUUAGGACUUCCGACUACAAUUUUCGCAACACUUCAUUAAGAUGCAAUAUUUUCAAUUCAAGUUUAUUAAAGAUCUUGAAACAAUUUCGUAUAUAUACAUAUCUAAUCUUUAAAACUAAUUUGAAAACAGUAAAUCCAUGCCCAUGAGGUUUAGGAUAGUCUCACGUGCCUUAGAUUACUUAGUUCGAAGGAUGGAACCCGAAUCUUGACUCGUUUUUUGGAAAUCUUGGACUUAAAGAUUGGAUUCUUGAUCUUUGAGAAGGAAGUUUAGGAUUUUGUUUUGAGAGCAUUUUGAGUAAUUUUUUGGGUACAUUAUGCCCUAAUAACGUCUUAAUAAGCUGCUAACACGACUUGGGGAUAGAGGGAAAAGUCUAAACUGCCCUUCAAAAUUAAAUUUUUUAGCAAAAUCCUGCUUUUGGAGCUCACCGUAACGCGGUGUAAUUGUGGUGGCUUACUGGUAAUGACAAAAAUGAUCAUAACUUUUCGCACGGGUAUCGGAUUAAGGCAAAAUUUGUAUCUUUGGAAAGCUAAUUCAAUUAUCUACAAUUUGGUGGGUCUUAUCUGAACAAUUCCACAUACAUCAAAAGUUAUAUAUGUUCAAAGUUGACCUUUGUAGAAUCGAAUACCAAACUUUGGACAAUUGAAAGACUUUUAGUUCAUCUUUGCUCUAAGUGAUUUCCAUGAAUAUUUUUCACCUCAUAAUCACUUAACACAGUAGGAUAAUAUCACGACACAUGAAUUUAAAUAUGAGUCAUGGGAUUAAAGUUUACACACGUAAGAACGACGUUCUGAUUUCUAGCUAAAAAAUGCAGGGUGUUAUAUUCUUUCCCCCUUGGGAUCAUUCAUCCCCGAAUGAUGGGUAGGGACUUUUUGAAGUUCUAAAAAUGCAGAAAAAGAAUGUAAUCUCGCGUUGAGCAUUUUUUCUCUACAGAAUAUGCAAAGUUAUCAAACGAGCUUUAUGAUAAUCCCUAGUGAAACGUGUAAGCACAAAGCAUGAGGUGAUGAGUCUUUACAUAGGGAUGAUCUUGCACAUGAGUCCUAUGAAUCAUAAUCAUCACAACAUAAUGCAAUAGUUAAUUUGGUGAUAAAAGGCCUGACUUACAUCGAUACUAAUCAUGAAAUAAGGUUUUCACGGGACAUAGGCUUAGAAGCAUUCUCUACCUUACAAGGUACAACGAAUAGACUUAAACUUAGAGACACUAAUCAUCUACGCCCCAAACAAUAAAUAACAUACUUCACACUUUCCAACUUACAAUUCUCUCAUCACACAUCUAAGCACAAGAGUUUGAGUCCCACUGCAAAGUGCUUUUAUGUUGAAGCCUAACUCGGAGUAACAAGGAUCUAACUUUAGCUACGGGACCCUGUACUCUACGUCCUAUUAAGAAUAUCACCUCACCUUAUCACUAUCAUCAAACACCCUCGGGUCUUAAAUCAAGGAAUACCAACUACAUAACACAUUGGGUUACGUUCUCAUCAAUUACAACAUUCUAACCUAUCAUUAACACAUCUAUUGAUGAAUUCCCCCAUUAAGACUAACAAAUUCAACCACUCUCAUAAAGAUUUUCACCACAUAUCUCCUUUUUAACUAUUUCACGUAACGAAAGUUCAUCUCCUUCUUCCCCCUUCUCCUAUAGCCUUAGCUCACGAAAUCACAUAAAAAUUCUCACAUUCAAGAACAUCUAUUCCCCUUUCCUAAGUCACUACUACUCUUCCAUAAUAACUAUCAUACCAUCAUUCGGAGGGUCAUUGAGGGACCCAAGCAUAUGCAUAAAGAAAAGAAGUAACACUAUUCGAUUAUAAAAUAUUCUUAUUGCAAUACUCAAGGUGGGAUAUGAGAUAAAAAUACAAUACAAUAUACACGAAGUGCUCCAUAUAUAAAGUGUCUGGAUCAUAAACAGAGUCGUUCGGACGUAAACUUACACAACAUGAGUUCCUAGGACUGGGCACAGUGAGAAACAUGUGAGUAUAUAUCAUGAGCGGUAUAACAUGAAGGCAUAACUCAAGUGGUCAAUGACUGAGACAAGGAUUACCACUUGAAGCUAUUGCUUCUCAUUUUCAGAGCUACGAUAGCCAUGAGUUUGCAUAAACUUUAUCGCUUUAGUUAAAUCCGACAUAGGAUGAUUCGGUGACAUAUAGAAAUAUAUUUCUUAGGUCCAAGCAUGAUGUGAGAUAUGGAUUUUUAUGGAUCAUGAGAAACAUAGCAUAGGGCUUGAAUACUUGAAAGAUUGGGUUACUGAGACAUCAUUGCUUCUAGUUUGACAGUCAGAUUAUAACAUAAGUUGCAUAGAUAACUCGGAUCUUGGGCAUAGGCACGACUUCAAUAUAUAAGACAUUGAUAGAAUAUCCUCAUUAAAUUGAAAUAGAGGAGCUUGAUUGAAUAGGAAUAAAUUUUGUCAUGACUCCUUCUUGAAACUGGACACCUCAAGAAAAUUUGGGAACAAUUUUAAUUCGCCAUCACCCCCUUAGAUCAAAGUCAUAAUCCUAGACUUGAGGACAUAUCUUCUCACUAAAUCUACGAGCACAACAUUCAACACAAUGAGGUAUUGCAAUACAUGUAACCGCUAAACUCCCCCUGAUAAACUAUACUCUGAAGGCAUUGCUUCCCGAAAAAGCUACUCUUAACUUUCGCUAGCAUCUAUAGCUAUCACCCUAUGACUCCCACUCCCGUGAGCAUACAUAUCCACACUCUUUAUCACAUAAUAAAUCAUUCUUCACUACUUUACGCGCCAACGCUAGAUUUCUACUUAAAUACUUACACUCUUAACAAUAUUUGUAAAACUAUACGAAAGACACAUGUUUCCUACCUAUAUUUCCUCAAUUUAACUAAUAAGAACACCAUACAACAACUCCCCAAAAUUCUCCAUACUACAAAAUUCAAGAAUGUGAAGUAAGUACACAUGACACAUACAUAUAUAAACCUUAUCUAACAUGCUACCUGGGGGUUUAACUCACGCUCUUAUCCACUUAAUGGUUCAACCACAAUUCAUCGUUUUACUCUUGUUCUCAAGUAUGCCUAUACAUUACUAUUGUCCACUCAUUAAUCUACAAGUUGCCAAAUUUAGGCUAUUGUACACAUCAAAUCAAGCCUACUACUUACUCCCACAAAACAUGCAUCAUAAAUCUUAAGUUACUAUUCUUAUCACCACAAUCCACAUCUACAGUUCAAGCCUAUAGUCUAGCAAUACCAAUCAUAUGAAGCAUGCCAUAAACUAUACUAAUGAGUAAUAUUUUCCUUAACUGAUGACACGUUUCAUCCAUUUACAAAUUAGAAUGAGAGAAAAAUACUAUAUUGCCCUUCUGGCAAUUAAAUUUGUGAUUGGAAUAUCGAUGACAAGGUCACUGCGAUGCGGUGAAGGUCUCACCGUUAUUACCACCGUGCUGCGCUACUAUCGUGGUGAGGUUCUGGAAUCAAAAUCCAAACAUGACCCAAUCCUCGUCCGAAAAAUCUGAAACUUUCCCUAGACAUGCUCCUUACACCCUUAAACAUAAAUAAACUCAAAAUUCUACGCCUCAGGUUAGGAAAGAUCAAUUUAAAAAUAUUUAAAGUUAAGAUGCUUAAUGUAAGACCCCACAAAGCUUAAAUCAGUCCCUAAAAGCUUGUUAAGGGGUCCCAGACUUAGAAAAUUUCAGCUAAGUAUUCAGACUUAGUAUUAUUUUAGCCUUCGUAAGUUGGAACUCUAUUUUAUGACUCUUAUGACCUUAAAGUAUCAAUCUUUAGGUUGAUUCAUGAUCAGGAAUGUUAUUAGCUGUUUCCAAAUAGGUUUUGGAUUUUUCGAACCUCAUUUAAACCAUGUUCGAAUGACCAAAAUAGUGAGUCGACGCGAUCUCGAUGCAUCACGUUGUCCAUCGCAUCAACAAAUAAUUUUUCCCUCAGCUUAGUGAAUUUCCAAUGAACCGACGCAGACUCGACGCGGUGCACCGUCCAUUAUGUUGAUCCCAUCGAUGCGGCACAUCGAUCUGCGCACCAAUAGUUUAGUUUUCAGUCAUUAGAAGCUGCGUUCUUAGGGGUAUUUGGUUCUUUUUCCACGUCCUUUAGCCCCCCAAAAUAUGAAAUUUAGCCCUCUAUUUGCAAUAGACACUCAUUAUUUCACAAAUUGCUCAAGAACAAGAACCCUAGGUGAUUGAAUUUCAAGUUCAAGGCUCAAGAUUCCACCAUUAAUCUUCAAGAAUUUAGCAACCAAGGUAUGUGAAGUGUUCAUCCAAGGGUUCCUUUCACCCUUGGAGUCCAAGAAACUCUUUUAAAACUUUGAGUAAAGUAAUUUCAUGAUUUUCAUGAUUGGAUUCAAGUGUAUUCAUGAUUAUAAUAUUGAUUGGGUUUCUAAUCCAUGACUAAGUGCAAGAUUUAUGUGCAAAACAGUUAUUAUGUAUGUAGUAUCAUGUGGAUUCAUGUUGAAGUCUUGAAAUUGUGAACUUGGUGUUGAAAUUGAGAUGCUCAUGUGUUGAUUAGUACUAUGUACAUAUACAGUGCCUUCCAAGGGAUUUGAUGAGUUGUUCAUCUGAAUGUAAUAGUGAGAUUAUAUCAUGUUAUCAUGUAUACUAGUUCAUGCCAUUCAACUGUUUGAUAAAAUGCCUCUAUAGAUGCAUUAUAAAUCAAGUGUACAUUUUAAUGCUAACCAAGGUCAUGUGAUGCGUUAUUUUCAUGCUAUCGAUUCUUGGGGGUAUUUAAUACCCUACAAUUUAGUUGUUUACCUAGAGCCAUGGUUAGUCACAGGAUAGUAUCAGUCAUGUCACGAUCGGUAGAAUUUAGUCAGUUAACAGAAUUCAGUAUUAUUCCGUCAGUCCACGGAACCCAGUGAACUCAAUUCAGUUCAGUUAUACAGUACGAUAAAAAAUUGUUCAGUCCAGCCUAGAACAGUCUAGAAUUUAGUCUAGUGUCUAUUCAGUUGAUAGUAGGAUUUAGCACCGAGUGAACCCACGGAUAGGGACUCACUUGCCAGUAGAGGGUAUGAUUCUUAAAAGUAGUCCUUGUGUUCCAGAACUACAUAGCCAGCGUAGGUUGAGACAUCAACCUGCCAGUUAAGGGUACCACCGUUCUCGUCAAAGCACCUUCCAGAUGAGGGUGACUCAGUUUGUCUUUACCCGUGGGACGGUACUGACACCUUUCCAGUUGGGGUUACAAGUUUGACCCCAAUCUAUUCAGAAAGGGUUAUAUCGGUUAGAUGAUUACCUCCCACUGUCUCAAUUUUCGGUUCAGUCUCAAUACAGAACUCAGUUUAGUUCUACAGAUUCAGGACUGUCAGACACUGCCACUCAGCUUAGUAUAAAACUCAGUAUAGUUCCACAGAAUCAGGACUGUCAGAUACAGUCAUUCAGUUAUCAGUAGUAUAGUAUCAGUAAACUCAGAUAUCAGCAACUCAGUAUUCAAAUUCAGUAUCUAGUGCUGUCACGAUCUCAGUUACAGUAUAUGUAUUCAUGCAUGUACUCUCAUUCAGUUUUAUUCAUGUCAUUCAGCCAAUAUUGUUCAUGCAUAUAAACCCAUGCAUUUCAGCCUACCUCACUUAGCAUACCAGUACAUAUAAAGUACUGACGCAUACUUUUCUCUUACGCUAUGUUUUCUUAUAUCAUAGGUUUAGAUGCAUGGGCUCCCAAGCACCCUUAGCAGUUUAGAUUUUCAGCAGUCAGAGUUAGUGGUGAGUCCUCAUAGUUCGAGGACAUGAUUAUUUUCUUCAGUAUUUUAGUUUAGCAGUACAGUUUCAGUAGUUGGAGUUAGAUGGGGGCUUGCCCCAUUAACUCCAUAUUUCAGACAGUUUGGAGGCUUUUCAGACUAGAGUAUUUAUAGACAGAUGUUUCAGUUUUGGUAUUGCUAUACCGUAUUCAAUUUUAUUUCAGUAUUGAACCUUAUGGCAAGUUUUUGCCUAAUUUCUGCAUAUUUACAGUAUUAUUAUUCAGCUAUUGUAGUAGGUACCAGUCAUGGAUUAGCUUGGGGUCCUUCGAGAUUAUGACAGUGUGUAGUAUCCGGGGUACAGACUUGGGGCGUUACGCUUUAAAUAUGCCUAAGUCUCCCAACAAUUAAAUUUUUUUCAGGUCUUAUACAUCCCAUGCAUGAAACUAAGAGUUAAGUCAGAAUAGAAAUAUCAACCUAAGUCUCUAAUUUCACUCAACUAUGGCCCAUAAGUUCAUCCUCUCCAUGACAUUACUACUACACCUCAAAAAUCUACUACCUACCUUCUCCCGUGUAGUACUAGUUUACAACUACUAGAGAAACACAAUCAAGGGGGUAAAGUCACAUAAUAAAGAUAGUCGGUCUUAAUCUUAUAAUAUCACCCAUUACUAUCUAUUAACAUAUCUUACUUUCUCACGUCAUACUUACUUACCCAUGCAUACAUCACAACUACCUUCAAAAUUUCAUAUACAACAAUAAAUUUAUACCUAUAACUUAUUGGUUAAUCUAACCAUUUCCAUUCACAACCUAUAAGGGAUUUCUAUAACCAUCAUAACUAUCCAUUCUAGGAUCUUUCCCUAUUUUGAAUAGAUAAUAUCAUAGCCAAACACUUCCUCCACAGACUACCAUACAAUCCACCAAUAUUGCUACCACAUUAGUCUAUCAUUAUCAAAUGGCAACCCAUCCCUCAAUCAAUGAUUAUACAACUAAACUAGCUUCCCUACGCAAAAGUCACCCUCAUUCUGAAUUCUAUGCUUGUGACAUCAUAUCACUAACUCCAGGAUCAUCAUACUACCAAUAAGGUAUGGCACCUUAGCACAUACUACUACUUGGGUGAAAAUAUUGUUCCAGUAUUAUGACAUAUAUCACUACCCUGGAGCAUGAUAUCUGCAACAAGAAUUAUGAAAGGGACUGAAUACACUUUAUACCUCAGGUUCAAACGCAUGAUUGAUGUAGAUAGGGAUAUAACCUUAAAUCAAUACACUUUAAAGCACUUAUGGACUCCUCUCAAGUCCUUAUGCAAUUUCAUAUUUCUUUAUGACUCAAUUAGAAGGGACCACCUCUUUUAGACUUUAAGAUUCUGCACUUGAAUCGACUCAACAGUGAGACAUAGUUAAUAAAGUUAGGGUAAAGAAGGAAUCUAGAUAACUCCCAAAUGGACAACACAAUGGCACUAUCUUGAACUUGAAGAAAAGUGAAACAUUUCUAAACGCCUAGUAGCUUCCUACUUAUAAGUAUGGCGUGCUAUACACUCAUAAAUAGGACUCUACUUGAGAUAAUUUCGCAGACACCCUGGGAUCAUGAACCGUGCUCUGAUAUCAAGCUUGUCACGACCCGAGCUGAGACCCUGGCCACGAUGAGCAUCCCGAACCAUGAAGGCUCGAACGCCCUUUUUUAUCUGGCAAUUAUGCACACCGUUCAUACAAUAUAAAAAAAUGCAGAAGUUAAAAAAAUAAAAACAUAGUCAAUUUCUUAAUUCAACUGAAAAAUACGAAAUAAAGUUCAUAACAUUCAAAAUACAUGACACCAGUCUGCGAAGUCUCUAACAACACGAAAACAAUAACUUUCUAAAGGAUGGGACAAGGGCCCAGUCAGACCAUGAACUAAACCACAUAGUAAUAUUCUAUAAACAAGGCCAUUCGAAAUAAGGGAUGCUCACCAACUGCACACUUCUGACAAACAAAUCUAUGGCUUAGCGGGACCCCAGGACUGAGCCUUAGAUCCUAAAAUAUAAGGGGUCAAUACAAAUAUACUGGUAUGUAGAACAAUCCAAAAACAAAUACAUUUAUAUGCAACAUAGGUGAGAGCGUUUUAAAAGAUGCAUAUUAUCUUAAAACAGUUGAAAACACAUGGGCAUAAUAUGAAUCUUUCAAAACAUAUUCUGUAAAUCAUGACUCUACUCUUUAUCUUACUUCUGAGCUAGAUGGUACACCUUAUAAAUCUACGAUUCCACGAGCUAUAUGGAAUCCUCUCGUGACUCGGUAGCCAAGCCCCCAACCCAAGUUUGUCGUAAGGGUUGAAGUAUCUGCUUAUCUACUACGCCACAGGGUCGUCGCCAGCGUACAAUCUACUUUUUGGGUAACAUGAACCCAUGUCGUCAAAUCACGAUUUCGGACAAUGAGUCAUCUGACUCAUGCCUUCUUGGAGUAUCCAUCUAACUUUCUUAAGCCAAAUUUUAGAUUCUUUAAAAUAUAACUUCUUUGAAAAGUUGUUUCUUUCUUAUUCUGCUUCGGGCACAUCAUAAUAGGGUAUCGUCAUACCCAGACUUGCAAGUCAUGUCACAAUAUCUCUACUUCCCUUAUCUUAUUUCAAAAGAUGUUUAUUUACCACCCAAAAGAUCUACUAUUUGAACAAAAGUUCAUAAUUAAAAUAGUUAAAAACCAAACCAUUCUCUACUCAAUACUUAUUCUAUGGUGGUCAUCCUUUUCAAUCACUUUAAAGUCAUUAUAAAUAGGAAUCAUGAUCAUUAUAAAACAAAUAAAAACACUCUUUCGUUACCUCAUGAAAAAUAGUACAAUUUGUUCAUAACAGGCUCAAACAUUUAACAAUCUCUAUAACCAAUUCUCAACAUGUAAAAUCUAGGGAUUUUCAUAGAAAAGGAGGGAAUUAUAUAUCCCGUGCUCUCAUUUAAUUUCAAAAUCUAAACAUCACAUUUUCACACGAAAAAACAUCUCAAGUUUAGGACUUCCUACUACAAUUUUUGCAACACUUCAUUAAGAUGCAAUAUAUUCAAUACAAGUUUAUCAAAGAUCUUGAAAUAAUUUCAUAUAUAUACAUAUAUAAUCUUUAAAACUAAUUUGAAAACGGUAAAUCCAUGCCCAUGAGGUUUAGGAUAGUCCCAUGUACCUUAGAUUACUUAGUUCGAAGAAUGAAACCCGAAUCUUGACUCGUUUCUUGGAAAUCUUAAAUUUAAAGAUUGGAUUGUUGAUCUUUGGGAGAAAAGUUUAGGAUUUUGUUUUGAGAGGAUUUUGAGUAAUUUUUUGGGUAUAUUAUACCCUAAUAACGUCUUAAUAAGCAGCAAACACGAUUUGGGGUUAGGGAAAAAAAAAAAAUUCUAAAUUGCCCUUCGAAAUUAAAAUUUUCAGCAAAAUUUUACUUUUGGAGCUCACCGCGAUGCGGUGUAAUCGCGGUGGCUUACUGGUCCUAACGAAAAUGAUCAUGACUUUUCGCCCGGGUAUCGGAUUAAGGUGAAAUUGGUAUCGUUUAUUCAAUUAUCUACAAUUUGGUGGAUCUUGAGAUGAAAAAUUCCAAAUACAUCAAAAGUUAUACACGUUCAAAGUUGACCCUUGUGGAAUCAAAUAUCAAACUUUGGACGAUUCAAAGGCUCUUAGUUCAACUUUGGUCUAAGUGUUUUCUAUGAACAUUUUUCACCUCAUAAUCACUUAACAUACUAGGAUAAAGAUCAUGACACAUGAAUUUAAAUAUGAGUCAUGAGAUUAAAAUUUACACAUGUAGAAACGACGGUCCAAUUUCUAGCUCGAAAACGUAGGAUUUUACAUGAAUCAAGUUAGUGUUUUUGAUUUUCUUGUUCGUUGUUGUACUAUGAUUGUAUCUAUGUUGAAUUUGUGUAUGACUUUGUUGUACUAUGAUUGUGUCUAUGUUGAAGUUGUAUAUGUUUAAAAAGGGUUGUUGAAAUUGUGGAGUUUGUUCAUUGGCAGUAAAAAUAGUCAUUGUUUUGUGUAUGACAUUGAUGCAUGGUUAAAAGGAGUGGUGGAAAUUGUGGAAUUUGUGCAUUCUGGCAGUAAAAAUGUAAUCUUUUUGGGGUAUGGAAGGUUGCUGGACUCAUGCAUGUGAAAUUUCUUCUUAAUUUUGUGUUUUUGGUAGACCUUUUGAGUAAUAGAGGAAAAUGAAACCAUCUCUUUAUUAAUUAAAAAAAUCAUAAAACAAAGAAACAGAUUGAGCCUACACAUCCUUCGUUACAAUGGUAAUUCCUUAGCCAUAGUGAUAAUGGGUUGCAUAUGAUAAGGGAAUAGGCUGAGGUUACAUAUCUCAUUCAUAUUUCUUUGUUUAUAAUUCUUACUAUAAAAAUCUCAAACGGUGAUAAAACUUUAAACAUGUUUCUCACCCAAGAAAUAACUAUUACGGUGAAUUAAGUAAUUAAACUUUUAUUUUCAAUUUCAAUGAAAUCACAAAAUGACAAAAAUUGCUUAAAGAUUUCAGGUGUUAUUAGUAGGUUAUCUUUGAAAAUUAUGUUCAUCACUACAUGAUAAUAUUAAUAUUUAAGAAUAACAAGAAAAUAAAUAAAAUUAGGACAAAUAAUAUCGCCUUCACAAGAUCGAGUAAUAGUUAUUGAAAAGAUAUUGGACUUCACAGGUCCACGGCAUUAAUAAUUUAUUUCCCAUCUCAACACCAAACAACACGGCUUAAGAUGACUCUUGAUACCACAUGUUGAAUGUCAACACAUACACAGAGUCAAUGCGCAAUGAAAAAAUAAAUAGAAACGUACCUUCAAUCAUUAUUGUUCAAGUGUUGUGAAGAACCACCUUUGUCAAAAACUUUAACAAGAAAAGAGGAAAAGAAGAGACUUAAGAAUCUUCUUGCCUAUGUCUAUCAAAGGUAUGCCAGUCUGAUGGAGUCAAAAACGUAUUUAAAGGUAGGAUAAGGACUCUUAGGCAAAUAACUUUAACCCUUGGAACUUUCAUAGUCGUUUCUUGACAUCAAUGAAAUACCAUAUAUGAUAACUUAGAGAAAAAGUAAUUGACUGAUUUAUUACUUUACUUGGGAAAUAAGGUAAAUUUCUUACCAAAAAUAUGUGGGUCAUUAAUACGUAAUAUUAUACGUAAUAUUCUUACAUAAACUAUAUGUUACUUCCGGUCUGCAUGAGUAUCAACUGUGUACGACCCAAAAAGAAUUUAAAAAAGAGAGGAUGAUUUGGUACUCGAUCGUCAUUAAUCAUCACAAUAAUACAUGAGGGGUCAACUUUAAAAAACUAUACAAAUACAAAUACAAUUUGAUUUUGGACUUAAUAUACUAUUAGGAAAAUGCUCAGUUUCCACCCUGAACUAUACACGAAAUUGCUGAGAUACACCCAAACUUUAGGAGGGUCCUAUUAUCCCCUGGACUAAUUAAAACCGUAUUUUUGGCAAUCUUAGUGCCUACAUGGCAUGUACGUGGCACAUAAAUGAAUCAAUACAUUGAAGGUCCACGUAGGCACAGUGUGUUGACCUUCAAUGUGUUGAUUCAUUUAUGUGCCAUGUAUAUGCCAUGUAGGCACUAAGGUUACCGAAAAUACGAUUUUAACUAGUCUAGGGGGUAAUAGGAUCCUCCUAAAGUUCGGGUGUGUCUCAACAAUUUCGUGUAUAGUUCAGGGUGGAAACUGAGCAUUUUCUCUAUACUAUUUAAUAUGUGAAGGCUUUGUAGAUGAUCAAGGUUAUCCUUGUAAUUUCAUUUCACAUUUUUAUAUCCUUACGUGUUACUCUUUCAGGUGUCCACCUAAUUGUCAUUGCCCUUUUCAUCCCCUUCUUCCUCACUUUGACAUUUACCAUUUUCUUCAGUUCUUUUUAGCUUCAAAUCUCCCCUUUACAACAAUGAUUUUUAUACUUUUCACUAUGCUUGAAAAUCCUUUUCUUAAUAAUUCAUUUAGGUUAUUCUAACGACGAUUUGGUGGAUUAUCUUUCCUAUUGUUGCUUAAACUGUUUUUGUUGGGUUCAAUAUGUAUGAAAAAGGUGUGACUGGAAAAUGGAGGGACACAACCUUUGAGGAAAAAACAUAUUAUUUUGGAAAAGGAGUGGCUAUUCAAAUAGUUAUGUUUGUUCAGAAAAAGACACAAUGUUUUGAGACAUGACUCUUCCAAAGGAUACACCUUUUCAGAUGAACCAUUGCCACCUUUGGGAAGGAGCACUUGAUGGCUAUAUAAACCUGCAUUUAUCCACAGGUUUAUGAAUGGAAAAUUUUCUGAAAUAAAAACUCUUCUUGUCUUCAAAACAUUCUUUGUGAUCAAUCAAAUCAUUGAGUGAGUUCGAUGAAUCCAAUUAUUUGAGGUGCCACUAUAGUUGGAUUGAAAGUCAUUUUAUCUUGGGAGGAAGAUUCCAAAACCUCGGGUACAGUGAGGGAAAUUAUUCCUUAAGGACACUCCGUGAAGUCGGGGGACUUGGCUUUAUAUUUCUGUUUCAUCUUAAUUUCUAAAAAAAUAAAAUACACUUCUUAGAAAGAUCACUUUGAUCUUGUGUUGAGGGUGUUUUUGUACUUCAUAGUGUUCUUGUUUUAAACUUGAACUAGUGUUGAAGUUGUUGUGCCUAAAUACAGAUUUUUGUACCUGAAAACACCAUAAAAUAACAAUCUUAAGGAAUAAUCUUCUGCAGAAUCUGUAUUGCUUGUUUUUGGAGAUUAAAGCUUUAAGCUUUCUACUCCGUUUGAACUUAACUAGUGAUUCGAAGACAUAAAAGUCUUCAUCAAAAGUUAAAGAUCAUUUAGUUGAUGAUUGGAAGUCAUAAAAACUUCAUCGUUAACUAGAAAUAAGAAGAAGAGUUUAAAGUUGCUUAAAUUUAUAAAUACUAUUCUGAAAAUACUAAAUUUAAUUGUCUUGUGGUGAUAGGAAAAUUGACUAACGAACGUCAAAUACAAGAUGAGGCUAUGACUGUGGGGGCAACUAGUAUUGCCUAAACAGGUCGAGCAAAUGCUACGCAACCAAUGGCACCUGCAGAGAAGCCCAAAAAAUUUAUGGGCAGCAAAAGAUGUUCUUUUACCUCACCACUCUAUGCCUUCAAAGGUUCACUAGUGAGGAUGCUCCUGAGGUGCCUGAGGGAACCUCGGACAAAGAGCAUUUCAUGAUUGUAGAGGCUUGGAAGCACUCAGACUUCCUUUGCAGGAAUUAUAUCUUGAGUGAUCUCCAAGACGACCUCUACAAUAUUUACAGUGGAACUAAGACAUCGAAGGAAUUGUGGGGGGCACUAGACAAAAAAUAUAAGACAGAGGAUGUGGGAAUUAAGAAAUUCUUUGUUGUAAGGUUUCUAGACUUUAAAAUGAUAGAUAGCAAAUCGGUUGUCUCUUAAGUUCAGGAAUUGCAAGUAAUCAUCCAUGAUCUCUUAGCGGAAGGUAUAUCUUUGAAAAAUACCUUAGUUGAACAAAUUGAAAAUGUUCUUAGUACUCACAUAAACUGUUUUAUAGGUUUGAUUUUGAAUGAUACAUUUCAAGUAGCAGCGAUCAUUGAGAAGCUACCACUUAUGGAAAGACUUCAAAAACUACUUGAAGCAUAAACGCAAGGAGAUGACUGUCGAAGAUCUUAUUUUUCGAUUGCAUAUUGAAGAGGAUAAUAAGGCUACCGAGAGAAGGUCAAAAGAGAAUUCUACAAUUAAUGGAGCACAUAUUUUAGAAGAUGACCAAAAUAUUUCUAAGAAAAGGAAGAAAGUUGAACAAUAAAGCAAUCAACCCAAGAAGAAAUUCAAGGGAAAGUACUUCAACUGUGGGAAAAUUGGCCAUAAGUCCACGGAUUGUCAUGCUCCUAAGAAAGGCAAGAAAAAGAACCAAGCUAAUAUGGUUGAGUCCAACAAAGAAUGUUAUGAUCUAUGUGCUAUGUUCUCAGAAUGCAACUUGGUGGGAAAUCCUCACGAAUGGUGGAUAGAUUCUGGUGCCACCCGCCAUGCGUGUGCCAACAAAGAGUUCUUUUCGUCAUUCGCUCUGGCUCAAGUAGAAAAAAUGAUCUGCAUGGAUAACUUUGCUACGGUUAAGGUAGAAGAAACAAGAAAAGUGGGCUUGAAAAUGACUUCAGGAAAGGUAUUGACACUUAACAAUGUCUUGUACAUUCCAUAGUUACAUAGGAACUUGACUUCUAUUUCACUUCUAGACAAGAACGAAGUCAAAUGUGUAACUGUUUCUGGAAAAAUUGUAAGUAGCAAAGGAGAAGUGUAUGUAGGAAAAGGCUAUCUCACCGAGGGCCUUUAUAAGAUGAAUGUAAUGAAAGUUGAAAUCAAUAAAAGUUCAAAUUCUUCUUACUUGCUUGAGUAUUAUAAUUUGUGGAAUGAAAGUUUAGGCCAUGUUAAUUACAAAACGUUACGAAAACUGAUUAACUUAGAUGUUUUUCCAAACUUUGAGUGCAAUAAAUCAAAGUGUCAAACGUGUGUGGAAUCAAAGUAUGCAAAACAUCCUUAUAAGUCUGUUGAAAGGAAUUCCGAUCCUUUAGACUUAGUACACACUGACAUUUGUGAUAUGAAGUCAACACCACGACGUGGUAGAAAAAAGUAUUUCAUAACUUUUAUUGAUGAUUGCACUAGAUAUUGUUAUGUCUACGUAUUAAAUAGUAAGGAUGAAGUAAUAGAUGCAUUUAGGCAAUACAAAACUGAAGUAGAAAAACAGUCAAAGAAAAAGAUAAAAAUGAUAAGAAGUGAUAUGGGUGGAGAAUAUGAAUCUUAUUUCGCUGAAGUAUGUGUAGAGAAUGGAAUUCUCCAUCAAACUACAGCCCCGUAUUCACCUCAAUCUAAUGGAAUUGCGGAAAGGAAAAACCAAACUUUGAAAGAAAUGAUAAAUGUCUUACUUAUAAGUUCCAAUUUACCGCAAAACUUGUGGGGGAGGCUAUCCUUACAGCCAAUCGUAUACUCAAUAGAGUUCCCCAUUAUAAGAUACAAUCAAUUCCUUAUGAGAAAUGGAAAGGAAGGAAACCCAACUUGAAAUAUUUCAAAGUGUGGGAGUGUCUAUCAAAGGUCCAAGUUCCUAUGCCUAAAAAGGUUAAGAUAGGACCUAAGACUGUGGACUGUGUGUUCAUAGGAUAUACUAAAAGCAGUAAAGCAUGUUGAUUUUUGGUUCAUAAAUCCGAACAUCAGAAUAUAAAUGAAAAUACGGUAAUUGAAUCAGAUAAUGCCGAAUUCUUUGAAAAUAUUUAUCCGUAUAAAACUAGACAUGAACAGUCUAGUGGAGGAUCUAAACGACCUCGAGAUAAACCAAGUGAGAAUGUACAUAAUGAAGAGAAUCCAAGACAUAGUACAGUCAAAGAACUUCUACUAACUUUGGAUUAGAUUUUGUAACAUUUCUCUUAGAAAAUGAGCCUCAAAUAUUUAAAGUAGUGAUGUCGUCUUCAGACUCAUCCUUUUGGAAAGAGGCAGUUAAUAGUGAGAUUGAUUCAAUCUUAAGCAACCAUACGUGAGAAUUGGUUGAUCUUCCUCCAGAAAAUAAACCUUUAGGUUCUAAAUGGAUCUUCAAAAGAAAAAUGAAAGCGGAUGGUACUAUUGACAAAUACAACGCAAGACUUGUAUUAAAUGGCUUAAAAAAAGGCCUUGAUUACUUUGAUACAUACUCUCCAGUAACAAGGAUAACAUUGAUUCGAAUGUUAAUUGCCUUGGCGGCAGUAUAUGGUUUUGAAAUCUAUCAAAUGGAUGUGAAAACCGCAUUCCUAAAUGAAGAAUUGGAGGAAGAAAUUUACAUGGAACAACCUGAGGGCUUUGUGGUUCUAGGAAAGGAGAAUAAGGUGUGUAAACUUAUUAAGUCAUUGUAUGGACUAAAGCAAACACCUAAACAAUAACAUGCGAAGUUUGACCAACCCAUAUUGGCAAAUGGGUUCAAGAUAAAUGAAUAUGAUAAAUGUGUUUACAUUAAAGACACUCCAAAUCACCAAGUCAUUAUUUGUUUAUAUGUGGAUGAUAUGUUGAUCAUCGGUAGAGAUAUUUCUGACAUAAAUGCAACGAAAUGAAUGCUCGAGAGCAAGUUUGAUAUGAAAGACCUUGGAGUUGCAGAUGUGAUCUUAGGUAUAAGAAUCCAUAGAAUUCUACAAGGGUUGACAUUGUCACAGUCUCAUUAUAUCGAAAAUGUACUUGACAAAUUCAAGUAUAUGGAAUUCAGUAUUGCCAAGACUCCUUUGGAUGUAAUCCUUGUACUUUAAAAGAAUGAAGGUGAAAGUGACUCAUAAUUAGAGUACGCAAGAGUAUUAGGAUGUUUAAUGUAUAUAAUGAAAUGUACACGACCAGACAUAGCAUGCACAAUCAGUAAGUUGAGUCGGUACACGAGUAAUCCCAACAAAACUCAUUGGAUGACAAUGAAAAGAGUUUCGGGUAUCUUAAAUACACUCAAGACUAUGCUUUGCAUUAUAAUAAAUAUCCCGUGGUACUUGAAAGAUAUAGUGCUCCAAAUUGGAUCACUGGGUCAAAUGAAGUAAAAUCCACAAGUGGAUAUGUAUUUACUAUCGGUGGAGGAGCAGUCUCUUGGAAAUCAUCCAAACAGCCUUGUAUUGCUCUCUCUACAAUGGAAUCUGAAUUUAUCGCAUUGGAUAAAGUUGGUGAAGAAUCAGAAUGACUCCGAAAUUUCUUGGAAGAUAUUCCUUAUUGGCCCAAAAUAGUGGCACCAGUAUGUAUACACUGUGAUAGCCAAACAACAAUAGGUAGGGCAGGGAGCAUGAUGUACAACGGUAAAUCUCGUCACAUAUGACGGAGACAAAAUACCGUUAGGGAACUUCUAUCUAGUGGAAUUAUCACUGUUGACUAUGUAAAGUCAAAGGAUAAUGUGUCAGAUCCACUUACAAAAGGCCUAUCUAGAGAAGGAGUGGAAAGGACAUCCAAGAGAAUGGGUUUAAGGCCCACGACAAGUCAACAUGGCGGUAACUCUACCUAGCAGACUGGAGAUCCCAAGAGCUAGGUUCAAGGAGAUCAAACAAAGUUGUGUCUGACAGGUUCAACAUUGUCAAAAUACCAACCCAUUCUCAUGAUGUAGACAAUUUUUAGUAAACAAGGAUAAAACUUAAGGUGAGAAAUCUUUUAAUGAUUAUCUAAAUUUGGCAGAUUUGACCAAAUAGUUUAAUCUAUGGGAUUGAAAGUUUAGAAAUCACCUAUGUGAGGGCGAAGUGGAGGCCGUUUCAAGGAGAACGUUAGCAAAGGCUUAUUCUCUAAGCUCUCAUGAAUUCGGGACGUGUUCAUGGCUUAAAAGAACAAAACCGUGAGAACUAUAAACGGUAAAAGGCUAGUUAUGUGACAUGUGUUGUUUAGGUGUACAUUAAAGCUCGAUGGUUCAAAGAUAUCAAAUCUAUCGAUUGACCGAGUGCAUCCGAUGCAUGUUCACUACGGAAAGUUCAUAGGGAAACCCACUUAUCCAGAUGCAAUCAGUCUUUGCUUGAUGAUCACAUACUUUUCCAUAAAAUUUUACGAAAAAAUAGCCAUUCCCCAUUCAUGUGGGGGAUUGUUGGGUUCAAUAUGUAUGAAAAAGGUGUGAAUGAAAAACGGAGGGACACAACCUUUGAGGAAAAGACAUAUUAUUUUGAAAAAAAAGUGACUAUUCAGAUAGUUAUGUCUGUUCAGAAAAAGACAUAAUGUUUCGAAUGAAUAGACAUGACUCUUUCAAAGGAUACACCUUUUCAGAUGAACCAUUGCCAUCUUUGGGAAGGGGCACUUGAUGACUAUAUAAACCUGCAUUUAUCCACAGGUAUAUGAAUGAAAAAUUUUCUGAAAUAAAAACUCUUCUUGUCUUCAGACAUUCUUUGUGAUCAAUCAAAUUGUUGAGUGAGUUCGACGAAUCCAAUUAUUUGAGGUACCACUAUAGUUGGAUUGAAAUUUUAUCCUGCAAGGAAGAUUUCAAAACCUCGGAUACAGUGAGGGGAAUUAUUCCUUAAGAACACUCCGUGAAGUCGAGGGACUUGGCUUUAUAUUUCUGUUUCAUCUUAAUUUCUGAAAAAUUAAAAUACACUUCUUAGAAAGAUAACUUUGAUCUUGUGUUGAGGGUGUUUUUGUACUUCAUAGUGUUCUUGUUUUAAACUUGAACUAGUGUUGAAGUUGUUGUGCCUAAAUAUAGAUUCCUGUACCCGAAAACACCAUAAAAUAACAGUUUUUACGUUUGUGGUGAGUUUUUGGAGUACGGAAGGUUGCUAGACUCAUCUAUGUGAAAUUUCUGCUUAAUUUUGUGUUUUUGAUAGCCCUUUUGAGUAAUAGAGGAGAAAGAAAUCAUCUCUUUAAUAAUUGAAUGGUACACACAUACACACUAAAUUUCAGUCUCUGCAUUCUUAUACUACAACAAUUGGUUGAUGAAUCAGGUUAGUGUUCUUGUGUUUUCUUUUUUAGUUCCAUUUUGUGUUCCUUUUUUGUACUAUUAUUGUGCAAAUUGUGAUAUCUGUGUAUAGUUAGAAGGGGUUGUGCAAAUUGUGAAAUUUGACAGUAAAAAUGUAAUCUUUUUUCGUUGUGUUGCAAGUUGUCGGACUCAAAAGGGCACUUGCAUGUUAAAUAUCUGCUCAAUUUGUUUUUUUUUCAUAUCCCUAUUACUUCUGCUCAGUUUUUUGUUUUUUUGAUACCCUUUAAAGUAAAGGAGCCAUCUUUUUAUAGAAAAAGUCAUGGUUUUCAUUUUAAACUAUACACGAAAAGUCUAGAUCAUACUCAAACUAUCAUAGUGAUCUAUUACACACCUAUACUAUAUAAAAGAGAAACUAUUUCCACCUUAGAACGUGACGUGAUAGAGAAGGUGUAUUCACCUUCCUAAGGUGCAUGAGAGGAAGGAAAAAAAUCUUAAAAUGAUGUGUCACUAUUUCAUUUGUUAUUAUAUCAUUAAAUACUCCUAAUAUUCUUCUUAACAUAUACAAGUAGAUUAAUUAUUUUUUCAAUUGAAAAAAUAUUAAUAAAAUUAUUUUUUCUUAUUUAUUCAUUUUUAAUGUGUGGAUCCCUCCUUCAAUGGCUUCUUCUUCACCAAAAUCACCAUUAAAACACUACCAUUGACAUCAUCACAUCAAACUCAAAUCUUCACCACAUUAAUUUUAAGAAUCCACCAUAGAUUUCAUUAUCGAAAUCACAAUACAACCAUUAGUAUCACAAAAAUCACAAACAACCACCAUAAAAUUCAAUAUCCACUUCUAAAAUUGUCAUCAGAAUUACAAUAUAACCAUUGUUAACAUGCAAAGUUACAAAAAUCACCACAAAUUCGCACCUGCACCACUACUAAAUUCUAAUGGCGCCUUACAAUGACAAUGAAACUUCCCCUUUCCCUUCUUGUCUUCCUCUUCCCGCACCUGCCACCAGCAAUAAUGGUGUUAUCAUCGCCUAGUGAAAUUUCACUGCAACUUCUAUACUCAACAUAUGUUUUAUCAUUGUUUAUUUCUCUCUUUGAAUUUCUCUUUUUCCUUCAAUUUAUCAAUGAUGAAAAAGGACAAAGAAAUUUAAAUUAGUUGGGUAGGAAGAUAUUUAAAUUCAUAUUCUACCCGAAUGAAUCGAGUAGGGUGAAAUAUUUAGGUUGGAUCGGGUUAGAAUUGAGUUAAAUUAGUUGGGUCGGGUUAGGUUUAUUUAAGGGUCCAAUAAUUAAAUAGAAAAAUUAAAUUAAAGAUGUGGCAUCACCACAGGGCGAGUGGAGUACACUCCACUCAUUAAACUUGGGCAUGAAUGUCGUGGGGAGGUAAUAGUUUCACUUUUAUAUAGUAUAGGGGUGUAAUAGGUCAUUAUAAUAGUUUGAGUGUGACCUAGACUUUUCGUGUAUAGUUUGAGGUGCCAUCUUUUUAUUAAUUAAUAGCGCCUAUGUAGAAUUUGGCAGUAAAAACAUAGUCUUCAAUUAACUAAAAAAGGUAAUUAAUGAAUUGAAUUUGCAAAUCUUAUGUUAUCAUUUGUUAGAUUAAAGGGGAAAUGUCCAUUAUUUUUGCUAAUAUUUCAUCCUCUGUGGAGGCUUAUAUAUCAGCCUUUCACGAGACCAACUUAUAUUUAAUUCAUAAAUAACUUGACCAAGACAUUUCGCUCUAAAUUAAUAUUGAGACAAAUCAUUUUAAGACAGAAGCAACUCAAUUACUAUGUAGGCUUCCUAAAAUCUAACUAAGAGCAAAUUUUACUUGCAACAUAUUCAGAUUUCUCAAUUUCUAUACAGUAUAUUAUACAUAAAUGGAUUCAGCUUCUCUCCGUUUUUCUUCCAACUAAUUUUUCUAAGUUCUUGCUUGAAUUGAAGACACAUGUCGUAGUUUAAAAUUAAUGAUUGAUAUUUGAUUAGUUAAAUCAAAAUUCUAAUCAUAGUUAUCAACUUCCAUAUUUUUGGCCAAAGUCAUCGAUAGACACUCAAACUUGUUUCGGAAAUUCACUUAGAUCCCUCAACUAUGACCUGUACCUAUCAGGCCCCUAAACCCCCCGAAUUUUGAUCCAAUUGAGCUUUUUUUUGCCUACAUGGCACUGCGCGUAUUUUUCACUCACUAGGGAUGCUUGAAGCACGAUUUUUGACUAAAUAACAAAUAAAAACGUGCCAAGUGGCACUGAGAGCCCCAAAAAAAUUAAUAAAACAAUUUCUUUUAAAAUAAUCUUUUUCUCUUCCUCUUUCUUUUUCAUUUUCUUUUUAAAUAAUGUUUUCUCUCUCCUCUUCAUAAUUUUUUUUCUUACAGCUCUUUCUUUGCCAUUUCUUAAGCUCUUUCUUUCUCUUCCAUUUCUUAUUCUUUCUUUCUCAUUUUUCUUUUAAAUAAAUUUUUCUUUUUCUCCUCUUCAUAGAUUACAAUUAUCUCCGUCACUACUCCACAUCAAAUAGUUACGAUCUAACUUCUCGUGAUAAGUUUCAUCGAAAUUAAAAAUUUUUAUUUUGGGUAUUGAACUUAUGAUGAAAUAAGUGUGAUAAAUUAAAUAAGAUUUGUUGAAAAAAUAUCUUUGAAACUGAAAAUUUGAUGAAAUUAGUCCAAAUAUAUCGAAAUUUGGGAUUUUUUUGACGAAAUUGGUGUGGGAAUUUGGGGAAUUGAAGUCUUGAGUUGUUUCUGUUGAAAUGUUGGAAAUUUGGAGGUGAAAUUUAGUGAAAAGAUUCAAACUUUAGGAAAAUAUAAAGUGAAUUUUUGAUAAGUUUUGAUGUAUUUUUGAUUGAAUUGGCAUUAUGAUACUCGUGUUGUGAGGAGAAGUUUUUGGCAAUUUUGAGCUGAUUUUUGUUUAAGUGUGUCAAGAUUUGGAGGUGAAUUUGAUGCCUUUUUUUGUUAGAUUGGUAUUACCAGAUUCAUGUAGUCAGAUGUUUCUGAUGUUUUUGAGCUGAUUUAGUUGAAGUUUAGGUGAAUUUGGUGUAUUUUUUGUUAUAUUGGCAUUACGAGAUUAAGGGAGUCUUUGUUAUUUAGACCAUUGAAGUCUAUUUUUUAAUUAAAUAGACCCUAAGUUUUUUUUUAUUUGGGGAUAUGACCCUUUUUGUGAUUUUUUUUUUAUGAUUUAAUUUUUUUUAUAAGUUUUAAUAACUACAAACUAGUCCACAAAGGACAAGUCAGCAGUAGAAAAAAAGGGGAAAGUCCCACCAAAAAUUCUUUCGCCGGGAAUUUCUUAGUCGGAGUUCCUCCUCUCUUUCUUCUUCCACUCUCAAUCCAUUCUGAAUACACAUAAUGUGAAGGGAGUCAUUGAGAUACUAAAGCUCUUCUUAUUUUGGUGAAUUCAAUAAGUUUUUAAAAGUUUUGAAGAAGGUUUGAAGGAGAAAAAAAGCGAGAAAAGCUACGAUCAAGUUAAAUCAAAUUAAGGUUUGUUUCGAAGUAGCAUUAACUUGGGAUUGUGUUCUAACAUUCUAUCAAGACCUCAAAUUGAAGGUACACUGACAAUUUCUCUAUUUUUAUAGAGUUCUAUACAAAUGAAGUUGGUUUGCUAUAGACAGAUCAGUAAUCAGUCCGACAGAUAUUAUAUCAGUCUAUAGCAGAACAAUUGUAGUAAUUAGUUCGACAGAUUAAUCAUUUGUCGUUUUUAUUUUUUUAUAUUUACAAUAAUGUUUCAUUUUACUAAUUUUAAAUUAUAUAUUGUAGGUAAAAAACCAUGAAAAAAGUUGUCUUACUUGUUGAUUAUUUUGGAAAGUGGGUGGAUGAUAAGAUAUCUUGGAGAUGGAAUUCUCAGAAUGACACGGUUAGAACAAUGCUUGUGAGUGGUGAUGUUACAUUUGAUAAUUUUAUGGAAUCUAUCAUCAGAAGAGGUGAACUGAGCUGCGGACAUGACCGUAUUUGUGUCAAGUAUAUGACUAAUGCAGGAGCUUUUUCGAGGGACAAAGCACCACCUGUUGAGAUAAUGAAUGAUGAAGAUGCUCAAAUUUAUUUGAAUAAUAUAAAUGGUGAAGGUGGUAGGACAAUUUUAAGAGUUUCCUCAAUAGAAAAAUCUUUGGAAAGUGGUUGUGGUUUGAGCAACCACCAAUCUGAGGAUGUUCUCUCGAGCCGAGUUGAGAAAGAGGUUCCACGUGAUAAUGAGGAUGUUCUCCCUUGCCAAGUUGAGAAUGACAUUUCACUCGAUAAUGAGAAUGUUCUCCCUUGUCAAGUUGAGAGAGAUGGUCUACUUGAUAAUGAGGUUGAUGUUCAAUUGCCUGAACUAUUAAAUGAUGCAACGAUUAGAUCACAUCAUAGCUAUAUUUUCUCUGAUGGUUCAGGUUUUCGUAAAGGAUAUCGAUUUUUGAAUAAAGAAGAUGCAGUGACCAAACUUAAUCUUGUCGCAAUCAGAAAGGGUUUUGAAUUUACCAUAAAAAAAUCUAGCAAAUCAUUGUUAAUUGUUGUCUGUGUCGAGAAAAGCUACAAAUGGAAGGUUCGUAUUGCUAAAUUUCUCAUUUCAGAUGCCUUUCGCAUCACCAGGUAUGCACCUAAUCACUCAUGUAAAUUGAGGUCUGUAUCCGAAAGAUAUAGGCAGACUUCUGCAAAAGUAAUUGGAUAGCUUAUCAAAGAGAGAUUCAGAGAAGGAAAAGGUCCUACACAGAAUGAAAUAAAGAACAUUAUGAGUAAAGAGUUGGGUUGUGAUGUUAGUUAUUGGACAUGUUGGAAGGCCAAACAACUUGCACAAAAUAUGAUAUGGGGAACACCUGAACAGGGCUAAUGCAAAAUUAGAAGCAUAUCGUUACGAGAUUGAAAAAGCAAAUAAAGGUAGAUUUACAGCUUUAGAGGUUCAAGAGGGCAGAUUUUUGUACUUUUUUGUUGCGUAUGGACCGUGCAUAAGAGGAUUUAAGAACAUCAGAAAUUUUCUCGCUGUUGAUGGAACUUUCUUGACGGGUCAAUUUGGUGGUGUAACGCUAAUUGCAAGUGGCCAGGAUAGUGAAAAUCAAAUAUAUCCUGUAGCUUGGGCACUCGUUGACUCCGAGAAUGAACUUUCUCGAACUUGGUUUUUUCACAAAUUAGUCAAUGUUGUGCCAAAUACAUCUGAGUUGUCCAUCACAUUAGAUAGAAAUCCAAGCAUAAAGAAAGCAGUUGCUAUAGUUUACAAUCAAGCUCAUCAUGGAGUAUGUACAAGGCACCUUGGUUAAAAUAUUCGUACAAACUAUCAUGUUGGUUCUUCAGUCCUUAGUUUAUACUAUCUUGCAGUAAAAACAUAUCGAAUCGAAGAAUUCAAUGAGUGUUUAGAAGAAAUUCGACGGAAAGGGUAUGGUAAUGUUGUUGAGUACCUUGAGAACAUUAUUGGUUUCAAGCGAUGGAGUAGAGCUCAUUUUCCUGGACACAGGUAUGAUGUCAUGACCACUAAUAUUGCAGAUUCUGUUAAUGCUAGACUUGUAACAGUCCUAUCAUUGCUUUAUUUAAUGCAAUUCAAAGGUAGUUAUGUAGAUGGUGCGUCGUGGUCUAACAUUGUCCACGAACAACUAUUUAGCUCCAGCAACAAAUGCUUUAGUGAGAGAAACUAGACGUGAAAUAGCAGAUAAAUUAUCUGUACACCAACUUCAUGUGAAUGAGUUUAUUGUUCAAGGGGAUGGUCAAGAUGCAAGAGUUAACAUCAAUGCCAAAACAUGCACUUGUAGGGUGUGGGAUCUUCAGCAAUUGCCUUGUACUCAUGCAUUAGCAGCACUCAGAGCUCAACGAUUAUCAAACUAUGGUGAAAGAGUUUACAAUGUAUGUUCACCAUAUUAUUCAGCAGACUUCCACAAGUUGGCUUAUUCAGAAAUUAUAAAUCCUGUUCAUCCAGAAGAGCAAUGGGACUGGGUCAGAGAAAGUAUAAUUAAUCCACCCCUUGUGAAGCGUAAGAUAGGUCCAAGAAAAAAAAUGGGUUCCAACUGUUGGUGAAGUUGUCAGAAAGCAUAACAAGUGUUCUAUCUGCAAGCAAGUGGGCCACGAAAAGACUACUUGUCCCGAUAAAUGUUCUUGAACUCUAAAUAUGUAACUAGAAGUUCUUUAAUAUAGAAUACUAACUAUUUUGUGGGUGAAUCAAUUGUAUUACUCCUUAUUCACCAAAUUUCAAGUUAGUCAUUUUGUAAAUUCUAUUAUUGAUUUUAACUUGUAGGUUCGACACAUCUCUCAUAACAGACAUAUUAGAAAUCUGUCCGAUAGAUUUUACACUUGUGGGCGAUUAUACUUAAGAAAAUAUGACGUACAUUCACUUUUAUCAAAACUAAAGCAAUUAUAUGAUAUAAUAAAGAGUAUGUUGGACUUAUAAACAAGAACACCAAGAAUUCAUUACCAUAUGCAAAGACGCCACAUCUCUUAUAACAAACAGAAUAGAAAUCUGUCCGACAGAUUAUACACUUGUAGGGGAUGGUACAAAUGAAAAUUUGACGUACAUUCACUUAUACCAAAACUAAAGCAAUUAUAUGAUAUACUAAAGAAUAUCAUGGACUUGUAAACAAGAAUACCAAAAAUUCAUUACCAUAUGUAAAGACGCCAUAUUGCUCAUGAUAGACAAAUUAGAAAUUUGUCCGACAGAUUAUACACUUGUGGACGAUUAGAUGAAAGAAAAUAUGAGGUACAUUCACUUUUACCAAAACUAAAGCAAUUAUAUGAUAUAAUAAAGAAUAUCAUGGACUUAUAAACAAGAGCACCAAGUAUUCAUUACCAUAUGCAAAUACGCCACAUAUCUCAUAACAGAUAGAUUAGAAAUCUGUCCGACAGAUUAUACACUUGUGGGCGAUUAUACAUAAGAAAAUAUGACGUACAUUCACUUUUACCAAAACUAAAGCAAUUAUAUGAUAUAAUAAAGAGUAUCUUGGACUUAUAAAUAAGAAUACCGAAAAUUCAUUACCAUAUGCAAAGACGCCACAUCUCUCAUAACAGACAGAUUAGAAAUCUGUCUGACAGAUUAUACACUUGUGGGCGAUAGUACAAACAAAAAUUUGAUGUACAUUUUUACCAAAACUAAAAUAAUUAUAUGAUUUACGAAAGAGUAUCUAGGACUUAUAAACAAGAGCACCAAUAAUUCAUUACCAUAUGCAAAUACGCCACAUAUCUCAUAGCGGACAGAUUACAAAUCUAUCCGACAGAUUAUACAAACGGAAAUAUGAAGUACAUUCACUUUUAGCAAAAAUAAAGCAAUUAUAUGAUAUACUAAAGAGUAUCUUAGACUAAUAAAAAAGAACACCAACAAUUCAUUACCAUAUGCAAAGACGCCACAUCUCUCAUAACAGACAAAUUAAAAAUUUGUCUGACAGAUUAUAUACUUAUGGGCGAUUAUACAAAGUAAUAAUGAGGUACAUUUACUUUUAUCAAAACCAAAGCAAUUAUAUGAUAUAAUAAAGAGUAUCUUGGACUUAUCAGCAAGAACACCAAAAAUUCAUUACCAUAUGCAAAGAUGCCACAUCUCUCUGUGCCACAUCCCUCCUAACAGACAGAUUACAAAUCUAUCCGACAGAUUGUUAACUAAUUAGACCAACCCAUAGUUUGUCUGACAAAUACAAAAAAUAUUUUAACAAAAUUACAAACUAUCAGCAUCAAUCUUUCUUUUAAAUGUAUAAGUCUUCACAUUUUUUGGAGCCUCCAUUACUUUCUUUUUUCCAACCUCUGUUUCUUAAGGAAAACUGUAUUUCGGGUUAGUUUUUCUAGCUCGUUUCGCUCUUGUAGUGCCUUCUUUCAAUUAACCAAAUAUUUUUUUUGACUCAAAAGUGGUAGGAACUAGAGUAGGAUGCACCAUAACCUACUAGAAAAUAAAUUGUUGAAUAUAAUUAAAAUAAUAAAAACUUUUAAAAUGAAAUAUUGCACCACACCCAAAGAACUUAACUAUUUACCUCUUUGUUUUGUAUUGUUAAUAGCACAGUUUGAUAAUCAAGGGGUGUCUUCUUUUGACCAUACCAUCGAAUCAAUCUUGGAAAUAAUGAACAGGGAGAUUUUGUUAAUGGUUGUCCAAAAGCUUCUCCUAAUAUAGGAAUCGCUUCAAAAGCUCACACCUAUAUUGAAAAUUAAAAGUUAAAAAUUUCAUAUUGAUACGUAAUUCAAUAUUUAUCUCAUUAUAAAUAAUUUAAACUUACCAUAAAAGCCCAGAGAAAUUCUUGCAAGCCAUAACCUUUAGAUUUAGAUUUAUUUUUCUUCCAUUGUGCAGAUUUUUUUCUUCAAGUUUACAUUUAAGAGAGACUCAAUUGUCAUCUCAAAAGAACGUCUACCCCAAGGAUAUGCAUUAAAGCAAUCCCAAUUUGUCACCAUUUGCAUCGUCUCAAUAUCAACAAUUCGCUUUGGAUCACCAGCACAUAAAAAAGAGUGAACAAACCACACCAUAGCGAUCUUCAACUUUGUUUGAGUGUCCAAUUUAGUACUUUCUAACUUUUUCUUCAAAUCAUUUCCAAUUAGAUUGCUAUCUUUAUUCAUCACUACACCUAAAAAAUCUUUUUCCUUCUUUCCCUCGUAUAAAGCCUUCUCAGUGAGAUAUUUUUCACAAUUCAGUCCGGUAAUCACAACGAACUCCUUCAUACCAAAUCAAAUUGGCUUCCCUUCAAUUAUGAAUCAUACCUCUUUUUUCUUUGAUCUUGAAACACGACGUUGUAGAAGAUAAUGUACGAACUGACCACAAAAUUUUUUUUGCCAAUUGUCCAAUUUCACCUUUAAUAAGCAACAAAAAUCACUAUCCAUAAAUCGAUCGUACACUUUUGCCUUCACCAAUUGCUUCUAUAUAUUUUCAACAACAUCCCACCUUGAUAAAAUGGACACAAGUGCCUAAAAGUGAUCUUCGUCAUCUAACUCCUUACUCAAAUAAUAUUGGGAGAAGUUUAUCGAGGUUUCACGUUCAGGUUUCGCUAAUGUAUCAUUCUUCCCAGUAGUCUCAUUUUCGUCGCUCGAUGCCUCCAAAUACUGAUCCGCUUCACCAGAUAGAUCAUAUUCCUAAAGAUAAUAAUGUAAACAAAGUUCAUAUCAUAUUAACGAAAAAAGGAAACUCAAAAUUAUUAUCUAUGAUCUUUUUUAAGUUGUGAGAUUACUCUUCAAUGUCACAAUUGUCUCUCCCUUCAAUAUUUAAGUUGCAAAGUUUAAAAAUAAAUAAGGUUUACCUGAUUUUCCUCGAGCUUGUAAUCAACAUUUUUUGCAUUAACUUUUCUCGUGAGUUCUUGACAAAGAACAAAUAAAAUCUAUUCAGAAAAAAGUACAACACUGAAUUAAUACAAGAUGAAUGAGUAUUACUUUAAAAAAAGAACAUUCACGAAAUAAUGCAUUUUUAAUAAAAAAUUUGAGAAAAGGGACAGAAGGAACCUGAAACGUGGGAUGUCUGAUGAGGGAAAAAAUCGUCUCUGUAGUACAAUAUUAGAAGAUGACGACAAUUUGAAGUUAGGAUAGAAGAGGGAGAAAGUUAGGAUUUUAUUUACCUUUAUCUAUAAAUAGGUCCCAUACUUUUUAAUAUAUUACUAUGGUCCACUUUUUAUUUAAAUUAUUUCUUUUUUGAAAUUUUUAAAUGAUAAAAAGACUGGGAGUCAUUUCUCAAAAUGAGAAUUUAAAGUGGUUUAUCAGCCAAAAUUUCUCCCAGAUUAGUGUGGAGAAGGAGGGGGGGUUGAAGACGACGACAACUGGGGGUGGGUGUUUUUUUUUUUAAAUUAAAAAAUUACUAUUCAAUAAAUAAUUAAAUAGAAAAAUGGAUAAAUUAGCAAUUUCAUCAUAUAAUUAUUAUUUUUGCCACGUAUUUUUUUUUUGAAUUGAUUAAUUUUUUCACGUCAUCGCGUGUGUAUUACACACAUUUGAGAUUUUAGCUGAUUGACAAAAAAGGUCCAAUUGGAUCAAAAUUCGGGGGUUUAGGGGCCUGAUAGGUACAUGCCAUAGUUGAUGGGUUUAAGUGAAUUUUCGAAAGAAGUUUGAGUACCUAUCAAUGACUUUGGCCUUUAGUUUUUUAUCCAGCUUGAUAUUUAUAUAUAUUCUAACCAGACGGAUUUAGUAAAGGGAAAAUUUCAGAAAUAGCAACUAUAGAGUCUUAAUUGUAACUUUUACAGCAACGGUUUCAAAAUUACAAAAAAUAGCAAUAUGUAUUUUGUAAUUCAGUAAACUGUUGCUAUUUAAAUACAUAUACAAUCAGAGAUUCCCUUCCUAAUUUAAUGUUAAUCUGUUUGAGUUAAAUAAGGAAAAAAAUUGUUCCUUAAUUUAUGACAUAUUUAAUUUUAUAGAUUCCUUUACCUUAUAAAACUCUUUUUUUACCACAACCAUUAAAUUACAACUACUAUUGAAAUUCAAAAAAUAUUUUUUAUAAUCAGCAACUCAAAGCAAAUUCAAAAUAUAGAUUCAAAUUCAAAGAUGUUUUCCUUCAUGUUAUUUUUUUUGUUGUUCGACUAAAAUUUUGAAGAAAAUAUUUAAAAUACAACGGUCCAAUUACAGGUAUUGAUCAGUUAACUCUAUUCUAUUUGUGGUUUUCAUAAAAUUAAAGUGCGAAAUUACUGAAAAACUUGCAACAAACUGUCGCAGAAUUCAAAAAUUUAAGAUCUUAUACGAAUUUUAUCAGUUCUCAUAAAAAAUGGGUUUAAGCAAUUUUUUUAAUUUUAAAUUUAUUCUGUUAUUUGAAAGUUGAGAUGCAAUUUUUAUAAGUGAAAUUUGAAUUUUAGUUUAGGAUAACUGGUGUUAGACUAAAAAAUUUUUCAUUUGAAUUCGUUUUGCAGUUUUGUAUAUAUGAAUUAGUUGUUGUAUAUAGUACAUAUUUGAGAUUUAAACAAACUUGAUUCUAUUUAUAUUUUUCAUAAAAUAAAAUUACAAAAAUUACUGAAAAAUUUAUCACAAAAUUGCAUAACAGUCGCGGAAUUCAAAAAUCUGAAAUCGUAACUGAAUUUUAUCAUUUCUCAAAAAAAAAUAAGAUUUGAUCGAAAUUAUUUUUUUUAAAAUUCAAAGUUAUCUAUAUUGUUAUGUAAUGUGAAAAUUGAGAUACAAUUAUUAUACGUUAAAUUUUAAUUUUAAUCGAUGAUAACUAGUAUUCGAAUAAAAGAUUUCUUUUCAUUGAAAUUCAUUUAGCAGUUUUGUAUAUACGAAUUAGUUGUUGUAUAUAGUAUGUAUUUGAUAUUUAAUUUUAUUUUUACUAUUUUUUUUGUGUUCUGGAGAUUGACUAUCGGAAGCAUACCUGUUCUUAUUAAACACUCUUGUACAUGGAUAUAUAUAAAGAACAUUAUGAAGAUUACAUAUGUUUCUAGCUAUAUGUAUUUAUAAUAUACAUAUGCAAUAUGUUUAUGUGUUCACUGGCAGUUUCAUAUAUUUUCAGUUGUAUGUAUUUAUAAUAUACAUAUGCAGUACAUUUAUGGGUUCACUGGCAAUUUCAUAUGUUUCCAGCUAUAUGUAUUUAUAAUAUACAUAUGCAGUAUGUUUAUGUGUUUACUGACAGUUUCAUAUGUUUCCAGCUAUAUGUAUUUAUAAUAUACAUAUGCAGUAUUUUAUGUGUAAAAAUCAUGUAUUCUUAUAUGCAUUUUUUUAAUAUGCAGGACAUAUAUUUCAUUUGGCAUAUGGUGAACUAGAAUCUGAAAAUAAUGCAUCUUUGACUUGGUUCUUUGAGAAUCUGAAGGAAGCAUAUGGUGAAAGAAAACAUAUGUACCUAGUUUCCGAUCGUAAUGCAAGCAUCAUAGAAGUUGUUGCUGAUGUGUACGAUAAUGUACCACAUUAUAAAUGUAUGUGGCAUCUAUGGGAUAAUGUGAAAAAAAAUUAGAAAGUCACAUGAUGCAUUGUUCAUGGUAAAUCGGGAAGAGAUAUGUUUGAAAAGAAAAAUAAAAAUUGUUGUAGUUCAUAUGACUUUAAAGUUCACAAUAGGCGUUCAUGUAGGAAAAUAACAAAUGAUAAGUUGGAUGAUGUUUUUAGUCAAAAUACAAUUACUGAAUUUUAUCAUUGAGAAUUAUGUCAUUCUAAAUUUUGAACUUGUUAAUUUGUUAUAGUUCAAACGUUGCAAUUUUUUUACAGAGUUUGAAUAAUUUAAUUUAUAUAUAUAUAUAUAUAUAUAUAUACAUGCACUAAAUAGUUGAAGCAAAUUAGGGAAAUAUAGAGAGAGAGAGAGAGAGAGAGAGAGAGAGAGAUAGACAGAGAGGGAGAGAGAGAGAGAGACGUAUUUAGGAAAAAAAUAUAUUUGCAUUAGACGUAAAUACAAAUACAAACUGAAAUGAACAUAUGCAUUAAUCAUAAAUAUGUAUUUUUCAAAAUUAAGAAUGCACAUUAAGAAAAAUAUAAUUUCAAACUUGUAAAAAAUAAGUAUGUGUUAUUAAAAAUACAUAUGUACAUUGGAAUGAACAUGUGUGUUAUUCAUAAAUACAUAUGACUCAUAAAUUUAUACGGACUUCAGCAUAAGAAUACAAUAACUAUGUAUAGUUCAAAAAUAUAUGUGCAAAUCUAUAAAAAUACAUAUAUGUGUAUAAUCAUAACUGGAAAAUACAUAUGCAUUAGAAAUAAAUACAUAUGCAAAACUGGAUAGAAGAAAAGUUCAUAAAGACAAUUACUAACAUUUACAUAGACUAACCAUGAAAAUAUUGGAGUUUAAAUACAUAUGCAAAAUUGGACAAAUACAUAUGUAUUAUUCAUAGAUCUAUAAGCAUAACUGGAAAAUACAUAUGCAUUACUAAUAAAUACAUAUGCAAAAUUGAAAAAUAAAUAUUCAUAAUGACAUAUGACUAACAGUUGCAUAAACUAAUUUAAAUAUAAGAUAAAAAGAAACAUUAACAUAUCAAUUUUUAACAUUAAAUUAACAUAUCAAACUUAAGAAAUGUUCAACUAAAUUUUUGUCCACCUAAAGUUAACUAUUGUCAAAUACAAUAAAUUUAAAAUAAACAUCAAAUUUCAUACACUUCAGUGUCUUCUGUUAUCCCGAUUUUCUUAGGAGGCCUCAUUUGUGCUUCAUCAUCAUUUUGUGCCUUCUCUUGUUCUUGUCUCGAACCAUAGUCCCACAAAAUUGAAGCAUAUUUUGUGCCAAGAAGAUCUGGGUCAAAAUCAACAUAUGAAACACCUUCACCAAAAGUAAGACACUCAACAUAUGUCACCAUAUAUUAACCAAUUCCCUGCAAAUAUAUUUAUCAAUAGGUAUCGGUUGUAACAUGAAUAUAUAAAUAUAUACAAGUACUUAAAUAUCAGUACUUACAAGCUGCCACUCGAUUGUUGAGGCAAAUCAUCCACAAAAGAAACAUCAAAUAGAUCCAUCUUAUCAUUGAGUUUGUAAUUCGGAUGAUUAUCAAUAUCAAUAUUCUUAUUUUCGUAGAAUUUACAUGCCAUGAGACAUAAAGGUAUAACCUUAGCUAACUUUUCAACUUCAGCUAGGACCACACCACUAUCCUAUAUGAUCUUCAAUGUCGUUGAGAUUAUGACAUUUUAUAUGUGGUGCAAAUUUGGGCAAUACUGUUGCCAUGCAUAUUUGAUCACGCAAUACCUACAUAUCACAAAAAAUACAAUUAUAGGUCGAAAUAGUGUCACAUAUAUAUUACAAAAUACAUCUUAAAAUUACAUUACAACAUAUAUACAUAAAUUUAGCAUAUGUAUUUUAUGAAUACAUCACUGUUCCAAAAUUAAGUUAUCAUAUAUUAAAAUACAUAUCACGUUCAUCAUCUCAUGAAUAACAAAUACAAAUGAACAUAAAAUACAAAUCUUAGCGCUAACAAUACAAAAUACAUAUCUAAUCCGUAACAACUACAUUACAUAUAUUUUUAAAAUACAAAAUACAUAUCUUAAAAGUAACAAAUACAUAUCUUCACAUUAUCAACUAUAAUUUCAUAUCUUAAUAGUAACUCUCACAUAAGCAGAUAGUUUAUCAAAUGUAUAUAUAAAAUACAUAUAUGAACAUACAGUUCAAAAACAACAAAAAUACAAAUACAUAAAAAUUACCUCCUUUAAUUUCUCUUCUUCAUAUUCAUAAUCAGAUGAAACGGGACUAGAUAUUUUACUAGCUUCUUCUUUUUCGACUGACUUUCUCUUUUUCAUCGAUUUUUGAACUUUUAUGGGUUUUAGAGAUGAUGAUUUUGUCAAUGCUUUCAGUUUCAUGAUUUUCGCAAUCUUCUCCGAAUCAUUACGUUGCUUUGAUCUCACCUCUUCUAUGCUAAUACCUUUCUUCGACUGAAUAUUAGUAGAUAUUAAGUUAACAUCUUUAUCUUGUGUUAAAUCAAGACUGAAAGAGGGUAGUUCAUCGAAAACAAAAUUCACCGUUGGAAUACCUCUAAUUGAACUACUACCUUGUCAUGUUCUGCUAUUAUAUCAGAACUCCAAAAAUUUCAACAUAAAAAAAAAACCCAAGCCAAAAACGCAGAAGAAAUUUGAAGAAAAAAAACUAAUAAAACUUGAAUGUAUGAAUUAUAUGAAAAAUAUAACUUUCAAUAACUGUAAAAUUAACUUAUUUUAUUUGAUGGAAAACUUUGUUUAUCACGAUUUUGAGAGAAAAAACCCCAAUAAAAUCAAAACGCGGAAUAAGUUGAAAAAAUAUUGCGACAAUAAAUUAUAUAAAAGAGAUUAUGAAAAAUAUAACAUGCAUUAACUAUAAAAUCUACUUACCUUAACGGAUGGAGACAAUGUUUAUCAAGAAUUUGAGAGAAAAAUACUGUAUUUGAAAAAAAAAAAAGUGAAGGAAACUGAAAUUGGUAAAGUAGCGUGAUAUUGGUAAAGUAGCGUGAAAAAAGGGUAAGAUAAAAUUAUGGGUACAAGUCACGCUCUUUUCAACAAAAGGGCAAAAUAUUGUUACUUUUGUUAUGACUUAUAAUUUUGAUAAAUUAUUGCUAUUAAUUGUAAUUAAUAUCUUAAAAUUGCUAGUUUAUGUAAUUUUUUCUUUAGUAAACAUAUACUAAAUCAUAACUUACCCCGGCCCACUCUAUCUUUCCAUGGAAGAAAACAACAGAAGGAUUGGGAAUUGGGAUAAGGGUGUAGUAUAGUCAAUAUGCAGUAAUAACAUUAGCAAAUAAUUUAGCAGAGAAGAACAAUUAUGUAAAUCUCCCAACCCAAAGCAUUACAUGCCAAGACAUUAUAAUUUGCCCGGAUCCUGUACUCCUGUAUCUCUAUUUUUACACCAUGACCAGCCGAAAACAGGUCCUCUAGAUGCUCCUCGUGAAAAGGCCAAUGAGAAUGAUACAAAUGGUGAUGAUUAUCAAAUUAAGACGUUCAUCACUUCUUUCAUGAUUUAUUUUAAACAUUUUAUAUGUCUUUUAAAUUAUUAAUUAUCCUGACUUAAAUCCCUUUUUAAAUAGUUUUCAAGUAUGUAAAAUAUAAACAAGGCGAAAUCGAAUUAUAAAAUUUAUUAAUUCGUAUAACAAUCUACCUGUCGUGGUUACCCUUCAGGUGGCUAAACCUAGGGGCGGGCAUAUUUUGGUUUAAACUGAAAAAAUCAAAAAAUCAAAUCAAAAUUUAAUUUUGGUUUCGAUUUUUUGGUUUUUUCGGAUUGGAUUCAAUUUGUAAUUUUAACAGCAAAUUCGCAUACGCUGCAGACUGUUUAUGGAUUGUUUCAGUGACUCAAAUAUUUUAUGGACUAUUUUGGUGACUUUGGACUGUUUUAUGGAUUAUUUAUGUAGAAAGUAUGUUGUUUCAUGGACUAUUUUUACGAGUUUUGUGUUGUUUUGUAGACUAUUUAUGCUAGGUUAUAUUAUAUGUAAUGAUUAAUGACGUUAUGUAUUAUGUUAAGCUUAUGAUUAUUUCAUUUUGUUUCAUCCAUGUUGAGUUAUUUAUAAUUAUUUAUAUUUGGGAAUUAAAAACAGGUUUGAAAAAAAUAUUUUUUUCUAAAAAAAUUCAUCAAUUUUAAAUGCUUAGUUAUGAAAAAGAGAAGCAAACUACUUUAAUAUUUCAAAUCGAAAUAAAAAUUCGAAAUAAUCGAACCGAAUUUGUAAAAACCGAACCAAAUCGAAUUUAUUUCGGUUUGGUUAUGGAUGUCAUUUUUGUCAAUCCGAAAAUCGAUAAACCGAACCGAUAUUAAACAAUUAGACCGAAUCGACCGAACGCCCACCCCUAGCUAAAUCUACUUUUCGCAUUCGCUCAUAAACUGUAUAGGAAAUGUAAAUCUCACUAGACAUACCCAAUGUGACAAGCCUGACUGAAAUGCAUUAGCGGGGUGGGGAAAUCGAUCCCUAGCCUCUCCAAUGGAUAGCUAGCUAUAGUCACAAGAUCCAUUAAUAAAAAGUACAUUUUUCUAUUAGUUAUUUUUAUUGCAAUUAAUUUUCAUAAACGUAGAAAAUUUAUAGCGAACAAUGAUUAUAUUUAGUUUUCCACUACGUGAAACACAAUUAUGGCUUGCAUACUUACUUGGAGAAUAAAGAAAUACAGGGAACCUCUUCAAGUUUUAGAGCAAACUUUUCAAUAUAUAUUUAAUGGUACUUGGUAUUUACAAGUUUUUCUGUUAGUACCCCAUUAGACAACUUUUGUGCUGCUUUCUUGGCUUAUCAAAAUAUGUUCACAAAUGCCAGACACUAACUCACAAAUGCCAUUAUACAAGAUCUCUCCAAGGCUUAUUAUGUUUGCCGAAAGUUAUGUAAUGUUAAGUAACUAAAUUAAUGUGAUCAGUUAAUCACUGAUGUGAGGAGAAGACAAUCUAAGCAUGAGAAUAAAGAAAGUAGCUAUGAGAGUUUGAGAGAGAAUUGAAAAAGAUAUUGUUCAUUGAGCAAUAACUGUCUACAGGAUUCCUCUUUAUAUACAUACACAAAUAUUUCAUACUAGCUAAGCCCACUAAUAACUGCUUCUACUAACUAACUAAUCUCAAUUCACCACUAAUGACAACUAUUGCAUAAUUAACAUACACAUUAGUUGACUAUCACUGCUUAGUAAUUACGACACAUCAACACAUUUAUUAAGCUCCUUCACACUCCCCCUCAAACUAAGAGCUAUGAAGAUAUUUUUCGUUCCUAGUUUGGUCAUCAAAUGUGCAUGUAAGGAUCUCCCAAGUUCUUUAGUAAACAAAUCUGCAGGUUGUUCUGUUGAGGGAAGAUGUGCAGUAUUCGAAAUAAUCGAACCGAAUUUGUAAAAACCGAACCAAAUCGAAUUUAUUUCGGUUUGGUUAUGGAUGUCAUUUUUGUCAAUCCGAAAAUCGAUAAACCGAACCGAUAUUAAACAAUUAGACCGAAUCGACCGAACGCCCACCCCUAGCUAAAUCUACUUUUCGCAUUCGCUCAUAAACUGUAUAGGAAAUGUAAAUCUCACUAGACAUACCCAAUGUGACAAGCCUGACUGAAAUGCAUUAGCGGGGUGGGGAAAUCGAUCCCUAGCCUCUCCAAUGGAUAGCUAGCUAUAGUCACAAGAUCCAUUAAUAAAAAGUACAUUUUUCUAUUAGUUAUUUUUAUUGCAAUUAAUUUUCAUAAACGUAGAAAAUUUAUAGCGAACAAUGAUUAUAUUUAGUUUUCCACUACGUGAAACACAAUUAUGGCUUGCAUACUUACUUGGAGAAUAAAGAAAUACAGGGAACCUCUUCAAGUUUUAGAGCAAACUUUUCAAUAUAUAUUUAAUGGUACUUGGUAUUUACAAGUUUUUCUGUUAGUACCCCAUUAGACAACUUUUGUGCUGCUUUCUUGGCUUAUCAAAAUAUGUUCACAAAUGCCAGACACUAACUCACAAAUGCCAUUAUACAAGAUCUCUCCAAGGCUUAUUAUGUUUGCCGAAAGUUAUGUAAUGUUAAGUAACUAAAUUAAUGUGAUCAGUUAAUCACUGAUGUGAGGAGAAGACAAUCUAAGCAUGAGAAUAAAGAAAGUAGCUAUGAGAGUUUGAGAGAGAAUUGAAAAAGAUAUUGUUCAUUGAGCAAUAACUGUCUACAGGAUUCCUCUUUAUAUACAUACACAAAUAUUUCAUACUAGCUAAGCCCACUAAUAACUGCUUCUACUAACUAACUAAUCUCAAUUCACCACUAAUGACAACUAUUGCAUAAUUAACAUACACAUUAGUUGACUAUCACUGCUUAGUAAUUACGACACAUCAACACAUUUAUUAAGCUCCUUCACACUCCCCCUCAAACUAAGAGCUAUGAAGAUAUUUUUCGUUCCUAGUUUGGUCAUCAAAUGUGCAUGUAAGGAUCUCCCAAGUUCUUUAGUAAACAAAUCUGCAGGUUGUUCUGUUGAGGGAAGAUGUGCAGUAACAAUCAACCCUUCCUGAACUUUUUAUCUAGUAAAGUGGCAGUCUAUAUCUAUGUGUUUCGUUCUCUCAUGAAACAUCGGAUUAGCUGUUGUUUGCAAUGCUGAUCUGCUGUCAGAGAAGAGUGAAAUAAGAACUUUAACCUUGAUACCAAGUUCCUCAAAUAAUACUAUCAACCACACUAGUUAAGCUACUAAUGAUGUCAUUGAUUUGCACUCAGCUUCUGCUGAGCUUCUAGAUGCAGUACGUUGUUUUUUUUACUUCCAUGAAAUAGGUGAAACACCAUAUUGCACUAGAUAUCCAGUGACUGAUUUUCUACUAUUAAUGCAGGCUCCCUAAUCUGCAUCACAGUAAACCUUCAAUGCAUCAUCACCUGUUGCUGACAUUAGUAUUCCUAUUCCUGGUGCCUGUUUAACAUAUAUCAUUAGUCGUAUAGUUGCAUCCAUAUAUGACCUUUUUUGGAAAGUGCAUAAACUAGCUCAGACUUUGUACAACAAAUGCAAUAUCUUGUCUUGUAGUUGUAAGGUAAAACAAUUUCCCAAUUAGUUGUUGGUAACUUGUAGGAUCCUUUAAGAGCUGAUCUCUACUAUUUGAUGACACACUGUGGUCAAAUUCAGCAGUGGUGAGUUUAAGAUGUUGCUCUAUGGGUGUAACAACAGGUUUAGCACCUGCAAGCCCCAUGUCGAAAAUCAAUUCUAAUGCAUAUAUUCUCCGGUGCGUCAAGAUGCCAUCCUUGUUUCUAGCAAACUCAAUCCCAAGGAAAUAUCUGAGUUCUCCCAAAUCCUUUAUUUUGAAAGCUGUUUGUAGAAUUUUUUUGUAUGUUGGAUCAUGUCACUAUCACUCCCUGUCAACAGCAAAUCAUUAACAAAACUAACACAAUAGCAAUUUUAUCACCAUCCUUCUUUGUAAAUAAAGAGUAAUCUCUUGUGCUUUGUUGAAAGAAGAUGUCAAAGCUGAAGUCAGCUUAAUAUUUCACUGUCUGGAUGCUUGUUUCAGUCCGUAUAAGGACUUUAAUAGUCUGCACAGCUUUCCAUCUUUCCUAUCUUUCUGAAAUCCUUCUGGAAUAUGCAUGUGUACUUCUUCAAAAAGAUCUCCUUGCAAGAAAGCAUUAUAUACAUCCAUUUGGUAUAAUUUUCAAUUUUUAGCUACAACUACUGAGAUAACUGCUCUAACAGUGUUCAUCUUCACAAAUGGUGAAAAAGUCUCUUGAUAGUCCAAUCCUUCCUUUUGGCUAUAACCCUUUGCUAUAAGUCUUGCUUUGAAUUAUUCAACAUUUCUAUCAGCCUUAUACUUAAUUUGAUACAUCUAUCUAUAACCAAUAACUUUCUUAUCCUUGGGUAGUGUCACAACUUCCCAAGUCUUGUUAUCUUCUAAGGCUUGAAUUUUAAUUUUCAUAGCUUAUACCCAUCUUGCAUCAGUAGCAUCCUCUGCAUAAUUGGUGGGUUCAGUUUCAGCUGAGAACCUUGAGGAAAAUCCUUAAUAUGUGGUUGAUAUACUCGUAUAAUCUAUUUGAUCAGCAAUAGAGAAUAAAAAAUUGUUAGAUCCUUUUCUUACUACAUAAUCUUUGUGCCAACUAGGUGGCUUGGAACCUCUUGUUGAUCUUCUAAGCUCAGAAACACCUGUAGGUUCUGCUGCUAUGAAUGGAUUUAUAUCAAGUAUUGUUGUCUCUAUUAAGGGUGAUUCAUAAAGAUGUUGUGCAUCUAUAAGAUUUUCUGCAGUAGGUACCACAACCUGUGAAUGCUCCUGAGUAAGAUCUGAAGUUGUACUAAGUUCCUCAUAAGAAAAUACUUGUUGAGGAUGCACAGUAUGGGUGUCUUGGUCUUCUAUACUACCUUUGAAUGGAAACAUAGUUUUCAUGAACACCACAUCUCUACUAACAAAAAUUAUUUUAUUCUCCAGGUCAUACAGUUUGUACCUCUUUUGAUGAGCACUGUAACCAACUAAAACAACUCUUACUGCUCUUGGGCUAAAUUUUUCCUUCUUUGUAAGGCUUGUAGCAAAACACAGACAACCUACAACUCUUAAAUGUAUCAAAUAAGGAGUUUUGUCAUAUAAUAUCUCAAAACGGGACUUCCAUUUCAACACAGAAGAAGGAAUUUUAUUCAGAAUAUAUACAGCUUUUUUAAUGCAUAAUCCCCAAAAUCUGUUUGGUAAACUGCCUUAAAACUUAAUAGCUUUUGCUAUCUCAAGUAUAUGUCUAUGAUUCUCAAGUAUAUGUCUAUACCUUCUUUUCACCAUACCAUUUUUUGUGGUGUGUAUGGACAAAAGCUCUUAUGAAUAAUACCAUAUUGUUGGAACAAAUCUGUACAAGCAUGACUAAAAAAUUCAACACCAUUAUCAGACCUUACUCUCUUAAUAAUUUUACCAAAUUGUGUCUUGACUGCAAUGAUAAAAUUUCUCAAUAGAAAAAGAACAUCUAAUUUAAGUCUCAUCAAAUAAAUCUAGGCCCACCUUGAAUGAUCAUCAACAAUAGUGAGAAAAAAUGCCAGUCCAUCAAAAGUUUCCUAUUUAUAUAGCCCCCAAACAUCUAUAUGAAGUAAGUCAAAACAUGAAACAGUUGUGCUCACACUUCGUGGGAAAGGCAGCCUAGUUUGUCUAGCAAGUGGGCAAACUUCACAAUUAUUCAAAGUUAAUGGCUCAUGUUGUGUAACAUGUUGAAACAUAGAUAGUUUUCUAAGAACAUUUAUUGGAACAUGACACAUUCUUUGAUGCCAAAUGGAAAUAUCUGCAUGUGGAGUUGCAGCAAGGCAUUUGUGAGUUAUAUCUUUUGACCCUAUCUGUGAAUAUAGAGUAUAUAAUCCAUCCUCUUUCUUACCCUCCUAGAUGAGAGGUCCUGUAAUACACAGAAAUUGGGAAAGAAGGUAACACAACAUUUUAAGUCUUUUGUCAUUUUGAAAACCAACAUAAGACUAAACUUAAAAGCUAGCACACACAAAACGUUUGUAAGAACAUCACCUCCUCCAAGGUUAUAGUUCCCAACAUGAGAUACUUCGGCUAAUUCUCGUAUAGACAGUUGCACCUGUCUUAUAUUUUCUAUCAAAUUUUCAUCUGAUAAAUGAGUAUAGUAACCUAUCAUAUGGUUAGUAGCACCUGUGUCUAUUAUCCAUUUAAUGGAAGGGGCCUUAUUAGAGAACGAAGUACCUGCCAUAUUAGUACUUCUUGACCAACAUGAGCAUCUUUAUGUGGUUCCUUAACAACAUGCAUAACUGGAGAAUAAGGUACAAAAUAUAACAUACCCUACAUCAGUCCUGACUGAUUAGACUGAUUGAAGUAAGGUUGCAUCAUGCCCUGGUGUGGCACUAUCUGCUGAGAAUAUUGGUGUGGACUAUAGUAUUGAGGAAAGCCUCCUCGUUGUGAAUAAGACAUCAUUUGGAAAGCCUGUACACCUACAGCAGUGUUAGGAUCAAACACCUGAGUAUUACUUGUCAUCAAUCCUGUCAUAACAUUAGCUUUCUUUCUUCCUUUGAAAUCUGUGGGAUGUCCAAUAAGCUUAUAACAGUCAGCCUUUACGUGGCCAGUAAGAUGACAGAAGUUGCAUUUCAGAAUCUUGUUACAUUCAGCUUUAGUAUGUCCCCUCAUACAGCAAUGGUCACAGAAUGAGUUACCAUUGUAUUGUUUUCUCUACUUGGAAAUAUAUCCUCUAUCAUUAUAACCAUUACCACUACCUUUGGAAGUAUACAUAGCAGUGGGAGUUGAGUGUUCAAGUAUAACUCUACUAGUUCCAGCCAUAAUUCGUUGACUCUAAUCUUGGUUAACCAUGACAUAUACUUGAUUAACACUGGGCACCUGUGGCAUCAUUAAGAUUUGGCUUCUAGCCUAACUGUAACUAUCAUUAGCCCCAUAAAAAAUUGCAAUACUCAUUGAUAUUGCAAGUGUUCAAAAUACUCUCUCAAUUUAGGGCAAUCACAUAAUGGAGGUGGCAUAUUUGAAUCAUAUUCAUCCCAGAGAUUUUUCAAUUUAGAAUAGUAAUUCAAAAUUGAAGAAACACCCUGAACUAAAGUGAAGACUUCUUUGUGUAAUUGAAAAGCUCAAGAACUGUUAAUUUUGUCAAAUCUCACUCGCAGAUCCUCCCAAAUAAGAUGAGUAUUGGAACAGAAUAAGAUUCCUCCAAGUAAAUCAUUGCUCACAUUACACAUUAUCUAGGAGAUCACUAUGGAAUUACAACUAUCCCAUAACUUCUCCAAAUCUUCAGUGUAUUGACUAUGUUUUAUCGAUUCGUUAAUAAAUUCUAGUUUGUUCUUUCCUAAUAGAGCCAAUUACAUAGCUCUACUCCACAAAGUGUACUUAUCUAAAUCAGAUAAUACGAUUCCUACCGACAAUGAACCAAGUGCAUCGGAAGGAUGCAAAACAAAGGGUGAUGAUAAUCGACAACUGUAGUAACUGUAGGAAUAGCUGAAUUUUCCCCCAAACUACUCGGAUCCACAAUGCAAAAUCAAAAAAGGAGAUAAGAGAAAAAAUACCAAAUUCUGCAAAAUCUUCACAAAUUGUGACAACAAUUCCUUCGAGAUGAGCGAAAAGAAACAAAUUCUGUGAAUUCUUCAUAAAUGGUGACAACAAUUCCAUCGAGAUGAGCUCGCACUAGCUCUGAUACCAUGUUAAGUAACUGAAUUCAUGUAAUCAGUUAAUCACUAAUGUGAGGAGAAGACAAUCUAAGCAUGAUAAUGAAGAAAGUAGCUAUGAGAGUUUGAGAGAGAAUUGAAAAAGAUAUUCUUCAUUGAGCAAUAACUGUCUAUAGGAUCCCUCUUUAUCUACAUACACAAACAUCUCAUGCCAGCUAAGCCCACUAAUAACUGCUACUAUUAACUAACUAAUCUCAAUUCACCACUAAUUAUAAUUAUUGCAUAAUUAACAUGCACAUUAGCUGACUAUCACUGUUUAGUAAUUACGGCACAUCAAUACAUUUAUUAAGCUCCUUCACAUGUAAUUCCCGUAUUUAUAGUUAUGGCGAGUAGGUCAUCAAGUUUGAUCAUAAAUAAUAUGUGAUAAGGUUGUUUAUGAUUAAACAAAACGUGUCAUUUUUUUGAUAUAUGAAAACUUUUGAUUGAGAUUUACAACAUAAUUAAUCUAAAUCUUGUAUCAAAUAAAAUAAGGCUUAGUAUUUGUGAAAUCCCAAUAUAAUUAUUCAACUCAAAUUAAUGAACAUGAAUUAAUCUAAAUCUUGUAUCAAUUUAACCAAAUAAAUUUAUAUGUCUAAAGCCUACCCCUACGUUAAAAUUUGUCAAGAUGUAAACUAGCUGAAACUUGAUUUCUUGACUUGAAUUAUAGCCAAUUUUUUUUAUUUUUUGUAAUCUCAAGGCACUCGGUAAUAUUAUUUGCAGUAGUGUAAGACCCUUGAAACAACUUGUUGAAACAAUUUUUUUCAAUUUAUGGUAGAAAAUGCAUCCUCCAUCUUUGCCUUUGAUCUUUUCCAAAUUUGGAGAUGUAAUCAUCCAACUCUAAAAUGAAUAAAAUAUGUUCCUUGUGAUCUUCUUUAAGCUUACAUAACUUUCUAUAACCAUAUAAGAACAAUUGUUAAUUAAAUUUAUGUGCAUACCAUUUCUUUUCUUGUUCGACUUGUAAAGCCUCUUAAAAUCUUACUGACAUUAUGUUUAAUUUCCUAUUGAGUGUUGGCCAUCUUCCUUAGGUGUAUAUGAAUUAGUUUCAUUUUCUUCUUCCAAUUGCACCAUAACUUUCCUUGUAAAAGAAAUGAAAAUUAUCCAUACGAACCUUUAUAUAAGUAUUUUCAAUGUAAAAAAGAUUCAUUAAAGAAUUAUGAAGCUGCAAAGAAAAGUUUUCAGACUGUAUGUUUAACUACUAGACUAUGAUAUCACUUGAUUCUUUUGAAUUCAAAGACGUAGGCCUCCAUUGUAUUUAGAAAAUAGAGCAAAUACACUUAGUACUUUCUCAAUUAACUCUUUAAAGUUCAUUUAGCAGUAUGUUGUUUUCGAUCUGCUAAAUCAAAAUUGCAAGCCAUUUGAUCAUUAUUUCUUUUCACAACUAAUAAUGGAGAGCUGUAACAUAGCAAGGAUUUACAGUCAAAUUCCUCCGGCAUUGUUGCGGUUAUUAUUGUUACUAUUAUUUUUUUAAAAGAACUUAGUUUCAAUUCUAUUGUACUUAAUACCUCUUUUAUGAAUAUAAAUUUUUUUAAUUAAGAAAGAGAAUUCUUUUUUCUGAAUUACUCCCUCUGACCCUAUUUAUACGAUCUGUUCAGACUUUAUGCUUGAAAUUUAUCGACAUGCAUUUUCUCCUUUCAAUAAAUUGAACACCUUCUAGAAAAGAAGAAAAAGAAAAAGAUAAACUAAACGAAAUAAUGAAAACUUGUUUUCAUCUAGAAAAAAGAUUCUUGCCCAUAUUUUUUCGGCUGUUUUCAGCUAAAAGAUACAUUUGGUUAUGGAGAAGCUAUCUGGCAUAUGUACUAUUAUGUAACAAAAUAUUGUUGAAUUAAGUGAUCUUGAACACAUCAUGUGAAUUAUUUGAAUUUAAAAGCUACUAAAUAUUAAAAAGGACAUUAAAGGGGAAAGGUCCCUUUUUGUUAAUAUUCUUGUUAUUAACUAAAAAAAGGUAAUUAAUGAAUUGAAUUUGCAAAUCUUGUGUUAUCAUUUGUUACAUUAAAGGGGAAAUGUCCAUUAUUUUUGCUAAUAUUUCAUCCUCUGUGGAGGCUUAUAUUAGCCAUUCACGAGACCAACUUUUAAUUAAUUCAUAAAUAACUUGGCCAAGACAUUUUGUUAUAAAUUAAUAUUGAGACAAAUCAUUUUGUGACUGAAGGAACUCAAUUAUUAUAUAGGCUUCCUAGAAUCUAACUACGAGCAAAGUUUACUUGCUACAUAUUCAGAACUUAGAUUUAAACUUAAUAUAGCAUUUUAUCCAAGUUAAGACAAUUCUUUCAAUUAUCCAAGGUGCACACGUUGUGCAAAAAUUAGAAAGUGGGGUAUGUACGUACCUACACGUGAAGGUAAAAAUUUACACUCAUCUAUGUAUAUACUAAAUUAGUAUUUUUAAUUAUAAUUAAGUAAUUAAAUUAAGUAAAAUACAUAUUCUAUUAAUUAAUUAUGGUUAAGUAACAUCAAUUCUAAAUUCAAAUACAUCACAUGCAUGUAUUGGCUUGAUGUAUACAUCGAAUGCCUGAAAAUUUUGUGACAAAUGGCGUCCGAGAUACAUAUUAUACUCCAUUUCAAUUUCUUUUCUUGCUUUUAUUUUUAGCCCAUUUUUAAAAAAAAGCAUUUUUAAUAGUUUUUUAUUUUUAAUUUUAACUUUUCACGUGAUAUAUUUAGAACAAUAAAAUUAAAUGGUAUUUUGAUACAUUCGACAUAUCUUUAAUUUAGAAACAUCACAAAAUUAAUUAAAUUUUUUAAAAAAGAUUUCGUGUCAAGUGAAAACCAAACAAAUAAAUUGACCACGGGAUUUAGGCCCCGUUUGUCCAUGAGAAAUAUUUAUUUUUUUCAAAAAUUAUUUCAUUUUAUUUCAAAUUAAAAAUAAUGUUUGACCUUAAGAAUUCCAAAUACAACUUGAAGUUGUAUUUGAAAAAGUAAAAAUAACUCUCAACUAGUUUUUACUUUCUUUUCAUCUCACUGUUUCAUUUUUGGUCUUUCAAUAAAUCUAAAAAUAAAUUCCAAAAAAGGUAUGAUCAAACAAACACAACUCUAACUACAAGUGCAAUUUUUUUUUUUUCCAUAAUUUUCAUGGUCAAAUGAAAAUGCCUACUUAUUCUUUUUUCCUGCUUGGUUUUGUCCACCCCCACCCCACCCCUCUGCUACAACCCACCUCAAACUUCACAUGCAAUUUAAAGCCAUCAGAAUACUAACAUUAGGUUCAUUCAAACUUUUCUUCAAAUCUAUAUAGAGAGAAAGAAAAUUAAACAAAAUAUAGUUUGGCUAUGGGAAGUCUUGGAGAAAAGGAGCUGGAGAUCAUUAGUAAGAUUGCUCACACAUUAUUCUUCAGUUCAAAAAUUAAUCUUCCCUUCAGUUCAAAAUUUAAAGGUUUUCAUGUUAUAUAAUUACUUAUAACUAGUGUGCUUGUGAAGAAGCUAUUUUACACCUUUAGUUAGUGUAUAUAAUUAAAAUUGCUAAAGAAAAUAUAUAAGUCACAUACUGGGGGCAAUGCUUAUUGAAUAAAUGAAAUUUACUUGCAACUAUUUUGAAAAGGACACAAUUGUAUAUGUGACAUGUUUUUUACACCAUCAAAGCAUAUAUAGAACUUAAAGUACUCUAAAACGUACUAUAUAAAUUUGAAAAUACGCUAUAAGUGCUAUGUGCAUUUUUCUUUGCGUCCUUACUCAGAUCAUUUUGCUUAUUCACAGACCAAGAUCAAGAAACUGAUCCAGAAACGACGACGAUGGAUACACUAAUUGUUAUAACUGAACCAUUGACGACUCCAAAGGUUGUUUAUAAGUACCAGAAAUGGCUCGAAGUAGGCGUCCACGCCUUCGUUGUCCUGGCUAGCCAGACAGUUGCAACAAUACUUGCAAAGUUGUAUUACCAAAAAGGUGGUCACAGUAGCUGGUUGAUUUCACUUACUGAAACUGUUGGUUUUCCCAUUCUCCUAAUUCCUAUGAUCCUUUGGCCUGAUAAAAAAAAACCUACAUUAGAAGAGGGAAAUAGUAUUUGUGAUGACUCAAAGCCUCCUUCUAUAAUGGCCAAGUUAGUAAUCUAUAUAUUUCUUGGCUUUCUAGUUGGAGGAGGGUGCAGUUUGUUUUCAACUGGACUUUUGUAUCUCCCAGCCUCAACUGUUUCUCUUAUCUCCUCAAGUCAGUUAGUCUUCAACGUCUUGUUCUCUCUCUGCAUGAGACUAGUAAAACUUACGCCUCUCAUCGCGAAUUCUAUCGUCCUCAUCACCAUUUCCUCUGUUCUCCUAGCUUUACAAAACGAUGAAUCUUCAAGCAAAACAUCAUCGUCUAAGCACCAUUAUGCAGUUGGAUUUGUAUGCACGCUAACUGCUGCAGCUGGUUUCGGAUUACUAUUUUCCACUACAAAUCUCAUGUUAAAGAAAGUACUAAAAAAGAAGACGUUGAGAGAAAUCAUGGACGUUAUUAUUUGUCAGUCGUUUGUCGCGACGUGUCUAAUUUUGAUUGGUUUAUUCGUGAGUAAAGAGUGGAGGAAUUUGAAUUCAGAGAUGCAUAAUUUCGAGCUUGGGGAGUUGUCAUAUGUUAUGAUAUUAUUUUGGAUUAGUGUCUGUUGGCAGCUUUAUACUUAUAGUAUACUUGGGUUGAUUAUGAAGGUAUCUGCUGUAUUUGCAAAUGUGAUUGCUGCUUUGGGUGCACCGGUAAUCCCGAUUAUGUCAGUGAUUAUCUUUAAUGACGAGAUGAGAGGAGUGAAAGCAGUUUCAAUUGUUUUGUCUAUUUGGGGAUUCUCAUCAUAUGCUUAUCAGCAGUACCUUGAUGAGCAAAAGAACAAAGCUGGGGUUUUGAAAAAUUGUAAUGGAACAUCUGAAGAUCUUGGUAUUGAAAGUGGUUGACGUGCAAAGAAAAUUCUUCAUUGAUCUAGAGUCGGAUUUAGGAGCUUGAGUUUACGGGUUCUAAAUUUUAAUAAGUGUUGCAUGAGUAAUAUAUUCCUAUAGUGGAUUCUUAAGCUCAAAUACAUUGACUCUGUUGACUCCAUAGGUGAAGCUCUAGCUCCGCGCCCCUUUUACUUUUUAAGUAUAUGGAUCUUAAGUAUUUCUAUUAAAAGGAUAUUGCUUAUUGCUAUUAUUUUCUUUUUCUAAAUAUCAUAUGUUAACACGAGUUCCCAUUAUUGAAGAAUUAACUUUUGCCUUAAUUUCCUUGAAGAAUUAUCAGUCAAAUACUUUGAAUCAACAAUAUAUACCAGAUACAAACAAUAAAUAGAUUAAUGGAGAAAAGUGUGACCUUUUCCGUUUUUUCCCAAAAACAAGUGAGUUCAUGUUUUUCCCUUCAAAGUGGUGAUUAAAGUGAAGAAAUUCAUUGAAAAGUAUCUUCAUAUGGUGUCUUGCCAGACUAGUUGCAUGCAUAAAGUGGUGUAUUUCUCAUUAUGUAUGAAGAAUCAACUUUACAAAUCAAAAGUCAAGACCUUGUUGCAACUCCUUUAGUCAAAUUUUUUUAAUUAAUAUACUUUAAUUUCUAACUGAUUAAUAUAUAGUCAUAGGGGUAUACAUAGGUCGAGUUGCUUUGAUUUUGUAUUGAAUAAAAAUCAAAUCAACUAUGUCGGUUUAUUAAAAUUAUAAACCAAAUCAAACCAACAUAAAAUCGGUUUUUUCGGUUUAGGUUUUAGUCGGUUCUUUCGUUUUUUUCGGGUUUUCUUGUUUUUUUUUUACAAUCUUUAUUUUUUACAAUUAUAUUGUGAUUGAAGACUAGAUCAAGUAUGUUUUCACUCAUGUGCUAAUGAAAAAACUCAAUUAUGAAAAAUUGAGGAGCGAAAAACUCUUUUGAAACUAAAAAGUAAGACGAAGAGUGAAAAGUUUAGGUUUUAAGUUUAUAUUGGAUUUUGGAUCAUUUUAUUGACAAUUAAUGAACAAAUAUUACAACUUAAUAUAUAUAUAUAUACACACACACACCUACUUUCUAAAUAUUGAAAAUUAAUAAAACUAAUUGAAAAAGUAUUUAAGAAGUAGAUUAUAAUUAAUAUUUUAUGUAUAUAUUAUGUCGGUUUGAUCUUUUUGGAGUUAACAUCAAACCAAAUCAAGAAUGGUUGGUUUUUUUUUCAAACGUCAAACCAACCAAAUCAAACCAUAAGUCGAUUUUUUUUUUCGAUUUCAUUUGAUGGUUCGAUUUGAUUUGACUUGACGGUUUAAUCUGUAGACCUAUAUAGUCAUGCUAUGAUAUAACGUGAAGUUCCAAAACAGCAAAAAGGUAUCGAAUAUAUUAGGUAGAGUUUCCUUAGAAAUUUUUGUUUCCUUAUUAUUUAUUUACGUAAUUUAUUGAAACACAGAGUGUUUUUUUAUAUAAACGAACUUGAUUCUUCUCUUUUUACUGGAUUGCAUAUUUGCAUUAGAGGCCGCAAAGAAUUAUACAUGGGAUGCCCCCAUAUCGAGUAUAAUGCUUGUAUCAAUACCAUGAUAAAUAAUGGAGUGAAUAAUAAUAUGUCUUUAAAGCUUUUAAAUAAAUAAAAAAAUAUUUGUGCGUUAUAUUUUUUUAAAAAAAUAAUAAUAAUUAAUAUAAAUAUUUUAUCAUAGUAAUUAUAUUAAAUAUUAAUUUUAGAACUUAAGACAUAAUUUAAGGAAUAAAUAAUUAAUAUUAACAUAAAAUAUGGGAAAACCAUUUUUUCUUUAAAAUUAAUAAUCAAGACCAUGGUCCAUGUGUCAUCUCUUGGGGCCCGCUUGUUGUUGUUCGGCCCCACUUAUCCAAAUACACUUCCUAAUUGGAUAAUGCAAUGGAAAUAGCUUAUCCUCCGGACCUACACCAUAUUAUUUCCAUUUCUUUUAAGCAAAUACCCCGUGAGCCUCUAACUACAACUUCACGAUCCCCAUGUCAAUUCAAGUUUAUUUCACAUUAUUAUUGUAUCACAAUGAAAUAUGAAAUUAAGAAAAAAGUUGCAUCUUAAUUAUGCAAUUAUAUAUCUUAUAUAGAUAAUGGAGUACAAAUCCUGAUUUGGAUAAGAUAAAUAGAACCCGAAUUAUAUCUCUUUUAUUAUUCUGAUUAAACUAGCUUGAUGAAUUGUUUGAUUCAGAAUAAUCACAUAAUUACAAUAUGAAAUCUAUAGCUAACACCAUCAAUGAAAUACGGUACCUAAUCUUUCAAUCAAAGCACCUUUCAAUUUGGAGGGACAAAUUGUUAUCCUAGACCGUAACGCAGUGAAUCGUUUCUUUCCCAUAGUCCAGAUAUUUCCUCUCUUUUUCGCCACCGAGUCUGAAGAUAUGUGCACUUUUUUCAGAUUAAUAAAAAAAUAAAGAAAGAAGAUAUAUCAUAUAUGUGCCCCCAAAUAGUUCACACUUUUCAGUAGUCGUUAAUUCUAAGAAACGGUUAUUCCUUUCUCUCUUCUCUCUCUCUCUCUCCCUCUCUCUCCCUUCUUUCAUCUGAGAGUUUUUGUACUCCAUUGAUGGAGAUGAAGAUCUCCAACUGCUUACCGACGCAAAAAUGGUGUGGAAAUGGAGGAGUAGGAGGAGCGGUUUUUUGUAGACAAGUAAAUGUUCGAUUCUAUCCACGGCCAUCUCAACGCUUGCUUCCACCUUCAGGCAAAAUGCGCCAGCGCCGCAAUUUCAGGUACUUCAUUUCGGACUAGUGUAGAUUUUGAUAAGGAUCAGUUGAUUGCAUUUCGGAAAUACUUGAGCUGGUUUCGUUGAGUGAUUUGAGGUUUAUAUGUGAAAAAAAAUACUGAUUGUUGUUAUUUGUUGAAAAAAUUGAGUUGUUUAAUUAGGUAUUGGAGUUUUUGAUUAAUGGAGAGUCAGUUGCUUUCGUUGGAGUUGGUUUAUUGUUUUUCUGAGAUUUUGUGUUGUCGAAAAUGCUUCUAGUUUGUUUUUCCCUUCCUUUUUCGGUUUUUAAAUUAGGUUUAGGAGUUUAUUUGAAAUCCUUUCGGGAUGAGUAGUUGAGUAGGCAAAAUGCGCCAGCGCUGCAACUUCAGGUACUUCAGUUCAACGAGUGUAGAUUUUGAUACGGAUCAGUUGAUUGCAUUUCGGAAUACUUGAGCUGGUUCGUUGAGUGAUUUGAGGUUGAUAUGUGAAAAACUUGCUGAUUGUAGUUAAUUUUGAAAAAAAAUAAAAAUUGAGUUGUUUAAUUAGGUAUUGGAGUUUUUGAUUAAUGGAGAGUCAGUUGCUUUCGUUGGAGUUGGUUUAUUGUUUUCUGAUAUUUUGUGUUGUGAAAAUUGGAAAAUGCUUCUAGUUUUUUUUUCGGUUUUAGAUUAGGUUUAGGGUUUAUUUGAAAUCCUUUUGGGAUGAGCAGUGGAGUAGAUUUGAGUUACCGAGAAUCAUUUGCUUUAGUUUCUGUUAGCACGAGUUGGUUCUGUGAAUGGAGUAUUUGCACUUGUGGAGAAGUCAUUUGAGUUUUUGAAUUGUUAUAUAUUGUUUCAAAUGAGUAUCUGGAUAUUAUCAAUGAGAUGGAUUUGUCAUUGAGGCUCUGUAUGUUGAGCAGAGUUUCCGUUAAAAUGUGUUAUAAGUGAUUAACUUCUGGUUAAUGCGAUACAUGUCCAUUCUCAUAUUAUUAUUUGGAAAAUUACAUGGACUAUUACUUUGUUGUGCAUUAUGCUCUGUUUAAUUUCCCUUGAUUGGGUACGGAAUCAUUGUAGUGCUGAAUAGAGCAGGCCAAGGAUUUGAGUAUUCGAGAUUUUUUCUCUAGUUUAUCUCCUGAAAUAUUGAACAAAGACCUAUACGUCAUGGCUACAGCUUAGAACUAUGUUCCAUGGAGUAUAUAUUUAUGUUACAUCGUCUUUUAUGGAUAUUAAUUUGCUCAUAUCUGGGAAGUUCACUGGCGGAUGGAGAACAUUUGUGAUUGAAUAAGCUGCAAUUUAUUAUGUACUCUGGAACUCUACUUAAAUGGCUUGGUGAAAAAUGUAUUUCUAGAUGUCGAGUAGAUCAACAUAGUUAGAAACACAAAAUCAAUGUUCUUUUCUAUCUCCUGCUGCAGUAAUUGACUAUGCUUUGAAAUUUCCAGUUUGCAGAACAAGAGACAACAGACCAAGAAGAUAAAUACUGAACGGCCACCAAAUGUUGAUUUUCAGUCAAGUGAUGAUGUAGAAUCCAAUACUGAAAAUACGUCCAAACAAAGCCUAGAAAGUUCAGAUCAGGAAAGUUCAAUCAAAGAAAAUGUUGACACUUUGUCAGAAACCGAAAGUUCAGAUGAGAUUAGUUAUGUGGUAUGUUCUUUGAAAUAUUGGAAUAUGAGAUAUAUGUACUGGUAUGUAUGUUGAAUAAGGGUUUUCAGGUGUGUCAUCCAAAUUUCCCCUUUCAUUGAAUUCCCCAAGUGGAGAUUUUCACAAAUCCUGAACCCUAUAAAAGUUAUCUGAAAAUCUCAGGAAUGCAUCAAAGAGUGCCUUGAGGAGACAUACCCUUAUUUUGGCCAUUGACAAAUAACUAAGUGCCUGUCAUCAUUUGAACUAAAUUGUUGUACCUUGUGGUUUUUUGAUGGAUCAUACUCUAUAUUAUGAAGUAUGAAAUAUGUGCCAGUGAGUGCUUGCAUUAGAAAAACAUAGUUCCUAAUGUUUUCAUAUUUAAUAUCAACAUACAUGGCUUCAUAUGCACUAGAGUUAUAGUUUCUGUACACCUACUAAUACUGUAAGAAAAACGGAGUGCUAAUGGUUUAACUAAUAUUAAUAGAAUUGCCAAAAGUAAACCAAAUAAAGCUGAAUGCGCCUUCGAGGUGAGUAUGCAGGCGAGUAACUAUCUUUGACCUCCCUUUGCUUCUUCUCUUUUGUAAUCUACCAAUAGUCCCUUGCAGUUUCUAUGGACCCAUAAUAUCUAUGAUACCAUUUACAUAAGUAUGGAACUUGAUCUAUCAUCAGUGUUUAUGAACCUAACAACUUAGAGCAUCAAAUAACAUCCAGUUUAUUGCUGUGUUAGGAGCGAAAAGUAAGCAUCAACAGAGGUUUGAUGCAUGUCAUACAUCCUCAGAAAUAAGCUCCACCAAAUGGUCUUUGUUGUUUUGUUCCUUGCUAAUAAAGAAAUUAAAAAGAUUCUUGUUUCACAUCUACUCUUUAAUUAGUAAUGUCUUUAGCAAUUUUAUCUUUUGUUCAAUUUAUCCUAAUGGUGCAAAUUACUUGGGAUCAUAAAUUGAAUACCUCGUAAUUGAGACAGUCUGUCGACUCAAAUGAGGAGGGACAACCUUCAAGCGUUCAUCUUCAGGAUUUGAUUGACAUGAUAAGAAAUGCGGAAACGAGUAAGACAUUGUGGUUUUCACUCUUUAAGUUCACUUAAUUUUGCUAUUUUAUGGUUUUCUCCUUGGGAAAUUUGUGUGGAUUUCAUCAAAAUCGAAAGAUCAUUGUGUAACUUCGUUACCUUCUGAAUAAUAUCUGUAGAUAUUCAUCUACUCAAUGAAGCUCGUGUCCAUGCAUUAGAAGAUCUUCAAAAAGUUCUUGGAGAGAAAGAGGAUUUGCAUGGGGAGAUCAACAUUUUAGAAAUGAAGCUGGCAGAAACUGAUGCACGGCUCAGAGUUGCUGCCCAAGAAAAAAUACACGUGGAACUUCUAGAAGACCAAUUGGAAAAGCUGAAAAAUGAAUUGUCUAACAGCAGAGGUGAUGAGGAAAAUGUGCUUCAUGUGAAUAAUUCAAUUCCUCUUUCACAUAGUGAUUCUGUUAAUUCACUGAGUGAGGAACUUGAUUCGUUAAGGAAAGAAAAUAUAUUAUUAAAGCAAGAUCUUCAAGCGAUGAAGUCAGAGCUUAGUUUAGUCAAGGAAACAGAUGACUACAUCUUAAUGCUAGAGAAAGAACGAUCAGUUCUUGAAUCUUCUUUAAGUGAGUUGGAAUCUAAACUGGUUGCAUCUCAGGAAGAUGUUUCAGAGCUCUCUGCCUUGAAAUUGGAGUGCAAAAAUUUGUAUGAAAAAGUGGAACACUUACAAUUGUUGCUAGCUAAGGCAACCAAACAAGCAGAUCAAGCAAUAUCAGUGCUACAGCAAAACCAAGAGCUGCGGAAAAAGGUUGACAAGCUUGAAGAGUCUCUUGAAGAGGCUAGCAUCUAUAAGCUUUCGUCUGAAAAGUUACAGCAGUAUAAUGAACAAAUGCAGCAAAAGAUAAAACUUCUUGAUGAACGCCUUCAGAGGUCUGAUGAAGAGAUACAAUCUUAUGUCCAGCUGUAUCAGGAUUCUGUCAAGGAGUUUCAAGAUACACUUGAUAAUUUGAAAAAGGAAUCCAAAAAAAAAUUUCUAGAUGAAGUUGUAAACGAUAUGCCUUGGGAAUUUUGGAGUCGGUUGUUGUUGAUGAUCGAAGGUUGGUUUAUGGAAAAGAAAAUCUCAAAGGAUGAUGCAAAGUUGUUAAGAGAACUGGUCUGGAAGAGAGAUGGACGUAUCUGUGAUGCAUAUAUGUCAUGCAAGGAAAAGAAUGAUCGUGAAAUUAUGGCGGCAUUUCUUAGAUUUACUUCAUCACCAACACGGUAUGUCUGGUUUCAAAAAUUCGUAACCGGAUAUUCCUAGUUUAAGGAUAUAACUUGCAGUUUCUUUUCUGGUGAACCAAUAGUCCAGGACUGCAUAUCAUCCAUAUUGCAGCCGAGAUGGCGCCAGUUGCAAAGGUAUAAUGCUCACCUCUGUGAAUUGCAGUCCCCUCUAUUAGAUGAAGAUGAUGAAACUUUCUCUACGGAGGAAAAUGUUAUCCAUGCAGAAUAUUUUCUAAGAAAACAAGUGGUUUUUUUAUUUAAUUUCCUGUGUUCGGUAUGCAAGUAAAAAAUGUUAUCCUAAAAACAUUUGUAUAAAUCUAAUACAAAAUUAUAAGGAUGGGUAGGGGUAGGGUGAUGGAUGUUGUGGUGGGGGUGAGGGAGGGGAGUGGGAUGGAGAGGGUAGGGGGUUGUUAGGGGUUUGGAGGGUGGGAUAGGAGGAGACAAUGCCACUUGUUUUCUCUACUUUCAUUAAGGAAGUCAUUUUCCUUAUUUCCAACAAGCUUGUUUUCCUAAAGAAAAUAUUUUCUAGAAUUUUUAACCAAGCGAACAUGAUGAAAUAGGAAAACAUUUUUUUCUGGAAAAUGUUUUCCUCCAUACCAAACACACCCUUAACCUGUAUUUAUUUGUGUAAUAUGCUCUUCAGAAUGCAUUAUUGAAUUGUAUGUUCUGUAUUUAGGAGUUGUUCUCUCCUUACAUCGAUGUACAAAGGGAGAAAGGAGAAGUUAAUAAAAGUAAUUCAAUAAUAGUACCUAGAUUUAAAUAUGAAGGCAAUUAACAUGAGUUGGUUAUAAAUCAUCUUUAGCGUAAGUCCAUAUAACUCUAGGUUAGACCAGAAUCACAUAUGCAGGGGCAGAUAUAGGGGAAGGAUUACCCUUUAUAUAUAAGAUAGAUUUUCUGUGUUUAUGUACAUAUAUAAAUUUUGAAUCCCCUAAACGACAUGCAAAAGGUUAGCUCAGCGGUCCAAGGCAUUCAAAAUGCACCCAAUGUCCAAGGUUUGAUUUCCCUCCUUGAUCCGCCACUGCACAUAUGCACCUAGUCUAUUAAAAAGUUAUCUUCCCUUCAUCUGUGCAUUUUGAAGUUUCCUGGUGGUUGGUGCUAAUGUUUGUUUGGUAAAGUGUAUACUUACCUUUUCUCAAAAAAAAAAAAAACUUUGUUUGGUACAAAUAUAGCAAAGUAGGCUGCAAAUGAUCGCUGGUCACGGAGCCAGUAUUUCUACUGUUGGGAUGUUGUGUCUUUCCUUUAUUUGUUCUUUGUUCUUUGUUAGUCCGUUAUGCCCUCUGCAAGUUGCAUGUUCUGUUGAAAGAUACUAAUAUAUUUAGUAAGCAAUCCCUACAAACUAUUCUAGCUAAAAAUGAUUAUUGCUCUCAAGAACAAUGUUUUGGUAAAUUAAGCAACAACUAUGUAAUUAUAUACUUAAAAAUUAGGCAACAACUGUAUUGGAGGCGUUUCAAAUGUUUCAAUAUAUCUAAAAGGUAUUUCUUAAUUGUCUCAUAGGUAGGUGGUUUAGGGGAUGUGGUGACAGGUCUUGGCAAGGCUCUGCAGAAGAAAGGUCACCUUGUGGAAAUUGUUCUUCCUAAAUAUGAUUGUAUGCAGUACGAGUCAAUUAAGGACAUGAAGGUAUGCUUAAAAGUUGACAUUUCCAUCAUCACCUUAAUAGCCAGUUUGUGUUAUAAUUUCAGAUCACGUAAAUGGUUAUGCUUUUCCAGGUCUUAGAUGUGGUGGUUGAGUCAUACUUUGAUGGUCGGUUAUACAAAAAUAAGAUCUGGACGGGCACUGUUGAAGGUCGAGUAUUUACGGUCCACAAGGAUCCAUUUCUUUGUUACUCCUUUUGCCUUUAGGUUUGGCUAUAUCAUAUGUCUUUGAUUUCAGGCCUUCCGGUUUAUUUUAUUGAGCCUCAGCAUCCUGGUAAAUUUUUCGGGAGAGAAAAACUUUAUGGGGAGCACGAUGAUUUCAAACGAUUUUCAUUCUUUAGCAGGGUGGCACUUGAACUACUACUUCAGGCUGAAAAGAGACCAGAUAUAAUUCACUGCCAUGAUUGGCAAACAGCUUUUGUUGUAAGAUUGAUUGCGACUUCUCUUUACCUUUUAGAUCCUUUUUUUCCGUACAUUCAGGAUUCUAUUAUUUCAUGAAGGCACCACUUUAUUGGGAAAUAUAUGUGCCAAAAGGAUUGAACUCAGCCAGGAUGUGUUUUACAUGCCAUAAUUUUGAGUAUCAAGGGACUGCGCCAGCAUCAGAAUUAACAUCUUGUGGUCUUGAUGCUUAUCACUUGAACAGACCAGAUAGGAUGCAGGACAAUUCAGCAAAUGAUAGAAUAAAUCCCGUUAAGGUAUCAAGAUAUCUGUUGAUAAGUUAUCAUAUUAGUUGCUCCUCUAUUUUUGUGUCGACUUUUUUAAUACGUUGUCGAUGUGGUUCUUUCUUGUUCCAGGGUGCAAUUGUGUUUUCUAACAUUGUUACCACAGUUUCACCAACUUAUUCUCAAGAGGUUCGCUCUGCUCAGGUAUUAAUUUCACUUCCCUAAGCACCUUCUCUCACAUCUGUUUUCAUGCAGUAUCCAGUCAUUUUUCUUAAUCUUAUACUUAAGUAAUUGGUUUCUCUAGUGGGCCACGAUAGGUUUUGUUUGAAAUGCAACUUAAAUGAGACCUUUGAACUAUAGUUUCUGCAGGCCUGAGAUGACCUGUUGCCAUCUUCAUAAAUAAAUAAAAACUUCUAUUGUUGCCAAAGAGUCGAGAAAUAUAUCUCUUUCCUUCUUCAAUAUUCUUUUCCUUGUCUUUCUUUCUGGUCUUAAAGAUGCUGAAUAUCCCCCUGUUGACUUCAAGGAUUGGUAUGAAAUCUAACGUCUUCUAUAAACAAGUGGUGAGAGACAUCCUUGAUUUUGUAGAAGGUCCAAUGAUCAUGUCUUUGGGUCUUCAUCAACGAUUUAUGGUUAGCCAUAUGGUCAAUAUAUUUUCAAGAUGGUAUGCAUACUACUUUUGGCAGAAACUUUAGAAGACCUUGAACUUAUUGGUGGUACACCUGAUAAAGCUUAUUCGAGAUUUGAGAAGUCCAAAGGUGGUUUGGCAAAAGGAUUAAGUUCUCUUCAAAAAUUGAGUGCGCUUUCAUUUGAGUUCUUACUUAGUUUCAUCUGGUACAUGAUGAUCGUUAAGUCUGUAGAUGAUAUUAAUUACUUAUGCAUGUUUCAAGUAAAUAAUCCCCUCCUACUAGGUGAGGAAAAAGGUUUCUUUGACAACCUGAUAUCAUGUUUAGACAACCCUUUACACCUUGCGUGAUGAAUUUCUGCCUCAGAGUCAAUUUUCAUUGGUGACGUACAGGGAGGAAAAGGACUUCAUGCAACAAUUAACUCCCAUUCUAAGAAGUUUGCUGGAAUUCUGAAUGGAAUUGAUACUGAUGCUUGGAAUCCUGCUUCUGAUAAUUUUCUUAAGGUCCAAUACAGUGCCAGUGACAUAGAUGGAAAAAUAGAAAAUAAAGAAGCUUUAAGAAGACUUCUAGGGCUCUCUUCUUCUGACUUUAGACAACCAUUGGUAAGAAUUUCCUUUGUUUAUACUAUUAAGCUAUGAUUAUGAUGUCAGUAUUACACUUCCAUAACAGCACAAUGCUUUAGUUAGCUUAUGACUAACCUUUUAUGAGAUUCAAUACAAAAAUUAUUACUUCCUCUUUCUCAUUUUAUGUGAAGGUAUUUGACUAAACUGAGUUUUAACAAACAAAGAAGACUUUUGACCUGUAGUUCAAAUAUAUGCGGAAGUGUCAAUAUUACCCUUUUAAAUCUGUAAUGGAGAGAGUUCCACAUGUCCUUUUAUUUUACGUCAAGUGGGUCCCAACAAGUCAUGUCAUUUCGGGUAAAAUGUGAUUCUAAGAUUAAAUAGUUUCCAAAAAGAGUUUGUCAUCCUUUUCCGGAAAAACUAAAAAGGAAGGUGUGUCACAUAAAAUGGGAACAGAGGGAGCAAUUACUAGCUAUAGCAUAACUCUUUGCAUUCCAAUGGAAUUCAGGGACUCCAAGUUUGGAUUUGGUGGCAAAAAAUGUUUUACAGAGGCGAGUACUGCUGAAACUACCAUUGGUUUCAGAAGAUCCCACUAGUGUGAAUUUUCUGUAGAAAAAAGAAAAAGAAAAAGAAAUGCACCAAGUGAUGACUCUGUAUAUUACUAACUGAGUCCAUGAACAAGAUUGUAAAGAGAGUCAAGAUUAAGUUCUAUGACUAAAUUUAGCUGGAAAUCCUGAGCCUAACCUUAAAAUCUGACUAUGAAUUCUCUAGAGUUGCAAAGCAUGCUGGUGGGUCUUCCUAAUCAUUUGUAUCCAUGUGUGUCUCAUUUAGUUUCAUUGUAUCUUGCAUAGUUUAUUAUCCUUCUCUCAAGGUAAUCUUGUCCACUCCGUUAGUUAACAUGGGAUAUAUCUUAUCAAAGUUAACUCGAGAAACAUUUCAUUUCAGAUAAUAUUCUUUUGAAUCUAGUCUAAAUCGAAAAUGUUGGAACGUCAUGAGUUAUGACAGUUCUGAUGUUUUAGGUUGGAUCAAUCAGCCCACUGCUAUUAUUCUAUCUUUAAUAAUAUAUGGAUGACAUUAUGACAAUGUUAUGUUGUCACUACUCAUUUUAUUGUACCAAUUGACCUUUCUUGGCAUCCACAUUCUUAUAUUACAAAUUCUGAUGUAAAUGUACUCACUGCUUAUAACCGAAGUUGAAAAGUAGAGACACCAAAAAAGACAUGGCGUACAGUAUGUUAAAAUUUUCAAACAUUCACAAUGCUACCAAAAAAAAUUUCAAACACGAUAUCGGAGGAUUAAUAGCCAAUGAUUUAAGAAAAGCAUCAGUUGGGUGGAUAUACUAAUUGACAUUCCAUUAUAAGUUGCUGUGCUUAUUUUUUCCUUUUGGAUAAAGACUUCCAUAUCACUUGCAUAUUUUAACCUAAGAUUGCUUGGUAACAGGUUGGUUGCAUAACAAGACUGGUUCCUCAAAAGGGUGUACAUCUUAUUAGACAUGCCAUAUAUAGGACUUUGGAGUUGGGAGGUCAAUUUGUUCUUCUUGGUUCUAGCCCAGUGCCACAUAUUCAGGUAAUGAUUUCCUUCCCGUAUGCUAUAUGAAAAUACUAUCAUAUAUUGUCUUAAUGAUGAUAUCAAAGUGAUAUAUUUAGCUGAUUUUUGCACACAGAUAAGCCUCUUUAGCUCAAGCUUCUAAAUUUGUUUAUCAAUAAAAUGAGAAAUACGGAAGAAGAAAAGGAAGGUUCUACAUUCCAGUUUUGUCAUUACGAAUUCUUCACACCUUUGUUGGGUUUUCAAUUUUAUAUGUUGGAUCUUCUAGUUGGGGGUACAUGAGAAUGAACAAUUCAGUAACCGAAUCUUUCAGUCUAGUAGUUCAGGCUUUUUGUUUCUGUGCUACUCAACUCAGAAAUCCAUCCUUUACAGAGACAUCCGAAACUUGGAAACCCCAUAGCACCUUUUUCUGAUGAUUCAAGAAUGAAUUGGUAUCAGUCGGAGUUAUAUUCCUUGUAAAAGGUUGGCUUGUCCUUUCUUUGAGAUAUGGUGUCUUAUGCUAAGGUUUAGGGGUGGUGGUUUCUUUAAGUUUCUUUAAGGUUAGAGGCAUUCUUUAUAUUGGUACUUAAACUUAUACUAAUUGAAGCUUGAUUUUAAUUCUUAUGGCCCCUAAGAUGAAGAUGCUUGUGUUUUCUUAGAUUUUCCUAUAGUGGCUUCUCCUUCCAUUGUUAAUCAUGGGAAAAUAAUAAAACCAUAUAUGAUGGAAAUCUAAUGCUUCGCUGUCAGAUAUUUUUGGCUGAACUUUAACAUGUUAUAUCUUCUCUUUUUUUUCCAUGUCUAUUUCUUAUCAAACCAUUCAUGUGAACUUGUCUGCACUUUGCUGUGGACUCCACUUCUCCACUGUUUGCUCUACCCCUAGCGCUUCCUAGUAUAAUGUUUGGAGCUUUGUCAACUCAUGCAUCAAUGUUGGUGCAGAGGGAGUUUGAAGACAUUGGAAACCAUUUCCAAAAUCAUGAACAUGCUCGGUUGGUAUUGAAGUAUGAUGAGGCUCUUUCCCAUUUGAUUUAUGCAGCAUCUGACAUGCUUAUCAUCCCUUCCAUCUUUGAGCCUUGCGGCCUUACUCAGGUCAUUCCACAAUUGCUGGAACGAUUUCUAUUAAAUCAAGAACCUGUAGAAUAACUCGAUAUUUUUAGGUUCUAGUGUUCAUCUGCAUUUCAUUUGUGCAGAUGAUAGCGAUGCGAUAUGGGUCAAUACCAAUAGCUAGGAAAACAGGGGGCUUGAAUGAUAGGUUCGUCAAUGCGGAACAGCAGGACUUCUUUAUUAGUCAGCAGUCAUGGUUAUCCUGUUUCAUAUUUAUUUAUUGAUCAUUCAAAUGUGUUUGCAGCGUUUUUGAUGUUGAUGAUGACACAAUCCCAGUUCAGUUUAGAAAUGGAUUUACAUUUGUGACUGCUGAUGAACAGGUAUCCGAAAUUUAAUAGCUAAGAGCCUAUACAUUAGUAAAAAGUUAUCCAAGUCACAAUUCUGGUUCAGUUUUGCAGUCUUUUAGCAAAUUAUUACUGUUCGGAAUCUGCAUCAAGCAUUGUUCUUUAUAUCCAGCACCUGGCAUUAUUUUUAAAUGAUGCAUACAAAGUUUGAUGUUGCACUAUUCCAUGACCAGGGAUUCAACGCCGCCUUGGAACGUGCAUUUAACUAUUACAAGAACAAUGCCGACACUUGGAAAGAGCUUGUUCAGAAGGACAUGAGCAUAGAUUUUAGUUGGGAUUCAUCAGCAUCGCAAUAUGAGGAACUUUACGAGAAGGCUGUGUUGAGAGCAAGAACUGCAAGUCGUAGUUGACCUCAUUUUGAUCACAAUUUGUUAAUUCAUUGAUCUAGUAUUCUAGUUAGCUGCUUGCCUAUAUGCCGUCAUUGUGAGGGAAUGACAUCCAUUCGAGGAUAACAAAGCGAGCACCCACUUGACUGAACAUUGUGAUUUCAUAGUCAGUAUAAUGCAUGUUCAACAUCGGAUCAAAGGUGAAACGCAGAAUUGGCAUACCAUCUGCGAAGCUUUUCCGUACGAAAAUGAGCAACUCAGUUUUGUAAAUUUGUGUAAAAACUUUAUGUUAUUACUUGUUAGUACAAUGUAUUCUUUUGGCCCAAAUAUGUUGUAAAUACUUUUCGUACUGCUUAAAGCUAGAAUAUAGACAGUGUAGUGAACUUUUUUACGUACGUGGGGAUCCUUUAUGGAUUAUAAAGACAUUCAAUAAGCUGCUCUAGCUGUAAAUUCAACCUUAAGCUUUCAAAAUAGAUUUACAGUUCGUCUAGUUACUCACAUGUGCAGGGGUACCUUUUUUUCUUUUUCUUUUUUCGUAUAAUUUUGUUAGUGCUUACAUCAUGGGUGUGGACUAUGGAAAAUGGAACUCAUUACAGAACAGUCAUUCAAACACAACCAAAAUUUCAUUAUAUUGUCUGGUAGCACACAACAGCUUUACAAAAGAAUGUUUUAAGGUUUUCAUUUUCCAGGGACAAAGUUUGUGGCGUAGGCCCAGGCGUUGUUGUUAACUGGGUCUGCAAGGUGGUCAGCAAGGUUCUCCAAUGGACCCUUUCCAGUAACAAUGGCUUGGACAAAGAAUCCAAACAUAGAGAACAUAGCAAGUCUACCGUUCUUAAUCUCCUUUACCUUGAGCUCAGCAAAUGCCUCUGGAUCAUCAGCAAGACCUAAUGGGUCAAAGCUGCCACCGGGAUAGAGUGGGUCGACAACCUCGCCAAGAGGCCCACCAGCAAUACGGUAUCCCUCAACGGCUCCCAUCAAGACAACUUGGCAAGCCCAGAUGGCCAAGAUGCUCUGUGCAUGGACCAAACUUGGGUUGCCCAAGUAGUCAAGUCCACCCUCGCUGAAGAUCUGAGAUCCAGCCUUGAACCACACAGCCUCACCAAACUUGACACCAUUACGGGCCAAGAGCUCGGGGAAAACACAUCCAAGAGCACCAAGCAUAGCCCAUCUGCAGUGGAUCACCUCGAGUUCACGGUUCUUGGCAAAGGUUUCUGGGUCUGCUGAAAGUCCAGCAGUGUCCCACCCGUAGUCACCAGGGAAUUCACCGGUCAAGUAGCUUGGGGCCUCACCGGAGAAUGGGCCCAAAUACUUAACACGGUCUGGGCCAUACCAUGGGCUGCCAGAUGAGGCAGGCUUGGAGGCAGCCUUUCUCAUGGAGAUCCUUCCAUUUCCAGAGAUUUCUGAGGCAGAGGGUGAGAGUUUCACUGCCUGUCCAGCAAAAGAAGGGGAAGAAAGAGCCAUUGUAGAAGCUGCCAUGGCUUAUCAAGAGAAAAGUGAGUGUUUGAUGGUAUGAAAUAUUGUUGAAUUUGGCUGUGAUGAAACUGAAGUCAGCUGGGUUUCAGAAUAUAUAGCAAGUAAGAGGAAAAGGGUCCUUAUCUAGUGAUAUCUAUAUCUAUGAUCUCAUUGGGUAUCAAGAUUACUCUUCACUCACACUUGGCAGUCUUAAAUCCAUCAACUUUUCCAAGAUUUUUACAAGGGGGACCCAACCAAUGUUGUCCGCCCAUGUGUGGUUACAAGGAUUGCACUCUAUCUUGUGAACUUACAAUAUGAAUACGAUGCCUUCCCAUUGGACACCUAAGCUCGCCAGAUUUCUGUCCACCAGCAGGAUAAAAGACUCCUACUGUCUCUACAGCUAGCUCGUUCAAUGUAGGACCACACGAUAUUUUUCAUACAUCUAUUGUCCCUGGUUUUAGAGUUUAGUAUUUAGCUAAAUAAGAGAAGGGACAAAAUGAGAUUUAUUAUUAUUUGAAUUAUAAAUUAUGGGAAAUUAAAUUGCAUGCUUAAUUAUAGUUGCAAAAAAGCAAUGAGAUAAUUAACUGGUAACAUUUUGCUUCUUUACUAGUGAGUGAAAAAGGGAAAGAAAAUACAAUUAAAGAAAAUGGGAAGAACUCGGUGAUUAUAGUUGGCAUAAUUCUGGCUAUAGAUAAGAUUUUUUAAAACAUAGAUCCAUGUAUAUAUAUUUGUUAGUUUAUCUCAUGGUCAUGGAGAGGCAUUGUGUUCAACAGUUCAACUAUUUUCUGGCCAUGCUCAUGUAGUUAUUGCACUAAUCCACUACCAUAGGCUAGAAUUUUCAAGGCUUUGGCAUAAAAAUCUGCAGAGUUUUUCGAACGAGAAAUUAAGGUAAUUUAUGAGGCUGCAAACAAUAUCUGUUUGUUGUUAUUGUCCGUAUGUGCGCGUUUAUAUAGCUCAGAUAUUGUUCAUGUGUUUAAAGAAUGAAUAUAAGCUGAUCUGGUCUUCAAAUUCAAGUUUUAAGUUUUUAAUUAGUAAAAGCAAGCGGAUUCACGUGUAAAAUUUGGGGUUGUCCGUACACCUGUUUACUUCGUGAAAGUAUACUUAGUUCAAGUCCAACAAACCACAAAAUGAAUUAUGUUAUGAUUCUAGUUUAGUUUAUAUUUAUUAAGAUAUGGCGAAGCACGGAAGCAGUAUGUGGGCAACACUGCUUCGACAAACACGCAUUCGGCAUCCGCCUCUAGUGGUGCUAUCAUCUUCGAAUCCUGAAUUCACUUCAGACAAAGAUUCAUCCAUUAGCAUCUUUUUAGCUUUAUGACACCUGUCCUUUUAAUAGAGUUAGUAUAGAUUUAAUUAAAAUACCCUCUAAAGCAUGAUUAAGACACAAAAUUAUCACAACAACUAAAAUGUUGCUAGAUUUUUAAUCAGAUUGACAAAUAAAGGGAAGAGGAUUAAAAAUGCCUCUCUACUUUGAUAAGCUGAUUAAAUUUAUCUCUCUUUGUAUUAUUGGAUCAAAUAUAUUCCCGUUGUUAUAUUAUAGGAUAAAAUAUACCCUGUCAUUAGCAAAGUUAUCAAGAAUAUUUUUUUUUUAACAGUUCUCCACCAUGGCAAAGUGAGAGCCCCGUGUCAUCAAAUGGAUGCCACGAGAUAUGCCACCUUAACAUUUUUUUUUCCUUUUUCCUUUUAAAUUUUUUGCUUCAAAUUUUAUUAAUUAUUUUUAAAAAAAUGAUAAUUUAAAUACUCACAUAUUUUAUUUAUUUAAAAUAAAAUAACUGUAAUUAUUAAUAAAUGUUGCUAUCUCUCUUCACCAACAGAAGAGAACCACCACCAAAGGCGGCCGAAGGAAAGGAUGUUCCACAUAUCGAAAUGUAAAGAGCAAAAGCGGCAAAUUUAAAAAUUGAGGUGUUGGAAAAGGUGGUGGAUUUUGAAAAGUCCGACGAAGAGGUGUCGAAAUGGGGGUUAAGGUUUGCAAAAUGCUAAGAACAGUUAACACUGCCAUGAAUAUUUUACUACUAGUGAUAGUUAUUAGUCUUUAUUCGUGUGUGUUAAAUACUUACAUAUUUUAUUUGUUUUAAAAAUUUGAUAAAUUAAAUAACUAAGUAAAUAAAAUUUAAAGCAAAAAUUAAAAUGAAGAAAGAAAAACAUUUGAUGUUGUGGUGGCAUGCCACGUGAUAUACACCUCAUCUAAAUGUCAGGUCACAUGGCUCAUACUUUGUCAUGGUGGAGAAGUGUUAAAAAAAAAAUUAAUAACUUGAGAAAAUUAGGUGGGAAGUGACAAAAAAGUCGUUAAAUUAAAAAUGAUGAUAACUUUGACCAACUAAGGUUGAAGCUUCAUUUAAAUUCUGAUUAAGUUAAUUGGAGCGUAAUUUUUAAAAACUUUUUAAUUUUUUUAAAAGGGUAACUUACAUAAAUCCCUGAAUCUUUAAGUGAUAUUACAUAAAAUCUCGAUUAUUUUGCUAAUUACAUCUUAUCUCGAAUUUUUGAAAUGGUGAUACAUAUAUUAAGUGGUGAUACAUAUAAAAAAAGUGAUACAUAUGAAAUAGAUCAGUUCUUUAUUUAAGGAAGUAACGGAUUUUCUCUGAUUUCAACAAUGCAAAUCACGACAAAACUGUUACAAGCGCUAAAAACGCAAUUACAUUCAACAAGAGCUCAAAAUUGAAGCAAACCAAUAUUUUUUAAAGCAUACCGGAUUAUAAGGUCAAUUUUUUUGAAUUUUGGGGAAAAAAUCGAUCGUCUUUCUAAAAUUUCUGAUUAUUUUCAAUGGAACUCGUGACAGUGUUGUUGCGUCAUUCCGAAAAAUGAGUUUCAAAAAUAAGGUACGAUAACUAUCGAGUCAAUGGUAUUGUAAUUCAUGAAAAAAUAUCGUACCACGAUUUAAUGGACGUCAUAUCAAUUCAAUUGAAAAUUAACGUAUCUCUGAAAAGAAUUCAUGUCAAAUACGUUGUUCAGGACAAUUUAUCAGCAUUGGAGAUUCAUAAUGAUAUGGUUGUGAAACUUUUUUUCAGAUUUUAAAAGCUGAAACUAUAUUCGGGAAGUAUCCAUUGUGUAUUACAACGAGUGAUAUCGUAACUGACCAUGAUGAUUUUGACGCGGAUGAUAUGACAAUUGAGUGUUAUGAUUUUGUUGAGCCGUCUGAACUUGCAGUAGUUGUAAUUGGUAACGUUGAAUCCCUGCCAGUUGUGAAUAUGGGUGGUGAAGAACUAAUAAGUGAUUGCUACAACAGUGUUGUAAAGGUGAACUAAAAGUAUAAAAACAAAGCUACACUUGUCUUGGUAAUGCGUAACUAUGCAAUCAAGCACAGGUUCAAGUUCAAAGCUGAGAGAUCUAACAAGCAAAGGAUUGAUUUUAAUUUUUUAACGAUAAUUUCUGAUUUAUUUCGCAAUUUGAUACAUUCGGAAUUUGUAGUGAUACAUUUGCAUAAUAGUUAAUUGAUGAUUCAUAUAAUUGGUGAUUAACUAAUGAUUCAUUCCAUCUAAGGAUUCAUAUGUCAACGAAACUGGUGAUUAAUUGGUGAUUCAUAUAUCCGGUGAUUCAUAUAACUGGUUAUUCAUAUUAGUAAUGCAUAUAACCGGUGUUUCAUAUAAUUGGUGAUUCAAAUAACUGGUUCAUGUAAUUGGUGAUUCACAUUCGUGAUGCAUAUAAAUGGUGUUUCAUAUAAUUGGUGAUUCAUAUAACUGAUUUAUAUAACUGGUGAUUCAUAUAUGUGAUGAAUAUAACUUGUGAUUUAUAUUGGUGAUGCAUAUAAAUGGUGUUUCAUAUAACUGAUUCUUAUAACUGGUUAUUCAUAUUGGUGAUGCAUAUAACUGGUUAUUCACAUGUUAAAUGGCUUAAAUUUUGAUAUAACUGGUGAUUCAUAUGGUAUUUGCUGAUUCAUAUAAAAAUCGAUUAACGUAACUUUAUAUUGGUGAUAUAUUUUUUGGCAUUUAUUUCAGUUAUGUCUUGCUGUGCAAAUCUCCGGAAUGUUGUUGGUUAUUCAAGGCAUCCUAUAAGCUUAGUACUGAUACAUUCAUAGUACGUACGUUCAACGAUGAACACACUUGUCCCAUAAUGGGUAGAGUUUUUGAGCAACAACAUGUAACAAUUGCUUUUUUAGAGGGAAUAACAGCUCCAAAGUUGGUGAAUCACAAAAGAAUAAUCACCCCAAGUGACAUUAUUGAAGAUAUUAAAAGGGAACUUGCUUUGAACAUAGAUUACAUGAAGGCGUGGUGUGCUAAAGAACGUGCUUUAAGGAUAUUGAGAGGGCGACCAGCUGACGGAUAUAAGAAAAUGCCUACCUACGUAUACAUGUUAAAUUCUGUUUAUCCAAAUUCAAAUAUAAGGAUGCAUAAGUCUUCGGAUAAUUGAUUCAUGUAUUUAUUCGUAGCACUGCAUUCUUUUAUUAGGGGAUAUGGUUAUUGUAGGCUUGUUGUGGUAGUAGACGGUAGUCACAUGAAUGGACCAUAUAAGAAAACAUUCAUUUCAGCUAGCACACUUUAUGGAGCGGGUAUUGUACGUAGUGAUUCUUUUAUAUUUUUCUUACAGAUAUCGGUAAUUGUUAUAUAAAUUUUACAUAGUAAAUGGUUGAUGUUAUAUAUCAGGACAUAUAUUGCCCCUUGUGUGAGGGGUUGUAGAUUCUGAGAAUGAUUCAUCCUGGACGUGGUUUUUCCAGCAUUUUAAGUGUGCUUUCGAUGAGCGCGAUAAUAUGUGUGUUGUCUCUGAUAGACAUGAAAGCAUAAUCAAGGCGGUUAGUGUGGUCUAUUGCACGAAUUAUAGAAAGAGUAAGGACAAGCUGACCAGGGAGUUUUUCGCCAUGGCUAAAACGUACAAAUUGGAUGAUUUUGAUGACUUUAUGUGGAAAUUGGGAAAGAUUGACAAUAGAGUAAAGGUAUAUCUGAAAAAUGCUGGAUUUGAAAAGUGGUCACGAGUUCAUGCUCCAAUAAAUAGGGGGAGGAUGAUGACUUCCAACAUUGCAGAAUGUAUCAACUCUCGUCUUGUUGAGGUACAUGAAUUACCAAUUUUAGAUUUUCUUAAACAGGUCAGAAUCUUAUUUGAUAUGUGGAGCCGCAAAAAUAGAGACUGGUCUAGUUUUCUUGCUAAAAACUCAUUGGGAGGUAGGUUUCAACAAAUUCUUCAACUGAACAAGGCAAAGUCAUCGGGUAUGAUGGUAAGUUAUUUAAUAUUUAUUAUACUUAUGUAAGUUGAUUUGUAGACCUUUUCAACUAUCUGAUAACAGAUGUAUCAUAGUGAUACAUCUCGAACUCAUAUGUAUCACUUUGAUACAUCUGCACAAAUAUGCCUCCACUUGAAAUCUAGUUCAUUAUAUUUAAUUAUCUGUAAUAUUUAUGAUUCAUAUAAUAUAUUGAUUAACAUAACUCUUUAUGAAAUAAUAUUUUCAAAUUAGGGAAUCAACUAACUACAUAUACAGAGUGUAUGAAGAAGGAAGAAAAUACAUUGUUCGGUUGGAUAAUGGAACAUGCAAUUGCGGUAGAUUUCAGCUUGAUGAGAUACCAUGCAUGCACGCUAUUGCUUUUUUGAAAAGCAAACAUGUAAAGAAAAUGAAGUCAUACUGUUAUGAUUGCUACAAGAAGGAGACACUUGUGAAGACUUAUGAAAUGCCACUGUGUUCAAUGCCCGAUAAACGAGAUUGACAUGUACUACCGAAGGUGUUAGAAGAUGUGAUUUUGCCUCCAAAAUAUAAGCGCCAACCAGGAAGACCGAAGAAAGGAAGAAAAAAGAAAAACAGUGAAAAUUUUUCAUCAACCUUAAAUCGUUAUGGCAAGUGUGGGUAUGAGGGUCAUAAUAGACGCACUUGCAAUUUUUUUCAAUAGAGAUGUGGCAUUUUUCUUUGAAGUUUACUCAGACUUGUUUACUUUGUUCAAUGAUUUGAAUUCAAUAAUUUGAGUUAAAUACUCAAAAAUUUAUUGCUUGAGAUACUCUGUUUACAAUGGAUAGAGAAAUAUUUAUUUUAAGAUCACUAUUAAUAAUUAAUUAAAACUAUUAUAUUCAGCAGAUAUGUUAGAGUUCAUGAGGAAUGUUAGUGAUACAUUUCCUACAUGAAAUUAUAAAGUGAUACUUAUUAAAAAAUUUAAUAUUGUUAUAUGAUUCAUAUUAACUGUUCGAGAAAAUUAUAUGAUUUAUAUUAGUAAUUAAACUGAAUAGGUUAAUUGGUGAUAUAUUUUCAAAAUAUUGUUUUAAGUUGAUUCAGUAUUAAAAAUUUAAUACUUUUAUAGGACUUUUUAUUAACCGUUCGUUAAAGAUAUGUGGUUCAUAUUAUUAAUUAAGCUCAACAGGUUAAUUGGUGAUAUAUUUUCAACAUAUUUUUUUAAGUUGAUAUAUAUUAAAAAUUUUAAUACUGUUAUAUGAUUCAUAUUAACCGUUCGAGAAAAUUAUGUGAUUCAUAUUAGUAAUUAAAUUGAACAGAUUAAUUGGUGAUACAUUUUCGACAUGUUGUUUUCAGUUGAUUCAGUAUUAAAAGUUUUAAUACUGUUAUAUGAUUUAUAUUUACCGUUCGUCAAAGUAAUGUGCUUCAUAUUAGUGAUGCGUGAUUUAUUGUUAAGACUAUUAAACAAAAUUAAUGAUACAUUUUUGUAAAUUAAACUUCCAGCAACAGUUCUAAUACCACACCAGCUGUUAAAUAAAAUGUCAUGACACUAAAAACAAAAAUACUGAAAACUUAAUACAUAAAAUACGUCAUGAAAUAUCAAGAAAUCCCCAACCAUUUGUCAACUAAGAAAAAAAUCAAUAUCCUUUUGUCACACAACAAAUACUAGACAACUACGACUCAACAUCAAUCAUCUUUGUAUCCUCAUAUGGAAUAAAUAUACGUUUAGAUCCAGGCGAAUCCUGAUUGUCACUAACAUAUUUAUUGCAUGCCUGGUUCACACCAUAAUCCCAUAAAAAGGAUGUAUAUCUUGUAUGAUGCUUUUCUGGAUCAAAAUCUGAAGAAGGUAUUUGAUGUCGAUCACUUAGAUAUUCAGCAUAUGUUGCAACAAACAAGCCACAAUCACUGAAAAAUAAAAAUAAUAUGUAUUUUAUGAAUUUCUGUGAGCUGUUAUGUAAAAGAAUAAAUGAUACUUACAAUGUGCCGCUCGAUUGUUGCACAAUUUCAUCAACAAAUUGAACAUCAAAUGCAUCCUGGUCUGUCUUUUCCUUGUAUGCUUCUAGUAGGGACCAAUCUGUACGCUUUUUUUUCCCACAAAAAUCGGAUAUUGUCAAAUAAGUUGACAACAUUUCAACAAGCUCAUUUAUCUCAUCACCAUGACCUCUAUGGCCUUUCAAGGAGUCAUACACACGAAUGCAUCUUUCCUUGAGUCCUAUGACUGCCAACACCCAGUGAAACGAUCCCUUAGAAUUUAUUAGAACAUACACCUCGUCAAUCAAAUGCCAUGAAAUACUGAUUGGAAUGCAUAGUCCUUGAAUAAUCUCACAAAUUGAUCUCUCCAUCGAAGUCACUUUAUUUGAUCGAACAUUUUCGUCAUGUGAGCUAAGAUCAAUAUCCGAAUGACUUCGGUGAUAAUGAGUGUAUGUUUCAUGGAUGUAGUUUAUGAACAUGCAAUUCACAGUGGUAUAUCUAUAUUCACUGAUUUUGUCCAGUUUUGCUUUCUUUAUAAGAUAGUAAAAUACCAUAUCGAUGUGUUGUAAUAUAAAAUUAAAAUGUGUAAGAACAUGUGAUUCAUAAAAUCCAUACACAAUACUAAGUGUAAAACAAUUGAUACUUAUGAAUUUAAAAAACAUCGACUGAAAAAUACUUAAAAAUAUAAAUUUAUGUUGGUUAACAUCUGUAUCAUAAUGAUGCAUAUUAUUGUCAGAUAUAUCACUGUGAUGCAUGUGUUACCAGAAAAACUAUAUGCAGAUAGCAAAUAUCAAUUAGGUUGGGUAAUGUAAUAAUAUUCAGCUUGUGCUUAUAUAAAUAAAAUCAAUAAAACUAUUAAUUGCUAUAAAUAUUUCUUGACGGUAUACCUCAUCAUUCUAACAAUUACUUGAUUGGGUCAUGUCAUAAAACGAACUUUUUUUCACCGAGUGUACAACUAUAAAAUCAAGCUUUGAUUUUAGAUCAGCGUAUUAGGCCAUGUAGUACUCAUCUUGUCCUUUCAUGCAUUCAAAUUAUGAUUUCAAUAAGUGUUGAUACUAGUUUUUGUGUUGUACAGGCCAACUGACAUCCAAAGAGAGAACUUAGAGAAGACAUCUUCGGCAUAUGAUCCAUUAAUGUUGUGACCUUCAAACGGGUAGUUCAACUUUUUGCACGACUGGAUAACUUCUUUAUCUUUUGACACAGAAUCAAAAACACUUACAAAUGGUGAUUGAUAUAGUUUUGAAGGCUGUCUAUUUCUCUUAGAAGGUUUCUUUCUAACAUAUGUCAGAUUAGUCUUGCAGACAGGGACCUAAGAAAUAGCUGCAAUAGCUUUGUUGCUAAUAUAACACUGACUAUCAGUGUUGUCUUGCCGAUCGCAUGUGUCAAUAGCUGCAACAGUAAUAUCAGUGAUCCCUGUUAGAUAGGCAACAAUCGAUGGUGGUACGUACAAAGUAAUAGCUUUAGAUAAAUCUUCAUCUGUAUUGUGAAGGGCUUCUUCAGAAUCAUGUGUGCCAUAUGUAAAAAAUGAACUUAGUGUACAAUGAAGUUUAGAAUUAAAGUGCCUAAACUAUCUAUAUGUAUCAUAAUGAUACAUAUGGACAAAUAUGUAUCAUUCUGAUACAUCUGAAAAACUUAAAUAACAGAUAACCAAUUUUUGAUACUUGAAACUUCAAUCAUCUUUAAAUAAGAUUAAAAUAUUUUUACUGAAAAAUUAUUAUACCCUAGAAAAACUAAAAAUAAGGUUGUGACCAUUAUAAUGAACAACUUCAAUGUACCAAAUAAUUAAAAAUAAAUAUUUGUGAGAAAUUACAAAACAAAAUUCGUUAUAAAUAAAUCGAUAUUACCUUAACGCGUUUGUCCCUUAUGCCUUCAUCUACUUCCACAGUUGUAUUAUGCCUAUCUUCUUUUUGGACCUUUUCUGUUUAUUUUGUGGAAAUUUUGUCUUUUAAGAGUCACCACUUAAUUUAUUUGAAAAGAAAUUAAGAAAACCUUUGAAAGUUACUUAAACGAUCCAAAACAAAAAAAAAAAUCAUUUAAGUUUGAAGAUUCUGAGUAAGCGGUUCCUAUCUCUUGGAAGGUUGUUAAGGCAUCAAGAGUAUCCUCUAACUUGCGGUUAUCCAGACUAUUUGAAAAUAUCUUUUGACUAACUUCAAAAAGAAAGAUUGAUUGUUGAAAAGUAAUUGACUUUAGGAAAAGACUAGAGUAAAAUAGAUUUGGACGACUUAGCAGGGAUUUUAACUAAGUCUAAAUAAAUUAAUAACAAAACAUGUAAAAGGAAAAGGGGAGAAAAUAAAAGACUUAGGCCAUUGGGCCCAAAUCAAUAGAUCAUGUACUAAUCUAAUUGAGUUUUUGGCCCAUUUGCACCUGUCCUAAUCUAAAUAUUGGUCUUUUGGCCCACAACCUGUCCUAAGCUAGUUUUCAGACCUUUGAGGUCCAAAAUCCGCUUCACCUCUAUUUAUUUACAACUUUGGAUUCGAGACCCCGAAUAAAUGAAUAAGUAAAUGAUUAAAUGAAUAAAUAAAAAGAAGACAAUAAAAAUCGAGACUUUACAAGUCUCUUAGUGACCUCAUCAAUAGAUUUUGACUCAUUUCCCUUCUUCGUCUAUCUUCUAGCACCCGCACGCCAUAUAGUCGACCUAGGAUUUAAACUUCGAACUUGACUCGAAGAGGUGGGCCUCAUUGGUCCAUUACGAAAUGCAAGAGGAGAGAAGUCCAUUUAAACUCGAGAUAUUUUUUGCAUACAAAGAAAAGAUAAAGAAAUUAAUACACGUCCAAGGCAUAAAAGUGACAUAUUUCAAAGUAAAAGAUACUAUCAAGAACCAAUUUUUGAAUGACAAUGAUAAGCACACUUGCACAAGAAUGAGAGUCAACAAAUAAAAUGCGAAGAAAAGACACCCACUUACAUGCCUCAUGACUUAUGUUCAUAUAAAAAUGAAUAAAGGUAAAAAGAAGAAGAUCAUAUUCAAUGAAUUAAUGCGAGAACAAAUAACGCAAGUUUGCAAGAGUAAAGGGAUGGGGAGAUAAGAAAAAUACCCAUGACUUCUAAAAUUGAACAAACAUAGAAACUAAUUCAUAUAACAAAAGAAAAUAAAAGCUACUUUUCAAGAAAGUGAAUCUUUAAAUUUCAAUUAAGGAGAAAUUAACGAAAAUUAAUACAUCUAAGUCAUGGCCAACUUUAGGAAAAACAUGUAACGACAUAUGAUUUAUCGUUCUAAGACAUCGUUGAUUCUCUUUUGACAUUAUGACUCAAAGAGAGACAUGAAUCAAGUCUUUACACACACAAAGAACACGUAUAACAAUCCAAAGGGAGUAAGAAAAUUUGAAUAAAUGUUUAGCAUCUCUAAAAGUGAAAUAUCUUUCAACAAUCAUACUGUGCACGAGUCAAAAAUAUCCAAAUAAUUCUAUUUAGCCACAAAAAUUCAAACUUUCUCAUUAUUUUGACAAGACAACAAGCGAACAAAAGAGGAAUAAACAUCUUGGAUGGAAAAUAAAGCUAACACUUCAUCUCUUAUAUGAGGAUUUUGAAAUCCAUUAAAAUAAUUAGCAAGCAAAUGACAAAUUCUUGACUUAACUAAUUACUAUUUUUACGAAGGCAAAACAAACAAUAAUAACUAUUUUUUCAACAUAAAAGAAACAACUUUACAUGCUAAAACAAACAUAUCCGCCAACAAUAAAUUUAAAAAAGGCAUGAGUUCGUCUUUUGAGCAAAGAUCAAAACUUUAUACAUAACAAUCAAAGAAUAAAGAUAAAAGGCAAAACAAUCAAUAUUAACUAUUAUUUUCAACAUAAAAAAAAUAACUUUACAUGCUAAAAACAAACACAUCUACCAACAAUGAGUUUAAACAAGACAUGGGUAUGUUUUUUAAGCAAAGAUCUAAACUUUAUCCAAAAUAAUUAAAGAAUAAGAUCAAAAGGCAAAAUAAUCAAUAUUAACUAUUUUUUUCAACAUAAAGAAAAUAACUUUACAUGCUAAAAACAAACAUAUCCACCAACAAUGAAUUUAAACAAGACAUGAGUAUGUUUUUUAAACAAGGACCUAAACUUUAUCCAAAAUAUUUAAAGAAUAAGGUGAAAAGGCGAAGCAAUCAAUAUUAACCAUUCUUUUCAACAUAAAGAAAAUAAUUUUACAUGCUAAAAACAAACAUAUCCACUAACAAUGAGUUUAAACAAAGUAUAAGUACAUUUUUUAAGCAAAAAUUGAAACUUUAUCUAUAAUAAUUAAAGAAUAAAGUCAAAAAAAGGCACAUACAACUAUUGUUAGCUCUUUUUUAUAUCAUGAACAUGAAGAUAAUUAAAAUAUUGAUACCACAACCUUCAAGGCCAUAAACAACAAACAAUCCCAGCAAACAAAAUUAUAACUACGAACUAUGAAAAAGAUGAAGAAGAAAAUGAUACUAAAACUAAAAAAAAAAAAAAGGUGUGUUUACCUUUUUUGGGGCAAGAAAACGAGACUACGAGUUUCGUCGGAAUCAACCACCACCGAAAAACGUCACUGGUAACUCAAAAAUUUUGAUUAACCGACCAACUUUAUGAAAUAAGAAUUUUUACUAAAUAAAAAUAACUAUUUUGCCCAAAAGGAAUUUUUCACCUUUCUAGCCUCUUUUAUUUAACUUCUCCACCCCUCUUUUCUACCAAAGUAGUGAUAAUAUUUAUAGGGGAGAAUGGAUUUUUUCUUCCUUUUCUCCACCAAUGUGGGAGAAAAAUAUUUAUAGGAAAGGAUGAAGAUUUAUUUCUUGUCAUCCAUCAAUGUGGGAGAAAAGAUAUUUUGGGGUGUUUUUUUGGAAUUUUAAAAUUAAAGAUAAGAUGAGGUGGGAGAUAAUGUGGGGGGAAUUGUACCAUAUAGUACAAUUUUUGAAUUUCAAAAUUGUGAAAGGACAAAGUUGGGGGGAAAUAGUACAAUGUAGUACAAUUUACAAUUAAUUUUUGGUGGAAAUUGGGUAGAAGUUAUGAAAGUUUUUGGAAAUUUUAGGGUUAUUUAAAAUAUAACCCCAAUAGGGAUUUAAAAUUUAGCCAAAUUUAUUUAAUUUUGAUCAAAUUAAAAAUCAAUUGGCGCAUUGCAUUGCAAUUAUGAUCAAUUUUAUUUCAAUUAUGGACAAAUCUAAUAGAUUGGCUAAAUUAAAUUAAAAUUUGAUACGAAUUAAUACUUCUUUUAAUUCCGAGCUUCUUGAUUUAAUAAAAUCAAACACAUAUUUAUCCAAAUAAAUUAUUUUUGAGAAUAAAUUAUAUUUAAAUCAAGAUUUUAAUCCUUUGAAUUUAUUUCAAGACAAACCUUGAUUAAAAUCCGAUAUUUAUAAAAAUGGAUAUUUAAGUAAUAAAAUUAUAUAAUUUCGUGUAAUUGAAUACGAUAAUAUAUAAUCGCUACUUAAAAUGAUAAACUUAUCCAGAUAAAUAUUUUGAAAAGCUUUUUAUUCGGAUAAAAUAAAUAUUAUAAUUUUAUUUAAAAAAUUGAAGAAACUUGUAAUUAAACUUAGUUAUGGAGGACAAAAAUUAGGUGUCAACACUAUUUACGAACUCUCAGCCUCCUAUUUGACACAUGUCAAAUUUAAUUUUGUGUGACAUUUAAUUUAUGAUAUAAAUCGAUUUAAUUAUUUGUAUGUAUCAAAUUGAUAAAGGUUGAAACAAAUGUAUGAAAAUGAUUCAUUUUGAAAACAUAAGGAACACAUAACAAAUGUGUGUUACUGAAAAUCUUGAUUAAAUUGUCUAUAUGUAUCAAGGUGAUACAUAUGAUGUCUGAUGUAUCACGUGAUACAUAUGAGUAACUUAAUCAAUACAUAUACACCGAUAUAUUAACAGUUUCAACAUUUCAAAAAAUAACAUUUAAACUAUUUGAGGCUAGUAUUUUGAGCAAGUUGUAACAAAUCGAUCAUAUACUUAAGUCAAUUUAACUACCUUUAAGCAUUCCUCAGCUCCUCCUUCAUUGCCACCUACUUUAGAUGAUUGACCGACAUCAUGUACGACAUUGUCACUUUUAGCAUCCAUUUUGUGCUCAUUAAGAGAUUGAGGAGGAUCCCCUUCUCUAUCCGGGAUACCUUUUUUCACUUUCAUAUAGUGGAUAUUGAGCAACCUGCAAUAUCACAAAUUUGAAUAAUAUGAAAACAUAUUGAUAUUAAUGACAAAUUAUGAAUACCUUGCCAUAUGAAGCAAAACCUUUUUUCACAACUCCAAAAAAUCCUGUAUAAUGGUCCACCAUUAACUUUUGAAGAUCAUUGAAUUUCAUGUCAAUCUACAUUGUGAAUAACAUUUUGAAUUUCAUGUCAACUAAUUCUUGUUUCUUCAUAGGAGGGUGUGAAGAUGGACCAGCAUCAAACCUCAUCUUUUUGAGAAAAUCUACAUUUGGAGUAGUACUGAAAUCAUCAAAUUCAUCUCCAAAUUCAGUAGGAGCAGUCCUUUCAGAUUAUUGUUGUACAGAUACUGCCUGUGCUAUAUUUGCAUCAUGAUUUGUUGGACCAAACAUCAAAGGAUUGGGCAACUCAAGAUGGUUCAAUUCCUGUGGUGAUGGGGUUAGAUUCCUGUAUACAAGCUGCAACAAAAAUAACACACAGGAUCAAAAAUUAAAAGUACCUUAAAAAUUAAAAAUAGACAUACAAAAGUAUCACGGUAAAAAAAACACUAUCUUACUAAACAUAUCAUCCAUCAGAUCCUUGUAUCUAGGCUUAGGUUUAACCACCUUCCAAUUCACCAUCCUUGGGAUUAAAUUGUGAACAUGAAAGACAAGUGAUUCAUCAACUGUGGCACAACAUUCGUACCACCAAAUCUGAAGCGCGUAUGGCAUGCCACUUAGACGGUAAACUUUUGGACAUCAUUCAUCGAUCGACUAAUAGAAACCAUCAGUUUCUCAAGAGCCAUUUUUCCCUAUGGAAAAUGACUAGAACUUUCAUCAUCCACCAUGUGAAAGUCUCAGGCAGGGAUAUUGGUUUUAUCUAAUUGGGAGAACACAAAUGUGCGUAUGAAGUACAAUAUCCCAAUUUUUAUUGCAUCUUUCACAUUUUCCCCACUUGUUAUUCAAAGAAAGCUUGACCAACUCACCCUUUUUCACAUUUGCUGUCGAAUUUGAAAAAUAUUUUUUCUGUAGUCGACAUGGUGGAAGGUCUGAAUAAUUAAAAUCAUCUACGUUGCCGAUGCAUUUCAAUCCUGUAACGAUAGCAAACUUGUACAGUAAAAAUCAAAGAAUUGUAUUGUUGACCAACGCCCUUAGUUGAUCCUGAUAUGAGUGUUGGACCUCUAAGAUCAUCAAGAACCUUGCUAUCAAUCCUUGAAAGUUACAAUUAGGUAGGUUCAGAAAUGACCCAAAACAAGUACUUCUGAAAAUUCUGAUUUCUUCAUCCUUCAAAAUCACGUUAAGCAUAUCUACUACAUUAAUGUUAUGUGCACUACCAAUCCUUACGUUGUGGGAAGGUCAUUCUUUCACAAUCAAACUAACAUUCUGCCAACAGAAAAAAAAGAAGUUGAUUCAUAUGUCAAAUGAAUCACAUGUUUAUAAAUUACAACAACAAUAAAAUGAGAAUAGAAAGUGUUAUCACAUAUGUAUCACAAAAAAAAUGAUACACAGAGAAUCGCUCUUAUUCUAUAUGAAAAAUGUGUAGCUGUAACGCCAAUAUGAAUCACCAGCACAAUAUAUGUAUCACCAAUUAAAAUAUCAUUUUAGUGUAACACCCAUAUGAAUCACCAGCACAAUAUAUGUAUCACCAAUUAAAAUAUUAUUUUAGUGUAACACCCAUAUGAAUCACCAGAACAGUAUAUGUAUCACCAAUUAAAAUAUCAUUUUAGUGUAACACCCAUAUGAAUCACCAAAAAAAUACGAAUCACCAAUAUGAAGUUAGACUGUUAAUCUGUUAUUAUAUGAAUCACCAAUAUGAAUCACAAGGUAUUUGAAUCACUAGUUAUGAAUCACUUGCGAUAACAAUACUUGCUCCGACGGAGAUUUGGGGAUAUGUUCAAUUUCAUCCUGAUGUUUCAUUUGUUUGUCGGAAUCUCGAUUUUUAGCAACAAAAGCUUCUAGGGUCAUUUCGCUGCUUUGAAUGAUUUUCACUAAAACCUAACUUGGUGUAAUUAAAUUUGCCCGAAGUAAAGCCCAGAACUUGAUUACUAUCAUGAACACCUUUUUGUGUUUCAAUUUGUGAAAUUCCCAAACUGAAUGAGGGUAAAUCUUCAUUAGCUAUUGAAGAUUCAACAAAUUAACACAAAGAAAUUUAAAGAAUAUAUAGAUAUUGACUUCUCUUGUUAAAAACUAACUUAAAACCCACAUAAACAAAAAAUUAACCUCUUUGAAGUAAUUGACAAAUUUUAAAAUUUAAUGCUGAAAGAUUACGUUUAAUUAGUUGAAGUAGUGGAGAAAGAAGUUGACUCAAAAUAUGCUAAAAUGAGAGAGAUUUAAUGGGAGUAAUUUGUGGAAAAAAAGAAGAAGAAGAUGCGUAUAAAGAUGAGAGAGAAAGACGUUAAUGGAGGAGAGAAAAUAGAGUGUGAAAGUUAAAGCAAAUGUAUCACCAUAAAUAUGCAAAAAAGGAUUUUAUGUAAUUUUUAAAAUAUUAAGGGAUAUUUGAUAAUAUGGUGCCUUAAGUUUGGAGUUUUUGUAAUUUAUCCUUUUUAAAAAGUCCUCAACUCCAAAUUUCAAAUUUUAGAAUUUCCCCCUUUUUCUUAUCUUUCAAUCUUUCUUAAUUUUUUUUCUUUCUAUCUCCAAAUUUCUUUAUCCCCAUCUUCUUCUUCUUAUUUUUUUUUCUCUCUAGAUUUUCCUCUUCUUUCAUCUUCUCUUCUUUUUUUUCUUUCUCUUUUCAUUUCAUUCUUCUUCCUUUUUAAAUUUUCAUGGAUAUUUUUUAAAAAAACAAUUGAGAAGUUUGAAAAGAAUUUUUUUGAUUUCUUUUAAAAAUAAAUAAAGAAAUAGUUUAGCAAAUUCAGCAACUACCAUAGUUGCUACAACAGUUACGGUAAUUGCUGCAACAACUACUAUUAGUUGUUGUGUUACAACAAUUAUCGAAAUUGCUGCAGCAACUUCAAUACUUAAUUUCUGAAAAAAGAUGUGGUUGGAGGAUGAGCUCACAAAAAAGUGAUAUUUUUGAUAAAAAGGAAGGUGAUGGUGCUGAUGGUGGUGAUGUCGAAUGAGAAGAUGACAUUUGUUAUGGUGUUGAUAGCGAUGGUGGUGAAGGAGAAAGAAGAAAAAUAGGCGAUAGUUAUGUAGAGGGAGAAGAUAAUGGUGAAUCUGAAAGAGGUGACAAUGGUAGUAAUAGUGAUAGUGGAGGAAGAGGAGGCAGCGGCGACAACAAAAAGGGUGUGGAAGAGGAUUGAUGGUGAUGGUGUAGGGAUCUUUGUGUAAAUAUAAUAUAGGGAUCUUUGUGGAAAUAAUAAAACUUGAGGAUUUUAAAAUUAAUGUUAUUAAUACUAAUCUUAAAAUUAUCACCUCUACUCACUCAAUAUUUAAGACUUGUGUCACUCUUUUUAGUUUUGAAAUUUAUUUGUCACCCUUAAUUAAUUUGCCUUAAUAACUUUACUAAUAUGGAUAUAUUUGGCCCAAUAAUUUAACUAGGUGUAAAUUUAGUUAAUUUAUCAAAAUAUUGGUUAUUUUUGACGAAGUUAUUCAUUCAAGAUAUACACGAAGGAAGAACAACAAAAACGGAAGAUCAAAUCAUUUACUAGUCGAUGAGCAAAUUUUCUCCAGGGAAUUAGUGGCACCAUUAAAACAGGUUCUUCUUCUUCCUUCUUACACCAUUUUUUUGUUGCUAUAAACUGUGAAUCUUGUAGUGGAAAAUUUGAUGGACAUGUUUCUAUUAACCUGUUGACAUAAACAUAUGUAACCAACAAUAUUCGUAGCCGACAAAAAUAUCUCCACAGGCGACAAUAUUAUGAAUAAACAGUAACUUUAUUUUGCUUGAUACACUUUGUAUAUAAUAGUAUUCAAUUUGGUAAUUGAAUUUUUGUCACACCAAGGCUGUAACCUAGCUGUAGAUGUUGGAAUUUGUUUGUCCAAUAGUUAUUUUAUUUUAUAUUUUGCGAAAAUCUAGUGACAGCUUGCUGUUAUGAAUUGUUAUGCUGAUCAUUUCUCAUUUGAUCUGAGAGUUUGGUGUAGUAUUGUUUCAUGACGCAUUCAUAGAGGAGAUCAUUUUUAUCAUAAUCUGUAAUGACAGUAAUGUAGUUCAAUGUUAGCCUAGUAGAAGCAUGUUCAAGCUUCCUCUUCUCAAUCCCAAAUUCCUUUAACGUUUCAUGGAAGGUUUGAGCAGUUUUACGCUAAAACUAAUUGAUGUUCGAGAUGCUUAUUUCUUUUCUUUUUGGAACGAAAGUUUGAGUGUUUGAUUAAUACGUGGGUUUAAAAAAUGAAAAUUCAGGACUAGACAAUCAUUGGAAUACAUGAAAAAUCCACUCUAUUAUCAGCUCAUUCACAACCACCUUACAACGACAUCAAACUAUGAAAUUUUGAGAACAUUAUGAUAUUCACUUUCCAGGAACAAAGUUUGUGGCGUAGGCCCAGGCAUUGUUGUUUACUGGAUCUGCAAGGUGAUCAGCAAGGUUCUCCAAUGGGCCCUUACCGGUAACAAUUGCCUGAACAAAGAAUCCAAACAUAGAGAACAUAGCAAGUCUACCAUUCUUAAUCUCCUUUACCUUGAGCUCAGCAAAUGCCUCUGGAUCAUCAGCAAGACCUAAUGGGUCAAAGCUGCCACCAGGGUAGAGUGGGUCAACGACUUCACCAAGAGGCCCACCAGCAAUACGGUAUCCCUCAACGGCUCCCAUCAAGACAACUUGGCAAGCCCAGAUGGCCAAGAUGCUUUGUGCAUGGACCAAGCUUGGGUUGCCCAAGUAGUCAAGUCCACCCUCGCUGAAUAUCUGGGAUCCAGCCUUGAACCACACAGCCUCACCAAACUUGACACCGUUACGGGCCAAGAGCUCAGGGAAGACACAUCCAAGAGCACCAAGCAUAGCCCAUCUGCAGUGGAUCACCUCGAGUUCUCGGUUCUUGGCAAAGGUUUCGGGGUCUGCUGAAAGUCCAGCAGUGUCCCACCCGUAGUCACCAGGGAAUUCACCGGUCAAGUAGCUUGGGGCCUCACCGGAGAAUGGGCCCAGGUACUUAACACGGUCUGGGCCAUACCAUGGGCUGCCAGAUGAGGCAGGCUUGGAGACAGCCUUUCUCAUAGAGAUCCUUCCAUUUCCAGUGAUUUCUGAGGGAGAGGGUGAGAGUUUCACUGCCUGUCCAGCAAAAGAAGGGGAAGAAAGAGCCAUUGUAGAAGCUGCCAUGGCUUAUCAAGAGAAAAGUAAGUGUUUGAUGGUAUGAAAUAUUGUUGAAGCUGGUUGUCAUGAAGCUGAAGUUAGUUGGGUUUCAGAAUAUAUAGUAGUAAGUAGAGAGAAAGAAUCCUCUUAUCUAGUGAUGUCUAUAGCUAAAAUCUCAUUGGGUAUCAAGAUCCCAUGUAUAGCAAGUAAUGCACUCUUGGCAAUUCCAAUCCAUCAAUUUUCCAAGAUGUUCACUAAGGGGGACCCAACCAAUUUUGUCCUCCUAUAUGUGGCUGCAAGGCUUGAAAUCUAUUCUAUGAAUUCUCGAGCUUCAAUAUGAUAUCUUUUAUCCAUUGGGAAUUUCUCAAGAUUUUAUCCACCAUGACUAUAGCUCAUUCAGUGUAGAACUAUGGUUUGGCAUUUCACUAAGUAAAUUGAGGAAAAACUGAAAUUCACUUGUAUUAGAUUAUCAAUUACUGAUGUUUGUCAAAAGAUUAACCUGUAAUGGCUUAAUGAGCAAAGGUGGAUCAAGAUUUGAAUUUUAUGAGUUUUUAAUCUAGGACUAGACCUUAAGUAGUAUAUCCGUUGUCCCAAUUUGUGUGGCACAAUUGCAAUUUCGAGAGCCAACCAAGUUUUUCUUUGAUGGAAAUUUGUUUACAUGUCUUUUAAAUAUUUCAAGUUAUUAAUUAUUGUGAUUUAUAGUAGUACUUUUUAUUUUUAGAUAACCGUGGUAUCCAGUGUUUGCCACCUCCCACCAACAUGGGAUUUGAACCUAAGAUCACUAAGGUUCUCAACCCACUUCAUUGACCAUUAGCCCAUAACCUUGAGUGCAUUGUGAUUUAUAGUAUUGUUUACAUAGUUUCCAAGUACAUAGAUUUUAUUUCAAAAAAAUUAAAACUUUUGUGUCCAAAUUGACUGUCAAAGUUUAAAAGUUUGAAUUUCAAAAUUCUAAAACAGAGGGAGUAGUAAAUAGAUUCUGAAUUUGAUUACAUACAUAUUUAAUGAUUAUUGUAACACAUACAUUAUUUGGGCAAAAGCUAAUUGGUUCUGUCAAACAGUAUGCGGAAGACUACCUCUGUCCCUGUUAAUAAGUGAUAUGAUUGUAUUAGUAUUUUUAUAAUGUCAAUGCAUAGAACUUAAUUGCCUUUCUAGUAAGUGUCAUGUAUAGCUUACUUUUAUCUUCUUCUUACUAUGUCCUUUUGGCUCUGGUCAUUACUAUGUGCCAUGUUUCGAAGGAUGCCUGCCUCUGUUAAAUAAGCCGUCACACAGGCAUGCAAGGAAGGAAGGAAGAGUAUACAAGAAAUUUAUGAAUUUGUUCAAAUUAAAGAUGCUAAUUAAAUUAACGUACACGUAAACCUAAGUAUUAUGACCUGGAAACUCAUAUAGCAGUACUUGCUACAUUCAGACUACAAAACAUAUUGGUUUUCCCUUUUUAACUGAAAUGUCAUUGGUCUAGUAGUAAAAUAAUAUGAUGACCCUAUUUACUUUUGAAAGAAAAAUGAGGAAUCAUGUAAUAACAUCAUAUCGUUCAGCAUUAUUAUUUGCACUGAUUUUGAGUAUUGCUUCUUGAGAAUUAAUUGAAUUCCAUAAGUUUCUCCGGUCUGUAAAUUUAAGUUUUAAGCUUUUAACAGCUUUCUAGUUUUUCUAGUUACCAUAUCCCAAAUGCAGCUUCGGUCUUUUUGCUAUGCUCUUCUUUUUUUCCCUUUGGUAUGAAAAUUGAAAAUGGCAAUAUAUGAUUCAUGUCUUUGAAAAGUGAAACUCAGAACUACAUCAUCAUUGAGAUAUAACAAACAUUUAUUCUAUUGUCAACUCACUCACAACAACUUUACAAGGCCAUCAAGCAAUCAAAUUUUAAGAAUUAUAUUAUGAUAUUCAUUUUCCGGGAACGAAGUUUGUGGCAUAGGCCCAGGCGUUGUUGUUAACUGGAUCUGCUAGGUGGUCAGCAAGGUUCUCCAAUGGACCCUUUCCUGUAACAAUGGCCUGAACAAAGAAUCCAAACAUAGAGAACAUAGCAAGUCUACCGUUCUUAAUCUCCUUUACCUUGAGCUCAGCAAAUGCCUCUGGAUCAUCAGCAAGACCUAAUGGGUCAAAGCUGCCACCAGGGUACAGUGGGUCGACAACCUCACCUAGAGGCCCACCAGCAAUACGGUAUCCCUCAACAGCUCCCAUCAAGACAACUUGACAAGCCCAGAUAGCCAAAAUGCUUUGUGCAUGGACCAAGCUUGGGUUGCCCAAGUAAUCAAGUCCACCCUCGCUGAAUAUCUGGGAUCCAGCCUUGAACUACACAGCCUCACCAAACUUGACACCAUUACGGGCCAAGAGCUAGGGGAAGACACAUCCAAGAGCACCAAGCAUAGCCCAUCUGCAGUGGAUCACCUCAAGUUCACGGUUCUUGGCAAAGGUUUCUGGGUCUGCUGAAAGUCCAGCAGUGUCCCACCCGUAGUCACCGGGAAAUUCACCGGUCAAGUAGCUUGGAGACUCACCUGAGAAUGGGCCCAAGUACUUGACACAGUCUGGCCCAUACCAUGGGCUGCCAGAUGAGGCAGGCUUGGAAACAGCCUUUCUCAUAGAGAUCCUUCCAUUUCCAGUGAUUUCUGAGGCAGAGGGUGAGAGUUUCACUGCCUGUCCAGCAAAAGAAGGGGAAGAAAGUGCCAUUGUAGAACUUGCCAUGGCUUAUCAAGAGAAAAGUAAGUGUUUGAUGGUAUGAAUAUUGUUGAAGUUGGUUGUGAUGAAGCUGAAGUCAGUUGGGUUUCAGAAUAUAUAGCAAGUAAGAGGGAAAGAAUACUUAUCUAGUGAUAUCUAUAUCUAUGAUCUCAUUGGGUAUCAAGAUCCCAUGUACAACAAUUAAUGCACUCUUGGGAAUCUCCAAUCCUUCAAUUUUCCAGGAUGUUCACUAAGGGGACCCAACCAAUUUUGUCCUCCUAUAUGUGGCUGCAAGGCUUGAAAUCUAUUCUAUGAUUUCUUGAGCUUCAAUAUGAUAUCUCUUAUCCAUUGGGAAUUUCUCAAGAUUUUAUCCACCAGGACUAUAGUUCAUUCAGAGUAGAACUAUGGCGUAGCAUUUCACUAAAUAAAUUGAGGAAAAGCUGAAAUUCAUUUGUAUCAGAUUAUCAAUUACUGAUGUUUGUCAAAAGAUUAACCUGUAAUUGCUUAAUAAGCAAAGUGGAUCAAGCUUUGAACUUUAUGAGUUUUGAAAUGUAGGACUAGACCUUAAGCAGUAUAUCCUCCGUCCUAAUUUAUGUGGCACAAUUGAAUUUCGAGAGUCAACCAAGUUUUUGUUUGAUGGAAUUUCUUUAUAUGUGUUUUAAAUAUUUCAAGUUGUUAAUUAUUGUGAUUUAUAGUAGUACUUUUUAUUUUUAGAUAACCAUGGUGUCCGAUAUUCGCCACCUCCCACCAACAUGGGAUUUGAACCUAAAACUUCUGAGGUUCUCAACCCACUUCAUUGACCAUUAGACCUUGGGUUCAUUGUGAUUUAUAGUAUUGUUUAAUAGUUUCCAAGUACAUUGAUUUUAUUUCAAAAAGCUUAAAACUUUGGUGUCCAAAUUGAUGUUGACACCUAAUUUUUACCCCCCCACCCCCCAUAACUAAGUUUAAUUUCGAGUUCUUCGAUUCUUAAUAAGAUUACAACAUUUAUUUUAUUGAAUAAAGGAAAUUUUCAAAAAUAUUUAUUGGGGUAAUUUCGUCACUUUAAGUAGCAAUAACAUGUUAUCGUGCCCGACUAUAUGAAAUUAUAUGCUUUGGUUACUUAAAUGGCUAUUUUCUAUAAAAUAAUCAAAGUUUGUCUUGAAAUAAUUUCGAAUGGUUAAUCUUGGUCUAAACAUAAUUUAAUCUCAAAAAUAAUUUGUAUUUAAUCUCAAAAAUAAUUUGUUCAUAUAAAUAUUUGUUUAAAUUUUAUUAAAUCAAGAAGCUCAGAAUUAAAGGAAAUAUUAAUUGAUUUCGAAUUUUGAUUCAAUUCGGCCAACCUAUCAGCUUCGACCACAAUUGAAAUUAGAUUGGCCAUUAUUGCGAGCAAUUGGCCAAUUGAUUUUAAAUUUGGCCAAAAUUUGAAUAAAUCAGCCAAAUCCCUAAUUACAUAAUCCACCCAAUUAAAUCAAUAUUGUCUCAUUUUAUAAACUACAAAUAGCAGCCCACUUUCUUAAUUUAGCUUACUAGCCUUGCCAACCUAAUAGUUAAGAUCAGCCCUUUCCCCUUUCAGUUGGGCCGUUAGUCCAAAACUUUCAGAUGACCCAACAAUUUUCAAAUGACAGCAAACCCAACCCAUUUUCUCAGCAAUCUUUUUCUUUAAUUAUAUUGACCGCCCCAGCCCAACAACAACAUCCGAUUCAUAACCAGGCGCAAUUUCAGCAUCCCCACCAGCCUAUUUUCCUUUUUCCUAUUUUCCUUUUUUUUCUCAAGCAGGCCUAAAUCAACCACCUGUGACCCGAUCCAACCCAAUUCCCUUUACCCCCUUUAUGUUCUUUCUCUUCAAACCAAGGGAAAACCAAAAACAGCUGUAAUACUACAACACCACCACCUUCAUCGACAACACAAGCAACCAACAACGGCGAAAAACCCGAAUCCAUCAACCCGAUAACCCGACUCCACCAGCCCCAACCCUUUUGUUUGCUCUCCACAAGCAUAUCACGCGUUAGAAAGAUGAGAAAGGAAUCCAAGAAAAAAUCAGUCCCAAACCUUCUAGAACGAGCCUACGUGUCAUCCCCAAAGGUUCAAUCCCGUGUUUCUCGGAUAAGAUUGUACGAUUUCGUACAGAGUUGGAUGAUUUUCAUUGGUUCUUGGAAAGAGUCCGUUUUUCCUAAAUGGUAUUAGUCUACCUGUCGCAAAUUUCUCCAAAAAAAUCCAAAGUUGGUAUGUUUUGGGCUAAAAAAUGAGGUUGUGGGAGGAUGGGAUUCUGAAUUUCGAAUUUCUCUUUUUUUUUAAUCCCUAGAUUACCCCCAAUUCAUCCCAUAUAUAAGGAUCCAUCGGGUCACUGUGAUGGGGGGAUUUUUUUUUAGAUGGGACUCUCCUCUUUUUUUCUAGGUUCACAACUUUAGAGGUAAAGGGAUUCCAACUGGGAGGUUUGGAAAAUUUCGCAAAAGUAUCGAGGGUUUUGGGGUCGAAAAAUUUUAGGAAAAAAUUUCUUAAAUUAGGAAAUUGAUAGAGAGGGCUAAGUUCAGAAACCAAGGAGGAAGUUUCUAGAGAAAGGAAACAAAAUUUUUAAUAUAGGUGUCUUUGGUCGACGAUUACUUCGAGCUUUCGUGGUCACCGUGUUAAAAUUUCUAGUGGUGUUGCAAUCCUGUCGUCAGCUCAACAACCCAUUUUGCUGCUCUGAAACAGGUAAACGCGUCUUUUCCUUUGAGUUUGUUUUGCUUCUUCAUCUCAUCCUUCAUAGUUUUGUAAUUAUAGUGAUAGUGGGAUGGUUUGUUGUAGAUGGUUGUUAUGGCCAUAGGAUUUUCUUGAAAAGAUUGCCGUUAUGUUGGUCGUUGCAUAAAUGUCUACACUCCAAUCCUUCGCUCCACUUUCGAUUUCGUAUGUUUCGGUUCGAUCGUUUUGACUCACCAUAUUAUUUUCAUGCUGUUAGUUAGUUUCAAUCCAUUCUUAAUAGUAAUCAAUGUUGUCAUGGUGGUGUUUUUUUUUAGUAUAAAUGUUGCUGAUUUUUUCAGUUUAAAUAGUAUUACUUUCAAUCUAGAAUAUUGUUAUUUUCUGAGUCUAAGUAUUGUUGGGUUUCAACCCCAAAUAUUAUUGUGUUUUUUAGUCCAAGUAGUGCUGUUUUUAGGCCUGAUUAUUGCUGUUUUUUAGCCUAAAUAUCGCAGGUUUUUAGCCUGAAUGAUGUUUCGGAACUUAAAUAUUUUUCCCAGACCUUGAACAUCGUCGUUGAACUCUUUGGUUUUGUUUUGUUGCGUCAAACAUGUAAAAUUUUCUUAAGUAGCAUACAGUUGAGUCGGAUCUUAUUUGGUUGUCUUUAGAAUCGAUCAAUAACAUGUUGGUUGUUUUGUUUCGAUUUAAAUCGGUCUUCCUUUCGAAUUAUAGAUGACCAAAAUAGAUAAUGUGCUUCUUUCUUCUUGAAAAUGACGUUCAAAACUGUUUGUGCUUGAGGCGUUGAUUUAUUUUUGCUUUCCCCCUUUGUUAAAAAUAUGUCCAAUUCAUCUUUUUGUGUCGAUUAGAACAGUGGCUUGUCAAUAUCCUAUUCUUACGUUGGUCUGAUUUUCGCUCAUAGGCUUAAAACUCUUAAGGUUUUGCAAAGCUAUUAUGUAGAAAACAACGAUUCUAUUGUCUUUUGGAUACGAAUCUGCAUCCUCAAUAUUUCUUCCGAUAAAUUGUUUCGGAGUCUAUCGUUUUCUCUUUUUGUCUUUGUUAAUAUGUGUCAUUUGCUACUACUUGUUGAUUCUUUGUUUGUAAUACUUGUUUUUCGGUUAUCUUCUACCCUGUUUAAUUAUCUGGUUCAAUAUAUUAAUUUUUUUUAGCUUCAAGAAUCUUGUGAUGAACUAUCACUUGUUGGUCAUUGAUAUCAAAAUAAAUCAAGAUGUGUUCAAACCAAGCUAUAUAAUUGGUCUUUUCUCUUAAGUUUGUGCUUUCUGGUUGAUAAAUUUUAAGGUGAUAUUUCUAUGGGUGAAAUGAAUCAGGAGCUUUACAUGAUAUUUCUUUUAAUUAGAUCACACUAGUACUGUUUUAUUCAUGCACCAAAUGUAUUCUUUUCCAUGUCAUCACUUAUUUGUUAAGUAACCAACUUUCAAACAUAUAUUAAUUUUCUUACUUUUUACUUUGCAUGUGGAUACGUUUGAGUCCUAAACGGACUCCUUUUCACCUUUGCAUCCUCGCUAUGGGCCCUUGAGGCUCACCUCGUUGAACUAAGCCCAAAAGAAGGUCCAAAAGGCCAUCGUUUGGCGUAUGGAUACGAGAAGACGGGAGGAAAGGAAAUGGAUUAAAGCCCUACAUUUGAAGCGGCUAAGAGACAAAAGUCUCAUUUAUUAUUUCAUUCUAUUUAAUUAUUGUUGCUUUUUUUAUUUAUUUUAUUUGUUUGUUCAUUUUAUUUAUUCAUUCGGAUCACGAAGCCAAAGUUGUAAAUUUAAUACAGGUGGAGCGAGACUCGAGCUAAAGACUCGAAAAACAUAGAAUUAGGAUAGGUGCAAAUGGGUCGAAAUCCUAACUAGAUUAGGAUAGGGUCGACGGUUUGGGCUUAAAAGCCUAAAUCAUUACUUUCCCACUUUUUUCCUUUUUUCUUUUCAUUUACUUGUUUGCUUGUCUCUUUGCGAAGUUAGUUAAAUCCCUAACUAAGUCACUAAAAAAUUGAUUUUGAAAUUUUUUUUAUUUAAUCAACUAUUUUUCUAGCAAAUUGAUUUUCCGAAGUUAAUCAAAAGAAUGUUUUUAAACAGUCCGGAUAACCGCAAGUUAACGGACGUUUUAGGUGCCUAACACCUUCCUAAAAUGUUAAUAGGAACUGCUUACUCAGAAUCUAUUAACUUAAACGAUUUUCCUGUUUUGAAUUGUUUGAUGUAAUUCUCUAAAGGUUUCUUAAUUUCUUUUCAAAAUUAAGUGGCGACUCUCUUUCAAAAGUUAAAAUUUCCGCAAAAUAGAAAUGGCGACUCUGCUGGGGAUUUUUUGAACUAGGUUCUAACCAAAUGUUUGAUUUUGUCUUUUGAUUAAAUGUUUAUGUGUUUAUAUAUUUCAAUUCUAUAAAUAUUAAUUAUCGCAUCUCAUGGCAUAUCCCUGCAUUAUUUAAACUGUUUUGGGAUUUUGUGGAUGUUCGGCCCUUGUUGUUUAAUUUCAAAAUGUGUUGGAAAUACGAACAUCUUAUUUGCACGUGAGUCAUCUGAUGCUGUUCGUAUUUUCAAACUCAAGUUGUCCUUUUGAGAAUCAGUGUUCAAACCACUCUAGACACAGAGGAUAGAACGAAACCAAAAUCCUAUUUUAGGCAUGAGUGUAGGACGAUCCAGUACCCGAGUGGGGUAUUGGGCCCAUUGGAAAACCUACCCUACGUCUAUUGACCCCGAGUUAAUUACAGACGAAUCAUAUUUAUGUGUUGAAAAAAAUACAUGCUUGUCUAAUUCAAUCCAUUAUCCUUUGGGGUCUGGGGAAGGCUUAUCUUUGUCUGCUUUCAUGUAGGAUAUGGCUCAACUACAUUCCCACGAAAAGUUCAAGAUGGUUACUAAACCUGACGAUUUCUUGAAACUAUGGUGGGACCACAUGAGCGCAGGAGAGAAAAAGAUUGUUAGAACACACAUUGGGCAUCUUCCUUCUUUGAUCGAGAUGGACGCUUGGCCCGAAAUUAUCCAUGUACUAAUAACUUUUUGGGAUGAUCAGAAUAUAGUAUUUCGCUUUAGGGAUGUUGAAUUGACUCCUACCAUUGAAGAGGUAUUAUUUGUUACGAGAGUACAGAAAUGUGUUUUAAGAGAAGGGAGACACCUGAUAAGAACAUUUUAGUCCCGAUUGUGUGGGAUCGUCAAAAGAUCAAGGAGGUAUUUUUAACUAACGACGACACCUGGCUAGGAGAACGUGUGGAGAAAAUAUCACUUUUCGUGAGUUGUAUCGUCGGUUCGGGAGAUUCAAUGCUUUUCACAAAUUUGGGCAUAAAUAUGAGUCAGAAGCAAAAUGGAAAGAGUCGAGAGCCUUUGCAUUUGCGGUAGGCCUACUUUGAACCAUGGUGUUCCCACAAGGGGAAAAUGGCACAAUUCAUCCGAGGGUUGUCUCAGUGACCUAUGCACUCUUCUUUGGAAUGGAGUACAAUUAUAAAAAGGUAUUUCACAACUUAGAUCCUAUGAUUGUUGCCGACUUAUAUCGAACUUUGGGAAGGUGUCAAGUCGAUAAUCGUUUCUUUCAAGGCUGCAACCUUAUGUUACAAUGGUGGAUGAUGAUUCAUUUGGUGAAAAAUCCUAGAAUGACACAACCUGACCACAAAACAAGGUGGAAUCUGCUAGAAUCGCACGACAUGUGGUUGUUUUUACACAGGUUCAAAAGGGAAGCAUCUCAUGAAUUUUGGCUUAAGACUCUUGGAGAAUUAAGAGAUGACGAUGUCCAAUGGUCCCUUAACUAUCUUCAUUCAGGGAAAUACAUUAUUCAAGGGGGUGAGUGGCCUUUUCUAGUGCUUCCGGGUAUCAGGGGAACCUGUCCCUACAAUUCUGGUAGAGUUCUUAGGCAAUUUGAGAUCAAGAAGGAGAUGCCUCAAAUCGAUUCUAUGCUCAGAUUCUUCACCGAAUAUGAUGAAACCGAGCCCUCGCUCAAAGACUACAUGAUAAACGAAUUUAGAAGGAGAAGGUGGACGGAAGUCUCUUUCCAUAUAGGGUAUGUACCUGAAGUCAACGAUACUUACAAGGAGUGGGUAAAAAAGAGCCUCAGUGGUGCAUUAAUUUCGGGGCCAAACGUGCCCACUUGGGUCGUGGAUGUAGAAUUCGAGCAUCAGAUCCAACUCCACAGGCUUCAGGAUAAAUUUUAGAAAAAUGAAAUCGCGCACCGACAUCGCAUGUAGAAGAUGCUUUAACAAUACGUAUGUUGAGGGAAGAGUUGAAAAGAGCUAGGCAAGAGGCUGAUGAUGCUAGGCAGUGUUUAAUCGAUUUGGAUGAUAGCAUGGCCUCUCAACUCGAUAGUAUAGGGAAAAUGACUUACCACAGCAAGGCACAAUUAUACGGGAGUCAUCUGAUCAUCAAUAGGUAUCAAAUAGCACAGGAGGUGAACAAGGAAAAGAAGGCAAAGACAGACAAAGGAGCCUCCGUUAGCUAGUUUUUCUAUUUCCCCUGCGCGGGAACUUAUUUUCUUUCAUGUUAUUUCCCUUUUUUCCUAAAGAUUGUAUCCCUCUUUUCUUAUUUUUUUGAAGGCAUCUAUGCCCUUUUUCGUGUCUAUAUAAAUUAGGGGAUAAUGGAUUGACUUUAAGGAAGCAUAUAUUUUCUUCAAAAUCGUUAGGCCUGAACCCUUGGCUCAAAAAGGGUCACCCCAGUUAGGAUACGCAUUAUUAUAAUGUUUUGUGUGAUAUAAUUGUCUUAUGUUCUUAUGUGUGUUUAUUUGGAUCAACGGCAAGUUUAUUCGCUAUACUCCUAUGGAUGAAUUUGGCUAUGACUCAAAAAACUCUAUGUGAUUAUUUCUUGUCAAAUAUUUUGCAUUACUUAUCACAUACGGAAACUAACACAUCUGCCUUUGAGUUGUUUUACUUAACAGAUAGUAGAAACUACUCUGUGUUGAUAUAAGUUGGCAGAACAUCCCUACUUCACCCGGUCAAAAGCGCACAAAAUCCCAUCCUCUGACCAUCAUUUAAUAAUACUAGAAAUAAUGAAGAAAACGCAUUGACCAUCAGGGACAAUCUAAUAGUGGAACAGAAUGAGAUGAUUACGGAACUCGCAAGAAAGCUUGAAAUGCUUCAGGAGGAAAUAAAUUGUACUCGAGAUUUGGCUCACCUGGCCAUCACUGUUAAUGCUCCCGCUCCAGGAGGACACGGGACUCCACUCCAAAUACCUUCCCUUAGUACGCCUAUUCUCGGGGAUCAGCCAAAUAACAUAUCAUCCGUCUCUGCCCCUUCACUUGUCCAAAAUACCAAUCGCGAAAAUAACCCAGAUGCCUACCAUCCACAAAAUCCAUCUCUAACCCCACAAAACCCAUCUACGAAUCUAUUCCCAAAUCCCCAGAACACAUUUUCAAAUCAAGAAAAUUCAUUCCCAAAUCCACAGGAUUCACUUCCAAACCCGUAAAAUCCAUUAAAUCUAUUCCCGAAUCCACCAAAUUCGUUUCCAAAUCCGCAGAAUUCUCCUCCAAUUCCACCAAACCACUCGUAAAUUCCACAAAACCUUCCUAAAUUUUAAAACAUCAUCCCCACCUACCAAUAAACUUCCUUUCAUCUGCAAAAUCAAGCCUCCUUUCCAAAUCUCCCUCAUGCCAUCAUAUCCCCUGACAUCUAUAAUCCCCUACCUAAUUUUGAGAUGGACCAUUACUAAGAGAAGGAGAAAGAGUGGAUGAUCGAGGAUGAAAUUAGGUUGCUAGCUAUGAAUGAAGAGAUCAUGAGGAUCAAAGAAUCUCAUGAAGCGAGGGACCACGACGGUUUAGGGUAUGAUGACUUAUGUGUUCACUCUGGAGUAGAUCUACCAGAAGGGUACAAGGUCCCCAAGUUUGAAGUGUUUGAUGGUGCUGGGAAUCCAAUGGCCCAUCUGAGGAGGUACUGUAAGCAACUGGUAGGGAUCGAGAAAAAUGAGGUGUUAUUGAUGCGCCUAUUCAGCCGAAGUUUAAGCGGUGAAGCCUUAGAGUGGUUCAUGUAUCAGUAGCCAAAAAAAAUGGACUGGUUGGAAAGCAUUGGCUAAGGGUUUCCUCGAAAGGUUCUCAUUCAACAUUGAAAUUAUCCCGGACCGGUAUUCACUAGAUCGGAUCAAACAAAAGAGUGAUGAGAGUUUUCGAGACUAUGUUUUUCGUUGGAGGAAGGAAGCUGCCAAAGUUCAACCCUCCAUGUCUGAGGAAGAAAUGGUAUCCGUAUUCUCUCACGCUCAAGAAGGACAAUAUUAUACCAGGAUGGUGUCCGCUUCAGGGCAACUUUUGCAGAUUUGGUAAAAAUUGGGUAAUCACUGGAAGAAGGUAUUCGUACAGGAAAAAAUUGCCAAGACCCCAACAUCGUUCGAAACUGCUAUGUUCUCGAAGAAGAAAAAAGAGGAUGUAGGCACGGUUUCUGCUGAUUCUAUUGCAAAAACGAAAAAAAGGUUCAACUCUAGGAAUGUUUUCUCUUCUCCACCAUCACCAAACUUUCAGCAUGUAUUCUACACCCAACCCCAAUACCAAGCUUCACUUCCAAAUAUCCAACCUCAGUACCAAACUCCACUCCCAAAUAGUCAACCCCAGUACCAAGCUCCACUCCUAAAUGUCCAAUCCCAAUUCCAAGCUUCGCAGCCAAAUAUUUUUCCCUAAUGUCAAGUUCCACCGCUGAAUUAUCAUCCUAAUAUCCAAUCCACUCUUCCAAACAUCCGAAAAAACAUCCAAGCACCUCUAAAUUAUCAUUAAGUGCUUCCUCCUGCAAAUCAAAAUCAUUAUAACACUCCGCAUCCAAACAUCAAAAAUAAACCUCCCCAAAACUCCACGUUGCUUGCUGAAAGUCGCACCCAACUAUUUGAAAGAUUGAAGAAUAUCGGUCACUUGUAAUCGAUCCAGUUAAAUCUUGUCAAUCCCAACUCUCGAUUUUAUUAUCCUGAUCAAAAUUGUUCUUAUCAUUAAGGAGCAGCAGGGCACAGUACCGAGGACUGUUUUAUCUUGAAACAGAGGAUCCAAGAUCUGAUUGAUCAAAAGGUCAUCACGCUUCAGUCACCGACACCAAAUGUCAAUAGUAACCCAUUGUCUAAUCAUGGGGGAUCUACUAUUAACAUGAUUGAAAUGAAACGAGAAUGGGUGUCUGGCAAGACUAUUACUAAGAUGAAUUCAGAAGAGUGCAAAAGGGCGGAAGAGGUAGAAAAGAUAGAGAGAGUUGUGGCUACCUUAAGUGUCAACGAGAAAGCCCCAUUUAUAGUGAUGACGGCCCCUAUCCAAGUGUACACUCACCCGCCAAGGAAGGAAUUUAUUGUACAGACCGUUGUUGCCUAAGGGAUGAUGCAAUCGGGAUGAUGCUACAUCUCUAAAGAAUUGACCAACAAAAAAAAUUCACAGAAAAGGCCAACCACUAAAGGGGAGGAUGAGGAAUUUUGGAGGCGUAUGCAACCCAAAGAUUAUUCAAUUUUCAAACAUUUAGAGAAGACGCCGGCCCAAAUCUCCAUUUUGGCACUAUCAAUAAGUUCGCAAUACCACCGAUAAGCUUUAUCAAAGGUCUUGGAUGAAGCGUAUGUUCCCGUAGGAACGAGUGUUGAGAACAUGGUUGCGAUGAUAGAAAACAUUGUGGGGAAUCAUCGUAUAUCAUUCAGUGAUGAAAAGUUGCCUUUUGAAGGAGUGAUGCACAAUAAAGCCUUGCAUGUCACUGUCAUUUGCCAAGAUUAUGCGAUUAAUCAGGUAUUAAUAGAUGAUAGAUCUGGUGUGAAUAUUUGUCCCCUCUCCACGUUGGUUCAAAUGGGCUAUAAUUUGGGAAAAAUUCAUCAAAGCCACAUAAAUGUGAGAGCAUUCGAUGGAGGGCAGAGAGAUACCAUAGGAGAAAUUGAUUUGUACAUCCAAAUGGGACCUGCUGAGUUCAAAACUAAGUUUCAUGUUAUGGAUAUUCAUCCUAGCUACAACCUUCUCUUGGGAAGACCAUGGAUACAUGGUACAAAGGCCGUUUCAUCACCCCGUCAUCAACUAUUGAAAUUCAUUUGGGAGGAUCAUGAAGUAGUCAUCCAAGGGGAAGGAAGCCGAGCGGAUCGUCCCAAUGGUUAUGUGCCGGUAAUUGAAGAUGUUCCAAAGGGUAGUAGUUUCUAUACGGUUGAAAUUAUAAAUGCUGUGGAGAAGGAUCUGACGCUCAAAGGGACAAUGCCUUCUUUCUAUAAAAUAAUUGCGACGGUGAUGUUAAGAAAUAGAUUCGAGCCUGGUCGGGGUUUGGGUACGAAUCUACAAGGAAUUAUUGAGCCUAUUAUGAUCCCAGAGAAAGCCUUUAAAUAUGGGUUAGGAUAUCACCCUACCGAGAAGGAUAUGGUUGAGGAUAAGUUAGAGCAGAGUCUGUGUAGGCCCUUUUUGCUUUUAUACCAGUCAUUUCCUAUACGGGAGAUGUCGAAUGAUGAUGGUCUUGAGUAUGGGAUAGGAGAUUUGUUUGAGGGAUGCAAUGCUAUACCAGAAGAUUUCCCAAAGUCCGGCGGGGUGAAGAAGAUUGCGCCAGGGGAGGCCUUGAAAAACUGGACCUCCACUCCAACCCGUCGCCCAUCGUGGUAGAUGAAAGGGCAAUUCAGAAUAGUUUUAAAAUCAGUGAUGAUCUGGAAGAGGCCCCACGAUCCACACUUUAUAUCUCAAAACUUUAUUUUUAUAUUUUACUGCUUUCAAAAAGGCAUGGACUUGUAUUUGCACGAGUCAUGAGCCAUGGUUUUGUAAUUAUCUCGCAAAUUUCAUUGAAAAGGCCUUCAUUCAUUUAAAAAAAAAUUAUUAUUCCUGAAACAUUCCUAUUCGUAUAUUUUAUUAUUAUCUUAUUAUCAUCUAACUUGGUUUGUUUGUCCAUUACAGUAACAGUAACUUAAAAUCUGCCAAUGUCAUGUCAUAUCAAAGCUUAGACGAACAAAAUAAGGGGAAUGAUGAUGAUUGGAAGGACGGUGAUGAGGAACAAUUAGUUGAAGAUAUAGAGGAGUUUGAGAAUCGAGAAAAGCCUAACCUAGAGGAAACUAAAAUAGUCAACCUCGGAGAUCAAGAUGAAAUCAAAGAAAUAAGUGUCAACGUCCACUUGGCGGAAGCACAAAAGAGAGAGCUCAUUCACCUGUUACAGGAAUAUAUUGACGGUUUUGCUUGGUCCUAUGAUGAUAUGCCGAGAUUGAGCACCAAUAUUAUGUCGCGUAAGUUGCCAAUAAAUCCAGAGUUUGAUCCAGUCAAGCAAAAAAUACGGAAAUUCAAGCCAGAUUUAAGUCAAAGAUCAAGGAAGAAGUGACAAAACAAAUCCAGUCUAAGGUUGUGGAGGUCACAAAAUAUCCAACAUGGUUGGCCAACAUUGUCCCUGUGCCGAAGAAGGACGACAAUAUUCAAAUUUGUGUUGACUAUAGAGACUUGAAUAGAGCCAGUCCUAAAGAUAAUUUUUCGUUGCCCAAUAUCCACAUCCUCAUCGAUAACUGUGCAAAGCAUGAAAUUCAGUCAUUCGUUGAUUGUCUUGCCGGGUAUCAUCAGAUAUUAAUAGAUGAGAAAGAUGCAGAAAAGACGACUUUUAUUAAGCCCUGGGGUAUUUAUCAUUACAAGGUAAUGUCGUUUGGUCUCAAGAACGUGGGUACAACAUAUAUGAGGGCUAUGACGAUGAUUUUCCAUGAUAUGAUCCAUAAAUAGAUUGAGGUGUAUGUGGAUGAUGUAAUUAGCAAAUCCUGCGAGAGUUCAGAUCAUCUGACUCAUCUGGAGAAAUUCUUUAACAGAUUAAGAAAGUACAGUUUAAAGUUAAAUCUUGCUAAGUGUACUUUUGGUGUGCCAUCAGGGAAGUUACUGUUCAUAGUUAGCAGAAGAGGCAUCGAGUUAGACCCAUCCAAAAUCAGGACAAUCCAGGACUUGCCAUCGCCGAGGACUAAGAAGAAAGUUAUGAGUUUCAUGGGUCAUUUGAAUUACAUUAGUAGCUUCAUCGCUCAAUCGACAUUCAUAUGCGAUCCAAUUCUCAAGAUAUUGAAGAAAAAUUCAUUGAAUGAGUGGACAGAAGAAUGUCAGAGAGCUUUUGACCACAUCAAAGAAUAUCUAUCUGCACCACCGGUUUUGGUUCCACCAAGAGAAGGAAUUUCAUUAUUGCUUUACCUGUCAGUCCCAAAAAAUGCUUUUGGAUGUGUCCUCGAGCAACAUGAUGAGACCGGUAGAAAAGAGAAAGCCAUUUACUACUUGAGUAAAAAGUUUACGCCAUAUGAAGCCCGUUAUACUCUUGUAGAAAUGACAUGUUGUGCUUUGACUUGGGCUGCACAAAAGUUAAGGCAUUAUCUGUCUUCGUACACGACAUACAUCAUCUCGAGAAUGGAUUCAUUGAAGUAUAUAAUACAGAAGACUAUACCCACAGGAAAGCUAGCCAAGUGGCAAAUAUUGCUAAGCGAGUUUGACAUCAUGUAUGUAACUCAAAAUGCAAUCAAGGGGCAAGCUUUGGCAGAUAAUUUGGCAGAGAAUCCAGUUGAUGAUGAGUAUGAACCACUUCAAACUUACUUCCCAUAUGAGAAAAUUCUAUUUGUGGGAGAAGACAUUACAGAAAUUUACCCUGGAUGGAGGUUAUUCUUUGAUGGAGCGGUCAACUUCAAAGGUUCAGGAAUCGGAGCAGUGUUGGUCUCAGAAAUGGGUCAACAUUAUCCAGUAACUACUAAGUUGCAUUUCCCAUGCACCAACAACAUGGCCGAAUAUGAAGCUUGCAUCCUGGGUCUCAAAUUGGCACUUGAUAUGGGUGUUCGUGAAUUGCUAGUCAUCAGGGAUUUAGAUUUGCUGAUUCACCAGGUACGGGGAGAAUGGGCGGUAAAAAAUUCCAAGAUUACUCCUUAUGUUGAGCUGGUACAGGAAUUAUGUGGAAAAUUCAAAGAAGUUGAUUUCAGACAUAUCCCAAGAAUACAAAAUGAGUUUGUUGACGCUUUGGCCACUAUAUCCUCUAUAAUUUGGCACCCAGAUCAGAGUUAUAUUAAUCCUUUGGAAAUAAGCUUGAAGGAGCAACCUGCGCAUUGUGCACGUGUUGAAGAGAAGCCCGAUGGAAAGCCAUGGUACUAUGACAUUAAAAGGUAUUUAGAAUCUGGAAUAUAUCCUGAAGAGGCCAGCAACAACCAAAAGAAACAACCCAGCGUUUGGCAAAAAACUACUUUCCAAGUGGGGAAUUUCUUUUUAAGAGGACACCUGAUUUAGGAUUUUUAAGAUGCGUAGAUGCUGUGGAAGCCAAUAAAUUGAUAAAAGAAGUACACACAGGAGUUUGCGGACCCCACAUGAAUGGGUUUGUCCUUGCCAUAAAGAUCCUGAGAACCGGCUACUUCUGGAUAACUAUGGAGAAUGAUUUAGUAAGUAUGUGCAGAGAUGUCCAAAAUGCCAUACACAUAGAGAUUUGAUUCGAAUGCCUCCACACGAGCUUCAUGAAAUGAAUUCACUUUGGCCUUUCGUAGCUUGGGGCAUGGAUGUUAUCGGACCGAUAGAGCCAUCAGCAUCGAUAGGCAUAAAUUUAUUUUUGUUGCCAUUGACUACUUCACUAAGUGGGUCAAAGCUGCAUCAUAUAGAUUCGUCACUAAGAAAAUGGUUGCAGCUUUCGUUAGGAAUAACUUGAUUUGCCAAUUCGGAGUACUGUAAUCAAUCAUUACUGAUAAUGGGGCAAACUUGAACAGUCACUUGAUGAAAGAAAUUUAUGAUCAGUUCAAAAUUGUGCAUCGCAACUCUACCGCAUAUCGUCCACAGAUGAAUGGAGCCGUAGAAGCUGCCAAUAAGAACAUCAAGAAGAUCUUGAGAAAGAUGGUCAAAAUGAUAGAUCAUGUCAUGAGAUGUUACCUUAUGCUUUGCUAGGUAUCGCACAACAGUUCGAACCUCCAUCUGGUCAACUCUCUAUUUGUUGGUUUACGGGAAUGAAACUGUGAUACCUGUUGAGGUUGAAAUACCUUCCCUGAGGAUUAUUCAAGAGGCCGGACUAAGUAACAAAGAGUGGGUUCGCGCUCGUUGUGAACAACUCAUGUUGAUUGAUGAAAAGAGAAUGGUUGCCAUGUGUCAUGGUUAGUUAUAUCAGCACAAGAUGAUUCAUGCUUUCAACAAGAAAGUGAGAGCUCGAACAUUUGAAGUUGGGCAAUUAGUUCUCAAAUGCAUACUCCCUCACCAAGAAUAUUACAAGGGCAAGUUCGCUCCAAAUUGGCAAGGUCCAUACAUAGUUCGCAAGGUACUAUCUAGAGGGGCUCUGAUUUUUCUGAGAUGGAUGGCCAUGAGUGGACCAAACCAAUCAAUUUUGAUGUGGUGAAAAGAUACUAUGUUUGAAGGGCGUUCUAGUUUUAUGGUUCUUAGUUUAUCUGUAAUCGCCAUGUAAUAAUGUGUUUUAUGAUGUGUAAUUGCCUAGAACACUUUUCCCUUUAUGUACGAACUAUGUUUGACCUGAAUUCCCAAGAAAGGGAUACGUAUGCGGCCUAUGUCGGAUUCGGUCAACCUCUUAGAGAAUUUAUUCUUUCCCUUUAUGUAUGAACUACUUGAUGACCUGAAUUCCCAAGAAAGGGAUACGUAGGCGGCCUAUGUCGGCUUCGGUCAACCCAUUAAUUUGUUUUGUAUAUUCCUAGCGUAAUCCUAAACUACAUUUGACCUGAUUCCUACUUCAACGGGAUACGUAGGCGCCCCAACGGUUCGAUCAUAUAACCCCAAGAAAUGAAAACUGGGGCAGAAUUUUUGAGAAGGAAUCUCGAAAAUUCACAAGAGAAGAUCAACAUCCAACAAAGAGAACGAAGAUCAGCAAAGACUUUAGAUCCACUCAAGAUGAUAUCAUCUCAGACUACUUUAAACUGGGGCAGAAAUUUUAAGGAAGACCUCAAAAUUUCAAUCAAAUACUGGAAUAUAUUUUAGAUUCCCCAGCACUAGAGGUCAAAGUUGAGAUUUGAGAAUAACCACCUGUGAUAAAGUCUAGGAAGACUGAAUCUCCAUCUUUGAUAAAACCUCUGGUAGAGAGCCUCGACAAUCUUGAAUCCCAGCUAUCCUCCGUCAAACGUCAGACAUUGUCAGAAUCAAGAUAAAGAAGGUCGUUGAGCUAGCACAUGACAUGACUGGCAAAGAUUUUUCAAAGUUUUGCAGGAGUUCUCAAAAUUAUUUUCUAAAAAGUAAGAGUACUAAAAUCUAUAUAAAUCUUUUACUUAGUUAUUGCCUAGACAUCAAUUAGGACGGAGAGUCAUAAGUAGAAGUCCCAACACGACGAAAUACCUGAAAAAUGGCGAAAGGUAAAUCAAGGAUCGAAGGAGGUCAACACGAAGUAGUUUCACUCAAACUAAUCAUUUUUUAUGGGCGCAAGGACCAAUACACAAAAAUGAAAGUCUCUUUCAAAAAUCUCCGAGCAAAUUGGGAGCCACACCAGAGCACUAAUGCUCAAGAACAGUAUUUUUGGGUAGCCCUAAAAAUGGGUUUAGUACCCAUAUAUUGAAGACCUUUUAAAGUUGUCCAUCUCAUUUCUUGAGAUCAUGGAGGACAAAUAAAAGUGUCUUGUCUUCUUUACAAAUAUUGUAUUUAGAAUUUUUCUAAAAAACAUUCGCUAGCAAAAACGACUUUGUGUCUACUAAUCGUCUACCUUGAGUAUAGGUACAUGCAGAAAGCAAGAUCCUGACAAAUGAUUUCAGUUGAAACUAUUUUUAAUUUACCGGAAGAACCAUUGCAUAUCAUUGCCGAAAGAACAAUUUGAGAGAUUAUCUAUAAGUCAUAUUGUAUCCAAGGUCGGAUGAUAUGCAGGAACCCCUGAAAGCUAGCGAUUGGAGGGAUAUCUGUAAGCUGUCUCUUAUCCAAAGUCGAAUAAUUUGCAGGAUUACCUAAAAGCUAGAAAUUCAAAGGAUAUUUGUAAGUUUCCUCUUAUCCAAUAUCAAAUAAUGUGCAAGAUUAUCCAAAGAUUGAUAAUUUAAAGGAAAUUUAUAAAUCAAUCAUCGUCAAUAACCAAAAAGGUUAUCCUUCCACAUACAACAAGAAUUAUAGGUGACCGAAGAAGUUACCACAUCUACACAAGAUUACAUGGUUGUGAGGACCAUUCUUCAUAAAAUAUCAUUGAUGUCCGAAGGGCCACCCCACUUUGAAGAUAUAUUCAACCGACAAAUGCCAUAAUUAUACAACUAUCAAGAAGGUUGUUGUGCCUGUUAUUUCAAGUUAUUUCCUUUCAAACAGGUACAAGAAAGGAUGACUUCGCUUUUUAGACAACAACUCACGCGGAGAUAUGGUAAAAUACUAUAUACCUCUUUCGUGAGUUAUGCUUAUCACUAAUGAUUUUUGUUUGAGAUAUUGUCGAGAGCAUCCGAGAGGAUAAAAAUCUCAAAUCAAAACCACAAGUGAGGACGACUCCAAAAAGGACGCAGCACAACGUGGAACUCUUUCUUAGCAGCAAAACGGGACAUAGUCUAGACAGGGAUGUCAAACUCUCUGGAUGCGAGCUAAAUGAUGAUUACCACCACCAUCUAACCACACCCCUUUUAGAAGGCAUGUGGGUAUUUUGGGAUAUUCUGGUUUCAGCUUCACCUUCGGGAUAUUUUCUUUACUCAUACCGAGGGUAACCUUCUCUUUCUUUCAAAUUUGGGUGACAACAUACUUAGAGUUUUGAAAAUUAUGUCCAGGUAAGUUCUUAUCUAUGGAUGUGAAGGAUCCCACAUUCAUGAUUAAGAGGUUACAAACCUUUUUUCCGCAACUCAGUCAACUUGUCACUUAUCCUGAUCCAAAGAUUGUCUAAAAAUAGAAGACUAUCUUUUCUACCGAUAGAGUCGAACUACAAGCAGUCUGAUUCCCUGAGUCUCGGGGAUAUGUAAGCUGGGCUCUAUGUAGAAAACUCAACUGAAUUCCAACCUCCCCCCAAAUCCCUCUAUUCCAUAGCUUUUUGAUUUUGUCAAAAACUCCAAAAAUCGAGACAACUUGUGAAUUUUUUAAAAAUCAUGCUUUAAAUCAUGCUUUAUGAACUACAAGUGGCCUGAAUUCUCAUGCCACCUGAGAUAUGUAGGAAACCUGAUGCCAAGGUUCGGCCAUAACUCAUUAAACUCGUGCUUAAGCCAACCUUUUUCAGAUGUGAAUUUGUGAUCAAACAAAAAUUAGGAACGUCAACCUCCCUUUGCCUAGGAUUACUUGCAUCCACCCUACCCAAAGGGAGGGGGCAGUUGUUGACACCUAAUUUUUACCCCCCAUAACUAAGUUUAAUUCCGAGUUCUUUAAUUUUUAAUAAGAUUACAACAUUUAUUUUAUAGAAUAAAGGAAAUUUUCAAAAAUAUUUAUCGAGGUAAUUUCGUCACUUUAAGUAGCAAUAACAUGUUAUCGUGCCCGACUAUAUGAAAUUAUAUGCUUUGGUUACUUAAAUGGCUAUUUUCUAUAAAAUAAUCAAAGUUUGUCUUGAAAUAAUUUCGAAUGGUUAAAAUCUUGGUCUAAACAUAAUUUAAUCUCAAAAAUAAUUUGUUCAUAUAAAUAUUUGUUUAGAUUUUAUUAAAUCAAGAAGCUCGAAAUUAAAGGAGAUAUUAAUUGAUUUCAAAUUUUGAUUCAAUUCGGCUAACCUGUCAGCUUCGACCACAAUUGAAAUUAGAUUGGUCAUUAUUGCGAGCAAUUGGCCAAUCGAUUUUAAAUUUGGCCAAAAUUUGAAUAAAUCAGCCAAAUCUCCAAUUACAUAAUCAACCCAUUUAAAUCAGUUUUGUCCCAUUUUGUAAACUACAAACAGCAGCCCACUUUCUUAAUUUAGCUUACUAGCUUUGCCAACCCAAUAGUUAAGAUAAGCCCUUUCCCCUUUCAGUUGGGCCAUACAGUUGGGCCGUUAAUCCAAAACUUUCAGAUGACCCAACAAUUUUCAAAUGACAUCAAACCCAACCCAUUUCCUCAGUAACCUUUUUCUUUAAUUAUAUUGACCGCCCCAGCCCAACAACAACAUCCAAUUCAUAACCAGGCCCAAUUUCAGCAUCCCCACCAGCCUAUUUUCCUCUUUAUUCUCAAACAGGCCCAAAUCAACCACCUGUUACCCAAUCCAGCCCAAUUCUCUUUACCUCCUUUAUCUUCUUUCUCUUCAAACCAAGGGAAAACCAAAAACAGUUGUAAUACUACGACACCACCACCUUCAUCGACAACAUAAGCAACCAACAAUGGCAAAAAAUUUGAAUCCAUCAACCAGAUAACCCGAAUCCACCAUCCCCAACCAUUUUGUUUGCUCUCCACAUGCGUAUCAGGCAUCAAAAAGACGAGAAAAGAAUCCAAGAAAAAAAUAGUCUCAAAUCUUCUAGAACGAGCCUAGGUGUCAUCCCCAAUGGUUCAAUCUCGUGUUUCUCAUAUAAGAUUGUACGAUUUCGUACAGAGUUGGAUGAUUUUCAUUGGUUCUUGAAAAUAGUCCAUUUUUCCUAAAUGGUAUUAGUCCACCUGUGGCAAAUUUCUCUAAAAAAAUCCAAAGUUGGUACGUUUUGGGCUUGAAAAUGAGGCUGUGGGAGAAUGGGAUUCUGAAUUUUGAAUUUCUCUUUUUUUUUCAAUCCCUAGAUUACCCCGAACUCAUUCCAUAUAUAAGAAUCCAUCGGGUUACUGUGAUGGGGGGAUUUUUUUUUUAGACGGGCUUCUCCUCCUUCUUUCUAGGUUCGCAACCUUAGAGGUAAAGGGAUUCCAACUAGGAGGUUUGGAAAAUUUUGCAGAAGUAUCGAGGGUUUUGGGGCCAAAAAAUUUUAGGGGAAAACUUCUUAAAUUAGGAAAUUGAUAGAGAGGGCUAAGUUCAGAAACCAAGGAGGAAGUUUCCAUAGAAAGAAAACAAAGUUUUUAGUAUAGGUGUCUUUGGUCGACGACUACUUCGAGCUUUCGUGGUCACCGUGUUAAACUUUCUAGUGGUAUUGAAAUCCUGUCGUCAGUUCGACAACCUAUUUUGAUGCUCCGAAACAGGUAAACGCGCCUUUUUCUUUGAGUUUGUUUUGCUUCUUCAUCUCAUUCUUUGUAGUUUUGUAAUCAUAGUGAUAGUGAGAUGGUUUAUUGUAGAUGGUUGUUAUGGCCAUAGGAUUUUCUUGCAAAGAUUGUCGUUAUGUUGUUCGUUGCAUAAAUGUCUACACUCUAAUCCUUCGCUCCACUUUCGAUUACGUAUGUUUCGAUUUGAUCGUUUUGACUCACCAUAUUAUUUUCAUGUUGUUAGUUAGUUUCAAUCCAUUCUUAAUAGUAAUCAAUAUUGUCAUGGCGGUAUUUUUUUUAGCAUAAAUGUUGCUGAUUUUUUCAGUUUAAAUAGUAUUACUUUCAAGCCAGAAUAUUGUUAUUUUUUUAGUCUAAGUAUUGUUGGGUUUCAACCCCAAAUAUUGUUGUGUUUUUUAGUCCAAGUAGUGCUGUUUUUAGGCCUGUUUAUUGCUGUUUUUUUAGCCUAAAUAUCGCAGGUUUUUAGCCUGAAUGAUGUUUCGGAACUUAAAUAUUUUUCCCAGACCUUGAACAUCGUCGUUGAACGCUUUGGAUUUGUUUUGUUGCGCCAAACAUCUAAAAUUUUCUUACGUAGCAUACAGUUGAGUCAGAUCUUGUUUGGUUGUCUUUAGAAUCGAUCAAUAACAUGUUUGUUGUUUUGUUUCGAUUUAAAUCGGUCUUCCUUUCAAAUUAUAGAUGACCAAAAUAGAUAAUGUGCUUCUUUCUUCUUGAAAAUGACGUUCAAAACUGUUUGUGCUUGAGGCGUUGAUUUAUUUUUCCUUUCCCCCUUUGUUAAAAAUAUGUCCAAUUCAUCUUUUUGUGUCGAUUAGAACAGUGGCUUGUCAAUAUCCUAUUCUUACGUUGGUCUGAUUUUCGCUCAUAGGCUUAAAACUCUUAAGGUUUUGCAAAGCUAUUAUGUAGAAAACAACGAUUCUAUUGUCUUUUGGAUACGAAUCUGCAUCCUCAAUAUUUCUUCCGAUAAAUUGUUUCGGAGUCUAUCGUUUUCUCUUUUUGUCUUUGUUAAUAUGUGUCAUUUGCUACUACUUGUUGAUUCUUUGUUUGUAAUACUUGUUUUUCGGUUAUCUUCUACCCUGUUUAAUUAUCUGGUUCAAUAUAUUAAUUUUUUUUAGCUUCAAGAAUCUUGUGAUGAACUAUCACUUGCUGGUCAUUGAUAUCAAAAUAAAGCAAGAUGUGUUCAAACCAAGCUAUAUAAUUGGUCUUUUCUCUUAAGUUUGUGCUUUCUGGUUGAUAAAUUUUAAGGUGAUAUUUCUAUGGGUGAAAUGAAUCAGGAGCUUUACAUGAUAUUUCUUUUAAUUAGAUCACACUAGUACUGUUUUAUUCAUGCACCAAAUGUAUUCUUUUCCAUGUCAUCACUUAUUUGUUAAGUAACCAACUUUCAAACAUAUAUUAAUUUUCUUACUUUUUACUUUGCAUGUGGAUACGUUUGAGUCCUAAACGGACUCCUUUUCACCUUUGCAUCCUCUCUAUGGGUCCUUGAGGCUCACCUCGUUGAACUAAGCCCAAAAGAAGGUCCAAAAGCCCAUCGUUUGAUGUAUGGUUACGAGAAGACGGAAGGAAAGGAAAUGGAUUAAAGCCCUACGUGUGAAGCGGCUAAGAGACAAAAGUCUCAAUUAUUAUUUCAUUCUACUUAUUGUUGCUUUUUUUUUUUAUUUAUUUUAUUUGUUUGUUCAUUUUAUUCAUUCAUUUGGUCCACGAAGUCGAAGUUGUAAAUUUAAUACAGGUGGAGCGAGACUCGAGCUAAAGACUCGAAAAACAUAGAAUUAGGAUAGGUGCAAAUGGGUCGAAAUCCUAACUAGAUUAGGAUAGGGUCGACGGUUUGGGCUUAAAAGCCUAAAUCAUUACUUUCCCACUUUUUUCCUUUUUUCUUUUCAUUUACUUGUUUGCUUGUCUCUUUGCGAAGUUAGUUAAAUCCCUAACUAAGUCACUAAAAAAUUGAUUUUGAAUGUCAAUAUCCUAUUCUUACGUUGGUCUGAUUUUCGCUCAUAGGCUUAAAACUCUUAAGGUUUUGCAAAGCUAUUAUGUAGAAAACAACGAUUCUAUUGUCUUUUGGAUACGAAUCUGCAUCCUCAAUAUUUCUUCCGAUAAAUUGUUUCGGAGUCUAUCGUUUUCUCUUUUUGUCUUUGUUAAUAUGUGUCAUUUGCUACUACUUGUUGAUUCUUUGUUUGUAAUACUUGUUUUUCGGUUAUCUUCUACCCUGUUUAAUUAUCUGGUUCAAUAUAUUAAUUUUUUUUAGCUUCAAGAAUCUUGUGAUGAACUAUCACUUGCUGGUCAUUGAUAUCAAAAUAAAGCAAGAUGUGUUCAAACCAAGCUAUAUAAUUGGUCUUUUCUCUUAAGUUUGUGCUUUCUGGUUGAUAAAUUUUAAGGUGAUAUUUCUAUGGGUGAAAUGAAUCAGGAGCUUUACAUGAUAUUUCUUUUAAUUAGAUCACGCUAGUACUGUUUUAUUCAUGCACCAAAUGUAUUCUUUUCCAUGUCAUCACUUAUUUGUUAAGUAACCAACUUUCAAACAUAUAUUAAUUUUCUUACUUUUUACUUUGCAUGUGGAUACGUUUGAGUCCUAAACGGACUCCUUUUCACCUUUGCAUCCUCUCUAUGGGUCCUUGAGGCUCACCUCGUUGAACUAAGCCCAAAAGAAGGUCCAAAAGCCCAUCGUUUGAUGUAUGGUUACGAGAAGACGGAAGGAAAGGAAAUGGAUUAAAGCCCUACGUGUGAAGCGGCUAAGAGACAAAAGUCUCAAUUAUUAUUUCAUUCUACUUAUUGUUGCUUUUUUUUUUUAUUUAUUUUAUUUGUUUGUUCAUUUUAUUCAUUCAUUUGGUCCACGAAGUCGAAGUUGUAAAUUUAAUACAGGUGGAGCGAGACUCGAGCUAAAGACUCGUAAAACAUAGAAUUAGGACAGGUGCAAAUGGGUCGAAAGCCCAACUAGAUUAGGACAGGGUCGACGGUUUGGGCUUAAAAGCCUAAAUCAUUACUAGAUUAGGACAGGGUCGACGGUUUGGGAUUAAAAGCCUAAAUCAUUACUUUCCUGCUUUUCCCCCCUUUUCUUUUCAUUUAGUUGUUUGCUUGUCUCUUUGUAAAGCUAGUUAAAUCCCUAACUAAGUCGCUAAAAGUUUGAUUUUGCAAAAAAAUUUUCCUUAAUCAACUAUUUUUCUAGCAAAUUAAUUUUCCAAAGUUAAUCAAAAGAAUGUUUUUAAACAGUCUGGGUAACCGCAAGUUAACGGACGUUUUAGGUUCCUAACACCUUCCUAAAACGUUAAUAGGAACCGCCUACUUAGAAUCUCUUAACUUAAACAAUUUUCCUGUUUUGAAUUGUUUGAAGUAAUUCUCUAAAGGUUUCUUAAUUCCUUUUCAAAAUUAAGUGGCUACUCUCUUUCAAAAUUCAAAAUUUUCGCAAAACAAUUAACUGUCAAAGUUUGAAUUUUGAAAUUCCGACCGAGCCACAUAAAUAAAACAGAGGGAGUAGUAAAAAGAUUAUGAAUUUGAUUACAUACAUAUUUAAUGAAUUUUUUAACACAUAUACAUAAUUUGGGCCAAAGCUACUUGGUUCUGUCAAACAGUAUGCUGAAGGCUACUCUGCCCCUGUUAAUAAGUGAUAUGAUUGUAUUAGUACUUUUUAUAAUGUCAAUGCAUAGAACUUAAUUUCCUUUCUAGUAAGUGUCAUGUAUAGCAUACUUUUAUCUUCUUCUUACUAUGUCCUUUUGGCUUUGGUCAUUACUAUGUGCCAUGUUUGGAACGAUGCCUCACUCUGUUAAAUAAGUUGUCACAUAUGCAUGCAAGGAAGGAACAGUAUACAAGAAAUUUAUGAAUUUGUUCAAAUUAAAGAUGCAUGGUUGAGCGGAGAUUAAGGAAGGUCAUGUCUAUUUCGGAGAAUCAGUUUGGAUUUAUGCUUAGUCGCUCGACGACAGAGGUAAUCCACUUGGCCAGGAGANNNNNNNNNNNUGGAAAGAAAGAGGGAUCUACACAUGGUGUUCAUCUACCUGUAGAAGGCGCAUGACAAAGUCCCUAGGGAAGUUCUUUGGAGGUGCUUGAAGGUGAGAGGGGUCCCGAUGACGUAAAUCAGAGUCAUUAAGGACAUGUACAAUGAAGGGAAGACUCGGGUGAGGAUGGCGGGCGGAGAAUCAGAUCAUUUUUUGGUCGAGACAAGGUUAUAUCAGGGAUCGACUCUCAGUCCGUGUCUGUUUGUGUUGGUGAUGGAUGUGUUGACGCAAAGUAUUCAAGGUGAGGUGCCUUGGUGUAUGUUAUUUGCAGAUGACGUAGUGUUGAUUGAUGAGACACUGGGAGGUGUAAAUAAAAAAUUAGAGGUUUGGAGGCAUACCCUUGAGUCUUAGGGGUUUAGGUUGAGUAGGUCAAAGAUAGAGUAUAUGGAGUGCAAGUUUAGUGACUCGAAGCAGGAGGCCGAAGUGGUGGUAAGGUUGGAUUCCCAGGAUGUUUGCAAGAGGGAUAGUUUUAAAUAUCUCGAAUCUAUGAUUCAGAGGAAUGGCGAGAUUGAUGAGGAUGUCUCUAAGCGUAUUGGAGCAGGUUGGAUGAAGAGGAGGCUCGCCUCGGGAGUGUUGUACGAUAAGAAGGUGCCCUUAAAGCUUAAAGGUAAGUUCUACGGAGUGGCAAUCCGCCCGGCCGUGUUGUAUGGUGCGGAGUGUUGGCCAGUCAAGAACUCCCAUAUUCAAAUAUUGAAGGUAGCGGAAAUGAGAAUGUUGCAUUGGAUGUGUGGGCUUACUAGAAGGGAUAGAGUUAAGAAUGAGAUUAUCCGGAAGAAGGUGGGAGUGGCGUCGGUGGAAGACAAGAUGAGGGAAAAAAGACUGAGAUGGUUUGGGCAUGUGAUAAGGAGGGGCACAGAUGCCCCAGUUCGUAGGUGUGAGAGACUAGCUUUGGAUGGUUUCAGGAGGAGUAGAGGCUGACCGAAGAAAUAUUGGAGAGAGGUGAUUAGACAUAACAUGGAGCUGCUACAGCUUACUGAAGACAUUACCCUAGAUAGGAAGGUGUGGAGGUCGCGAAUAAGGGUGGAAGGCUAGUGCGGGUGUGGGUUGUGACUUGUAGUUAGGGAGCUCUUCUGUAGUCGAUUUAGUAACCCUAGGACUGUCCUUUGGUAGGAGCCGCUAGUGUAUUCUACUACUAGGUGAGUGUCCUUGUCUUAUUUCUUAUUUCCUAUUUCUUAUUUUCGUAGUUCGCUUAUUUUCGUGUCGCUCUUAUUUUUAUUAUUAUUGUUUCUUAUUUCUUAGUUUUUGGUUAUGUCACCCAUCUUGUUUCAUGUAUUAAUAUGACCUUGUUAAUUAUUCUUUAUCUAGAGUCGGGGGUCUAUCAGAAACAACCUCUCUACUUCUUUGGAAGUAGCGGUAUGGACUACGUACAUUCUACCCUCCCCAGACCCCACUUGGUGCAAAUACACUGGGUUUGUUGUUGUUGUUGUUGUUGUAAAGAUGCUAAUUAAAUUAAGGUACACAUAAACCUAAGUAUUAUGACUUGGAAACUCACAUAGUAGUACUUGCUACGUUCAGACUACAAAACACAUUGAUUUUCCCUUUUAACUGAAAUGUCAUUGAUCUAGUAGUAAAAUGUUACGAUGAUCCUCUUUCACUUCUUGACAGAAAAAUGAGGAAUCAUGCAAUAAGCUUAUAUCGUUCAACAUUAUUAUUUGCACUGAUUUUGAGUAUUGCUUCUUGAGAAUUAAUUGAAUUCGAUAAGUUCCUCCGGUCUGUAAAUUUAAGUUUAAGCUUUUAACAGCUUUAUAGUUUUUCUAGUUACCAUAUCCCAAAUGUAGCUUCGGUCGUUUUUGCUAUGUUCUUUUUUUUUUCCUUUGAUAUGAAAGUGGCACUAUAUGAUUCAUGUCUUUGGAAAGUGAAACUCAGAACUACACCAUCAUUGGAAUAUAUCAAACAUUUAUUCUAUUGUCAACUCAAUCACAAUAACUUUACAAGGCCAUCAAGCAAUCAAAUUUUAAGAAUUAUAUGAUGAUAUUCAUUUUCCGGGAACAAAAUUUGUGGCGUAGGCCCAGGCAUUGUUGUUAACCGGAUCUGCUAGGUGGUCAGCAAGGUUCUCCAAUGGACCCUUUCCUGUAACAAUGGCCUGAACAAAGAAUCCAAACAUAGAGAACAUAGCAAGUCUACCGUUCUUGAUCUCCUUUACCUUGAGCUCAGCAAAUGCCUCUGGAUCAUCAGCAAGACCUAAUGGGUCAAAGCUGCCACCGGGAUAGAGUGGGUCGACAACCUCGCCAAGAGGCCCACCAGCAAUACGGUAUCCCUCAACGGCUCCCAUCAAGACAACUUGGCAAGCCCAGAUGGCCAAGAUGCUCUGUGCAUGGACCAAACUUGGGUUGCCCAAGUAGUCAAGUCCACCCUCGCUGAAUAUCUGGGAUCCAGCCUUGAACCACACAGCCUCACCAAACUUGACACCAUUACGGGCCAAGAGCUCGGGGAAAACACAUCCAAGAGCACCAAGCAUAGCCCAUCUGCAGUGGAUCACCUCGAGUUCACGGUUCUUGGCAAAGGUUUCUGGGUCUGCUGAAAGUCCAGCGGUGUCCCAACCAUAGUCACCAGGGAAUUCACCGGUCAAGUAGCUUAGGGGCUCACCAGAGAGUGGGCCCAAGUACUUAACACGGUCUGGGCCAUACCAUGGGCUGCUAGAUGGUGCAGACUUGAGAGCCCUUCUCAUAGAGAUUCUUCCAUUUCCAGUGAUUUCUGAGGGAGAGGGUGAGAGUUUCACUGCCUGUCCAGCAAAAGAAGGGGAAGAAAGAGCCAUUGUAGAAGCUGCCAUGGUUUUUCUCAAGAGAAAGGUAAGUGUUUGAUGGUAUGAAAUAUUGUUGAAGUUGGCUGUGAUGAGGUGAAGUUAAUUACAAGGGGCUUCACCAUAUAUAGGAGGAGUAAGAGCGGUAGAGGCCUUUAUCUAACGAUAUCUACAUCUUUUUCUUUUGGUGUUAACGAUAUCUGUAUCUGUGAUCUCAUUGGGUAAUAAGAUCACAUGUGUAGAAAUUAAUGCACACUUGGCAAUCUCCAGACUCCAAUCCAUCAAUUUUCCAAGAUGUUUACUAAAGGGACCCAUCCAAUAUUGUCCUCCUUUGUGUGGAUACGAGGGUAUUGACUCUAUUCUGUGAUUUGUUGAGCUUACAAUAAGAUAUCUCUUAUCGUUAUCCAUUGGGAAUUUCUCCGGAUUUUAUCUAAUAGCUGGGAAUAAGUUACCAACACUAUAGCUCAUUCAAUGUAGAAGUAGAAACUAGAACUAUGUUUUAAGCAUUCCACUAAAUAAAUUGUGGAAAAACUGAAUUUUUUAAAUCAGAUUGUCAGUUACUAAUGUUUAUCAAAAGAUUAAUUUGUAGUAAUUACUUAAUAAGCAAAAGUGGAUCAGAAUUUGAACUUUUAUGGGUUCUGUAGUCUAGGACGACGACCUUAAAUUCUACUAAAUAGUUUCUAAAUUUAACUUUUCUACAUAUUUAAUAAGUUUAUUAAAACAUACAUGGUUUGGGCCAAAGUUAGUUCUGUCAAACCGGUUUGCUGAAGGGUACCUCUGCGCGUCCAUGUUAAUAAGUGAUAUGAUUGUGUUAUGCGUAAGUAUUUUUACAAUGUCAGUGCAUAGCGUCUCUAUAGGGUCGUCUAUACCUUGUAUCUUCUGCUUACAAUGUCCAUUUGGCUCUGAUCAUUGCUAUGUGAACAUGUUCUUCUCUAAAGAUAGUACCGCAUGCAUGUAAGGAAGGAGGACUACACAAGAAAUUCAAGAAUUUGUUCAAAUCUAAGAGGCUAAUUAAAUUAAGGGCACAUUAGUAUAAUGACCUGGAAACUCAUAUAUUACUUGCUACGUUCAUAUUACAAAACAUAUGCAUUGGUUUUCCCCUUAUCAUUUAAAUGUCAAUGGCCUACGUAGUAGUGAAAUAAUAUUAUGUCCUCUUAAUUUAUCUCACUUCUCUACAGGAAAAUAAGGAAUCAUGUAAAUAGCAUCAUGUUGUUCAUUGUUAUUCUUGGCACUAAGAGUAUUGCUUCAUGAGAAUUAAUUGAAUUUCAAGCUUUACCACAUCCAAAUGUAUCUUGGGUUUUUUGUUUUGGCUCUGUCAUCUUUUUUUCUCGCCUUGAUAUGAAACUGGCAGUAUUUUAUUCAUGCCAUUGGCAAAUGAAAUUCAGGACCAUACAAUAGUUGGAAUAUAAGAAAAAUCCAUUCUAUUGUUAAGUAAACUCACAAUUACAACUUUACAAGGACAUCAAACAAUGAAAUUUUAAGAUUGUUUUAUGAUAUUCAUUUUCCAGGAACAAAGUUUGUGGCGUAGGCCCAUGCGUUGUUGUUAACUGGAUCUGCAAGGUGGUCAGCGAGGUUUUCCAAUGGACCCUUUCCGGUAACAAUGGCCUGAACAAAGAAUCCGAACAUAGAGAACAUAGCAAGUCUACCGUUCUUGAUCUCCUUUACCUUGAGCUCAGCAAAUGCCUCUGGAUCAUCAGCAAGACCCAAUGGGUCAAAACUGCCCCGGGGUAUAGUGGGUCGACAACUUCACCAAGAGGCCCACCAGCAAUACGGUAUCCCUCAACGGCUCCCAUCAAGACAACUUGGCAAGCCCAGAUGGCCAAGAUGCUCUGUGCAUGAACCAAGCUUGGGUUGCCCAAGUAGUCAAGUCCACCCUCGCUGAAGAUUUGGGAUCCAGCCUUGAACCACACAGCCUCACCAAACUUGACACCGUUACGGGCCAACAGCUCGGGGAAGACACAUCCAAGGGCACCAAGCAUAGCCCAUCUGCAGUGGAUCACCUCGAGUUCUCGGUUCUUGGCAAAGGUUUCUGGAUCUGCUGAAAGUCCACCGGUGUCCCACCCGUAGUCACCAGGGAAUUCACCGGUCAAGUAGCUUGGGGCCUCACCGGAGAAUGGGCCCAAGUACUUAACACGGUCUGGGCCAUACCAUGGGCUGCCAGAUGAGGCAGGCUUGGUGACAGCCUUUCUCACAGAGAUCCUUCCAUUUCCAGUGAUUUCUGAGGCAGAGGGUGAGAGUUUCACUGCCUGUCCAGCAAAAGAAGGGGAAGAAAGAGCCAUUGUAGAAGCUGCCAUGGCUUAUCUCAAGAGAAAGGUAAGUGUUUGAUGGUAUAAAAUAUUGUUGAAGUUGGUUGUAAGGAUGCUGAAGUUAGUUGGGUUCAGAAUGUAUAGGGGUUAAGUAGAGAGAAAAAAUCCUCUUAUCUAGUGCUGUCUAUAGCUAUGAUUUCAUUGGGUAUCAAGAUCCCAUGUAUAGCAAUUAAUGCACUCUUGGCAAUCUCCAAUCCAUCAAUUUUCCAAGAUGUUCACUAAGGGGAACCCAACCAAUUUUGUCUUCCUAUAUGUGGCUGCAAAGCUUGAAAUCUAUUCUAUGAUUUCUUGAGCUUCAAUAUGAUAUCUCUUAUCCAUUGAGAAUUUCUCAAGAUUUUAUCCACCAGGAGUAUAGCUCAUUCAGUGUAGAACUAUGGCUUAGCAUUUCACUAAUUAAAUUGAGGAAAAGCUGAAAUUCAUUUGUAUCAGAUCAUCAAUUACUAAUGUUUGUCAAAAGAUUAACCUGUAAUUGCUUAAUAAGAAAAGGUGGAUCAAGAAUUGAACUUUAUGAGUUCUGAAAUCCUGGACUAGACCUUAAGUAGUAUAUCCUCCGCCUCAAUUUAUGUGACACAAUUGAAAUUUCGCGAGUCUACCAAGUUUUUUUUUGAUGGAAAUAUCUUUGUAUGUCUUUUAAAUAUUUCAAGUUGUUAAUUAUUGAUAGUAGUACUUUUUGUUUUUAGAUGACCGUGGUGUCCCAUACUUGCCACCUCCCACCAACAUGGGAUUUGAACCUAAAACCUUUGAGGUUCUCAACCCACUUCAUUGACCAUUAGACCUUGGGUGCAUUGUGAUUUACAGUAUUGUUUUAAUAGUUUCCAAGUACAUAGAUUUUAUUUCAAAAAACUUAAAACUUUUGUGUCCAAAUUGACUGUUAAAAGUUUGAAUUUUGAAAUUCCUACCGUGCCACAUAACAGAGGGAGUAAUAAAAAGAUUCUGAAUUUGAUGUACAUACAUAUUUAAUGGUUUUUGUAACACAUAUACAUAAUUUGGGCCAAAGCUACUUGGUUCUAUCAAACAGUAUGCUGAAGGCUACCCCUGCACCUGUUAAUAAGUGAUAUGAUUGUAUUUAGUAUUUUUUAUAAUGUUAAUGCAUAGAACUUAAUUUCCUUUGUAGUAAGUUUCAUGUAUAGCUUACUUUUAUCUUCUUCUUACUAUGUCCUUUUGGCUCUGGUCAUUACUAUGUGCCAUGUUUCGAAGGAUGCCUGCCUCUGUUAAAUAAGCCGUCACACAGGCAUGCAAGGAAGGAAGGAAGAGUAUACAAGAAAUUUAUGGAUUUGUUCAAAUAAAAGAUGCUAAUUAAAUUAACGUACACGUAAACCUAAGUAUUAUGACCUGGAAACUCAUAUAGCAGUACUUGCUACAUUCAGACCACAAAAAUAUUGGUUUUCCCUUUUAACUGAAAUGUCAUUGGUCUAGUAGUAAAAUAAUAUGAUGAUCCUCUUUCACUUCUUGACAGAAAAAUGAGUAAUAAUGUAAUAACAUCAUAUCGUUCAACAUUAUUCUUUGCACUCAUUUUGAGUAUUGCUUCUUGAGAAUUAAUUGAAUUCCAUUAGUUCCUCCGGUCUGAAAAAUGUAAGUUUUAGCUUUUAACAGCUUUAUAACUUUUCUAGUUACCAUAUCCCAAUUGUAGCUUCGGUCUUUUUCUGCUAUGCUCUUCUUCGUUUUUCCUUUGGUAUGAAAGUGGCAAUAUAUGAUUCAUGUCUUUGGAAAGUGAAACUCAGAACUAGACCGUCAAUGGAAAAUAACAAACAUUUAUUCUAUUGUCAACUCACUCACAACAACUUUACAAGGCCAUCAAACAAUCAAAUUUUAAGAAUUAUAUUAUGAUAUUCAUUUUCCAGGAACAAAGUUUGUGGCGUAGGCCCAGGCAUUGUUGUUAACCGGAUCUGCUAGAUGGUCAGCAAGGUUCUCCAAUGGACCCUUUCCUGUAACAAUGGCCUGAACAAAGAAUCCAAACAUAGAGAACAUAGCAAGUCUACCGUUCUUGAUCUCCUUUACCUUGAGCUCAGCAAAUGCCUCUGGAUCAUCAGCAAGACCUAAUGGGUCAAAGCUGCCACCGGGAUAGAGUGGGUCGACAACCUCGCCAAGAGGCCCACCAGCAAUACGGUAUCCCUCAACGGCUCCCAUCAAGACAACUUGGCAAGCCCAGAUGGCCAAGAUGCUCUGUGCAUGGACCAAACUUGGGUUGCCCAAGUAGUCAAGUCCACCCUCGCUGAAUAUCUGGGAUCCAGCCUUGAACCACACAGCCUCACCAAACUUGACACCAUUACGGGCCAAGAGCUCGGGGAAAACACAUCCAAGAGCACCAAGCAUAGCCCAUCUGCAGUGGAUCACCUCGAGUUCACGGUUCUUGGCAAAGGUUUCUGGGUCUGCUGAAAGUCCAGCGGUGUCCCACCCGUAGUCACCGGGAAAUUCACCGGUCAAGUAGCUUGGAGACUCACCUGAGAAUGGACCCAAGUACUUGACACGGUCUGGCCCAUACCAUGGGCUGCCAGAUGAGGCUGGCUUGGAGACAGCCUUUCUCAUAGAGAUCCUUCCAUUUCCAGUGAUUUCUGAGGCAGAGGGUGAGAGUUUCACUGCCUGUCCAGCAAAAGAAGGUGAAGAAAGUGCCAUUGUAGAAGCUGCCAUGGCUUAUCAAGAGAAAAGUAAGUGUUUGAUGGUAUGAAAUAUUGUUGAAGUUGGCUGUGAUGAGGUGAAGUUAAUUGCAAUUAAUGCACUCCUGAGAAUCUCCAAUCUAUCAAUUUUCCAAUAUGUUUAUAAAGGGGGACCUAACCAAUUUUGUCCUCCUAUAUGUGGCUGCAAGGCUUGAAAUCUAUUCUAUGAUUUCUUGAGCUUCAAUAUGAUAUCUUUUAUCCAUUGGGAAUUUCUCAAGAUUUUAUCCACCAUGACUAUAGUUCAUUCAGAGUAGAACUAUGUCUUAGUAUUUCACUAAAUAAAUUGAGGAAAAGCUGAAAUUCAUUUGUAUCAUAUUAUCAAUUACAAAUGUUUGUCAAAGAUUAACCUGUAAUUGCUUAAUAAGAAAAGGUGGAUCAAGAUUUGAACUUUAUGAGUUCAGUUCUGAAAUCUAGGACUAGACCUUAAGUAGUAUACCCUCCGUCCCAAUGUAUGUGGCACAAUUGGAAUUUCGAGAGUCAAUCAAAUUUUUCUUUGAUGAAAAUUCUUUGUCUUUUAAAUAUUUCAAGUUGUUAAUUAUUGUGAUUUGUUGUAGUACUUUUUAUUUUUAGAUAACCGUGGUGUGAGGUAUUUGCCACCUCCCACCAACAUGGGAUUUGAACAUAAGACCUUAAUCCACUUCAUGGACCAUUAAGCCAUAACCUUGGGUGCAUUGUGAUUUAUAGUAUUGUUUACAUAGUUUCCAAGUACAUAAACUUUAUUCUUCAAAAAACUUAAAACUUUUUUGUCUAAAUUGAUUGUCAAAGUUUAAAAGUUUGAGUUUCGAAAUUCUGAUUGUGCCACAUAAAUAAAACAGUGGGAGUAGUAAAUAGAUUCUGAAUUUGAUUUAUAUAUCUAUUUAAUGAUUUUUUUAACACAUAUACAUAAUUUGGAUCAAGGCUACUUGGUUCUGUCAAACAGUAUGCUGAAGGCUACGUCUGCCCCUGUCAAAUAAGUGAUCUAAUUUUAUUAAUAUUUUUUAUAAUGCCAAUGCAUAGAACUUAAUUUCCUUUGUAGUAAGUGUCAUGUAUAUCUACUUUUAUCUUCUUCUUACUAUGUCCUUUUGGCUCUGGUCAUUACUAUGUGCCAUGUUUCGAAGGAUGCCUGCCUCUGUUAAAUAAGCCGUCACACAGGAAUGCAAGGAAGGAAGAGUAUACAAGAAAUUUAUGAAUUUGUUCAAAUUAAAGAUGCUAAUUAAAUUAACGUACACGUAAACCUAAGUAUUAUGACCUGGAAACUCAUAUAGUAGUACUUGCCAGUAGGGCUGGGCAUAUUUUGGUUUAAACCGAAAAAACUGAAAAAUCAAAUCGAAAUUUUAAUUUCGAUUUAGUUUUUCGAUUUCUUGGAUCGGUUUUGAUUUUCAAUUUUUGAAAUUCGGUUAAACGGUUUGGUGUUCAUUUUUUCAAAAAACAAAAAAUUUGGAUAAACCGAUUAACCGAAAUUCUAUAAAUAAUUAAUAAUAUAUAUAUAUAUUAUUUAAUAUAUAAUAAAAUAAUAUAAAUAUAUAAUAGCCACCCUAAUAACUAAUAAGUAAUAGCACGCCACAUACAGCUAAAAACAUACAUCAGUCCAAUAUUAGAACAAUCGAUUGAACCAUCGACCGCCAGCGAGAUCGUCGUCUGUACAACGACACUAGAGCGGGCGACCAGACGACCACUGUGGGCUGCAGCCUGCAGCGCCGUCUGUGGUCUUUCCGGCAGCGACCACUCUUCCGAGUUUCGACUGUUUAUGCAAACUUAUGUUAUUUUCGUUUGUACUUCGGGUACACAGAAUCUGUAUAUGCAGAAACAGCAACUUCAACUAAAGUUCAAGUAUAUAAACAAGAACACAAUGAAGUAUAUCAAAUACCCUCAACACAAGAUCAAAAUGACCUUUCCAAGAGGUGUAUUUUAUUUUUCAGAAAAUAGAUGAAACAGAAAUGAAUAAGACCAAGCAGUCCGAAUUCACGGACUUUCCUUAAGGAAUAAUGCCCCUCACUGUAUCCGAGGUUAUGGAAUCUUCCUCCCAGGAUAAAAUGGCCUUCAAUCCGACUAUAGCGGUACCUCAAAUAAGCGGAUUCUUCAAACACACAGAACGCUUUGAUUGAUCACACAGAAUAUUUGUAAAGAAAAGAAGAGAGUUUUUAUUCUGCAAAAUUUUUAUAUCAAAACCUGUAAAGGUAAGCAGGUUUAUAUAGCCUAGCAAAUGCCUCUUCGAAAAGGUGGCAUUGGUUCACUUAAAUGGUGUGAUAUUUCUGAAAAUGCAUGUCUGCAACAUUUUUGCUGAAGCAGUAUACCAUUUCACCAAACAGUGCACCUGUUCGAAACAGUACAUCACUUCAUUGAAGAAUUGUAUCUGUUCAGUCGAAGCAAAAAUAGUAUAUCAGUUCAGUGCAUGCAUCAGUUCAGUCAAAACGAAACAGUACAUCAGUUCAGUCAAAACAGUGCAUCAUUUCUGUUGAAACAUUGCAUCUAUUACAGUUACUACAUGUAUUUCGUUAAAUAAAGUUUGUCCAAAAAAGAUAGAUCUCAUCGAUCUAUCAUUUUCCAAAUUCGAAUCCAAAUUCGAAGCCGAGAGAGCGACGACGACGACGGCACGAGGCAUCUCUUAUUUCUUGCCUCACUUAUCAUGUGGAGUAAGUAUUCAUCAUUAUAAACACUCCAAAGUUCCCUUCUCCCAUAAAUGUGGGAGAAUUAGUGAACUUUUUAAUUUUGGGAGUAUACUUUCCAAAUUGGUGUCUCCUCUUCUCCACCAUUUUUUUCUCUAUUUUCCAUUCACACUUUUAUGAAACUAACAAUCCCCCACAUGAAUGGGGAAUGGCUAUUUUUUGUAAAAAUUUUACGGACAAGAAUAUGAUCAUCAAGCAAAGACUGAUUUCAUCUGGAUAAGUGGGUUUCCCUUUGAACUUUCCGUAGUGAACAUGCAUCAGAUGCACUCGGUAAAUUGAUAGAUUUGAUAUCUUUGAACCGUCGAGCUUUAAUGUACACCUAGACAACACAUAUCACACAACCAUCCUUUUAACAUUUAUGGUUCUUACAAUUUUGUUCUUUUCAUCCAUGAACACGUCCCGGUUUUCAUGAGGGCUUAGAGAAUAGGCCUUUACUAACAUUCUCCUUGAAGCGGCUUUCACUUCACCCUUACAUAGGUGAUUUCUAAACGUUCUAUCCUGCAGAUUAAAAUAUUUGGUCAAAUCUGCCAAAUUUAGAUAAUCAUUAAAAGACUUUUCACCUUAAGUUUUAUCCUAGUUUACUAUACAUUAUCUACAUCAUGAGAAUGGGUUGGGUAAUUGACAAUGUUGAACCUGUCAGACACAACUUUGUUUGAUCUCCUUUAACCUAGUUGGGAUCGCCAGUCUGCUAGGUAGAGUUAUCGCUAUGCUGACUCGUCCUAGGCCUUAAACCCAUUCUCUUGGAUGUUCUUUCCACUCCUUCUCUAGAUAGGCCUUUUGUAAGUGGAUCCGACACAUUAUCAUUUGACUUUACAUAGUCAAUAAUGAUAAUUCCACUAGAGAGAAUUUCCCUAACGGUAUUAUGUCUCCGUCGUACGUGACGAGAUUUACGGUUGUACAUCAUGCUCCCUGCCCUACCUAUUGCCGCUUGGCUAUCAUAGUGUAUACAUACUGGUGCCACUGGUUUGGGCCAAUACAAAAUAUCUCCCAAGAAAUUUCGGAGCCAUUCUGCUUCUUCACCAGCUUUAUCUAAUGCGAUAAAUUCAGAUUCCAUUGUAGAGCGAGUGAUACAAGUCUGUUUGGAUGAUUUCCAAGAAAUUGCUCCUCCACCGAUAGUAAAUACAUAUCCACUUGUGGAUUUUACUUCGUUCGAUCCGGUGAUCCAAUUUGUAUCACUAUGUCCUUCAAGUACCGCAGGAUAUUUAUUAUAAUGCAAAGCAUAGUUUUGAAUGUAUUUUAAGAUACCCCAAAACUCUUUUCAUUGCCAUCCAAUGAGUUUUGUUGGGAUUACACCUGUACCGACUCAAUUUUGUAGUUGCACAUGCUAUGUCCGGUUGUGUACAGUUCAUUAUAUACAUUAAAAAUCCCAAUACUCUUGCGUACUCCAAUUGUGAAUCACUUUCACCUUCAUUCUUUCGAAGUGCAAAGUUCACGUCCAAUGGAGUCAUGGCAAUACCGAAUUCCAUAUCCUUGAACUUGUCAAGUACUUUUUCGAUAUAAUGAGACUGUGACAAUGCUAACCCUUGUGGAUUUUGAUGGAUUCUUAUACCUAAGAUUACAUCUGCAACUCCAAGGUCUUUCAUAUCAAACUUGCUCUCGAGCAUUCGUUUGAUUGCAUUUAUGUCACAAAUAUAUCUGCUGAUGAUCAACAUAUCAUCCACAUAUAAACAAACAAUGACUUGGUGAUUUGGUGUGUCUUUAAUAUAUAAACAUUUGUCACAUUCAUUUAUCUUGAAUCCAUUUGCCAACAUGGUUUGGUCAAACUUUGCAUAUCAUUGCUUAGGUGCUUGUUUUAGUCCAUAAAGUGACUUAACAAGUUUACACACCUUAUUUUCUUUUCCUGGCACCACAAAACCCUCAGGUUGUUCCAUGUAUAUUUCUUCCUCCAAAUCUCCAUUUAGGAAUGCGUUCUUCACAUCUAUUUGAUGGAUUUGAAAAUCAUAUACCACCACCAAGCCAAUUAACAUUCAAAUCGAGGUUAUCCUUGUUACUGGUGAGUAUGUAUCAAAGUAAUCAAGGCCUUCCUUCUGUUUGAAGCCUUUUACUAUAAGUCUUGCCUUGUAUUUGUCAAUUGUACUAUCUGCCUUCAUUUUUCUUUUGAAGAUCCAUUUAGAACCUAACGGUUUAUUUCCUGGAGAAAGGUCAACCAAUUUCCAUGUAUGGUUGCUUAAGAUUGAAUCUAUCUCACUAUUGACUGCCUCUUUCCAAAAGGAUGAGUCUGACGAUGGCAUCGCUUCUUUAAAUAUUUGAGGCUUAUUUUCUUAGAGAAAUGUUACAAAAUCUGAUCCAAAUGAAGUUGACAUUCUUUGAUGUGUACUAUGUCUUGGAUUUUCUUCAUUAUGUACAUUCUCACUUGGUUCAUCUCGAGGUCGCUUAGAUCCUCCACUAAACUGUUCAUGUCUAAUUUUAUACGGGUAAAUAUUUUUAAAGAAUUCAGCAUUGUCUGAUUCAAUAAUUGUAUUUUCAUUAAUAUCCGAAUGUUUGAAUUUAUGAACCAAAAAUCGACAUGCUUUACUACUUUUAGCAUAUCCUAUGAACACACAGUCCACUGUUUUAGGUCCUAUCUUAACCCUUUUAGGUACAGGAACUUGAACCUUCACUAGACACCCCCACACUUUGAAAUAUUCAAGCUGGGUUUCCUUCUUUUCCAUUUUUCGUAAGGAAUUGAUUGUGUCUUACUAUGGAAAACUCUGUUGAGUAUACGAUUGGCCAUAAGAAUAGCCUCCCAUCAUAAGUUUUGUGGUAAAGCAGAACUUAUAAGUAAGGCAUUCAUCAUUUCCUUCAAAUUUCGUUUUUUCCUUUCCGCAAUUCCAUUAGAUUGAGGUGAAUAUGGGGCCGUAGAUUGAUGGAUUAUUCCAUUCUCUACACAUAUUUGCGCAAAGGGAGAUUUAUAUUCUCCGCCCCUAUCACUUCUUAUCAUUUUGAUCUUUUUNNNNNNNNNNNNNNNNNNNNNNNNNNNNNNNNNNNNNNNNNNNNNNNNNNNNNNNNNNNNNNNNNNNNNNNNNNNNNNNNNNNNNNNNNNNNNNNNNNNNNNNNNNNNNNNNNNNNNNUAAACGCAUCUAUUGCUUCAUCCUUACUAUUUAUCGAGUAGACAUAACAGUAUCUAGUGCAAUCGUCAAUAAAAGUUAUGAAAUAUUUUUUCCCACCACGAGAUGGUGUUGACGUUAUAUCACAAAUGUCAGUGUGUAUUAAGUCUAAGGGAUUGGAAUUCCUUUCAACGGACUUAUAAGGAUGCUUUGCAUACUUCGAUUCCACACACGUUUGACACUUUGAUUUAUUGCACUCAAAGUUUGGCAAAACUUCUAAGCUAAUCAGUUUUCAUAACGUUUUAUAAUUAACAUGGCCUAAACAUUCAUGCCAUAAUAAGACUCAAGAAAAUAAGAAGAAUUCAAACUUUUAUUUAUUUCAACAGUCAUUACAUUCAUCUUAUAAAGUCCUUCGGUCAAAUAGCCUUUUCCUACAUACAUUUAUCCUUUGCUAAUUACAAUUUUUUCAGAAACGGUUACACAUUUGAAUCCGUUCUUGUCUAGAAGUGAAACAGAAAUUAAAUUCCUACGUAAAUACGGAACAUACAAGACAUUGUUAAGUGUCAAGACCUUUCCGGAAGUCAUAUUUAAGAAAAUUUUUCCUAUUCUUUCUACCUUAGCCGUAGCGGAGUUAGCCAUGUAGAUCAUUUCUUCUACUUGAGCAGAAGCAAAUAACGAAAACAGCUCCUUGUUGGCACAUACAUGGCGGGUGGCACCAGAAUCCAUCCACCCUUCACUAGGAUUCCCCGUCAAGUUGCAUUCUGAGAACAUAGCACACAGAUCAUCGAAUUCUUUGUUGGAUUCAAUCAUAUUUGCUUGAUCCUUCUUCUUUCCUUUCUUUGGGGCACGACAAUCUGUGGACUUGUGGCCAAUCUUGCCACAGUUGAAGCAUUUUCCCUUGAACUUUUUCUUGGUUUGAUUGCUUCCUUGUUUAGCUUUCUUCCUUUUCUUGAAAUUGUUUUGGUCAUCUUCUACAAUAUGUGCUCCAUUAAUUGUAGAAUUCCUCUUUGACCUUCUUUCGGAAGCUUUAUUAUCCUCUUCAAUACGAAGUCGGACAAAAAGUUCUUCAACAGUCAUCUCCUUGCGUUUAUGCUUUAAGUAGUUUUUGAAGUCUUUCCACAAAGGUGGUAGCUUCUCAACUAUCACUGCUACUUGGAAAUCAUCAUUCACAAUUAAACCUACAAUACAGUUUAUGUGAGUAUUAAGAACAUUUUUAAUUUGUUCAACUAAGGUAUUUUUCAAAGAUAUACCUUCUGCUAAGAGAUCAUGUAUGAUGACUUGCAACUCCUNNNNNNNNNNNNNNNNNNNNNNNNNNNNNNNNNNNNNNNNNNNNNNNNNNNNNNNNNNNNNNNNNNNNNNNNNNNNNNNNNNNNNNNNNNNNNNNNNNNNNNNNNNNNNNNNNNNNNNNNNNNNNNNNNNNNNNNNNNNNNNNNNNNNNNNNNNNNNNNNNNNNNNNNNNNNNNNNNNNNNNNNNNNNNNNNNNNNNNNNACAUAAAGUGGUGAGGUAAAAGAACAUCUUUUGCUGCCACCGCUUGAAGUCAAUGCUUGAAAAUAUUUUGGGCUACUCCGUCAGUGCCAUUGUUGGCGGAGCAUUUGUGUGACUUGAUGUGGCAAUAUUAGUUACCCCCAUAGACGUUGUCGCAUCUAUUAUUUCACUUUCGUUAGUCAUCUUUCCUGUCAACACAAGACAGAAAAAUUUAGUAUUUUCAGAAUAUUACUUAUAAAGUUAAAUAACUUUUCAACUUUUCUUCUUGUUUCUAAUUAACGACGAAGCUUUUAUAACUUCAAAUCGUCAACUGAGUGAACUUUAACUUGUGAUGAAGAUUUUAUGUCUUCUAAUCACUAGUUAAAUUCAAGCGGAGUAAAAAGUUUAAAGCUUUAAUCUCCAAAAACAAGUUAUACAGAUUCUGUAAAAGGAAUUAUUCCUUAAGAUUCUUAUUUUUGUUUUACUUUGGGUACACAGAAUUUGUAUAUGCAGAAACAACAACUUCAACUAAAGUUCAAGUUUAUAAACAAGAACACAAUGAAGUAUAUCAAAUACCCUCAACACAAGAUCAAAAUGACCUUUCCAAGAGGUAUAUUUUAUUUUUUAGAAAAUAGAUGAAACAGAAAUGAAUAAGACCAAGUCGUCCGAAUUCAUGGACUUUUCUUAAGGAUUAAUUCCCCUCACUGUAUCCGAGGUUAUGGAAUCUUCCUCCCAGGAUAAAAUGGCCUUCAAUCCGACUAUAGCGGUACCUCAAAUAGGCGGAUUCUUCGAACACACAGAACGUUUUGAUUGAUCACACAGAAUCUUUGUAAAGAAAAGAAGAGAGUUUUUAUUCUGAAAAUUUUUUAUAUCAAAACCUGUGAAGAAAAGCAUGUUUAUAUAGCCUAGCAGAUGCCUCUUCAAAAAGGUGGCAUUUGUUCACUUAAAUGGUGUGAUGUUUCUGAAAAUGCAUGUCUGCAGCACUUUUACUGAAGCAGUAUACCAUUUCACCAAAUAGUGCACCUGUUCAAAAUAGUACAUCACUUCAUUAAAGAAUUGCAUCUGUUCAGUCGAAGCAAAAACAGUAUAUCAGUUCAGUGCAUGCAUCUGUUCAGUCGAAAAGAAAUAGUACAUCAGUUUAGUCAAAAUAGUGCAUCAAUUCUGUCGAAACAUUGCAUCUGUUACUAUUACUAAAUGCAUAUAAAUGGAGUAUUUAUCAGAUUUCAUCAAAUAAAAUUUAUCCAAAAAGACAGAUAUCAUCGAUCGAUCAUUUUCCAAAUCCAAAUCCAAAUCUGAAGUCGAGCGACCGACGACAACAGUGGCGCGAGGAAUCUCUUAUUUCUUGCCUCACUUAUCAUGUGGAGUAAGUAUUCAGCAUUAUAAACACUCCAAAGUUUCUUUCUCCCACCAAUGUGGGAGAAUUAGUGAACUUUCCAAUUUUGGGAGUACACUUUCCAAAUUGGUGUCUCCUCUUCUCCAUAAUUUUUUUCUCCAUUUUCCAUUCACACUUCUAUGAACCCAACAAUCCCCCAUAUGAAUGGGGAAUAUAUAUUUUUCGUAAAACUUUUACGGACAAGAAUGUGAUCAUCAAGCAAAGACUGAUUCCAUCUGGAUAAGUGGGUUUCCCUUUGAACUUUCCGUAGUGAACAUGCAUCGGAUGCACUCGGUCAAUUGGUAGAUUUGAUAUCUUUGAACCGUUGAGCUUUAAUGUACACCUAGAUAACACAUGUCACACAACCAUCCUUUAACGUUUAUGGUUCUAACAAUUUUAUUCUUUUCAGUCAUGAACACGUCCCGGUUUUCAUGAGAGCUUAGAGAAUAGGCCUUUACUAAUAUUCGCCUUGAAGCAGCUUCCACUUCGCCCUCACAUAAGUGAUUUCUAAACGUUCAAUCCUGUAGAUUAAACUAUUUGGUCAAAUCUGUCAAAUUUAGAUAAUCAUUAAAAGACUUUUCACCUUAAGUCUUAUCCUAGUUUACUAUACAUUGUCUACAUCAUGAGAAUGGGUUGGGUAAUUGACAAUGUUGAACCUGUCAGACACGACUUUGUUUGAUCUCCUUGAACCUAGCUCUUGGGAUCUCCAGUCUGCUAGAUAGAGUUACCGCCACGUUGACUCAUCCUAGGCCUUAAACCCAUUCCCUUGGAUGUUCUUUCCACUCCUUAUCUAGAUAGGCCUUUUGUAAGUGGAUCCAACACAUUAUCCUUUAACUUUACAUAGUUAAUAGUGAUAAUUCCACUAGAGAGAAUUUCCCCAACGGUAUUAUGUCUCCGUCGUAUGUGAUGAGAUUUAUGGUUGUACAUCAUGCUCCCUGCCCUACCUAUUGCCGCUUGGCUAUCACAGUGUAUACAUACUGGUGCCACUGGCUUGGGCCAAUACAAAAUAUCUCCCAAGAAAUUUCGGAGCCAUUCUGCUUCUUCACCAGCUUUAUCUAAUGCGAUAAAUUCAGAUUCCAUUGUAGAGCGAGUGAUACAAGUCUGUUUGGAUGAUUUCCAAGAAACUGCUCCUCCACCGAUAGUAAAUACAUAUCCACUUAUAGAUUUUACUUCGUUUGAUCCGGUGAUCCGAUUUGCAUCACUAUGUCCUUCAAGUACCGCAGGAUAUUUAUUAUAAUACAAAACAUAGUUUUGAAUGUAUUUAAGAUACCCCAAAACUCUUUUCAUUUUCAUCCAAUGAGUUUUGUUGGGAUUACUCCUAUACCGACUUAAUUUACUAAUUGCACAUGCUAUGUCUGGUCGUGUAUAGUUCAUUAUAUACAUUAAACAUCCCAAUACUCUUGCAUAUUCCAAUUAUGAGUCAUUUUCACCUUCAUUCUUUUGAAGUGCAAAGUUCACAUCCAAUGGAGUCUUGACAAUACCGAAUUCCAUAUCCUUGAACUUGUCAAGUAAUUUUUUGAUAUAAUGAGACUAUAACAAUGCUAACCUUUGUGGAUUUUGAUGGAUUCUUAUACCUAAGAUCACAUCUGUAACUCUAAGGUCUUUCUUAUCAAACUUGCUCUAGGGCAUUCGUUUGGUUGCAUUUAUGUCACAAAUAUCUCUGCUGAUGAUCAACAUAUCAUCCACAUAUAAACAAACAAUGACUUGGUGAUUUGGUGUGUCUUUAAUAUAUAAACAUUUGUCACAUUCAUUUAUCUUGAAUCCGUUCGCCAACAUGAUUUGGUCAAACUUUGCAUGCCAUUGCUUAGGUGUUUGUUUUAGUCCAUAAAGUGACUUAACAAGUUUACAUACCUUAUUUUUUUUUUCUGAAACCAUAAAACCUUCAGGUUGUUCCAUGUAUAUUUCUUCCUCCAAAUCUCCAUUUAGGAAUGCGGUCUUUACAUCCAUUUAAUAGAUUUGAAGAUCAUAUACCGCCGCCAAGGCAAUUAACAUUCGAAUCAAGGUUAUCCUUGUUACUGGUGAGUAUGUAUCAAAGUAAUCAAGGCUUUCUCUUUCUGUUUGAAGCCUUUUACUACAAGUCUUGCCUUGUAUUUGUCAAUAGUACCAUCCGCCUUCAUUUUCCUUUGGAAGAUCCAUUUAGAACCUAACGGUUUAUUUUCGGGAAGAAGGUCAACCAAUUUCUAUGUAUGGUUGCUUAAGAUUGAAUCUAUCUCACUAUUGACUGCCUCUUUCCAAAAGAAUGAGUCUGACGAUGGCAUCGCUUCUUUAAAUGUUUGAGGCUUAUUUUCUUAGAGAAAUGUUACAAAAUCUGAUCCAAAUGAAGUUGACGUUCUUUGACGUGUACUACGUCUUGGAUUUUCUUCAUUAUGUACAUUCUCACUUGGUUCAUCUCGAGGUCGUUUAGAUCCUUCACUAGACUGUUCAUGUCUAAUUUAUACGAAUAAAUAUUUUUAAAGAAUUCAGCAUUAUCUGAUUCAAUUAUCGUAUUUUCAUUAAUAUCCGGAUGUUUGGAUUUAUGAACCAUAAAUUGACAUGCUUUACUAUAUUUAGCAUAUCCUAUGAACACACAGUCUACCAUUUUAGGUCCUAUCUUAAUCCUUUUAGGUAUAGGAACUUGAACCUUCGCUAGACACCCCCACACUUUAAAAUAUUCAAGUUGGGUUUCCUUCCUUUCCAUUUUUUUUAAGGAAUUGAUUGUGUCUUACUAUGAGGAACUCUGUUGAGUACACGAUUGGCCAUAAGGAUAGCCUCCCAUCAUAAGUUUUGUGGUAAACCAGAACUUAUAAGUAAAGCAUUUAUCAUUUCCUUCAAAGUUUGGUUUUUCCUUUCCGCAAUUCCAUUAGAUUGAGGUGAAUAUAGGACCAUAGUUUGAUGGAUUAUUCCAUUCUCUACACAUAUUUGCGCAAAGGGAGAUUCAUAUUCUCCGCCCCUAUCACUUUUUAUUAUUUUGAUCUUUUUGUCUAAAUGAUUUUCAACUUCAGUUUUAAUUGCCUAAAUGCAUCUAUUUCUUCAUCCUUACUAUUUAGCAAGUAGACAUAACAAUAUCUAGUGCAAUCGUCAAUACAAGUUAUGAAACAUUUUUUCCCACCACGUAAUGGUGUUGACUUCAUAUCACAAAUGUCAGUGUGUAUUAAGUCUAAGGGAUUAGAAUUUCUUUCAACGAACUUAUAAGGAUGCUUUGCAUACUUUGAUUCCACACACGUUUAACACUUUGAUUUAUUACACUCAAAGUUUGGCAAAACUUCUAAGUUAAUCAAUUUUCGUAACGUUUUGUAAUUAGCAUGGCCUAAACGUUCAUUCCAUAAAUCAUAACACUCAAGCAAAUAAGAAGAAUUCAAACUUUUAUUUAUUUCAACAGUCAUUACACUCAUAUUAUAAAGGCCUUCGGUCAGAUAGCCUUUUCCUACAUACAUUUCUCCUUUGCUCAUUACAAUUUCUCCAUAAAUGGUUACACAUUUGAAUUCGUUCUUCUCUAGAAGUUAAACAGAAAUUAAAUUCCUACGUAAAUACGGAACAUACAAGACAUUGUUAAGUGUCAAGACCUUUCCGAAAGUCAUAUUUAAUCAAAUUUUUCCUAUUCUUUCUACCUUAGCCGUAGCGGAGUUAGCCAUGUAGGGAGCGAAUGACGAAAACAACUCCUUGUUGGCACAUACAUGGCGGGUGGCACCAGAAUCCAUUCACCAUUCGCAAAGAUUCCCCAUCGAGUUGCAUUCUGAGAACAUAGCACACAGAUCAUCGCAUUCUUUAUUGGAUUCAAUCAUAUUUGCUUGAUCCUUCUUCUUGCCUUUCUUUGGGGCACGACAAUCUGUGGACUUGUGGCCAAUCUUGUCACGGUUGAAGCAUUUUCCCUUGAACUUUUUCUUAGGUUGAUUGCUUCCUUAUUCAGCUUUCUUCCUUUUCCUGAAAGUAUUUUAGUCAUCUUCUACAAUAUGUGCUCCAUUAAUUGUAGAAUUCCUCUUUGACCUUCUUUCGGCAGCUUUAUUAUCCUCUUCAAUACGAAGUUGGACAAUAAGAUCUUCAAUAGUCAUCUCUUUGCGUUUAUGCUUUAAGUAGUUUUUGAAGUCUUUCCACAAAGGUUGUAGUUUCUCAAAUAUCAUUGCUACUUGAAAAGCAUCAUUCACAAUUAAACCUACAAAAUAGUUUAUGUGAGUAUUAAGAACAUUUUUAGUUUGUUCAACUAAGGUAUUUUUCAAAGAUAUACCUUCUGCUAAGAGAUCAUGUAUGAUGACGUGCAACUCCUGUACUUGAGAGACAAAAGAUUUGCUAUCUAUUAUUUUGAAGUCCAAGAACUGUGCAACAAGAAAUUUUUUAAUUCCCGCAUCCUCCGUCUUAUAUUUUCGUUCAAGCGCCCCCCACAGUUCCUUUGAUGUCUUGGUUCCACUAUAAACAUUGUAGAGGUCGUCUUGGAAACUACUCAAAAUAUAAUUCCUGCAAAGAAAGUCCGAAUGUUUCCAAGCUUCUACAAUAACGAAGCGUUCUUUGUCCGAGGUUCCCUCGGGCACCUCAGGAGCGUCUUCGCUAGUGAACCAUUGCAAACAUAAAGUGGUGAGGUAAAAGAACAUCUUUUGCUGCCACCGCUUGAAGUCAAUGCUUGAAAAUAUUUUGGGCUACUCCGUUGGUGCCAUUGUUGGCGGAGCAUUUGUGUGACUUGAUGUGGCAAUAUUAGUUACCCCCAUAGACGUUGUCGCAUCUAUUAUUUCACUUUCGUUAGUCAUCUUUCCUGUCAACACAAGACAGAAAAAUUUAGUAUUUUCAGAAUACUACUUAUAAAGUUAAAUAACUUUUUAACUUUUCUUCUUGUUUCUAAUUAACACUGAAGUUUUUAUAACUUCAAAUCGUCAACUGAGUGAACUUUAACUUGUGAUGAAGAUUUUAUGUCUUCUAAUCACUAGUUAAAUUCAAGCGGAGUAAAAAGUUUAAAGCUUUAAGCUCCAAAAACAAGUUAUACAGAUACUAUAAAAGGAAUUAUUCCUUAAGAUUCUUAUUUUCGUUUAUACUUCGGGUACACAGAAUCUGUAUAUGCAGAAACAACAACUUCAACUAAAGUUCAAGUAUAUAAACAAGAACACAAUGAAGUAUAUCAAAUACCCUCAACACAAGAUCAAAAUGAUCUUUCCAAGAGGUAUAUUUUAUUUUUCAGAAAAUAGAUGAAAGAGAAAUGAAUAAGACCAAGUCGUCCAAAUUCACGGACUUUACUUAAGGAAUAAUUUCCCUCAUUGUACUCGAGGUUAUGGAAUCUUCCUCCCAGGAUAAAACGGCCUUCAAUCCUACUAUAGCGGUACCUCAAAUAGGCGGAUUCUUUGAACGCACAGAACGUUUUGAUUGAUCACACAGAAUAUUUGUAAAUAAAAGAAGAGAGUUAUUAUUUUGAAAAUUUUUAUAUCAAAACCUGUGAAGGAAAGCAUGUUUAUAUAGCCUAGCAGAUGCCUCUUCGAAAAGGUGGCAUUUGUUCACUUAAAUGGUGUGAUGUUUCUGAAAAUGCAUGUCUGCAGCACUUUUGCUGAAGCAGUAUACCAUUUCACCAAAUAGUGCACCUGUUCAAAAUAGUACAUCACUUCAUUAAAGAAUUGCAUCUGUUCAGUCGAAGCAAAAACAGUAUAUCAGUUCAGUGCAUGCAUCUGUUCAGUCGAAAAGAAAUAGUACAUCAGUUCAGUUGAAAUAAUGCAUCAGUUUUGUCGAAACAUUGUAUCUGUUACUGUUACUAAAUGCAUAUAAAUGGAGUAUUGAUCAGAUUUCAUCAAAUAAAGUUUGUCCAAAAAGAUAGAUCUCAUUGAUCGAUCAUUUGACAAAUCCAAAUCCAAAUCCGAAGCUGAAGCCGAGCGAACGAUGACGAUGACGACGCGAGGCAUCUCUUAUCAUGUGAAGUAAGUAUUCAUCAUUAUAAACACUCUAAAUUUUCCUUCUCCCACCAAUGUGUGAGAAUUAGUGAACUUUUUAAUUUUGGGAGUACACUUUCCAAAUUGGUGUCUCCUCUUCUCCACCAUUUUUUUCUCUAUUUUCCAUCCACACUUCUAUGAACCCAACAAUCCCCCACAUGAAUGGGGAAUGACUAUUUUUCAUAAAUCUUUUAUGGACAAGCAUGUGAUCAUCAAGCAAAAACUAAUUCCAUCUGGAUAAGUGGGUUUUCCUUUGAACUUUCCGUAGUGAACAUGCAUCGGAUGCACUCGGUCAAUCGGUAGAUUUGAUAUCUUUGAAUCUUCGAGCUUUAAUGUACACCUAGACAACACAUAUCACACAACCAUCCUUUUAACAUUUAUGGUUCUUACAAUUUUGUUCUUUUCAGCCAUGAACACGUCCCGAUUUUCAUGAGAGCUUAGAGAAUUGGCUUUUACUAACAUUCUCAUUGAAGCAUCAUCCACUUCGCCCUCACAUAGGUGAUUUCUAAAUGUUCAAUUCUGUAGAUUAAACUAUUUGGUAAAAUCUGUCAAAUUUAGAUAAUCAUUAAAAGACUUUUUACCUUAAGUCUUAUCCUAGUUUACUAUACAUUGUCUACAUCAUGAGAAUGGGUUGGGUAAUUGACAAUGUUGAACCUGUCAGACACAACUUUGUUUGAUCUCCUUGAACUUAGCUCUUGGGAUCUCCAGUCUGCUAGGUAGAGUUACCGCCAUGCUAACUCGUCCUAGGCCUUAAACCCAUUCCCAUGGAUGUUCUUUAGCCUAGUAGAUGCCUCUUCAAAAAGGUGGCAUUGGUUCACUUAAAUGGUGUGAUGUUUCUGAAAAUGCAUGUCUACAGCAUUUUUGCUGAAGCAGUAUACCAUUUCACCAAACAGUGCACCUGUUCGAAACAGUGCAUCACUUCAUUGAAGAAUUGCAUCUGUUCAGUCGAAACAGAAAUAGUAUAUCAGUUCAGUGCAUGUAUCAGUUCAGUCGAAAAGAAAUAGUACAUCAGUUCAGUCAAAACAGUGCAUCAGUUUUGUCGAAAUAUUGCAUCUGUUAUUGUUACUGCAUGCAUAUAAAUAAAGUAUUAUCGAAAAAGAUAGAUCUCAUCGAUCAUUUUCCAAAGCCAAAGCCGAGCGAGCGACGACGACGACAGAGCGAGGCAUCACUUAUUUCUUGCCUCACUUAUCAUGUAGAGUAAGUAUUCAUCAUUAUAAACACUCCAAAGUUCCUUUCUCCCAGCAAUGUGGGAGAAUUAGUGAACUUUCCAAUUUUGGGAGUACACUUACCAAAUUAGUGUCUCCUCUUCUCCACCAUUUUUUUCUCCAUUUUCCAUUCACACUUCUAUGAACCCAACAACUUAUACAUAAUAAAGUUAUAUAUUAUGUUAAACUAAUGGUUAUAUCAUUUAAUUUCAUCUAUGUUGAGUUAUUUAUAUUUGGAAAUGAAAAAUAGGUUUGAAAAUAAUUAUUUUAUAAGAAAAAUCAUUAAUUUUAAAUGUCCAGUCAUAACAAAGAGGGGUUCACUAGUUUAAUCUUCAAAAUAAAAAUAAAAAUCUGAAAUAAUCGAACCGAAUUUGUAGAAACCGGACCGAACCGAAUUUAUUUCGGUUUGAUUACGGUUGUCAUUUUUGUCAAUUCAAAAAUCGAAAAACCAAACCGAUAUUAAACUAUCAAACCGAACGAACCAAAUGUCCAUCCCUUCUUCCCAGGGGCGAACCUACGUAGAUUCAAGUGGAUUCAUAUGAGCCCACUUCGUCGAAAUAUCACACCGUAUGUAUCAAUGUUUGAAAAUGUACAAGAUAUAUAUUAAUUUUUUAACCCAUUUUAAAUAGCUCAGCCUAGUGGAAAGGCGGGUUCAAGAUUUUUGAUAGGUCAAACUUUCCGACACCAACAACCUUUUUGUUAAAUGUCAGAUAAUUUUUUCUUUCUAAUUUUUUUUUAUUAUAAUAUAACUUUAAAAUUUAUUUAAUCAAAAUUUGUUUAUUUAUUUCUCUGGGUAUUCAUUUUUUAUAUAUUUGAACCCACUUUCCUGAGCAGAAUCUAUGUUGCUAUUAUUGUAUAUUUGAACCCGCCACUGGUACUUGCUAUGUUCAGACUACAAAACAUAUUGGUGUUCCCUUUUAACUGAAAUGUCAUUGCUCUAGUAGUAAAAGGUCAAAGUCAUCAAUAGACACUCAAACUUAUUGUCAAAAUUCACUUAGACACCUAAACUAAGGCAUGUUCCUAUCAGGCCCCUAAACCCCCCACAUUUUGUUCAAAUUGGGUUUUUUUUGCCCUAUCAGCAAAAAACUCAAAGUGUGUUGCACACAAGCGAUGACAUGGCAAAAUGAGCUAAUUAGAAGCUGACACGUGGCAUUAUGGGUCCAAUAAUUAUUAAAAAUUAAUUAUAAUUUUAAAAAAAAAAAGUAUAUACAAAUGGCAUUGAAUAAAUUAUUAAAAAAUAAUUCUAAAAUUAUUUAAAAAUAAAACUGAUUAUUUAAAAAAAAUUAUAAAAAUUUUCUAAAAAUGAAAUAAAUUAUUAAAAAAUUAUUUUAAAAAACAAUUAAUUAAUAAGAAAAAUUAUAAUUUUUUUUUAAAAAUGGCGAGGAUAUAAAUUAUGAAAAAAUAAUUAUAAAAUUAUUUGAAAAAUAAAAAUAAAAAAUUAAUUAUUUUAAAAAAAUAUAAAUUUUUUAAAAAAUGAAAUAAAUUAUUAAAAUAUUAUUUAAAAAAUAAAAACUUAAUUAUUAAAAAAAAUAAAAUUUUUUAAAAAUUGAAAAUGAAAAAUGGCAUAGAGGAUAUAAAUUAUGAAAAAAUAAUUAUAAAAUUAUUUUUUAAAAAAACUAAUUAUAAAAUUAUUUUUUAAAAAAACUAAUUAUUAAAAAGAAAUCUUAAAUUUUUUUAAAAGAUGAAAAUAAAGAAUUAAUUUUUUUUAAAAUUCAGUUUAUUAAAAAUAAAAUAAAAUUGGGGCCUUCUAAUGCUUUUUGGGGCCUUUAGUGUUUCAAAAAAAAAAGAAAAUUUGUUAUUAAAAAAAUUUUGGGGCCCUCAAUGCCACUUGACAACUUUUUAUUCGUAAAUUAGUAAAAAAAAAUGCUCCUCACACGCCUUCCACAAUGGCACUGCACACGUAGUGUCACAUAGGCAAAAAAUGUCUAAUUGGAACAAAAUUCAGGGAUUUAAUGGUCUGAUAUGAACAUGUCUUAGUUUAGGGGUCUAAUUGAAUUUUUGCAAUAAGUUUGAGUGUCUAUCGAUGAGUUUGACCUUUUCAAAUUGACACAUGCGUAACCAAUUCUCUAAAUACCAAUUAUUUCUCCUUCAAGUGAUGUCAUCUUCCACAUGGUGGACCCCAUGAUCCUAAGAAUUAUUUAAAAAAUAAAAAAAUAAUUAUUAAAAAUAAAUUAUAAAUUUUUUAAAAAAAUAAAAAUCCCCCACCUAUCCCAGCCCCCAACGUAUUGUUUUAUUAAAAAAAAAAAUUGGAACCCCCUAAUGCUUUUUGUUUUAUUAAAAAGUGUCUUUAGUGUUUAAAAAAAAAUUGUUAUUAAAAAAAUUUUGGGGCCCUCAAUGCCACUUGGCAUCUUUUUAUUUGUAAAUUAGUAAAAAAAAUUGCUCCUCACACGCCUCCCACGAUGGCACUGCACGCGUAGUGCCACAUAGGCAAAAAAGGCCCAAUUGAAACAAAAUGUGGGGGGUUUAGGGGUCUGAUAGAAACAGGCGUUAGUUUAGGUGUCUAAGUGAAUUUUGACAACAAGUUUGAGUGUCUAUCGAUGUCUUUGGCCAGUAGUAAAAUAAUAUGAUGAUCCUCUUUCAUUUCUUGAUAGAAAAAUGAGGAAUCAUGUAAUAACAUCAUAUCGUUCAACAUUAUUCUUUGCACUAAUUUUGAGUAUUAUGUUAAGGUUUUUAAACUGAUUUUCUUAUCAAAAUUAAGUUUUACUUUUUUCUUGUAAGGAAAAUAAAAGUAAUCAUAAAUAUUUUUACUUUUCAUAAAAGAAAAUAUAAAACUUUUUCAUAUUUGGCAAACCUCUUUCUUAGAGGAAGGUUUUGGACAUCUAUAAGAAUUAAGAUCCCCUCUUCAUACCAUAACAUUGUAACAUUCUCAAUGUAGUCAUUGAAGAGUCUUUGUUUAUGAGUGAUUUCUCUCAAUAGGUUUAAUGUUUUUCGAUAUUAGGUUUUAUAAUAUGCAGGCCGAUUGGCCAAAACAUAUAAUAAUUUUAUGUUUUUUAAUAUUGUUUUCUUUGUCGCCUGAUUUAUCAUCUCAUAGUUUGCAACUAAUAGCUUCCGCAUGACAUCCUCUCGUUUUUGAACCCAACAAAUGGUAUCAGAGUCGAUGGUUCAAAGAUCCGAUGGUUCGAUUGAGGACUUUUUAAGAUCAAAGUUGCAAUCAAUUUGGCGAUGAUGAAGCUUUUGUCAAAAAAAAAAAAAAAGGUUCAAAAACUACAUGUGGAGAAAAAGUUUCAAACAAAAUUUCAACAAUCUUGGUGCUAAUCCAUCUUUAAAACCAAAAUCAAUUUCAACUCAUAUUUAUGACUUCAAUUUUCAAUCUAUACUUGCUUUAACGCUUGGGCUCCUUUCAACUCGUGCAUUUAUUUUUAAUGCAUGAGCUCCACUCUUAACCUGUGCUCACUUUCAAUGCACAAAGUUCUACUUUCAAUCUUAUCAACCGUGCUUUUAUUUUUAAUGCAUAGGACUCUAAUUUUAACCCAUAUCAAUUUUUAAUCAUGGUUGACAGCAGUGAUAUAUGAAGAAUAUAUGAAAAACGAAGAUCAUGCACAAGAAAAAGGAGGAUCAAGAAUAUUUUGCAGAAAAUCAAGCAAAAAAGGGAGAUUUGUUAGGGUUUUUACUCUAAUUUUCUUACCAAAAUUAAGUUUUACUUUUUCUUAUAAAAAAAUAAAAGUAAUCAUAAAUACUUUUAUUUUUGUUAAAAGAAAAAUAUAAAACUUUUCUAUAUUUGGCAAACCUCUUUCUUGGAGGAAAGGUUCUGGACAUUAGGAUACUCUUCUCAUGCCAUAAUACGGUAGCAUCCACAAUGUAGUCAUUGAAGAGUUUUGUUUAGGGAAAUUUAAUGUUUUUUCGAUAUUAGAUUUUAUAAUAUGCAGGCCGAUUGGCCAUAACAUAUAAUAAUUUUAUACUUUUUAGUGUUAUUUUCUUUGUCACCUGAUUUAUCGUCCCAUAAUUUGCAACUAAUAGCUUCCGCAUGACGCUCUCUCGAUUACGAUCCCAACAUAUUGUUUCUUGAGAAUUAAUUGAAUUCCAUAAGUUCCUCCGGUCCGUAAAUUUAAGUUUUAAGAUUUUAACAGCUUUAUAGUUUUUCAGUUACCAUAUCCCAAAAUGUAGCUCCGGUCGUUUCUGCUAUGCUCUUUUUUUUUUUUUUUUCCUUUGGUAUGAAAGUGGCAAUAAAUGAUUCAUGUCUUUUGAAAGUGAAACUAAGAACUAGACCGUCAUUGGAAAAUAACAAACAUUUAUUCUAUUGUCAACUCACUCACAACAACUUUGCAAGGCCAUCAAACAAUCAAAUUUUAACAAUUAUAUUAUGAUAUUCAUUUUCCGGGAACAAAGUUUGUGGCGUAGGCCCAGGCAUUGUUGUUAACCGGAUCUGCUAGAUGGUCAGCAAGGUUCUCCAAUGGACCCUUUCCUGUAACAAUGGCCUGAACAAAGAAUCCAAACAUAGAGAACAUAGCAAGUCUACCGUUCUUGAUCUCCUUUACCUUGAGCUCAGCAAAUGCCUCUGGAUCAUCAGCAAGACCCAAUGGGUCAAAGCUGCCACCGGGAUAGAGUGGGUCGACUACCUCACCAAGAGGCCCACCAGCAAUACGGUAUCCCUCAACGGCUCCCAUCAAGACAACUUGGCAAGCCCAGAUGGCCAAGAUGCUCUGUGCAUGGACCAAACUUGGGUUGCCCAAGUAGUCAAGUCCACCCUCGCUGAAUAUCUGGGAUCCAGCCUUGAACCACACAGCCUCACCAAACUUGACACCAUUACGGGCCAAGAGCUCGGGGAAAACACAUCCAAGAGCACCAAGCAUAGCCCAUCUGCAGUGGAUCACCUCGAGUUCACGGUUCUUGGCAAAGGUUUCUGGGUCUGCUGAAAGUCCAGCGGUGUCCCACCCGUAGUCACCGGGAAAUUCACCGGUCAAGUAGCUUGGAGACUCACCUGAGAAUGGACCCAAGUACUUGACACGGUCUGGCCCAUACCAUGGGCUGCCAGAUGAGGCUGGCUUGGAGACAGCCUUUCUCAUAGAGAUCCUUCCAUUUCCAGUGAUUUCUGAGGCAGAGGGUGAGAGUUUCACUGCCUGUCCAGCAAAAGAAGGUGAAGAAAGUGCCAUUGUAGAAGCUGCCAUGGCUUAUCAAGAGAAAAGUAAGUGUUUGAUGGUAUGAAAUAUUGUUGAAGUUGGCUGUGAUGAGGUGAAGUUAAUUACAAGGGGCUUCACCAUAUAUAGGAGGAGUAAGAGCGGUAGAGGCCUUUAUCUAACGAUAUCUACAUCUUUUUCUUUUGGUGUUAACGAUAUCUGUAUCUGUGAUCUCAUUGGGUAAUAAGAUCACAUGUGUAGAAAUUAAUGCACACUUGGCAAUCUCCAGACUCCAAUCCAUCAAUUUUCCAAGAUGUUUACUAAAAGGACCCAUCCAAUAUUGUCCGCCUUAGUGUGGCUACGAGGUUAUUGACUCUAUUCUGUGAUUCGUUGAGCUUACACUAAGAUAUCUCUUAUCGUUAUCUUUUGGGAAUUUCUCCAGAUUUUAUCCACCAGCUGGGAAUAAGUUACCACCACUAUAGCUCAUUCAAUGUAGAAGUAGAAGUUAGAACUAUGGUUUAGCGUUGCACUAAAUAAAUAGUAGAAAAGCUGAAUUUUUCAGAUUAUCAGUAACUAAUGUCUAUCAAAAGAUUAAUUUGAAGUAAUUGCUUAACAAGCAAAAGUGGAUCAGAAUUUGAACUUUCAUGGGUUCUGUAGUCUAGGACGAGUUCUACUAAAUAGAUUCCAAAUUUAACUUUUCUACAUACUCGCUCCGUCCCAUUUUACCCGUCCCAAAUUGGCUAAGUUGAUGUUUCAUUUUAGUUGUCCCAUUUUACUUAUCAAGAUAAGACAAACUUUUCUUUCCAUGUUUUACCCUUUGCAUUAAUUAUCUUUUCUUUAAAUUAAAAUGUAAACAUCAUUUAAUAGGGGUACUUGGGUAAACUAGCCAUGUUAUAUAUUAUUUUUCUUAAUUGUUGUGCCAUCCUAAUUUGGGACAAGUAAAAUGGGACGGAGAGAGUAUUUAAUAAGCUUAUCAAAACAUAUGCAUGGUUUGGGCCAAAGUUAGUUAGUUCUGUCAAACUGGUUUGCUGAAGGCUAUCUGCGCAUGUUAAUAAGUGAUAUGAUUGUGUUAUGUGCAAGUAUUUUUACAAUGUCAAUGCAUAACCUCUCUAUAGUGUCCUGUAUAGCUUGUAUCUUCUGCUUACAAUGUCCUUUUGGCUCUGGUCAUUGUUAUGUGAACGUGUUCUUCUCUAAAGAGAAUACCACAUGCACGUAAGGAUGGAGGACUAUACAAGAAACUCAUGAAUUUGUUCAAAUCUAAGAUGCUGCUUAAAUUAAGGACACAUAAGUAUAAUGGCCUGGAAACUCAUAUAUUACUUGCUACGUUCAAAAUACAAAACAUAUACAUUGGUUUUCCCCUUAUCAUUAAAAUGUCAAUGGUGUACGCAGUAGUGAAAUAAUAUUAUGUCCUCUUAAUUCAUCUCACUUCUCGACAGGAAAAUAAGGAAUCAUGUAAAUAACAUCAUGUUGUACAUUGUUAAUCGUGGCACUAAGAGUAUUGCUUCUUGAGAAUUAAUUGAAUUCCAUAAGUUCCUCUGGUCUGUAUAUUCAAAUUAUAAGCUUUUUGUCAAAAAACAAAGGGAGCGGUAGAGUUAAGCUACAAGGAGAAAAAUAUAAGGAAAUUGCAGCUGUAAAUUGCUACAAAAAAGACUGCAGUAAAGAACAAGAAGCUGAAACUUUUUGAGUGUUUUCUAUUUUUUGGAUAGUUAUAAAUGUCUAAUGUCAUCCCUUAUUUAUACUUAUGUAGGGAUGAUUCUAGAUACUACAAAUCUAGAGUGUUCGUAUACAAAUAUCUCCCUCAAAUAUCUAGCACCCUCUAGAUCUUUCCUAAAUAUAAAUAUCAAAUAUACUACACUAUUCCUUUCUAGAUUCUUCUAACUAGAAUUACCUAAAUAUCUAGAUAUUUCUUUAGCAUGAUCAUCCUAGAAAUUUUACUAGACUAUUCUACAGACUGAACUAGAAAUCUAUGAUUCCAAAAAAUCUACUUUAAUAUUUUCACACUCCCUCUUAAAGUGAUUUUUUUGGAAGCUAUCCUAAACUUGUUGCGGAAGAACUCAAGUGAAGCUUUGAACCGUACUUUAGUGAAAAUCUUGAUAGUUUUUGCAUGACUCCUCUUUCUUCUUCAAAUGAUGAAGAUUUCUCGUUAAUGAUUGGCCCUUGUUGAGUUUUAUCAUAUUGAGUUCUCGAGCUCCCCCUUUCUCUGAACUCCUCCGUAACUUCAUUAUCUGGUGACCCAAAUAUGAUGGAAAAGUUUGAAACUCUAGGAUUGAAGAUUUUAGAACUUACUCUUUCUGAAGCAACUCCAUAACACAAGAAUAAUUUUUUGGUAUCAACCUCCUUAUUUGAUUUGAUGACGAUCUUUUGUUCGGGCCUAUCAACUAGCUCCCAAGUAUUAUUUUUUUAUCAUGGCAAGCUCCUCAUCCAUUGCGGAAAUCCAAGUUUCAUGACUUCUGCUUCUUCAAAAGAAGAUGGUUCCACAAGAGCAAAAUUGCAUUGCUCAUAAACUUCAGGUAGUGACCUGGUCUUCAAAAUAGGAGAAUCUGAAGUUAAUUCAACAUCUGAAUUGUCUUCUUUUUCAAUAAGAGGAUUGGAAGAAAUAUUACACGUCUGUGGAUUUUGAGCUGCAACUGAAGUACACUCAUCUUGGUUCUUUACAACAAUAUCUCGAUCCUAAUCAUAGUGGCUAGACUCAUCCACCGCAAGAUCUCUACUGAUAAGCACCUUUUACGCACGAACAUUAUACACUUUCUACCCUUUUGCAGCUGUGUUAUAGCCCAACAAAAUACAAAGUCCUGCCUUGUUAUCCAAUUUACCUCUUUUAGCAUCAGGAACAUAUGCAUAACAGACUGAACCAAAAACUUUUAAGUGUCUCACAGAUGACUUUAUACCUUUCCAUGCUUUAAAUGGUGUCAUGUCUUGGAGUGCUCUAGUUGGUAAUAUGUUUAGUAAAUAGACUGCAGUACUGACUGCCUCAGCCCAAAAACAUUUGGGUAUCUUCUUUUCUGCUAGCAUACAUCUCACCAUCUCCAUCACGGUUCUGUUCUUUCUCUCAGAAAUACUGUUUUGUUCUGGAGUGUAGCUCACAGUAAAUUGUUGUUGAAUGCCCACAUCUUUACAAUACUUGUUGAACUAAUGCGGAGUAUAUUCAGUUUCAUUAUCUGACCUGAUAUACUUCAAUCGGCAACCACUCUUCCUUUCUACCAUAGCCUUGAAUUCUUUGAAAACAGAAAACACCUGAACUUUGUUACUUAAAAAUAGACCUAUGUCAUUCGAGUUAGAUCAUUUAUAAAGAGAAUAAAAUAUUUAUUCCCACUCAAAGAAGUUGUCCUCAUUGGUCUACAUAUAUUUGUAUGAACCAACUCUAGUUUUUCCUUCGUCCUCCAAAGACUUCUUUUAGGAAAGAAUUAUUUAUGCAAUUUACCAAAUUGACAUGACUCACAAACAUCUCGGCACAUGUCAAUUUUGGGUACAUCAAGCACCAUACCCUUGGAUUGCAUAUACACCAAUGAACUAAGAUUGUAAUGACCGAAUCUUUUGUGCCAAAGCCAAAUAUCAAUUAUUUCAACAUUGAAAGAGCAACUUUCAACAGAAUAGCAUGAAAUUGGAAAGGAAUUACCAAUCAUGCUAAUUUUAGCUACUUCACAACCUUUAGGAUCAUAAAUGACACAUUUUUUAUCCUUAAAAAUAAGUGAAUAAUUAUUGUGAAGUAACUGAGCAACACUCAACAAGUUUUGAGUCAAGCUUGGCACAUAAAAAACAUCGUUUAUGAUUUUCAUACCUUCGUCCGUAGGAAAUUUCACUGAUCCUCUUCCUUGAGCUUGCACCAGUGCACCAUCUCCUAGCUUCACUUUGAUCCUAUCAGACCUGUCCAGGCUAACAAAUAGAUUUUCAACAAUCGUCAUGUGCCUUGUGCACGCACUAUCGACAUGCCAAUUAUAUCGAUCGACAUGUGAUAUGUGUGAAGCCAUGAAUACCUCUUCCUCUAUUUUUUGAACUUGGUGAUCUUCCGCAAAAUUUACUCAUUGAAAAGACUGACCAAUUUGAGUUUGCUUUUGCCUGCAAUGCUUCUCAAUGUGCCUAUACUUCUUGCAGUAUCUGCAUUGAAUAGGAGACCUCUUGGACUUCUGCCAACAAUUUUUCUAUAAGUGGUUUGUCUUCUUACAAAUACCACAAGGUGGAAAUUUUUCUCUCCUCAACGAUUCACCUUGGUAUCCACCAGAUUUCACCUCUCCAGAGUGGUCUAAAAAGACUUUUUUGCCUUCUUUUUGUUGCUUGAAAGGCAUAUUCGACUGUUCCUUCGAUUCUCAUAGUUACCCAUUGCUCUUGGAUUUGCAAUUUAGAGAUCAACUCAGCUAUUGAAAGAAUAGUCAAGUCACAGGACUCUUUAAUAGCUGAGAAUUUGUAUUUAAACUUGUCUGGAAAGCUGACCAUAAUCCCCUUUAUAACCUUCUAAUCUAAAAAGUUUUCACCAAGUAUCCUUAUGUGGUUCACAAUAUCCAUUAGCUUAGAAGAGUAUUCUUUUACACUAUCCGGAUCCUUCAUCUUCAAGAGCUCAAACUCCCUCUUCAAAGCUAAAACCUUAACAGACUUAACUCUGUUGCUGCCUUCAAACUCCUUCUUUAGCUUAUCUCAGGCUUCUUUAGCUGUCUCACAAGCCAUAAUCCUUGUAAAUAUCACUUCCGUAAGGGUUGAAUGUAUGCAAGUGAGUGCUCUUGGAGAUCUAGUCACCAAUUCAUCAUACUUUUUGAUAUCAUUUAGAGUUGAGUUGUCUCUCAAUGGCUGGACAGCAGGUUCUCCUCUCUAAACAAUAUCCCACAAGUUGAGAGUCUUCAAAUAAGCCUUCAUUUUAAUGGUCCAAAUAUGAUAAUUCUCCCCCGAAAAAAUCGAAGGACCCAUUGUUGGUUGAUUUUCUGGUGCCAUGUUUUUUCAGUAAAUAGAUUCAAGAAAGGAGCUAAAAAUAAGAUGAGUCAAUCAACAAAAAACAUAUUCAGAUCCCGUAAGAAAUGGGCUCUGAUACCAUGUCAAAAAAUAAAGGAAACGGGGAGAGUAAAGCUACAAGGAGAAAAAUAUAAGGAAAUUGCAACUGCAAAUUGCUACAAAAAAGACUGCAGUGAAGAAGGAGAAGCUGAAACUUUUUUAGUGUUUUCUAUUUUCUAGAUAGUUAUAAAUGUCGAAUGUAAACCCUUAUUUAUUCUUAUGUAGGGACGAUUCUAGAUACUACUCCCUCCAUCCCAUUUUACCCGUCCCAAAUUGGGAUGGCACAGCUAUUAAGAAAACAAUGAUUGGUAAUGUUACUUUACCAUUUUUUCUCUCUUAAUUGUGUCUUGUUGUUAGUUCCAAUAUUGAUGGAUGACCAAUACAAAAGCACCAUUUAUAUUCUUAAUGGUGUACUCCUAAUGGUACUCUUCUUUGCAACGUUUUUCAAAAAUGUUAAUAACAAGGAGUAAGCAAUUACACUGAGGAUAAAAUGAAAAAAAAAGUUGUCUUAUCUUGAUAAGUAAAAAAGGACAACUAAAAUGGGACAUCAAAUUAGAAAAUUUGGGACGGGUAAAAUGGGACAGGGAGUACAAAUCUAGAGUGUUCUUAUACAAAUAUCUUCCUCAAAUAUCUAGCCCCCUCUAGAUUUUUCCUAAAUAUAAAUAUCAAAUAGACUACACUCUUCCUUUCUAGAUUCUUCUAACUAGAAUUACCUAAAUAUCUAGAUAUUUCUUCAACAUGAUUAUCCUACAAAUUUCACUAGACUAUUCUAGAGACUUAACUAGAAAUCUAUGAUUCCAAAAAAUCUACUUUAAUACCAUCACACUUUUACCACAUCCAAAAUGUAUCUUGGGUUUUUUUUUUUUUUGGCUUUGUCAUCGAUUUUUCUCCCCUUGAUAUGAAACUGGCAGUAUUUAUUCAUGCCAUUGGAAAAUGAAAUUCAGGACUACACAAUAACUGGAAUAUAAGAAAAAUCCAUUCUAUUGUCAAGUAAACUCACAACUACAACUUUACAAGGGCAUCAAACAAUGAAAUUUUAAGAUUGUUUUACGAUAUUCAUUUUCCGGGGACAAAGUUUGUGGCGUAGGCCCAUGCGUUGUUGUUAACUGGAUCUGCAAGGUGGUCAGCGAGGUUCUCCAAUGGACCCUUUCCGGUAACAAUGGCCUGAACAAAGAAUCCAAACAUAGAGAACAUAGCAAGUCUACCGUUCUUGAUCUCCUUUACCUUGAGCUCAGCAAAUGCCUCUGGAUCAUCAGCAAGACCUAAUGGGUCAAAGCUGCCACCAGGGUACAAUGGGUCGACUACCUCACCAAGAGGCCCACCAGCAAUACGGUAACCUUCAACGGCUCCCAUCAAGACAACUUGGCAAGCCCAGAUGGCCAAGAUGCUCUGUGCAUGAACUAAGCUUGGGUUGCCCAAGUAGUCAAGUCCACCCUCGCUGAAGAUUUGGGAUCCAGCCUUGAACCACACAGCCUCACCAAACUGGACACCGUUACGGGCCAAGAGCUCGGGGAAAACACAUCCAAGAGCACCAAGCAUAGCCCAUCUGCAGUGGAUCACCUCGAGUUCUCGGUUCUUGGCAAAGGUUUCUGGAUCUGCUGAAAGUCCAGCGGUGUCCCACCCGUAGUCACCAGGGAAUUCGCCGGUCAAGUAGCUUGGGGGCUCACCCGAGAAUGGGCCCAAGUACUUAACACGGUCUGGGCCAUACCAUGGGCUUCCAGAUAGGGCAGGCUUGGAGACAGCCUUUCUCAUAGAGAUCCUUCCAUUUCCACUGAUUUCUGAGUUAGAGGGUGAAAGUUUCACUGCCUGUCCGGCAAAAGAAGGGGAAGAAAGAGCCAUUGUAGAAGCUGCCAUGGUUUAUCUCAAGAGAAAGGAGAGUAUUUGCUGGUUUGAAAUAUUGUUGAAGUUGGCUGUGAUGAGAUGAAGUUACAAGGGGCCUCACUUUACCAUAUUAUAGCAAGUAAGAGGGGAAGAGUCCUUAUCUAGUGAUAUCUAUUUCUAUGAUCUCAUUGGGUAUCAAGAUCCUUUGUCUAGCAAUUAAUGCACACUUGGGUAUCUCCAAUCCAUCAAUUAUCCAAGAUGUUUGCUAAGGGGACCCAUCCAACAUAGUCCUCUCACAUGUGGCUACAAGGCUUGAACAAUAUUCUGUGAUUUGCUGAACUUACAAUGCUGAUAUCUCUUAUCAUAAUCCGUUGAGAAUUGCUCCAGAUUUUAUUUAUCAGCACUACAGCUCAUUCGAGGUAGAACUAUGGUUUACCGUUUCACUAAUUAUAUUCAGGAAAGUUCAUUACUUGAUAUAUAAAUUGUGUAAAAAUUAAUAAUACAUGUUUGGAACUUUAUUAUAUAAGACCUUAAUAUAUAGUAAUAUAAGAGUCAGUAGCAUAGUAAAUUAUUUAACCUGCAAUUCAUAUAAAAGUGAAGAUACUGUUUUGGGGGUUUUACAAAUUUAAUAUUUACAGGUGCAUGCAAAGCAAGAAUAUGAUCUUCCCUUUCAAAACAUUUAACAUAGGUUCAUGCUUGGAUCUUUAUUAAUCUGAUCAUGAAGAGGUAUAUUAAGUUCUAUAUAUGUUGCACUGUUAAUUUCAUGUUUAGAUAUUUAAUGACGGGUUAGAUUCAUUUUAACUACUGCACAGUGCUUAGACUAAUUGGAAAGAACUUGUUCAUGAGCGGGGGUUGGCAAACGGGCGGGUUGACUCAGAUAUAAACAAAUCAAAAAUGAGCCAACAAAAAUGGAUAAAAUAUCCGACCCACCUGUAUUUGAUAUGGAUGAAAAAUGAGAAACCAACGGGAUAUUAUUUCAUAUUAUGUAAAAGAAAUAAGUACUUCCAAUAUGAGAAAGGCAGAGUAUGUACAUGGAUUAAUUAAUUAAUUGGGAUUCACCAGCAGCACAAUAUGACCAAUUAAUUGUGUUAAGGGCAGGAACAUUUGCCAAUAAUGGAUCAGGUUAUUUACGGGUUUGGAUAAAAGGAACUUUAACUUGACACCAAAUUAUAACUAUGUGCUUUUAACUUUGUUAGUACACAAGUAGACCCUUUAACUAUAUAAAAAUCAAAUAAAAAAAUAGUCUAAUUCAGCAACUUACAUGCGUAAAAUUCAAUCACUCCUACGUGGAUUAAUAAUCCACUCAGAUGCUGCCACCUAAUAAAAAAGACGCAUUAUAACUAUGAUCAUUAACUUUGCGCACAAAUAGACGCUUUAAUUAUACAAAAGCUGAAAAAAAAAACACUUCAAUUUUAACUCUGACGCUCGUGAUUUUGAGUGUAUACAUGCAUUUUGCCAGGUUACGAUUGGAGUGUUUGUUUGUUCAACUUUUGUAUUGUUAAAGGCCUACUUGUACAUUGAUAAAGUUAAAGAUCAUAGUUAUAAUUUGAUAUCAAGUUACAUGUUUAUGUACUGAGUUUAAGUUCUGUGCACCGUCAGUGCACAAAAUAUUUUAUACUAUCAGUUAACUUGACCUGCUAUUGCAGGUUACCCAAUUAUUUAUAUAAAAAUUUAAAAAUAAAAAAUUGUUAUUGCAGGUUACCCAAUUAUUUAUAUAAAAAUUUAAAAAUAAAAAAUUAGAUAACCUGCAAUAGCAAGUCAAGUUUACCUAAUAGGAUAGAAUAUUUUGUACACUGAUGGUGCACAAAACUUAAAAAUUUAGGUAUUAUGCCUAUUUACAACUUAUGGAGUAAAUAUAAGUUGUAAAUAUUCUCUUUUUUCACACAGUAAUUUUUAACUUGUAAUAGCUGAUAAGUCCCCGUUGUUACAAGAAACUUUAAGAUUUUUUCCAAAGAUGCAUCAAAUUAAGGACAUAAUUAUAAUGGUCUGGAAACCUAUAUUAUAGCAUGUUGAUUACUACUUGCUAUACCUUCAGACUACAAAACAUAUUGGUUUUCACUUAACAUUGAAAUGCCAAUGGUCUAUAUGGUAGUGAAAUAAUAUUAUGUCCUCUUAAUUGCUCUUUCACUUCCCGAUAGGAAUCACGUAACAACAUCUAUGCUCAACAUUUCUCUGUGCACUAUUCUCUGUGCACUAAUUUAAUGUGUUCCUUCCUGGGAAUUAAUUGAAUUCCAUAACUUCCUGUGGUCAGUAAACUUAAGUUUGAAGCUUAUAACAGCUUUAUAGUUAUUCUAGUUACCACGUCUCAUAUUAAUCUACAGUUUUUCUUUACUAUGUUCUCUUUCUUUAAUUCCCCUUUAGUAUGAAAGUGGCAAAAAAUUUUAUUCAUGACUUUGGAGAAUGUAACUCAGAACUACACAAUUAUUGGAAUAUGAGACAAAAAUCCAUUCUAUUGUCAAGUAACUGCUCAUAACAACUUUACAAGACCAUCAAACAAUGAAAUUUUAAGAUUGUUUUACGAUAUUCAUUUUCCGGGAACAAAGUUUGUGGCGUAGGCCCAGGCAUUGUUGUUAACCGGAUCUGCUAGGUGGUCAGCAAGGUUCUCCAAUGGACCCUUUCCUGUAACAAUGGCCUGAACAAAGAAUCCAAACAUAGAGAACAUAGCAAGUCUACCGUUCUUGAUCUCCUUUACCUUGAGCUCAGCAAAUGCCUCUGGAUCAUCAGCAAGACCCAAUGGGUCAAAGCUGCCACCAGGGUAUAGUGGGUCGACUACCUCACCAAGAGGCCCACCAGCAAUACGGUAUCCCUCAACGGCUCCCAUCAAGACAACUUGGCAAGCCCAGAUGGCCAAGAUGCUCUGUGCAUGGACCAAACUUGGGUUGCCCAAGUAGUCAAGUCCACCCUCGCUGAAUAUCUGGGAUCCAGCCUUGAACCACACAGCCUCACCAAACUUGACACCAUUACGGGCCAAGAGCUCGGGGAAAACACAUCCAAGAGCACCAAGCAUAGCCCAUCUGCAGUGGAUCACCUCGAGUUCACGGUUCUUGGCAAAGGUUUCUGGGUCUGCUGAAAGUCCAGCGGUGUCCCAACCAUAGUCACCAGGGAAUUCACCGGUCAAGUAGCUUGGGGGCUCACCAGAGAGUGGGCCCAAGUACUUAACACGGUCUGGGCCAUACCAUGGGCUGCCAGAUGAGGCAGGCUUGGCAACAGCCUUUCUCAUAGAGAUCCUUCCAUUUCCAGUGAUUUCUGAGGCAGAUGGUGAGAGCUUCACUGCCUGUCCGGCAAAAGAAGGGGAAGAAAGAGCCAUUGUAGAAGCUGCCAUGGCUUAUCUCAAGAGAAAGGUAAGUGUUUGAUGGUAUGAAAUAUUGUUGAAGUUGGCUGUGAUGAGAUGAAGUUACAAGGGGCCUCACUUCACCAUAUUAUAGUAAGUAAGAGGGGAAGAGUCCUUAUCUAGUGAUAUCUAUUUCUAUGAUCUCAUUGGGUAUCAAGAUCCUAUGUGUAGCAAUUAAUGCAUACUUGGGUAUUUCCAAUCCAUCAAUUUUCCAAGAUGUUUGCUAAAGGGACCCAUCCAACAUAGUCCUCUCACAUGUGGCUACAAGGAUUGAACAAUAUUCUGUGAUUUGCUGAACUUACAAUGCUGAUAUCUCUUAUCAUUAUCCGUUGGGAAUUUCUCCAGAUUUCAUUUAUCAGCACUACAGCUCAUUCGAUGUAGAACUAUGGUUUACCGUUUCACUAAAUAUAUUCAGGAAAGUUCAUUACUUGAUAUAUAAAUUGUGCGGAAAUAAAUAAUACAUGCUUAUGUUUGGAAAGAAAUGCGUUUGGAACUUAAUUAUAUAAGACCUGAAUAUAUAUAAGCAAGAGUCAGUAGCAUAGUAAUUAUUUACCUGCAAUUCAUAUAAAAGUGAAGAUACUGUUUUUUGGGGUUUUACAAAUUUAAGAUUGACAAGUGCAGGCAAUGAAAGAAUAUGAUCUUCCUUUUCAAAAUAUUUAACAUAGGUUCAUGCAUGUAUAUUUAUUAAUCUGAUCGUGAAGAGGUAUAUAAAGUUCUAAAUAUGUUGCACUGUUAAUUUCAUGUUUAGAUAUUUAACGACGGGUUAGAUUCAUUUUAACUACUGCACAAUGCUUAGACUAAUUGGAAACGCGCAGAUUGAGUCGGAUAUGGACAGAUCAAAAAUGAGCUAGUGAAAAUGGAUAAAAUAUCUAAUUCACCCGUAUUGAUAUGGAUGAAACAUGAGAAACCAACGGAUAAUAUGGAUAUUAGUUCAUAUUAUGUAAAAGAAUAAGUACCUCCAAUAUGAGAAAGGCAGAGUAUGUACAUGGAUUAACUAAUUAAUUGGGAUUCAUCAGCAUCACAAUAUGACCAAUUAACUUUACGAGAAUUGUGUUAAGGGCAAGAGCAUUUGCCAAUGAUGGAUCAAGUUAUUUACAUCUUAUGCCUUAUGGUGUAAAUAUAAGUUGUAUAUAUUUUCUUUUUGGCAUGAUACACAAAUAUGAUCCUAAACUUAUAUCAAAUUAUAACUUUGACCUUAAACUUUGAUAGUGCACAAAUAGGACCUUUAACUAUUCAAAAUUUGAACAAAUAUGACCUCCGAUUUUGCAACCUCCAUGCGCGAGUUUCACUCGCGCCUAUGUGGAAAGCUCAUCAAUCACACGGUGCCACGUCGUUAAAAGGGCUGACUUGGAGGGAGGUCAUAUUUGUGCAAUUUUGAAUAGUUAAAGAUCAUAUUUGUGCACUGUCAAAGUUUUGCUUUUUGUGUUAAAACAACGUUGUUUUAUUAUUAUUAUUAUUAUUAUUAUUAUUAUUAUUAUUAUUAUUAUUAUGAAUAUUACUAUUUAUUUUUUUAAUUUUAUUUAUUUAUUUCUAUAGCAGCUAGGGGUGGGCGUUCGGUAUUCGAUAUUCGGUUCGGUAUUUUCAAAUUUCGGAUUCGAUAAUUUGGUAAUUGGUAUUUGAACGUAGAUACCAUAUACCAUACUAAUAAAUAUCGAUUCGGUAAUCGAUAAAUUAAAUUUCGGUUCAGUACGGUAUUUGGUAAUACCAUAUUAAAAUUGAAGAUGUGCAAAUAUACAUUUAAACUUCAAAGAGUAUAUUUAAAAGAAACCCUAUUUAGCAUUAUUUUGUUGCUUUUUACGAAUAUAUUAUCAAGGUCUAAGAGAUUCUUUGAGAUGACUAAUACUAUUGUUUAUUGGGUUGGUUAGACAUAUAGUAUAUAUAUAUAUAUAUAUAUAUAUAUAUAUAAUUCGGUAUUCGGUAUUUACCGAAUACAAAACGGUAUUAAUAUCUUGUACCAAAUUCAAUCCCGAAAUAUUAAAAUUUUAUUCUCAAAUACCAUACCAAAUACAAAAUUUUUUGAUUCGGUUCGGUAAUUCGAUUUUCGGUAUUUUAUGCCUAGCCCUAAUAGUAACAACACCUAACUUUUUUUAAUUAAAAAAAAAAAACCACUAGCAGGGAUCGACCCCACGCAGUAGGUUGAAGGAAGCACCCAAGAAGAGCAAAUAACACCACUGGAUUAUCUAAGUGCAAUGUUUCAUGUGGUUCAACAUUAAUAUACGUACAUAAAUAUAGAUUAUCUACCUUAUAUAUACAACAUAAUUUUUUUACCGAGGGGGUUCGGGUGAAUCCCAUGGCGACCACGUAGGUCCGCCCCUGCGUUAAUUUAAUAACGUUAAUUUAAUAACAUUUUAAUAACGUUAAUUUAAUAUACUACUAUUAUUAUCUUUAAUAACGUUAAUUUAAUAACAUUUUAUUAAAACUAUAAUUUUUUUAUUAUUAGUAUAGUUUCAUCUUUAAUUUAAUAUUUAAAUAAAUUAUAUUUCGAUAUAUUAUAUAACAUAAAUUCUCCCUCUGCUUUAUAAUAUGUAUAUAUACCCGCAAUUUUUUCGUAUGAGGCUAACCCACUUAAUUAAUAAAUCUUCAAUAUUGCACUUUUUCCGCAAUGACAAAAGAAAUUGAAUGUCAUUUUCAUCUUUGAGCUGAAAAUAAUGAAAAAUAAUAGUGAAAAGUCAUUUAAAGAUUAUAUUUGUGCAGUUUUGAAUAGUUAAAAGCCACAUUUAUGCACUCUCAAAAUUUAAGGUCAAAGUUAUAAUUUGGUGUCAAGUUUAGAAUCACAUUUAUGUAUUAUGUCCUUAGAUUUUAAACAGGACGCGCCCAAUUUUGCAUGUUGAACACGCAUUUUACCACAUAGGACCGAAGGUUAUAUUUAUGUAAUUUUAAAUAGUUAAAAAUUAUAUUUUUGCACUAUCAAAAUUUAAGGUUAAAAUUAUAAUUUGAUGUUAAAUUUAAGGCUUUAUGUAUUAUGCCUUUCUUUUUUCACACCAUCAUUAAAUUUUAAGUUGUAAUAGUAGAUAAGUCACCAUUGUUACACGAAACUUUUAGAUUUUUUCCAAAGAUGUUAAUCAAACCAAGGACAUAAUUAUAAUGGCCUGGAAACUUAUAUUAUAGCAUUUUAAUUACUACUUGCUAUACCUUCAGACUACAAAACAUAUUAGUUUUCACUUAUCAUUGAAAUGUCAAUGGUCUAUAUGGUAGUGAAACAACAUUAUGUUCUCUCAAUUGCUCUUUCACUUCUCUACUGGAAACAUAUAAUAACAUCAUAUUGCUCAACAUUUCUCUUUGCACUAAUUUACUGUGUUCCUUCCUGAGAAUUAAUUGAAUUCCACAAGUUGCUGUGGUCAGUAAACCUAAGUUUAAAGCUUAUAACAGCUUUAUAGUUUUUCUAGUUAUCAUAUCUCAUAUGUAUCUACCAUUUUUCUUUACUAUGUUCUCUUUCUUUAAUUCCCCUUUGAGAUGAAAGGGGCAAAAAAUUUUAUUCAUGGCUUUGGAAAAUGUAACUCAGAACUACACAAUUAUUGGAAUAUGAGAAAAAAAUCCAUUCUAUUGUCAAGUGACUGCUCAUAACAACUUUACAAGACCAUUAAACAAUCAAAUUUUAAGAUUUUCAUUUUCCGGGGACAAAGUUUGUGGCGUAGGCCCAGGCGUUGUUGUUAACUGGAUCUGCAAGGUGGUCAGCAAGGUUCUCCAAUGGACCCUUUCCAGUAACAAUGGCUUGAACAAAGAAUCCAAACAUAGAGAACAUAGCAAGUCUACCGUUCUUAAUCUCCUUUACCUUGAGCUCAGCAAAUGCCUCUGGAUCAUCAGCAAGACCUAAUGGGUCGAAGCUGCCACCGGGGUAGAGUGGGUCGACGACUUCACCAAGAGGCCCACCAGCAAUACGGUAUCCCUCAACGGCUCCCAUCAAGACAACUUGACAAGCCCAGAUGGCCAAGAUGCUCUGUGCAUGAACCAAGCUUGGGUUGCCCAAGUAGUCAAGUCCACCCUCGCUGAAGAUCUGGGAUCCAGCCUUGAACCACACAGCCUCACCAAACUGGACACCGUUACGGGCCAAGAGCUCGGGGAAAACACAUCCAAGAGCACCAAGCAUAGCCCAUCUGCAGUGGAUCACCUCGAGUUCCCGGUUCUUGGCAAAGGUUUCAGGGUCUGCUGAAAGUCCAGCGGUAUCCCACCCAUAGUCACCAGGGAAUUCACCAGUCAAGUAGCUUGGGGGCUCACCAGAGAAUGGGCCCAAGUACUUAACACGGUCUGGACCAUACCAUGGGCUGCUAGAUGCGGCUGGCUUGGAGGCAGUCUUUCUCAUGGAGAUCCUUCCAUUUCCAGAGAUUUCUGAGUCAGAUGGUGAGAGCUUCACUGCCUGUCCGGCAAAAGAAGGGGAAGAAAGAGCCAUUGUAGAAGCUGCCAUGGUUUUUCUCAAGAGAAAGGUAAGUGUUUGAUGGUAUGAAAUAUUGUUGAAGUUGGCUGUGAUGAGGUGAAGUUAAUUACAAGGGGCUUCACCAUAUAUAGGAGGAGUAAGAGCGGUAGAGGCCUUUAUCUAACGAUAUCUACAUCUUUUUCUUUUGGUGUUAACGAUAUCUGUAUCUGUGAUCUCAUUGGGUAAUAAGAUCACAUGUGUAGAAAUUAAUGCACACUUGGCAAUCUCCAGACUCCAAUCCAUCAAUUUUCCAAGAUGUUUACUAAAAGGACCCAUCCAAUAUUGUCCGCCUUAGUGUGGCUACGAGGUUAUUGACUCUAUUCUGUGAUUCGUUGAGCUUACACUAAGAUAUCUCUUAAAGAGCCAUAGUAGCAGCUGCCAUGGUUUAUAAAGAGGAAAGUGAGGGGGUUACUAGUUUGAUAUGUCAAAGUUGGUUGUGAUGAGCUGAAGUUUGUUGGGGUUCAGAAUAUAUAGCAAGGAAGAUGGGAAGGGUCCUUAUCUAGUGAUAUCUAUAUCUAUGAUCUCAUUGGCUGCCAAGAUUACUCUUCAUGCACACUUGGCAGUCACAAAUCCAUCAAUCCUCCAAGAUUUUUACAAGGGGGACCAACAAAUGUUGUGUGGCUACAAAGAUUGCUCUCUGUCUUGUGUGUUGUUUGGCUAACAGUAAGACAUCUUCUACUUUUUCAUUGGGUAAUUGUUUAGAUAUUUUUCUGCCGGCAUGGUAAAAGACACCACCAAUUACAGGUAUUUUCAAGUAAUUACAGUUCAAAUUUAUCCCUUCUUAGUGGGAAAUCAAAAGCUGAAAAAGAAAAAGAACCACUUGGUUAGUUCAUUGUCAUGGUUCUGUUUAAAAAAAAAACUGAUAUUAGCUGUGAAAUUUGUCGGUAAUCCAUCACUAAAUUGCUGGUUGCUAUUUAACUAUGGAAUUUCUCUGUUGCUGAUUACUAUUUCUUUUUGUAGCAGUAGGCAUAUAAUUCACAAUUCAUACAGGUGGUCCUGCCUAGGCACACACAAACAUGUGAAAUGCCAAUGCUAUCAAAAUGUGAUCCACCAGCUGAACAGAGAAAUAAGGACCUAGUGCCAUGCCAGCCCAACCAUAUUUAUUCUCUUAUGUUUGGUUACCUAUAGAGGUUUUUUUCUCUUUUAAUACUCCCUCCAUCCCAUUUUAUCAAUCCCAAAUUGGGAUGGCACAGCUAUUAAAAAAAAAAAAGGUAAUGUAACUUUACUAUUUUGUUCCUUUUAAUUAUGUUUUGUUAUUAGUUCUAAUAUUGAUAGAUGACUAAUAACAAGGAGUAAUCAAUUACAUUAAGGGUAUAAUGAGCAAAAAAAAAUUGUUUUGUCUUGAUAAGUAAAAAAGGACAAGUAAAAUGGGACAUCAAAUUAGGAAAUUUGAGACGGAUAAAAUGGGACGGAGAAAGUAUCUUAUAUAUUACUCUAUCUAAAGUAGCUCUAGGGCAAUAUCAAUCCACCACAAUGAAAUGGAGACCAAAGAAAUUUGGAUGAAAUUUGAUUUUUCUCAUCUGGUGAUUCAACUAAUUAUUACUAUUUCAGUAAGUCUGAAAGGAGAAAAAGGUUUGUGUGACAAACCUCAUAGGUAAAACAUUGAGGAUAAGGAAGGGUUGAUUUCUCAAAUAAUCAUCCACUUUCUUUGUUGAAAAAAAUUGGAAUCGAGAAGGCACCUUUCUAAGAUAAUAACUUAUUUUUCACCGUUAUACGUAAACAAAUAAAUACUCUUUCCACAAAACUUCAGCAGUUAUGUUUUCUCCCAGUUCCAUUAUUCAAUAACUCUUAUUAGCAAAUAUAUGAUCCAAGGUAUAAAACAGACACCAGGGAAGUCACUUGCAUUGAUAGAUCAUCAUUCAACCUUCUAAAAUCAAUUUUGGAUGCUUUAAGUUCAUUGAGUAGUAUGAAGUACAAACGCUAGCAUAAAAGAGAAUGUGAAGAAUACUAGAUCAAGUUAAAGCAAUCAAAUAAAAGAUAGCUCAACGCCAAAAUAUUAUUUCAGCACAAAGGGAUUGGAAAGUUAAAGGGCAUAUCAAUUAUUGAACUUUCGAAGAACAUUAGGUGGUUCAAAAUUUUUAAAGGCAUUAGCUGAACAGACUCUUGAAAUCCAAAUGAAGUUGUAAAUUCUAGUGUUGAUCUUUUACACAUAUUAGUUUUACUAAAUGAAUGAUAAAAUUGAACCAAAUCAACCUCAUUUCUAGGGAAUUAAAUAAAAGGAACUUGGUCUUUCCGGUAUUAAAAUUCAACUAUCCACCACUGACAACGGAAUACAACAUAACCAUGGUAACCUCACAAUGCAAUUCCGCAAAUGCUACUGCUGAUUUCAUUUUACUUUUGACCUUCUUUCUAAAUAUGUUUUGUUUCAAAUUAGUUGUCCACUUUCACAAAUCAAGAGUGUUAUAUUACUUCUUUUCCAUAUUAUCCUUAGUAUUAAAUAGCUAAAAAAAAUACUCCUUCCGUUUUGAAUUAGUUGGUCCGUAUGGCGUUGACACCUCCAUUAACAGCCCAAUAAUUAGAAGUGUAUUUUACUCUUUUACUCUUAUUUGCAUUUUAAAGUUCAAUAAUUAAUGCAAUAAUUAAACAUAGAAAUUUGGUGCAAUUACUCCAUUUCAUGCAUGCACCAACUGCUUGUUUGUGAUUGCUUAUUUCCUGCCAAAAGCACUUAUUUUGAGAAAAAAAUAUCUUUUUUAAAAGAAGGGUGUUUGGUAAACCCGCAAAAGUGUUUUUAAAAAUAAGCAGAAACAGUUUUCUAUUUCUGGGAAGAAACAAAAAAAAAAUUACUUUUAAAAAAAACAGAAGUAAAAAAAUAUUUUUUUAUGAUAAAAAUAUUUCCAUCACACACACAUCCCUUGUUAAUUAAUUAACAUAUCUUAUAAAUUUGAUUAAAAUUUAAUUUUAAAAUUUUAUAUUUCAUAUUUACAUCAUAAUUUCUUAUGAUUUAUAUAUUGUUAUUUUAUUUUGACUCAUUUUCUUCAUAUAAAUUUGAAAAUAUUCAUUUUUGUUUGAUAUUUUUAAGUAAUGUUUAAAUUAUUUAAAUAAUAUAUCACUAUUUAAUAUUUUUUAAUGUAUUAAUGUAUAUAAAUAUUCGUUGUAAAUUUUAGAAUAUGUACUUUUUAAUUAAAUAAAUAUAAAACUUUAAUUAAAAAUAUUAUAAUNNNNNNNNNNNNNNNNNNNNNNNNNNNNNNNNNNNNNNNNNNNNNNNNNNNNNNNNNNNNNNNNNNNNNNNNNNNNNNNNNNNNNNNNNNNNNNNNNNNNNNNNNNNNNNNNNNNNNNNNNNNNNNNNNNNNNNNNNNNNNNNNNNNNNNNNNNNNNNNNNNNNNNNNNNNNNNNNNNNNNNNNNNNNNNNNNNNNNNNNNNNNNNNNNNNNNNNNNNNNNNNNNNNNNNNNNNNNNNNNNNNNNNNNNNNNNNNNNNUGUAUUCAUUUUUGUUUGAUGUUUUAAGUAAUGUUUAAAUUAUUUGACCAAUAUAUCACCAUUUAAUUUUUUAAUGUAUUUAUAUAUAUAAAUAUUAAUUAAAAAUUUUAGAGUACAUGCUUUUUAAUUAAAUUUAAAAAGAUUAAUUAAAAAUAUUAUAAUAGAUAUUUAAAAUAAAUUUUCUUUAUAAAUUGAUUUUAGUAAUAAAAGUCAUUUGAUACAUGUCUUUUUUGGUUAUUUGUUUAAAAAAAAAAAAACACUUCUUGAAAAAAACUAUUCAAACACAAUUUGUUUAUCAAAAAAACUUUUCAAAUGAAUUUAUCAAACAAAAAUUAUUAUUUUCAAAAACACUUUUCUGAUCCUGGAUAGGAAGGUGUGGAGGAGGCGAAUUAGGGCAGAAGGUUAGUCUGGGUUAGGAUAUUGUAUGUUUUGAUGUAUACUUGGAGUAUCUUGCUUUAGGUAUUAUUGUGUAUGCUAAUUUCAAUUGCAUCUUGUUCUAUUACUAUUCCUUAUCUUAUCCUAGAUUGCUAUAUUUUAAGUCGGGGGUCUCUUGGAAACAACCUCUCUAUCUCACAAUUGAGGUAGUGGUAUAGACUUCAUACACUUACCCUCCCCAGACCCUACUUGAUGAAAAUAUACUUGUUAUUGUUGUUGUUUCUCAAAUAAACAGUUUUAUAACAGCAAUUUCAAACGGACUCCAAGUCUAGAACCUACAAAUUUAGAAUUGAAACUAUAAUGAUAGUUUUGAAAAUGUAAUAUUAUUUAAUUUCAAUAAUCUUGAAAAAUAAAUAGUAUUGAUUUAUAACUUGCACAAUUAAAAUGGAAUAAAUACUUUUAGCAAGAAGGCCAAUUAAUUCAAAAUGGAGAGUAGUAGUAAUAGUUUGAGCCCGUUUGAAAUUACUGUUACAAAAUUACUUAUUUGAGAAAUACUUUUAUAAAAUAACUUUUCAAAAAAUUACUUUUCGAGAAAAGCAAUUUGUGUUUGGGAAAUUCAUUUGAAAGUACUUUUGAUAAACAAACUGUGUUUGAAUAAUCUUUUUCAAUAAGUGUUUUUUUGGGGAUAAAUGAUCAAAAAGGACAUGCAUCAAUAGAUUUUAUUACUAAAAUUAAUUUAUAGAGAAAAAUUAUUUUAAAUAUCUAUUAUAAUAUUUUUUUAAUUAAAAAAUAUUUUUAUUUGAUUAAAAACUACGUACUCUAAAAUUUUCAAUCAAUAUUUAUAUAUAAAUACAUUAAAAAUACUUAAAAUGAUAUAUACUUAAAUGAUUUAAAUAUUAUUUAAAAAUACCAAAUAAAAAUAAAUAUAAAAAUUAUUCCAUAAAUUAAAUCACUACAUCUGAACAAACUAACGACAAAAAUAAUUAGUCUUUCAUACAUCACAAAAAUUUUAAAUGAUUUUAUUCCUAAUUUUAUCAUGCAAUAUCUCCAUACUAGUAGAAGAUCUGUUUUGUAUUUCUAAAGAUAUAUCAAAAUGCUCAUGUCCUUCUAUGAUCUUUGUGAUGAUGUCUUCGUUAACAUAAUAGUUAAAUUAUUUAUCAAUAAUAGAGCGUUGUCGUAUGAAAUAAAGUAUAGCCAUAGUAGUUGUAACAAGAUAAACUUGAUUGUCGAAUUUAAAAGAUGGCAUUGAACAUAAAAAAAACAAAUUUAUUUUUUCAAGCUCCAAAUAUUCUUUUAGUUGUACAUCUCAAACUGGAGUGAAAGAAAUUGAAAGUCUUAUUUGAAUUUUUGAAGUUAGAGUUACAUCUGAAACCAGGGAGAUGAUAACGGUCCCCUUUAUAUAUGAUCCUAAAUAACUAAUCUUCGUUGAAUAAUUUGAGUCCACUAAAUAAUAUUUAUCUACACUAAAAAAUUAUGAAACCAAUCGUUGUUAGAUAAUUCGAGUCCAUUAAAUAAUAUUUAUCUACACUAAAAAAUUAUGAUGUAAAUAUAAAGUAUAAAAUUUUAAAAUUAAACUUUAAUCAAACUUAUAUAUGUGUGUGUGAUAGGAAUAUUUUUGUCAUGAAAAAAAUAAUUUUCUGUUUCUGUUUUUUUGUAAAACAAAAAUUUUCUGCUUCUUUCCAGAAGCAAAAAAAUUGCUUAUACUUCACUCUACUUUCUAAAAGAAUGUCUUUUUCUCUUAUUUAUAAGAGGCAGUUUAGCAGCUUAAGCAGGCAAGAGGUCGAUAUGCCUGCUUCAGCUGCUUCAAUUAUGAAUUUACAAUAUUAUUCCUAAUUAAUUAUUAUAAGUCAUUUAUGUAUUAAAAAUAAUAAUAUUUAAUAAAAAAAUAAAAUAAAAAUUUAUGACAUGUCUGCUUCAGCUGCUUCAAUCGUAAUUUUACGACAGCACUCCUAAUUAAUUAUUAUAUCCCUAAUUAAAUAUUAUAAGGCAUUUACAUAAUAAAAAAAAUAAUAAUAUUUAAUUAGAAAAAAUAAAAUAGAUAUUUAUGAAAUGUCUGCUUCAGCUACUUCUACCAUAAUUUUACUGUAUCACCCUUAAUUAAUUAUUAUAAGUAAACUAAACAUUAAAAAAUUAAUAAUAUUUAAUAAAAAGGUAAAAUAGACAUAAACUGGAAAUUAACUAUUGAUGUUCUAAAUUAACUUGACGACUUAUAUGAGACUUUCUUAAACUUUUUUCACAGGUAUUUCUUUAAAGUAAUUUUGAUAAAUGGAGUUCAUCAGCUGAAGCAGGCAGCAAAUCGAUAUGUCUGUUUCAGCUGUUUCAAUCGUAAUUUUAUUGUAUCACCACUAAUUAAUUAUUAUAAGUCAUCUGCUUCAAUCGUGAUUUUACUAUAUCACCCAUAGUUAAUUAUUAUAAGUCAUCUAAGUAUUUAAAAAAUUAAUAAUACUUAAAAAAAAAAACAGAUAUAAAAGAUAAUUUUACUAUGUCACUUCUAAUUAGUAGAAUGGAUGAAAAAAUAUUAUAAAUCACAAUAAUUUAAAACUUAAAUUAUUUUUAAAAUAUAAUUGACUAUCAAUGCCACAAAAAAAUGAACAAGGAAAGUAACAUAUAUUAUUUGAAAAUUACAUAAAAAAAUACUAAAAAUUACAAUAGUUAACAACUUAAAAUAUUUAAAACAUAUUAAAAUUAUGAUUAAUUAUAUAAAUUUUAUCUGUAUCACAUAAAUUGAAGCAAAAAAAAAUAAUUUAUGUAUCUAGUUCUUAAAAUAAGUAGUACUAUUGUUUUAGAAAACUAAGCAAUCCCAAACAAACACUUAACCACUCAAAACGUGGUAGUGUGCAAAAAUCGAACCAACCGAUAAAUCGAACCGAUAAAAAUGCUAUUGGGCUAUUGGUAUUGGUUUAUUUGGUUAAUGGGUUUUUAUUGGUUUUAUAAAAAAAUUUAUUGGGUAAACGGUUCGAUUUUGAUUUUAGCUUAUUGGGUUAUCGGUUAAACCGAUAACCUUAACCGAUAACCCAAUAAGGAUUCACUAAAUUAUUAUUUUAUUCCUAUUUAUGUUAUAUACAUAAAUAUCUAAAUUACUUCUAUAUCUAUCUAUCUCUAUAUGCACUAUUUAUUCACAAUUCAGUGAUUCACAAAGUAUUAAGCUAUUCAGUGCAACAAAGGAACAAUAUAAAGCUCGAGUAUUAUCGUAUUAGAAAGCUUGAAGCAUUUAGUAGUUUCCAACAAUUAGGAUUUAGUUUUUUUCCAAACUAACAUUCAGUUCAAGUUUGAAGAUUCUUGUAAAUUAAAAUGCAUUGUAUAGGAUUUUAGUGGUAACUAAGAUUUUAUUUUUUAUGUGAGUUGUUACUAUUUUUAUUUUAUGAGUAUUUUCUUAUUAGUUAAAUAAAAAACAAACUAUUAAGAACCAAAAACUGAUAAAUCGAAACCGAUAAAAACGUAUCUUAUUGGUUGGAUAUUGAUUCAAUUGUCCUCUUCAGCAGUUGGCGCUCUUUUCAUUCCUUUCUCUUCUUUACCCUAACCCUAAAUCCCAAAUUCAAAUUCUGAUUCUGCCAAAAAAAAAACACAGAAGAAAUGCAAAGACCUUCUCCACAUUCCAAUUUCUUCUCUUCUCUCAAACAAUUGGAGAAAAGAUUGAAACUUGAGAACAACCCAUCUCAAAAAGAAGCUAUCAACACACCGACCCAGUCUCUGAUGAGCCCAUUGUACCUCAACUGUGAUGACUCCAUCACCAGCAACACAAACCUCAAAGAAAGCGAAACCCCACUUCGGUUUCUCUCUAAUUCCCCGCUUGACCAAGAAACCCCACCUCACAUAAGUCCUAAACAAGUUCAAGAAAGAGUUGGUGUGGUUGAAGCUGAUGGCGAUGGGGUUGAUGAGAUUCAACUGUUGAUGCAGCUAUUGGGUUUAACGGAUCGUAAAAGGGAGGGAUCCAAGAAGAUGGAAGUGGAAUUUGGUUGUGAUGAUGCAUUUUAUGGAAAGGUUGUUGGGGUUAAGGGACCAAAAAGUGAAAAAGAAGUGGAGAGGUUACAAGGUUGGAUUGAGCAUUUUAUGGAUAGGAAUAGUGGAGAGCGGAGAGAAUCGUUCAGGUUGGCUCAUCUGCUUUUAGGCAAAGCUGCUCUUAUUCAUUCAGAGGUUUCUCAUGGUGUUGAUAGAUUUGAGUUCCCGUCUACCGUUGAUGAGUUCUUGCAUAAUGAUCCACCAGUUGACGAGGUUGAUUUUUCCCUCUCUAGUAAAUAAAUUUCUAGAAUGUUGUUGGCUUAUUAAGGCCUUUAUUGAGUUAUCGCAAUUUCACUUCUAUAUAUGUGUGUUCAAAAGUUUACUCGUUUCCUGUAGACAAUUUUUAGUGAUAGAAAUCAUUGGCACUUUGGUCUAUCAAUCAACCUCUCACUGACUCUAUUAAAUGUACUUCGUAAAGAUCUAGUCUUUUGCUCCUUAGUUGGAAUUAAUGUGAAGUAUUCUUGAAUAUGUUGUUCAAGUUCAUGAUGCAAGUCAACUUCAAAUUAAUUUAACGUGACAAUUCCAGGAUAUCCCUCUAGUGAAAUGGGAAUACUCGAGAUGUCAUUUAUGUCUUGUAUAUUUAAGUUCUAUUUGUGGACUAGUUCAAUUAGCCACCAAGGGAAAUUUGGUGGUGGUUCACAUUAAGUUUGAUAUACUCCAGCUUCUUCUACUAUCUACAUCAAAUUUUAUCAUUUACCACAUAAGUACGUUAAUGCAUGCACUCCAUCUUACUUAGUUUUACAAGAGAAGACAGAACUUGCUCCAUGUCAGGUCUGUCUUCAGGAUCAGGAAAGGUGCAGGACAAAGCCAAGUUAAGAAGUCCCUCUAUUAACUCCUGUUUCUUGGCGACGUAUGAAGCUAGAUUAGAAUCCACAAUCUGGACUAUCUUGUUUAUGCCAUUCGCAAGGGCAUUCUGAACAGCUUGAUGCAAAGUCAUUGGUAUUUCAUCUGCUCCUGUAAGACUUGUUGGCCUUCUUUUAGUUAUGAUCUCCAUCACGAUUACACCAAAGCUAAAUACAUCUACUUUUGUGGUCACUUUCCUCAUAUAUGCAAACUCUGUUACAUAUAGGAACAUUUCAUGUAGGUUAGGUCUCAAAUUAAAAAAGGAGCAUGUAAAAUAUCCAAGAAACUAAAAAUUCAAAAGCUUGCACUAGCAUUUUUUGGUUAGAUUAAAGCUAGUAUUAUCAUUAAAAAAAUAAUUUUCAGACUAUAUAUUCAAACAUUGCGUCAUGUACAUGCUUGUCCAUUGUUCCACUUACAAGUUAAUCAGUAUUUUGUGAUUAACGGGAAAAAAGAUUCUGCUAAGCGUUGUAUUGUGAUUGACAGAAGUAAUGUGGCUACUUAAUGAUGCGAAAAAUGAAAUGUUCUUGAAACAAUCACCGUUGACCAAAAUUUUGUUUGUGGUUAUCAUAUAAGCUUGUUUAUACUGUAGAAAAUCUUUUAUUCAUGUUAAUUGUAACGUAAAUCUAGAUAAUUGUGGUUCGAGAAGUUGUAAUUAUUACCUGGCGCCAUGUAACCAAUAGUUCCUUCAAAUGUGGAUGCUGAUGAUGUGCUUCUUCCAUCCUGGUGAUGAAUACCUAACAUCCUAGCUGUCCCAAAGUCACUCACAUGUGCUUCCAUAUUUUCAUCCAGAAGAAUAUUUGAAGGCUUCAAGUCGCAGUGCACUAUUGGAAAAUCAUAUCCUGAAUGCAGGUAUGACAACCCACUUGCUACUGAAACUAAAAUGUCAAUCCUAUUAGACAAUGUCCACUCAUCUGCCAGUUGACCAUAAAUAAUACUGUCCAAGUUCCCAUUCUCCAUGUGUUCUAAAAUUACAGCCAUUAGCUUCUUGCUUUCCCAAGCAUAACCAAUCAUCUUAACCAGGUUCCUGUGUCUGAGUUGGCUCAGAGUCUUGACUUCCCUAUCAAAGCAUUUUCCUGAUUCUUCUGAGAACUGAUGAUUCAGUUUUUUAACUGCUACAAUCUUCCCAUCUUCCAGUGUACCUUUGUACACAGUACUUAAAUUGCUGGCUCCAAUAAUGUUUUCUGAACUGAAAUUAUCGGUAGCAUGUUCCAAAUCCUUUUGAUAAAAUCUCUGGAGGCCAAGUGCUGAGGUAUACUGUGGAUUUGUAUCCUCCAUGUCAGUCACUUUUCGCUUCCUCUUCAUGUACUGAUGAAAUAAAAAUAUUCCCAAGAGAAGAAGAAUAAAAAGCAAAGCAGAUCCAAGUAUGAUCCAGGUUUUCUUGGAAUGAGAACUUGUUUGGUUGCUUUUGAUGCUGCAUGGCCUGAGAAACUCUGUUUCACAUAGAGAUGGAUUUCCCUGUAAAUUCGCGGACCUUAUAUUGUUGAAUACACCCCCCUUCGGAAUGUGACCUUCAAGUUGGUUGAAAGAAAGAUUGAGACAUUUUAGUGCAGGCAUUUUGGCAAAACUCUGGGGAAUGAUUCCCUUGAACUUGUUUUGUGAAAGAUCAAGAGAGCUAAGAUGUGGCAAACUUGUCAUUUCAGGAAGUUCGCCUUCUAAUCUGUUCCGUGAGAGGUUCAAGAAUACUAGCUCACUUAAUUUGGUCAGCGUUUCACCUGGAGCAGGACCAGACAGCAUGUUCCCUGAUAGGUUCAGUGAGAAUAAAUUUUUGCAGCGACCUAGGGAUCUGGGAAUGCUGCCUGAUAGAUUGUUGUUUGACAUGUCAAUUGCUUGAACCAUUUCUAACACGCCAAUCUCAUCAGGGAUCACUCCAUCCAGCAAGUUGCUUGAAACGUUCAUGUAAAAUUGCAUACUUCGCAUGCUGGCAACUACCGUUUUAGGAAGAGUUCCGGUAAGAAGGUUGUGUGAAAGAUCUAAGGUCAUCAGUCUGCGGAGGCCUGCCAUGCUCUCUGGGAUUGUACCAUUAAGCUUAUUUCCACUCAAAUCCAUGAGCGAAAGUGAUUCUAGUUUGGAUAUAUGGUUGGGUAUUGGACCGAUGAAAUUAUUGUUCUGCAGCAGGAGUUCAUAGAGACGUUUAAGCUCAAAAAUUUGCACAGGAAGUUCACCUUCCAGCUUGUUGUCAGCCAGCGAAAGGCCCUGGAGGUUCGAAAGCUUUGAAACUUCUGGUGGUAUCACACCUGAGAAACUGUUUUUGUGAAGCACUAAAUCUACCAGUUGACUCAUUUUACCAAUCUCUGGUGGGAUGGACCCAAGAAAUGAAUUACUAUGGGCUCUUAGAACCCGAAGUUUGGAGAAUCUGCCAAUCAUUGGUUUGAGUUUUCCGCUAAAAUUAUUACCACUCAGAUCUAGAACUUCAAGCAUUGAGCAGUUGAAGAGAUCAUCAGGAAUAUCCCCCAACAUCUUGUUUGAACCCAAAGACAAAAAUGUAAGAUUGGACAACUGCCCUAACCCUUUUGGUAUUUUACCUGUUAUUCUAUUAAAAGUGAGGGUUAAAACACGAAGGUGUGAACAAUUUGUUAUGCUGGAUGGAAUAGACCCCUCUAGGAGGUUAUUACUUGCAGUUAGAUUCUUCAGAUUAUGGAGUAACCCAAGUUCAAAUGGAAGUGAUCCGGUCAAUAAGUUAAAGCUCAAAGACAAAUAUGUCAAGUUUGCCAGGUUUGUUAAAGUUGAUGGAAUCUCCCCCGACAACCUAUUUGAGUGGAGGGUAAGCACUCGUAGCGACAUUAAAGAUCCCAACUCGGGAGGAAUAUUACCAGUUAGCUCAUUAUGUGAGAGUCCUAAAUGAGUUACCGACUUCAGGUGGAACAAUGAGGCUGGUAUGCUGGAGUUCAACUGAUUGUUAUACACUCUGAGCCUUUGCAAGUUUUCUAAAUUUCCAAGCUCAGGAGGUAUGCUUCCACUGAAUUGGUUAGUGUACAUUUCCAAGGUAACAAGCUUGAUGCAGAGGCCAAGUUCAGAUGGGAUUUUCCCAGAAAGAGNNNNNNNNNNNNNNNNNNNNNNNNNNNNNNNNNNNNNNNNNNNNNNNNNNNNNNNNNNNNNNNNNNNNNNNNNNNNNNNNNNNNNNNNNNNNNNNNNNNNNNNNNNNNNNNNNNNNNNNNNNNNNNNNNNNNNNNNNNNNNNNNNNNNNNNNNNNNNNNNNNNNNNNNNNNNNNNNNNNNNNNNNNNNNNNNNNNNNNNNNNAAGAGUGUUAUGAUUUAGCUGAAGAAUUUCUAAACUUGACAAGUUGCCAAUUAAUGAUGGUAUAAGUCCAGAUAACUGGUUUUCGCUCAGAUCAAGGGUUUGCAGAGCUGUCAACAUUCCAAUGGAGGUUGGAACUAAACCAACCAAAUUGUUUUUAUACACUACAAACGAUUGAAGAUUAGCUAAAUUACCAAUUUCAGACGGUAAUUUCCCUGUGAGACUGUUGUUGAUGAGGUCUACAGACAACAAUUCAGUGCAGUUGCAUAUACUCUCAGGUAUUCUCCCAUUCAGAGAGUUAUUGCCGAGAUCUAAUAAUUGCAGGUUUUUGAGGUUUCCUAGCUCGGUAGGAAUUUCACCAGAAAGACAGUUUUGAUGAAGAAUGAGCUGAACCAGCUCUGUGCAAUGCCCCAGCUGGGGUGGGAUAUUUCCAGUAAAUGCAUUCAAAGUUAGAUCAAGAACCUGGAGUUUGGAGAGGUUUCCUAGAAAUGGAGAAAUUUGGCCUUUGAGCUGUGUCCCAAUAAGCGAAAUGUUGAUGACAUGGUUCGAAGAGGGAUCACAUAUGAUUCCAGACCAGUUGCAGUUGUGAUUUGCGUCAUUCCAAUCCACAAGUACACCAAAAGGGUCAUCAGAGAUUGAAUUCUUGAAAGCUUCCAAAGCAGCAACUUCAACUUCUAAGCUUGGAGUUUCCCCGAAGGACAGAGCUAUGAAAAAGGUAGUAGAAAGUAUGGCUAAUGCAUAUCCAAUUGUCUGUGCCAUCAUUAGUUCAAAAAGACGAAAAAGAUAAAAAAAAGUUUCGCUGUCUGACAACACCUUGAGCUGAAAAUGAAUGAAGAUUUUAUACAUUUGAGUGAUCUUUGUUCAUUGCUUUCAUUUGAAUAAGCCAAUUAGUCAUCAAAACCAAGUAAAAUGACUUGUAUUCUAUGAAUUCGUCAGACAGUACGGUGCAUGCCUCUAAUCUAGAAUGGCCCGCGUUAACGAGCCUGUUCCCUCACACUGGAAAAUUCAACGAGAACUAAUCCUACUGUUAGAAAAUUGGGUGCAUUCAACUAAGUAAAAGUCAAACUCUUUUUUUAUCUUUUCUUUAAUUUUCUAGAAGAAAUAUUUUUGAAGUUCAUUUCAGUUACUCCCUUUUCUUGAGAGGGAAAGUGGUUUCUUGAGAGGAACAAUUUCACUUUGAUAAAACUAAAUUUGGCAGGUGAACCAUGUACUUGACCAAAAGGCUAUAACUAACGAUUUCUGUAGGCUAUGUACAUCCAUUACUUGGUUGAAAGACGACACACACAAGUGAUCGUUUCCUUAUCAAGGGCGAAUUUAUGGCCUAAAUUAUGGUGCACAAUGCUGCAAUAAGGCUAAAGAGUGAACUUUGGUUGAGUCUCGAGUUAUUUGCCCGAAGGAAUAAGGAUCAGUUUUCACUUAGUAAUAUUUUUUCCCUCCUAGUGGUGCACCCAAACCUAACCCUCUUUGUUCCCAGUGGCAGCAGGAGUGGCUCAAGGGUUUCAAAAUUUUGACGCCUCAAAAAUUUUUAAUUGGUAAAUUUAUGAUUUUCUUUUCUUUUGGGUGGAAAUCAUUUUUCCCCUCAACUUUACUUUAAAAAUCAAACUCUCCCCUCAACUUUAAACAAUAAACAUUCUCCCCUCUUUUUUCUACUUGUCUUUUUUAAAUACCUAUUUUACCCUUACACUAUUAAUCUUUAUUUUUCUUUACCUCUUUAAAAUUAUUAUAUUUUUUAUUUUUAAUAUAUAUAGUAAAUUUUUGUAAAUAAAAAGAAAAUUAUUUUCUAGACAAAAAAAAGUGAGAAACAUAUAUUAAGACUUAAGUAUAUAAGUUAGUGAUGUUCUAAAUGAAAUAAAUGACCAUGAUAUGAAAAUUUAUUUAUUAAUAAUAAUUAAAAUCGUAAUAUCUAUUUCUACUAGUAAAAAUAAAAAAUAAAAAUAAUUUUAUAAAUAUAUUCCAAUGCAAGUAAUAUAAUAACAUAUAACAAAACUGGAGAUAUAUUUUAUACUAAAUUAAUUCGAAAGUUUACUUAUAUUAUAAAUAUAUACUCCCUCUGUUCACUUUUACUUGUCACUAUUUUGUCUAUUUCGGAGAAUCAAUUUGGAUUUAUGGCUGGUCACUCAACGACUGUGGUAAUUCACCUAUUGCAGAGACUGGUAGAGCAGUAUAGAGAGAGGAAGAUGGAUCUUCACAUGGUGUUUAUUGACUUGAAAAAGGCGUAUGACAAUGUCCCUAGGGAGGUUCUUUGGAGAUGCUUGGAGCCGGGGGGGGGGAGGGGUUCCUGUGGUGUACAUUAGAGCAAUUAAGGAUAUGUAUGAGGGGGCGAAGACUCGAGUAAGAACGGUGGGAGGAGAUUCUGAGCACUUUCUGGUCUUGACAGGGCUGCAUCAGGGAUCAACUCUUAGUCCGUUCUUAUUUGUCGUGGUGAUGGAUGUGUUGACGCGAAGUAUACAAGGUCAGAUGCCUUUGUGUAUGCUUUUUACGGAUGAUGUAGUUUUGAUUGAUGAGUCGUGGCAAGGUGUUAAUGAUAAGCUGGAGGUUUAGAGGCAAACUCUGGAGUCUAAAGGUUUUAGAUUGAGUAGGACCAAGACGGAUUAUUUGGAGUGCAACUUUAGUGACUCGAGGCAAGAUAAGGAGGUGGUGGUGAAGUUGGACUCUCAGGCAGUUUGCAAGAGGGAUAGUUUUAAGUAUCUUGGGUCUACGAUCUAGGGAAAUAGAGAUAUUGAUGAGAAUGUCUCGCACCAUAUUGGGGCAGGUUGGAUGAAAUAGAGGGCUCGCUUCGGGAAUUUUAUGCGAUAAGAAGGUGCCUCCCAAGCUUAAAGGCAAAUUCUAUAGAGUUGCAGUCCGGCCGGCUAUAUUGUAUGGAGCGGAGUGUUGGCCAGUUAAGACUUCCCAUAUCCAAAAGUUGAAGGUGGCGGAAAUGAGGAUGUGUGGUCUUACAAGGGCUGACAUGGUUAGGAAUGAGAUUAUUCGGGAGAAGGUGAGAGUGGUAUCGGUAGAGGAAAAAAUAUGGAAAGUGAGGUUGAGAUGGUUUGGUCAUGUGAUGAGGAGGGGCACGGAUGCCCCAGUUCGUAGAUGUGAGAGACUAGCGUUAGAUGAUUUCAAGCGGGGUAGAGGUAAACUGAAGAAAUACUGGAGAGAAGUGAUUAGAUGUGACAUGGAGCAGUUACAUCUCACUGAGGACAUGACCCUGGAUAGGAAGGUUUAGAGGAAAAAUACUAGGAUAGAGAGAUAAGGUGGGGGGAUGAAUCGUAGUCCGUAGUUAGGAGGGUUUUGGUGUCUUUUGUUUGGUAAUGUAUAUUAUUUUUGUGGAUGUUGUAUCUAUGUUAGUUUUAUCAUGUUUCAUGACUUGAAUAUUUUUGUAUAUUGUCCUGUGUUUUGAGCCGGAGGUCUAUUGGAAACAACCUCUCUACUUCUUUAGAGGUAGUGGUAUGGACUGCGUACAUUCUACCCUCCUCAGACCCCACUAGGUGGGAAUAUACUGGGUUUGUUGUUGUUGUUGUAUUUUGCUUUUUGAAGUCAACCUGCAUGAACUUUGACCAACAUUUUAAGAUGUAUAAUUUNNNNNNNNNNNNNNNNNNNNNNNNNNNNNNNNNNNNNNNNNNNNNNNNNNNNNNNNNNNNNNNNNNNNNNNNNNNNNNNNNNNNNNNNNNNNNNNNNGAAACACAUAUAUAUAUAUAUAUAUAUAUAUAUAUAUAUAUAUUACACACGUACACACUUAAUGCAUAUAAAAUAAGAGAUAAGGUAUAAGGUACCCCUAAACUAUAUCUGAAGUUAUGACACACAUAAACUUUAAGGGGGACCUAUUGCCACCUAAACUCAUUUUUGCUGAUCUGGUCGUCAAAUAUCAGAAUAUUUUUGUACUCCUUUUGGGAGAGACGAAAAAUAUUUGUGUGUUAUCUCACUAAAAUAACAAUCAUAAAAAAUAACAUUAGCUUUUGUGACAAGUUCAUUAAAAAGGUUAAACUAAAAAAUUUAAAUAAAAAUAUAUAAAUACUUGACUAAAAUAAAGAGAAAAUACAUAAUUACACCACUAAGGUUGUCCGAGAUUUUCAAAAAGACACUUAAACUUUCAAUACCACCUAUUACCCCACGAUUCUUAUUUAAUCUCUUGUAAAUACACCAUUUUGACCAUAUUCUGCAGCAGCCCUUAGGCGCGUAGUUUGCACUCUCUUUUUAAAUAAUAAUUUAAUUAUUAAAAGGUUAAAAAGGUUUGGUUUAACCUAAUAACCCGACUUGAUUGUAAUAAAAUAUCUGAAUCAUUUGAAAUGAUUCAUUUCUCAUUUCUCUCUCUCUUCUUCGAUUUUUCUCUCCUAUCUGUUGCGACUUAAACUCUAAGCUCACACUCGAAGGAGAUCGAAGGUGUUUGGGAGAAAAAUUUAUUGGGGGAGAAAACGUAUUAGCCGAGGAGUGAGGAUUUUACAGGUUAGGGUUUUGUGUAUUGUAGUUUUAAUCUCUCUAAUCAUGGAUUUUUCGAAGUUGUGUUUUUUUCUGGGAAAAUAUUUUUUAGCUCAUAAUAUAGUGAAAUUGAUGUAAAUAUGAACAUAUUGACUUAUGUAUGUACAACGUUUAUGUUUAAUUUUGUUGAUUUGAUGAAUUCUUCGAAGUUGUGUUUUUUUGGGGGAAAAACAUAAUUUACGGAAAUUGAUGCAAAUAUGAACAUAUUGACUUAUGUGUUUGUUGGAUGUUUGUCGAUUUUUUGCAUUUGUUGUUGUUACUGUUACGGUGUUGUAGUAACAUGUACAACUUAGAAUUCUUUUUGGGUGUGUGUCAAGUGGGGGUGGCUGGGGUGGGGUGGGGUGUUUUUUUUCUUUGUUUACUGAUUUCAAUGUGUUUGUGUGAUUGAAUUGUUGCUUUUUCAGGUAUCUUUCAAUGGCUUUUGUGCUUAUAACUUUAAGAUGGUAUCAUGGGGUGAAAUAGAAUUUGGUCCCCCACCUGAAUAUAUCGGUGGGUCUGUGACUGAGUUUUUCGAUAAAGAUGUUGAUAUGAUGUCCUACUUUGAGUUAAGAGACUACAUUAAAUAUCUAGGAUAUUCAACUCAAUGUGAUUUCUUUGUUAAAUGGAAUGGUUAUUUGGUAGAAAUUAAGUGUGAUAAGGUUAUUUUUGACAUUGUCAAUAUGUUAAAAAAUGGGGAUGAACUUGAGGUGUAUGUUUCACAUGGGGUGACUGAAACUGAUCAGGCCCCACUUCAAUUGGAGUAUUUCCCCAAUAGAACUGGCAAUGGGGUAGGUGGGGAAUAUUUGAACCCUAUUAAUGAGGGUGAUACUUCUAGCCCUAAUUUUCAGCCUUGUACUCCUAAAUUCCCUUCCAACCCUCCUGAUAAGCCUUCUCCUUCUAAUAUACCUUCCAACUCUUUUGACCCUACAGUAGAUGAGGAUCCAAGUGAUGAUGAUUUAGAGGAUGAUUUAGAUUUAGAAGGGAGUACUAGUCUGGACAGUGAUGUUGACAGUGAUGUCCAUUAAGAGUAUAUUGAUAUAAGGACUAGUAAAAAAAAAUUUCCAUAGUUCACAAAGAAGAAGUAGAGGUACAACAACUGAACAGGUUAAUGUUGGUGAAAAGAGUCCAGAUAUAGGGUAUGAUGAGCCAAAUAUUGGAACUAGGGAUAGCCUAGUUGGUAAACUAGGAGGUGAUGAACCUUACUACCCAAGUGAUAAAACUCCUAGCUUUGAAUUAGAUAAUGAAGUAGGUUGGGAAGAUGGUGAUGAAGUAGUGCAACAACCUGUGAGAAGAAAGAAUAAAAAAUAGAGUUGUUUUUCUAUGAAACUUGUGAAAAAAUUAUUUGGGAAUUAGGGUUGGUUUUUCCAAGUGUAAAGGAGUUUAGGCUGGCAGUAACCAGAUAUGCAAUUCAAGAAAAGAUUCAAAUUAAAAAGUAUGUGAAUGAGCCUUCUAGAGUUAAAGUGAGGUGCUGCAAAGACACUUGCCUUUGGUUGUUGUGUGCUAGCAAAGAUAAGAGUAGAAGAGAUUUUAUUGCUAAAAGAUAUAACCCUAUUCAUGUUUAUUUGAGAUCAACUUUUAACUAUCUUUACAACUUAAAGUUUCUGGCAAGUAAGUAUAAAGACAGAAUUACUCAACAAUCAAAUAUUAGAGUUGUCCAGUUACAGGAGAUUAUUAGAAAGGAGUUGGAUAUCCAUGUUGGUGCAACUGUAAGAAGAGCCAGGUAUAAAGUGCUACAAGAGAUUAUGGGUGAUCAUAUUGUAGAGUAUGGUAGGAUUUUUUUAUUAUAGGGAUGAGAUUUUGAGGACUAAUCUAGGUAGCAUUUGUGUUGUCAAAGUUGGAGAUGCUGAUGAGACUGGACAGUUAAUCUUUCAAGGUUUUUAUGUGUGCUUUCGUGCUUUAAAGAAAGCAUUCUUUGAAGGUGCUAGAAAGUUGAUUGGUUUGGAUAGUUGUUUCCUCAAAGGUGUGUGGAAAGGUCAAAUGUGGGUGGCUGUUUGCAGAGAUGGAAACAACCAAAUGCUGCCUAUUACCUGGGCAGUUGUUGAGGUUGAGAAUCAAUUUACAUGGGGUUGGUUUGUUGAAAUGCUGAAGAAUGACCUUGAGCUUAGAGAAGGUCAUCAAUUGAGCAUCAUAUCUGAUAUGCAAAAGGUAUGACUCUAUUCUUAACAACUGUUUGUUUUUUUUUCUCUUUCUUUAACAACUGCUGGUAGAUUAAUAUUCUUAUUUUAUUUUGUUAGGAACUGAAAAUAGCUGUAAAAGAGCUGCUGCCAUUGGUUGAACACAGAAAAUGCGCAAGACAUGUUCUUGCUAAUUGGUCUAAACUCUGGAAAGGUAUAAAAAGGAGAAGAGUAUUUUGGAAGAUUGCAAAAUCCACAUUUGAAGUAGAAUUGAAGUAGAAUAUAGAAGCAAUGAAUAUAUUGGGGAGGAAUUGUUUGGAUGAUCUUUUGUGGUAUAAUUUGGAGACAUGGUAUAAAAGAUACUUUGAAGAGCAUUGCAAAUGUGAUGUUGUGGACAACAAUAUGGUAGAGAGUUUUAAUGCAUGGGUACUUCCUGCAAGGUUCAAAACAAUUAUCACAAUGCUUGAGGAGAUUAGGGUGAAAAUGAUGAAAAGAAUUGGUGAGUUGAGACAGUUUUCAAAUACUAGGAUCACUGAUAUUUCUCCCAUGGCUUUGAAUAUUUUACAAAAAAAUAUUGACAAGUCAAUGCAGUGCAAUUUGUCUUGAAAUGGGGAAAGGGGUUUUGAGAAUAUUGACAAGGGUUGUACUCAUACUGUUGACAUUGUUAGUAGAAGCUGCAGUUGCAGAGCUUGGCAGCUUAGGAGCAUUCCUUAUCCUCAUGGUGUUGCUGCCCUUCACCAUUAGGAAUAUGAGCCCAUUAAUUUUGUGGACACCUGCUAUCACAAGGAUACCUACCUCAGCACAUAUGCUCAUUUUAUUCAACCAAUGAAUAACAUGAAAAUGUGGCCAACAUCAAAUAAUCCUACUGUGAAGCCACCAAAGAUCAGGAAGCUUCCUAGAAGACUACAUAAAAUUAGAAGAAAAGAGGCUGAUGGAAGUAGAAAAAUUGAAAAACUUAGCAAAUGUGGUACUAUAAUUACUUGUAACAAAUGUGGUACUCAAGGACAUAAUAAAAGAUCAUAUCCUACAAGAGAUCAACCUGGUGCAAGUCAAUCAGUUGGAACAUCUUCUCAGGCAUAAGUAUUUGUAUAAUCAUUAUCUAAUAUACAUUCUGUUAAGUACAAGGACAAGGACUAAUCUCUUAAAACAUAGGCUGGAGCUUCUACUGGUAGAGGAAGAGGGAGAACAAGGGGUAGUGGUCCAAGUCAUUCACCUGGAAUAUUUUACCAGCAAGAGGUAUAUUUAUUUAUUUGUUACUAUUAAUUUUUUUUUUUAAGUAUGUGUACUAAUAUCUUAAUAAUCAGGCCACCACAAACAUUGCAAGUGCUACUAAAGAAAGAAGUAGAGAAAAAGACAGUGUUUCAGGUGGUUCAAGUGUUUCAAAUAUCUCAAGCAGUUGAGGAAGAGGAAUGACUCAAGAGAGCCAAAUCAGUUCUGCCAGUGGAAGUGGCAAAGGAAGGGGUAUGCCUCCUCAAAGGCAAAAUUAUGAGGACAACAGUGGAGGACAUACGAGACCUUUUAAAAGGUCAAGUAUGGUGGGGAUUGGAAUAUACCAAGCUGAAGAUGGAUUUACCACUCUUAAUGUAAGUACUUUGUAGAAUUUUUGUUUGUGCAGCCUGGAAUUUCUGAAGAUUGCCUUAUAAUUUCUGCAAUUUAUUUGUGCAGCCUGGAAUGGCAAGUAGAAAAGUCAUUAGAACUGGUGCAAAGGGCACAAAGAGGUCUAAAGUUGUGACUGGUGAUAUUGGCUAUACACCAAGACAAGGAUUCAAAUGGAAAGGGAAGUCGGCCAUUACCAAUAGCAAACUUGAAAAAAUGAGGACUGAAAAGGUUAUUCAAAUAAGGUCUGCAGCUGCUGUCAAAACUCAAGGCAAAAAUAUUUCAACUAGGAAGACUCAUGUGCCAUGGAAGUAGAUUUUACUGAUAUGAUGUGUAUAUUUUGGUGGAGAUUGUUGAUAUUGUCCCAAACAAUUACUUUUUGUAUGUUUUGUUGAUGGUGAUAGGCUUUUGUUCUUGUUUUGUAGCAAUCAAAUAAUGUUUUGGGCAGUUUGUUUUGUUAGGUACCUUUAGGUAUUAAGGUAUGUUUUGUUAGGUACCAAACAAAACCAGUUUUGUUGUUUAAAUUGAAAUAAGAGUAUGAAUGUGUUAAAUGAAGUCCUUAUUUUCUCUCAUUAUGGUUGCUUUGAUAGUUUAUUCACUGCACUUUACGUUUUGAAUGCUCACAAAUGUUGUCAGUAUCACAAUAUAUUGAUACAAAAUAGAUUGCAAAGGUAUUACUCAAUAUAUUGAUACAAAAUAGAUUGCAUCUUGUUAAGCAACUGCUAUUCCGACAAGAGAAAAGAUGAACACUUAGUGUUACACAACCAAUCAAAAUUUCAUCUUGUUAAGCAACUACUAUUCUGACAAGAGAAAAGAAGAACACUAUUUUGUAGAACAAGAGAAUGACUAUGCCAAUUUUAAUUGCACACAACUACAUUUAUCAUCCGUUCUCUUGAUAAUGCUAGUCCAAAAUAGAAAAAACACUACGACAGCUGCCAAUUACAACAUUUUCUCUUCUUCUCCUUCUUCACCAUCCAUUUUCCAUUACUUUCAUAAAAUACCAAUGCUUCUUCCAACUCAUUGAUUCUUUUCGUCAAUCUCGAAAUAACUGUCUUUGAUCGUAAAUCAAUCUUUUUUGGGUUCCUCUAUCUAAAGCGAAGUUGCAUUAUUUCUCCUAAAAGGAGCAUAAACAAAUCAAUUGAACAGAAACAAGAGGAAAAAUAAGAAAACAUGUAUAGAACAUACACGAUAGCGUGGACAAGACCAAAAUCUUCUAGCUGGGUUGUCCUCCGAUCGUGACGUUUGCAUUGACAGUAAGCCUCCAUGUUUGCAUUGCAAUUUUACACGGAAUAUGGGAUCGUUAUCGUCAUUACAAAUUCGAUUCAAGAUUGCAUUUGACAUUGUAAAACUAUUUUCGACAAAUACCUAGACACAAAAUUUAACAUGAUUUCAAAAGAAUUUAAAAAAUUAAGAUGCAAUUAAAGCUUUUAGGACUGAAUUUCUUUAGAAAUUACAACAUAAAUGGAAACAUCUUACCUUUUAAGGUUGAUUUUGUUGAGAAAAAAUUAGAAAAAGAGGCAAAACUUUUCUUCAAAAUAGCCGUUAAUGGUAACUGGAAGGAGGUUCGUGGUUUUAAAGAGGAGAAGAAGAAGAGAAUUCCAUUUUUUGGACAUUUAAUUGACACGUGGCAGAGUUUAAUUGGGUAAAUGAAUCACAUUUAAUUGUUCACGCGUCUGGCAUGCGUGACUACACCUAGAGAUAAAAACUAAGUCAAAAUGAUGUAUUUAUAAGGGAUUAAAUAAGAAUCGUGGGGUAAUAGGUGGUAUUGAAAAUUUAAGUGUCUUUUUGAAAAUCUCGGACCACAUCAGUGGUGUAAUUAUGUAUUUUAAUGUAUACUAUAAGAAGAUAUUGCUAAUAUCAAGGUUAAAAUAGAUAUUGUCUAGGUAAAAGGGGGGAGAAUGCUUAUUACUCAAAGUAGAGGGGGGAGUUUGAUUUUUAAAGUAAACUUGAGGGGGAAAAUGAUUUUCACCCUUUUCUUUUUGACGAUAUUGAAUAUAGUUUUAAAACAUACAAAAUUAAUAUAUAAAUAAAAAACUAUCAUUAUUUAAUAAAAAUAUUUAAAACUUUUGAACUAAACUACUCAAAUCUUUAAAGUAGUAAAUAACAAUUUUACAAUAACAUCCAAGAUAAAUGUAUUAAAAUACAUGAUUAACAUCUUUUUAACUUGAAUCAGUUCUUACUGUUAUAAAUAAUAAUAUUACUAUGCAAAAUACAAUACUAUAUUAAAAAGUAACAAUUAUGAAAAAACAAAAAAAGAUCAUACUAAUAUUUUAUUAUGUAUAUGUAUAUGUAUAUUUUUAAACUCUCAAAUUAAAAUCUGAUUUUAGAUCACUAAUUUUAUUAAAAUGCCUUGCCUAGUCGAAUAUACAAUGUGGUGCUUUAAUUUUGUAGAUGACUUUGAUAAAUUCUGCCGAAAAUAUUGUUCAAAAUGAAUUCAUAGGCGAUAUUUCCCUAAUGUUCACAAAGAUGUUAACUUGGCAUAUAUACAUGAUAGUCAUUCGGUCUUUGAAUAUAUAUAUAUAUAUAUAUAUUUGGUAAAUAGUCUUUGAAUAUUUGGCAUACAUACAUGUUAGUCAUUCAGUCUUUGAAUAUUAGGUGAAAUAGAAACAAAAUAGCUACCCAAAUUUGAAUUUACAAGAGAUAAAUAUGGCAAAAAGUAUGCAAAUAAAUAUUAAUUUCUAUUUGACAAAAAUAAAUUUAACAAAUUAUAAUUAGUUUUGAAGUCAAUAUGGCAAUGAAGGCCAGUUCUUAGUCUCAUGUUAUAAGUCAUCAAAACGUUAUAAAAAUCUAAACUACCGUACAGUUAAAACGUUGUAAAAUUCUAGAGUACUAUACAGUUAUAAGUAUUAACAAUUUUUUUUUUUUUUUUUGAGAAUUACUGACAAGAUUAUCUUUGGAGUUGAUUUGAGAUAUUUAUGUGGUCUAAGUUGAUACAUUUUAAUACUUCCUUCCUUCACUCUUAUUUAUCAACACUUUGACUUGAUACAUUCAAAUAAUUAUUAACAUGACUAUUUUAUCAUAAUAUUCCUAUUAAAUAUAUUUACAAUUGUGUUAUGAAUUAAUUUGGAUAUAAAGGGUAAAAUAGGAAAAUAAAAUUUAUUUUUUCUUAAUAUAUCAAAAAUGACAUGUAAAAAUGAAAAUCUAAUUAAGAAAUAAAGUGACGAGUAGUUCUCAAUGAAGGGAGUAAGUUAACUAGGACAACACCUUUAGAUUUUCAAGAAUGGUCUUGGAGGUUGUUAGUGUGAAACUUUCGACCUCACUUGUUUCAUGGAUAAAAUUUUCAGUUCAAUAUGUUUCAGACUUUUAACCUUUGAGGUAUUCUUAUGAAGUAAAUGAGAGUGAAAAUUUCAAUAUCACUCACCCUCUUAUAAGGUCACUUGUAAUUUCAGGGAUGACACCCAUCUCAAUCCUUAAACAAUCACAUUAGAUAUGAGUUAAUAACUUAAAUGGUCAACAACAACAAUAAAUCCAGUGUAUUCCCACAUAGUGAGGUCUGAGGAGGGUAAGAUGUACGCAGUCCAUACCUCUACCUCUAAAGAAGUAGAAAGGCUGUUUCCGAUAGACCCUCGACUCGAGACACAGAAAAUAACUUAAAUGGUCAUUCAACUUUAAAUUUUUAUCUCAGAAAGUCACUCAACUUUGGACUUGACUCAUAAAGUCACUCAACUUUAGAUGUUUUACUUAGAAAGUCACUCAAUCUAUUUUAUUAUUUUUUAAAUUAAAUUUUACUUAUGUGAAAUUUUUUUUAAUAACAAAAUUCUGAAAAAUACAAAAUAUUCAUUUAAUGACCCUUUUACCCUCUCCUUCAUUCCCCUAAAUUAUCUUUACCUUUCACAAAAAUAUUAAAAGUUUUGCAUAGCUCAAGAUUCUGCAGGAGAAAGGAUGAACUAAUCCCUUCGAUUUAUUAAAUAGAGUUACAUUUUACAUUCGAGAAAAUUGUUGUCAAUCCAACAUGUUAGUAAAAUAAAUAUGGUGCACUAAAUUAAGUUUGAGCUUUAAUCAGAUUAUAAAUACAUGAAACUGAUUAUAAUAGCAUAUGGAAGCAACUGAGUGGCACCAUUAUGAGCAAUAGAGAGGUAGAAGAAUGUUUUGUUUGUGCACAGACAAAAGAAAUGUUACAAGUUACUUGCAAAUACAUUAACAAUCAAAAACAUCCAUAGUGUGCCAUAAGACAUUUUAAAGGCCUGCACACAAGUUUUAACCAAAUAAGAUAUUUUAUACACAAUGUCAUAAGCACUUUCUAACUAAUGAGUUAAGGUCGUAUGACCUGCAAGUUUUAAUAAAAUAAGAUACUUUAUAUACAGUGUCAUAUUAGCAUUUUCUAAACCUUUUCAUCGACGCUUUACAAACAUAUUCCUUCAUGACAUUUUUUUGGAAUUCGGACAAAUUUUGCACCAAAUUUGUUUUACUAAUAUAUGUUGGAUUGGCAAUAGUUUUCUCGAAUGUAAAGUGCAACUCUCUUUAAUGAAUCGAAGGGCUUAGUUCAUUCUUUUUCCUCCAUAAUCUUGAGCUAUGUUUUAAUCAAAAUUUUUAAUUUUUUGUGAAAGAUAAAGAUAAUUUAGGUUAAUGAAGAAAAGGGUAAAAGGGUCCUUAAAUAAAUAUUUUGUAUUUUUCAAAAUUUUUGUUAUUAAAAAGAAUUUCACAUAAGCAAAAUUUAACUUAAAAAGUAAUAAAAUGGGCUAAGUGAUUUUUUGAGUAAAAGAUCUAAAGUUAAGUCACUUUCUGAGUAUAACAUCUAAAGUUGAGUGACUUUUUGAGUAAAAUUUAAAGUUGAGUGACUUUCUGAAUAAAAAUUCAAAGUUGAGUGACCAUUUAAUUUAUUAACUCCCUUAAAUAUUGACGUGUCCAAAUUGGAUGGCUUUUAUCUUUACUCAUUAUAGCUAAAGAAGACUCUAUAUUAUUAAACAUAUAAAAAUAUUUCAUUGUUUACCAAACAUUCUAAGGAUCCGUUGGCCUUAGAUUUUCCAAGUAAUUUUUGGAAAAAAACUUUAACAAAGUGUUUGGUCAUACAAUUGAUUAUUAUUUGACAAAUACUUUUGAGAAAUAAUUUAAAUUUUUAAAUAUUAGUAAAAUAUAACUUGAAAAAUCGAUUUCGGAGAAAAUCAGACCGCUAUAGUGAAAUGUUAUUAUAACGAGGUGACGUUAUAGAGAUGUCUGACUGUAUUAUGGCUUUUUAAGGUUUUGGAUUCAAGUCCCAAUCCUUUUUUGGUAGGUGACAUGUAUCUCAUUUCUUGAAUAUAAAGUAAAUAAUAAAAGAAUUAAUUCCACUUGAAGAAUUGAUAAAUAAAUUUUUGACUAGAAGUUUUGGCUCAUCUGCUUUUAGGCAAAGCUGCUCUUACUCAUUCCCCGUCGACCACUGAUGAGUUCUUGCAUAAUGAUCCAUCAAUUGAUGAAGUUGCUUUUUCCCUCUCUCGUUAAAUAAAUUUGUAGACUUAUGUUCGAAAGUAUACUCAUUUCCUAUAGGCAAUCUUCUGGUGAAGGAUGUGUUGGCAUUUCGGUCUUGCAAUCAACUGCACACUAACUCAAUUACAUGUAUGUUCGCAACAAAUUUUUGUAGUGUCGAAAAUUAAAUGCAAGCAAAAAUAAAAUAAUUUUAUUUAAACGAAUAUUGUGAGUACAAUUUCGUAACUCUCUUGAUUCUUCUCUCCUAAACUUAGAAAUGAUCUGAGGGCCUUCAGUAGCGUGUUUCUCGAAUCAUCGAAUGAUUUGAACUCCUGGAGAUGUAUUUCAAUCGCCGGAAAUGUGGGAAAGUGUUUUGUUGCUUUGGAAUAAUCUACGAAAAGAACUCCAUUGAUUGCUCACUUGAUAGUCAAUGUUGAUGUUGCCGAUGUUUGUCAAAGUUCUUUUUUUUUUUUUAAAUGUUAUGUUACCCCUGUUUAUAGUUGUAGGGAGUAGGCCUACUUGCUUGUGAUUGACCGAAAUAUGUCACUUUGAUACUUGACGACUUUUGAUUGGUUCUUUAAUUUGAAUGAGAUUUCCACAUCAUUUGUAUAUAUGACGUCAGCUCGAUGGUCUUAGAUUUGACUGAGAUGUCAUAUCACUUGACACGUGGCAUGAGUUUGCGCUUCAAGGUGGGAUGGACCUUGAUGAGGAAUAAAAUGAGCUUAUUAUAUUUUUAAGCCCAAAAUAAUUUUAGACUCAAUAAAAUAUGGAUCAAAUUCAAAUUUUAUAUGAAUUUGAUCCAAUAAAUUUUGUGAAAAUUAUUCCCUAUACAAUUAUUAGAUUAAAAAUUACAAAAUUUCAGCAACACUUUUAGAUAAUUGCAUUAAUAACUUUUUAAUUGCAAGUUAUAGAAACUUUUUAAAAUAUACAUUUUUUAUUUUAUUUACAAAAUUCAAUAUUUUAUUUUAUACAUUAAAAUUAGUUCCCUAUUUAUAGGAUAGUAUUCAGUUUUCUCCUUAAAUAGUGUAUUGAUAAUUAUGAUAAGAAUCUAUUAUGAUAUUCUUUUUUAAAAAAGCUUGCACCCUUUUCUAAAACAAUCAUAUUAAAAUAAGACUUUUAUUUUGACUUAAACACUUUUUCAUUCUCAAAGUACGUUUCUUCUCCAUUGACACACUAAGCUAUUUCUUGAAAAAAAUUUGGGGUUUAAUCUUUUUCAUUUUUAUUUAAUUGGAGUUUUUCAUUCUCCAUUGACAUACUCAAUCGAAACAAAGUUUUUUAUUCUUCUACGUCUUGUUGUGAUAGAUGUUCAUGAACAUACUUCAUUAAAAAAAAAAAAAACUAGCGAUUUCUUCUCCUUCAUUAGAAAUUCUCUUUCUUCUAAUUUUCCUUUUGUUCUUUAAAAAUGAUGUGAUAUAAGGUGUAUUAUCAAUUUUUUUUGUUAAAUACUCAUUGUAUAUAACAAUUAAAGAUAUGUCAACGGAUAUUAGAGAAGAAAUUGAACAAUUCGUUAUUCGUGUUAAUAACAACGUAAAUAAGAAUUUGAAUGUAGAUUGAAAUCGUUCAUAAGAAUAAUAUAGUGAAAAUUAUCUUGUACAUACUCAUUAAGACUAUUUUAUGUAUGAAUUCGGUAUAAAAUCAAUCUGAAAUAUCAAUAUUUCAUUCAAGAUUCAUAAAAUAGUUUCUUAUAUGUUAUAUUUAUGAAUGAAUAUAAUGAUUGCAGAAGUUAGUAUAGAAAUCGACUUUCACCAAAUGUUAUACGUUAUUAUUUAUUUUAGUGCAUGAAAUAAAUAUACAAAUUUAUAUUUUUUGAAUUAUUUCAUGUAUGAAACCUGUAUAAUAUCAACUAAAAAUUACACAAAUACAUAACUUAUGUUUUCAAUAUUACAAAAAAUUUUAACUUCCUAAACAUAUUACAAAAUCCCAACGCAUACACAGAAUGCUAUGUAUAUGUCGGCUAUGUUAUGUAUAUUAAUAGGGAGAGAGAGUAAAGUAAUUAAAAAGUGGGAGAGAGUGUAAUUACUUCCAAAAGGAUUGGUAUUUAUGUUAUUUAUACUAAUAUCAAUAUUACAUUCAAGGUUAAUAAAAUAGUGAGAAAAUGGUCAAAAGCUCCCCCAAUCUUUACCCCAAAUCCCAACUACACACUUAUAAUUUGCGGAGGUCCUAUGACCCCUGAACAAUUUUCAAGUGGAAUUAUUACCCCGCAAAACCUGACAACCAGUUAUUUUGGAUAAGGUGUGAUGCACGCGCCAACAACAUUUUGACACGUGUUUUUUUUAAAAUUAAUUUUUAUUUACUUUCUUUUCCAUUUUUAUCACUUUUUAUCAUUUUUCAUCUUUUUUUCACCAUUACCUUACAUCUCUUUUCCUUUUCAAACUUUAUUAUUCCUACUUCUAUGCAAAUAAUUUUUCGAUGAUCUUGAAGUGAAAAAUAAUGAACAAUACCGAAUUAAAAUUUUCAACGAUCUUGAAGUCGAAAAUAAUAGACAACAUCGAAUUAGAAAAUUUUCGACAACCUUGAAGUGGGAAACAAUGACCAUAUCAAUUAUUAAAUUUUAGACGAUCUUAAAUCCGAAAACAACGAACAAUAUCAAUUUCAAAAUUUUCAACGAACUUGAAGCCGGAAACAAUGAACAAUAUGGAAUAUAAAUUUUCGUUGACCUUAAAGUCGGAAACAAUAGAGAAUUUUGAAAUUUUCGACGACCUUGAAGUCGGAAAUAAUAGACAAUACCCAUUUUAAAAUUUAUGACGAUCUUGAAGUCGAAAAUAAUGGACAAUAUCAAUUUUGAAAUUUUCGAUGAUCUUGAAGUCGGGAAUAA